rnacentral:lncRNA from 1 species
AAAAAAAAAAGGUAAGAAUGACAUGCCAUUAAAAAUAAAAUUGCCAUGCUCUUUUUUUUGACAACUUUACUUCCUCUUUAUUCAUUCGUGAUCAGACUUACAUCUUUAAGUAGUAGGGGAAGAAGCUCAGAAGGAGCAUUAUCUAACCACUCAUUACAAAGCGAACUUCUAGCAAUCCUAGCUAGUUCAUGUGCAACCCCAUUCGACUCUCUGGGGCAAAAUUCGAAGACAAUAGAGCUAAAUUCGCAAGCCAGAUGAUAACAAUCAUCGACAAUGGCCGCGGCAUCUCCAGCAUAUUGGCCAUCCUUAUUCAUUAUUUCCAUGAGUUCCAGAUUAUCCGAGUUGCCAAUCAGUCUAUUGCACCCAGCUGUGAGCGCCAUAUUCAACCCAAACUUCAGAGCCAUUGCCUCAACAGUUAGUACAUCAUAACAGGAAUCAAUGAGCUUGUUUCCAGCUACAACCAUAUGUCCUCUAUCAUCUCGGAUGACUGCUCCCAUCGCCCCCUGAAGCAAAUCCCAAUCAAAGGCCGCAUCAACAUUUAACUUGACAUAUCCACUAGGGGGUUUGCACCAACCUCCCCUCUUUAACGAGGCCUUUGGGUCACAUGCACCACUACCUACACAUGAUAUGAGUGACUUUGUAGCAUGGAGUUUGAAUAAACAUGGAAUUUUUACAGUGAAAUCGGCCUACCAUGCUCUAUGGUACUUUCAGCAUGGCCGUAAAUUACAGAGGACAGAUGGUUUGGGAGCCACUAGUGCUAACCCAACAUGGGAAAAGGUUUGGAAACUGAAUUGUCCGGCGAAAGUUAAAAAAUUUCUUUGGAGAACCUUACACGCAACACUGCCAUGCAAUGUGGUUCUUGCUAAUAGACACAUCCCAGUCCGGCCGACGUGUCAUGCAUGUAAACAAGGAGCAGAAGAUGUGUUUCAUGUACUAUUUCGAUGCCAUAAGGCUAGAGAGGUUUGGCGGCAGUUGGGGCUAGAGGAUGUUAUACGCCAUGCAUGUGGGGUAGACCGAGCAGGGGAGGAGAUUCUAUCAUACUUAAAUUGCCAUGCUCUUAAUAGUAAAGCUGCCAUGUUUUGAAUAAUAAGAUCUCCAUUUUAAUCAUAAUAAAAUUGCCAUGUGGAAAAGUAGGGAAAUGAAUCCCAAAUUCGCCAUGCAAAUUGAUUAAAAAUCCCAUCGUUUGCCACAAUAGCAUUACAAAAUGACUUAAAAUUGCCCUGUUUGAAAGACAAAAAGUUGUGAUUAUCCAUGGGGUCGUGAGAUUUUUCUUCUUCGGAAAAUUUUUCCAUGUGUACAAAAUACCUUGGCGUGUGAACAUAAAAAAAAUUGUGUUUUUUUUUAAAUUGGCAUGUACCUAAAAACAAAAAAAAGUUGCAUAUUUUUGCCACAUAGUAAAAAUGUGGAGUGUUUGGAUAGGAUUGUGUUGGCCUUUCUUUUGUUUAGCAAACAACCUUUCUUUCUGUUUUGCAAGGGUUUAGGAACUCAGACAUGAGUAGCCAACAUUGUAACGCCAUGUGCGUAUUUCUUUUCCAUGUGGGGAAGUAGUCGUUGGCCGUUGUUUGAGGAAUUGUAUUUUGGCUUUCGGAGCGUUUGUUGGGCGGAGCGUGUGUAACAAGGAACGUCGCCAACUUUUGGCUGAAGGAACCAGGCGUUUUGUUAUAUCCUUGUCGCCACACCAUCUUCAUCUCCAUCCUUACUUAUACUAGUAUAAUGCCCGUGCAUUGCCACGGGCUCUUGAAAUAUUUUGUAAGAGAUAUACAUUAGAAUAUCAAAAGCCAUGCUAUAGUGCCACCAGAUAUUUGAGGUCGAUCUUAGACAACAAAUGUUCCCACCAACAACGAGAACUGCAUGGCAAACAGAUAGAUAAGCAAAAAAAUAUACAAGUACGAUAGAAUAUCUGCUUAAAACAACGUAACGGCCUUGACUAAUUCCUAGGAGUCCACUCCGCUGACGAAGACCGCAACAUGGUGAAUCCUUGCACCCAUAAAGUACCAUAUUUCAGAAAUCAGCUCUCCUGACAAGGAUACUCCAUUUAAACACAUGCCACUUGGUACCGACAUAGCAGCCAUCUUUAGACUAGGCACAUCCUCACAAGUCUCACCAAUGAACCCAGUGCUCUAUUAAAAAUACAAAUUAAGACCCCCAUUGUAAGUUUGAUAGCAUAACUAUCACCAAACUUGAAGGUGUGUUUUCUCAUGUAGACAUUCCUCAAACACAUACCCAUAUCCUUCUUGAAAGAAACCUGGGUUGGAAUAAUUGUACAUACCUAGGCAGGAGAAAAGGGAAAGCAAACAAUGAUAUGAUUGAAACUACCUCGCAAGAGUAACACUAACUGUUACCUUGUUUUUUCUUAGCUCUCCAUUACUCCAUUCACAUAAUAACAAAACUCUGUAAUUGAACCGAUAAAGAAAUAGGUUGCCAUACAAGCAUUACAUCAAUGUUAGUAAUCUAGCUCAUGUGAUAUUUCCAAAAACAGUAGUUCGGUCACGACCGGUGGGGGACUUUGUGCCUUUUGUAUCUGUAGGUUUUUGCCUGGUUUCCACUAAAUAGAUAAGAUAUAUUUCUCAGAUAAGCAUGUAUGGAACCGGGCAACUUUCUUCUUCUUUAUAAAAUGCAGAACCCCUUGGCUCUCUCAAGGUAGUACUCGGAAAAAAGUAUACUGCUUUGUGUCCGGUUUAUUUUUAAAUGUAGAGGAUUGUGCAUGAUUUAUAUCAGCUAAUAAACCGCAUGACCAUUUUUCAGUUCUAAUUUCCAGAGCUCUAGGUAGUGUGUACUAACUUUGUUUUGGCAAAUGCGAGGAGAGCCACGAGAAGCCAAGUGCCACUUGAUAUAGUAGAUCAAACAACCUACGAGGCUAAAAACUUUCUACUUCUUAAUCAAGGUCAAAAUAGUUCACGGAAACAAUCAAAAUCUCUAUUCCUAAUGUCUCAAUUGGUAGGUCGCGUUCCGGGUUUUAUUUUCGUCCCACCAUUUUUGUCCUACCAUUUUCGUUCGGUUUUUUUUCGCUUGUUUUUUUCGCCCCCCACACCCCACCAGACGCAUACACAAAAAAAACCCGCACAAACACCUCUCGUAUCGAUCCCCUCGAGGAGAAGCCGUCGCCCCCAUCUCCCGUUCCGCCGCCGCCGCCCCCCACCUUGCCCUAUCUCCCUCUCAGCCACCUCCGCCGCCCCCACGCUUCUCCUCACCACAACAGAUCCCUUCGCCGUCGCCCUCGCACUCGCACCAAGCCGCCGCCGAUCCCUGCGUCGAUCCUUCGCUGCCGCCGAUCUCGUCGCUACAUCGACGGCAACCAGGGGUCGUCCUCCGCCCAGCCGCAGUGGAGAUCAAGCAGGAGUCCUCCAAGGACGACUCCCGCGGGAUCAUCCUGAUCCUGUUCGAGAAGUUCGGCUUCUCCCACCGCGGGUCCGUCUCCAUCGCGCUCACCGGCGCCAGGGCUGCCUCCAAGCUCGCCAAGCCGGACUCUUCGCAGCUCGGCUUCUUCCUUUGGUGAUAUAGAAGAUGAAAUUGUUUGUUCUUGUAUUCUGUUACAUGGUUUGGUUUUGUUAGCCAGAUUCAGUCUUUCUUUAUCUCAGCUGAGGUUGAUGUGGGUUUAUUGGCAGAUUAUUUACAAAAGAAAUUGUUUGAGGUCAAGAGUUGAUGCCAAAUGUCCUGGAUCAGGACAACUCCUGGGAAACAAGGCGAACGGUAUGUGCGUGCAAAAUUGAAAAUUGUACUAGAUAUGUGUAGUUUGCUCCAGGAUCCUAUAUCAGUGUAUUUGCUUCGUGCAGUUCCCUAUGUCAUCCAUUAUAUUUAUAUAGGGAUAAAUUUCCACGGGUUGUUGUAAGCAAAACUCCCUAUGUACCGGCACUUGUCUCUUUACAGACUGUCCGGGCUUUCUAGAUUAGAAUAUAAUUGUUUUAGAUAAUUCGAAAUAAGUUUUUACGCCAGCUUGCACCUUUAUUAUUUGCAGCCGGGAAGUCUAUUUCUUUUCUUUUUUUUGAUUCAAAACUAUUGGCAUGAAUUGGCCCUUGCAUUUGGUCUGAGCACUUACAAUAAUUCCAACCUGUCAAUUGGGGACAGAUAUGUCCAUCACACCUGUACCUUUUAUUCAGUUUGAGGAGGAAUAAGUAGUCAAUUGGCUGAUUAAUUAUGUUUCAUGUGAUUUGUAUAUGGACGCAGUUGCAACAGUUAGCUGCAUCAACUAUAAUUUUUCUUUCGCUGGCGGGGCAUGCAUCCCGACGAGUUAUACAAUUUAGCUGAUUUAAUUCGUGGCCUAACAAUACUUUUGGUAAUAGUUGUCAAGUAAAAAAGGAUCUGCUUUUUCGUAAUGAUGGCCAAAUAAAAGAGGAUCCAAACCCUCACGAGUUUACAUUGUACAAAGCUAUUAUGUGCUGACAAUAAUUUUUCUAAGUUGCUCUCUACAUCUCGGUGUUAUUAGUCUAAAUAUUCUGAUUCCAAAGGAUGUUUUCAAACAUCAGAUCUUUUAAUAAAUUUGAAACAACAUAUCUUUCUAAUUUUGGUUCUGUCUAAAAUGAUGAAAUUCAAUUUUGUUCUACUGCAUAUUAGCUUAAUCAUCUUCACCAGCAGUAUAUAUUGCAGAUAAUUGUGUUGGUUUGGUUUUUAGCAUGUAGGUAUGAUAUGGUAAGCCUCCAGUGAAGGAGGGGCUUAGAAAAAGAGAAACUGUUCUAUUUGAUAUACAAUGUAAUUUGGAAAUUAAUGGCAGAAGGCUCCUAAACUAACAUAUGAUGUUUUGUUUGAAUUUCUCUUUACCGGAUUGUGUUACUUCUGCGCAGUCACCAUACUUGACAAGGGUCCCUGAUUUUAUCACUUCCGUUGACGAGUCUUGUGUCAGCAUCUUGAUGCGAGGUACAACUUCUAGGUGAUCUUCUUCAUGUUUUACGUUGUUGUACUUUUUGCUGCAAUGUGGACGUACAUAUUCUAGCAGAUAUAUCUUCAUGCUUUACCUUGUUUACCACUGCCCUGAUGUGGAGGUACAGAUUCUAGCUGAUAUAUAUCGUCAUGUUUUACCUUUUACCAACAUCCAAGAUUUUUGUUUCCUCAUUUCUUUCAAUUAGAUAGAAGAUGGGACGUGCUUUGUUGUAGUUUCCUCUUACUUUGACUAAGUAGGACAUUUUUUUGAAAUACCAAAUUGUGGUGUCGCUACCCCUACGCACCACGGUUUUGCAGCACCCUCAGCUAAAGUAAACCAUUCCAAGCCUACCAUACUCGAAACAUGGAAGCAUGCAAACUUCAGAGCAUCUUGGUGUCGCUGGCCACCCGAUCUCUACAACCACCACAAAAUGCUACAGGACCAACCAGGCCGGUGUCCUGACCACUGAAUCAUGUCACUGUGUGGGCGCCUAGAUCUCCCAUGUGUCUGUCUAAAGCCUGAGGGGCCAACCUCGCUCGAGCGUCGCCAGCCAGCACUCAUCUGCACAUGAACAAAUGGUUGGAUAUAUGUGCCUCCUCCGUCUCUUAUUCCCCGAAACAUAAUUUGAUGAGUAGAGUUUCUAAUCAUUUAUGGCACACUGGCAUAUGAUUAAACUGCACAAGUUAGAUUGACAUUUUGUGGAGAACGGUCGUCGGUUGGGAGCCUCGCCGUCUACCUCCACCAGCCGGCCCACACACCAUUGCUCCCCGCGUGUCGCGCCCCUCCCCGAACCAUCAUGCCUUCUAAUUAGUGUACGUGGUAGUCUGGUAAAAGUGGAGAAUAAUUCGGGUAAUGUCUAUGGAUGUACUACCAGUAUUGCGGCUAACCUGCCUGGCAGUGAGAUGCAUCUAGAUUAGAUCUGAUUACUGAUAUAGAAGAUGCAAUUAAUUAUCUAAAAUUUUCCUUGUACCAUUUUCCAUGAGAUUAAUGUAAUUGGGAAUACCAGUGCUUGUUUGAAUCAUUUAGUUAAAUAAUUUUAUAGAUAAAACUUGUAUUUGUAUGUUUUGGAAUUACUAUUAUCCUGGUAAAAUGACCACAAGUGAAAGGGUUGUAAAGAUUAAUUAUUCUUUGUGGAAGCAUUACUGGUCUAAUUAAUAGAUGUACAUGCAUCAAUAAUGUUGUUGAGCUUUAGUUGAUUCUAUAGUGUUGUACUAUUCGCAAAGUUCUAUUUUGAGAAAAAAAUGGCAAAUUCAAUAUUGUGCCAGCUAAAUGGCGCACCCGCUGUAGCAAGUGAGUUCCCAUCAAAAUCACCCUGAGCAUAUUUUUGCUGAUUUUCAUGAUUGCUCUUCUGCCAGGAACAAUGUUCCUGGCACUUCGACCACACAACUGUAUGUUCAUGUUCCAGUGUCCUUAUUCAUAGUUAAUUUCAAUCACAAAGUGACAAAUGUCAGUCUAUUAGUUAACAUGUGUAUCUCCGUUUCUUCUAAGUUUCAAUCGACCUACUCUGAAGUUGUUCCUAAGAUAGUGCCUCAAGCAAAGGGAAUGAGCCUCAGUUAGUGCAUCUAGCAAGUUCGUGAUCCUUUGUUGGGAUAAACAUUUGUGCAAGAGCAAUAGUCUCGUCACUAUUGGUUGUUAGUACUGUUGCUUGUUAAUUCUACUUUUUACUUCAGUUCGUAAUGCAAUAUAGUUAUGCUUGACGCACUAUAAGAAGACUGCCAUUUUGCCUUUUGACCUUGGUUUCUUCCUCCAGUAAGUAAAUGCACAUAGUUCUUUUGUAAAUUAGAGCAUACGACUUGUUGAUCGAUCUCUGAGCUCAGUAAUAAUAUUAAGCCUCAAUCUGUUUAUUGUGCACACAAGAUGAGAAAGAAUUGCUACCCAAGAAUAUGUACUUUAUAAACAUUUCAACUGUAAUCUGGAAAAAAAUUAAAUAAAUAAGGAAACAGUAUAUUCAUAUAUCUUUUUUGUACUUUGAUGGUGUCACACCACAAGUUCCGAGAUGGUAAUUGUGCUGCAUAUGUCUGCUCUCUUACUUUGUUUUUCUGAACAGGUAGGUUCUGGAAGAUGUCAUGAAGAAUUUCUUUCAGAGAAUUUGCGUGAGGAGUGUCUAAAUGAUUUUUAUCUUCUGAACAUAUUCUUGUAUGACUAACUGAAUUCAUUUUUUCAAAACGUCGGUACUUUUCCUUUUUCAUUUAUGUUGCUCGAUUGAGUCCACAUGCCUGCCCUUACUGAGUUUGCUCAAGAGUAAGAUAAACUUGAUAUUUAUGUUUGUCGGCAGCAGCGUGACUAGCUGAUCUGUAGCGGCGCGGAAGGUGAGCUUGGCUGCAGGUAGCAGCUCCUUUGGCUGAUCUGCGGCGAUGCAGAAGUUGGGUUGGAAAGAAGCACGACCGGCUGCUCUGAAGUGGGACGUAGGGAGAGCUUCGUAAGAGAUAGGGAGGGAGCUCUAUUGGCCCGUGCAUGACAUCCAACCCAAUGGCAUCAUGCCCUGGUAAGCUUCUUAUCUGUUCCAAUUCUUGCACUUGGUCUUUUUCUUUCUAACCCUAAAAAUAGAGUGUGCCUUGAUUCCUAAUCAUGCUUUAAAAGCUGAUAUCCACCUCGUUUAUCUUGCUACUAGUGGUAAUGUGUGCAAGUAUGAUUUUGUGAUAAUGCCAGAUGUUGUGUGCCUUCUUUAUUCAUGGUACGAGUACUCUAACCUGGCUCGUAUGAUAAUGUAUCACUGCUAUAGAGCACAAACGACGUGUUUUUUAAUUAUAUUUUAGUUGACAUGGAUUUCAUUUAUCUUGUGAAUUGUAUAGUCAGAUCAUGAAUUUUUAUGAUUGAUUGAUUUUCAUGGUCACAGGUAGGCAUGGUUGUGUGGCCACGGGGAAAAUGGAGCAAGUAGCAUGUGAGGAGUUUAACAAAUGGGGACAAGGGACAGUUUAGUUAAUUAAGGCUCUAUGUUAGUUUCAAGUUUUAUCCUUGUUGCGGUAAAAAAUUAUGGUUGGAUUAACCACCAUGUACAUCUUUAAUUACUUUUAAAUAAGAAAUAUAAUCAAAAUAUUCUUUUGAAUUGAUAAAAUUUAUAUAAUUUGUACAAGUACAUGAAGGUGGAACAGGAGGAAGGGUGGGAGAAGAUUAGAUAUCGUUUCAUUUUCUUGCAAGGAAAGGAUGGUUACGAAGAAAUGACAAGAAAUGGAGGGACAAUCAGUUUUAUUACUGUAUGGAUGGAAACCACAUGCCAGCUUGUCCAACAUAUUUCUACAUUGAGUCAAUUAUUCAAUCGCUAUAUUUUUUUUAUUCCAUGGCAAUGCAUGGUCAUUCAACUAUUCAAAUUUACGGGUUAUUCAUCCACUUUUUUCAAGCUAUUUACAUAUUUGUCACUUGUCAGCAAGUUUGCAUAUGAUGCUAGGAAGUGAACAUAAGGACACAUAAACGUUGCAUUUUGAAUAUGAAAUAAACUCAACAUCCAAAUACCAGAUUCGAUGCUCUGUCCAUCAGAGAGCAGGAAAUGUAAGGAUCCUUCUAAAUAAGAUAUUACCUAUCUUGAAGCUGGAAAUGCAAGAAUUCUUCUAAAUAAGAUAUUAGUUAUCUUCAUGAUGGAAAUGCAAGCAUCCAAAAUUUACAACAAUAUUUCUAAAAACUGAAAACAAGCUUGCAAUCUUGAUAUAAGAAUGAAACAUAAGCAACAUCACAGAGUUUGCUAUUUCUUUUUAAACAUAAUUACCAACAAGUGAUAUACAGGUGAACUUGCAGUUUAUUCAAAUUGGAAUGCGGCUCACUCUACUAAAAAGGACGAUGUCACUCACUCCGAGUAAAAACGGUCAUCUACUCACAUUUAACAUCUGACCAAUGAAUAUAUAUUGUAUAUGAGUUUUCUAUUUUUUUAUUUUAAUAUUGUUUGUAUGUUUACUUUUGUAGAUCAAAGAUCAAAACUGAUGGCUUUUUAUUGACAAAGCUUUAUGGUGAACCAGACUGAAAAAUCAUCGGGUUUUACACAAUCAGAAGAGAUGCAUACAAAUAAUUGUUCUUUAUAUAUUUGUUGUGCAUGAUAAUACAAAAGGUAUGUUUCUAUACAUAUUUAUUUUUGCAGAGUAUGAAAGAGAUGGAGAUGGAUUAUGUCAGCGUUCAAAAAGAAUCCAUCGACAAGGGUGUUGAGGCAAUGUCAUUGGAAGAGCCCAAAAAUUCAUUAAGAUUUUGUACAACAAAAGGCCCGUGGCAACGCACGGGCAUUGUACUAGUAAUAGUAGUUACCAUGUCCUGCAAGAAAUAUACAAUGGAUGUUCAUGUAUAUCUAUAAGACUAUAACUAAAUGCAGCACAUAUAUCAUUCCAGCUCCAAACUUGAAAGCAAUAUAUAAUUUACGAACAUUACUCCACUGCCAUAGAAUCUGCAAUUUCGAAUAUAAUCUUUCAGAUCGAGAACCAUAUUCUGACAUGGCACUCAUAUUUUACUGUAUGAAUAGUACAAUGAAAUUUGAAUAACACAACAGUAAAAGGUUCACAUGUGAUAUUCAUUAGGAAUUUGUGCCAGAUAACAAACAUUUAUGGUGCCCCUCAUUAUGACUAACUUCUUCAACAUGAGCAUACUCUCAUGGAUUAAGAGGCCACAAAAACUCCUGAACUGAAAGGUUAUCAAUGAGUGCCACGAAAGUCAAGCCAACUAACACUCCCUCAUACUGUAUGCCAUGACAUAAAACAUUAAGAAGAGAUGUUUGAAGUAGUACCUCUCUCAUAAUAAGGGGGGACACUAACUACUUUGAGCCAUAAAAGAAAACUGGCGUAGUCAAGUUAGCUCCGAGCAGUCAAUACAUUGCAGGAUAAUUUGAAGUUCAUAUCUGCAACCACAUCAACAUAUGAGAUAAAAUGGUCAGAUACAGAAUCGUGUACAACUCAAAGUACGUUUACACUAACCAUUCUGUAGAAAGAAGAUAAAUGUCUAUGCAUGUUCUAAUUUGUAUUUAGUGCAAUUAAACUUUGUCUAGUAGAAAAUGUUAGCAAUUAUGUCAAGACCACUACGACACUACUGGUCUCUCCAUGUAAUAAAUCAAUAAACUCUACUCUCUUAACAAUCUAGAACUGCACAAUGAACACUACUGAAGAAAAAUGUAAAACUUGGUCAAUGAAAAUAAAUACACGGGUUGAUGACCCUUAAACGAAUAGUAAACACGAGAGAACGAACACUUAUUUCAGGUAGAGAAACUUGUCCCAUAAUGCUUCGCAUGGUUUUGAUCACCCCUAUAUAGUCUGUCAAGCAUGUAUCUAACUGUUUCAAAUAUAUACAUAGCAGCGUUCAUCUUAACACCAGCUUUAGCUUCACAAAAAUUCUUAGCUCGGUUAAUCUGCAUAAACCAUGAAAUCUAUAGGAAGUUAAAUGUGUUAAGCUGAAAAUAAUAAUACACUGGGAGGUUUGAUGUUAAUUAAUAAACUAAAAAAUGGAGUGCAUUCAAAUGGACAAAAAGAAACACAUAAGAGACUAUUACCUUCUUUGAUAGUAGAGAAGCACUAUCAAUAAUCUCAAUAAAACUACAUAAUAUUCAGUUCCGAAAGGCCGAAGCGAAGCUUGUAGCCUUUUUUUACUGGGACUAUGGUGGCUUACGCCAGCCUGAACCACUUCAUAAAACUGAGAACUAUACAAAGUCCAAUGAGUACACAGGGAUUAAGAGAAAUAAUAGAAGGAAAAAAUUAAAAUCUCCCAGAUAGGUGAUACAGUAGAGUACUCCAAUCCGUAAGGUGCCAUUUAUUAAUUCCAUGUGAAUACCUAUUGGACCAAGGUAUCAAUCAUCAGCAAUCUUGCUAGCAGUAAUGUGCAAUUCCUCAAAAACAUCCUGGGAGACCUUGGAGUUUUUGCGCUUCCAUAUAUUCCAGAGGACAAUGAUAACAACAUUAUAGAGUGAAUCUUGUCGAAAUAAUUUUUCCAAGAGAUCUUUGACUGAAUCAACAUUGAGUGGAUGAAAACUUUGAAGUUCAGAUCAAACCAAAGCUAGGGAGGAGCAACUGAUUAACAUAUGAGGAGUAGUCUCAGAUUCAUUCGAGGAAGGACAAUGCCCGGACUGGCUUAUGAGCACUAUACAAUCAAGCCAUCCCACUUUACCUAUCAAAUUGAGUACAAUCCUACUAUCAGCUGCAAUCGACACUGUAUAUCAGGAGCAAUCAGCAGUCUACAUAUAUCAUUAGCAGCAGAUCAAGCAAUCAGCCACACACCCCAAUUAUCUCUCGUAUGUUCUCACCACAGCAUGGCCCAGCGCUGCCUCAGUAAUAUGAUAUACAAAUCAGAUCAUAGUAUACGCUCGUUCAGAAGAGCGGAUAAAAAUAAUUUAACAAAUUUCAAUGACCCUAAUUGAGAUCAUCUAGGUUCAGAACUAUCUGAUGUGAAAUAAAUGAAGAUAAAUUUCAGCAAGGAAUAAAGUAAGCUGGUUGCAGCACAAACAUUGUUAGUUGUACAUAUGUACAUCAAGAGUGAUAAGCAUUAAGUUUCCUAUUUAAUAGUUCAUACUAUUCUGAUCGGAGAUUCAGAGUAGGUGGUGGUGCUGACCAUGGGAGGAGGAACAGACGCCCUGAAGAAAAAGGUCAGUAUUUUUUAAUUAUGAUUUCAAUUUUAGUGGUAUUCAGACAUUCACUUGAUCCAAAUACCUCUAAUUACUCGAGAACAUUCAUUCUACUGGACUAAGAUACUAUAUAUAAACACAGAGAAACAAUUAUAUUUAGGCACACUAAUAGGAGGGCCUACUAUCUAACAAAGUUCAAUGAGUAUAGAUCAAGCUUUGCAUAAUCAGAUAGAAAGAGUAUAAGUGGUAUAACUGUACUUGGUAGCCUACAAUAAAAUCUUGUGUGAAGUGGAGAAGAGAAACUAAAAGAUGAGCUAAAAGACAAAGCCGCAAUAUAAAUAGAUUAAUUAAGGUUAAGUAAAAUCUAAUCAGCACCAUGAUUCGACAACCAAGAAAUCAAAGUUUGGGAGUAUCACUCCUAAAAAUGUUUUCCUCGCCCACAUAAAAAAGACAAACAUCACAGCGAAUGAGGUCGGAACCUGGAUAAUAUAAAUGUGUUCAAAAAUUAGUGAAGGGUGCAUCUGAUGCACUACAGGAUUUCAUAAUCUAUUAACUCUAUGCUCCUUUAUGUUGUCAAGAUUUUAGACGAUGUUCUUCCUAAUGUAACAACUGACUUUGUAGAAAAAAAANNNNNNNNNNNNNNNNNNNNNNNNNNNNNNNNNNNNNNNNNNNNNNNNNNNNNNNNNNNNNNNNNNNNNNNNNNNNNNNNNNNNNNNNNNNNNNNNNNNNNNNNNNNNNNNNNNNNNNNNNNNNNNNNNNNNNNNNNNNNNNNNNNNNNNNNNNNNNNNNNNNNNNNNNNNNNNNNNNNNNNNNNNNNNNNNNNNNNNNNNNNNNNNNNNNNNNNNNNNNNNNNNNNNNNNNNNNNNNNNNNNNNNNNNNNNNNNNNNNNNNNNNNNNNNNNNNNNNNNNNNNNNNNNNNNNNNNNNNNNNNNNNNNNNNNNNNNNNNNNNNNNNNNNNNNNNNNNNNNNNNNNNNNNNNNNNNNNNNNNNNNNNNNNNNNNNNNNNNNNNNNNNNNNNNNNNNNNNNNNNNNNNNNNNNNNNNNNNNNNNNNNNNNNNNNNNNNNNNNNNNNNNNNNNNNNNNNNNNNNNNNNNNNNNNNNNNNNNNNNNNNNNNNNNNNNNNNNNNNNNNNNNNNNNNNNNNNNNNNNNNNNNNNNNNNNNNNNNNNNNNNNNNNNNNNNNNNNNNNNNNNNNNNNNNNNNNNNNNNNNNNNNNNNNNNNNNNNNNNNNNNNNNNNNNNNNNNNNNNNNNNNNNNNNNNNNNNNNNNNNNNNNNNNNNNNNNNNNNNNNNNNNNNNNNNNNNNNNNNNNNNNNNNNNNNNNNNNNNNNNNNNNNNNNNNNNNNNNNNNNNNNNNNNNNNNNNNNNNNNNNNNNNNNNNNNNNNNNNNNNNNNNNNNNNNNNNNNNNNNNNNNNNNNNNNNNNNNNNNNNNNNNNNNNNNNNNNNNNNNNNNNNNNNNNNNNNNNNNNNNNNNNNNNNNNNNNNNNNNNNNNNNNNNNNNNNNNNNNNNNNNNNNNNNNNNNNNNNNNNNNNNNNNNNNNNNNNNNNNNNNNNNNNNNNNNNNNNNNNNNNNNNNNNNNNNNAUAUACGGCUGCGCUAUUCUGAGCGUGCGCGCAUUUUUAGUUAAUCUACGCGCCGGCUGCUGCUCCUAAUCACGCGCGGCUGUGCGGGUCGCGGAGAAGGAAGAUUUUGAGGGUAAUGGCAUGUGAAAAAUAAAGUAACGUGCUUUAUUUCUAUUACCAUGUGUUGAUCUGAUCUUGCGUCACUAUUGAUUGCUAGUAAUAUAGUAAGUACGGAUGGUAAUGGACCUAGUUUUCUUACCGGAUGUAAAACAGUGACUACUCAUUGCUAGUAAUAUAGUAAGUAUGAAUGGUAAUGGACCUAAUUCUUUUACCGGCAGCGAGAUGUGAAGGAUUCAUCCAUAAUCAUUGUCAGUAAUAGAUUAAUUGUAGGUAGUAAUAGACAUAGGUUUUUUUUACCGACAAUAAGACAACGAUGUUACACAUAGAGCAGUUUUGGUCGUAAGUGUUAUGAUCAAUUUUUUUCUCACGUCGCCCACGCACUUCGACCCGGUUAGCGCGUCGGCCUAAAUAGCGCAUACUGAUUGGCUCACUCGAAGCGGCCGGAGCGUAGGACAGGGUAAACUAAGUAAGGCACAUAGUAAUGCUCCAAUGAAAACUAUUGCGAGGAUGUUUCUUCUAGUAAAUGCUUGAGAACAAAAUCAAACUAGUAAAAGAAUUUAGUUCUAGUAAUAAGAGGCGCCCAAUGCUAGAUCUGGAAAACCAUUAUUAUGUAUAGAUGUAUAUCAUGUUGAUUGUUCUUAGUAGUCGUUUCAGUUAUUGUAUUAAUGAUAAGUAAUUUAUUUUAUAAAACAAUUUACUAGAAUGUACGCAUAUAAUUGUCAUAUUUACUACUUCGAGUGAAGUGUUUACUACCAUCCAUUUUACAAUUUAUAGAUAACAUAUUACAGACUGCUUGUCACGAAGAUCAUGCAAUCUAAUUAUUUUAAAUCUAAUACCAGUACGUGUGGAGGUCAAAUUGUAGUGAAAGAUUACGUCAUAUACCAGCACUUUAUUAUUUUACCAUAAAAGCAUGGCAAUUCACUAAUUAAUGAAGUGGAGAAUCUGAGUAGUAAUUCAAUUACUGUGGUGUACUACUUCUGCUUAGUAAUUUACGAUCAAAAUAGAUCAUGGUGCAUGCAGGUCAUUCUGCUCUCUCUCGGUCGGCUCAGGAUUACACUUGCUAACCGCUUAGGUGCGCUUAGAGGGUGCAGCGCGUAGAAUAAGGUGAUCUGCGCUCAGGCACAGUUUAGCAAAGCUAUAUAUAUAUAUAUAUAUAUAUAUAUAUAUAUAUAUAUAUAUAUAUAUAUAUAUAUAUAUNNNNNNNNNNNNNNNNNNNNNNNNNNNNNNNNNNNNNNNNNNNNNNNNNNNNNNNNNNNNNNNNNNNNNNNNNNNNNNNNNNNNNNNNNNNNNNNNNNNNNNNNNNNNNNNNNNNNNNNNNNNNNNNNNNNNNNNNNNNNNNNNNNNNNNNNNNNNNNNNNNNNNNNNNNNNNNNNNNNNNNNNNNNNNNNNNNNNNNNNNNNNNNNNNNNNNNNNNNNNNNNNNNNNNNNNNNNNNNNNNNNNNNNNNNNNNNAGAUGGGCUAAUGCUUGCACUGGAGACCUUAAUAUAAAAGAAUAAAGGCCUUAAUAUGUGUAAUCUGCAUUCAGGGCCGUCCCACAGAUAUACGGGCCCGGGGCAAGACAAGAAUAAGGGGCCCUUCUUGAGAAAUAAAAGCUCAGUUUUUGUUUUCAAAAGCAAUGUAAUAUGGAUAUCCAGUAUAUGGCAUAGAUUAGUGAUCUUUCGACUCUAAGACUGGCAAUACCACUAUUUAUCGAUCAAGAGAAAUGCAUCGGGAUAGUAAUGAAAUAAUAUAGCUCGACAAAAUAUCGAUUUCCUAAUUGUCAAUAGAGACAUCAAUUUUUUGGCACAACAAAUGACCUUGUAAAAACUGGUUGCUACUUAAUCAUAUGUGUUACCAUGAGAUAUAAAAUUAAUGCAUCAACUUACAUUUGUUCUGGAUCCUCCCCCAAUCUGCCAUGUUCUUCACCCCAAAAUUCGUCACCCGAAUAAUAAUUCACCUCUUCCAAACUAUCAUAUAUAAGGCAUAGCAAAGCGAACUGUGUAUUUCAUGUCAAUACUAUGAUGACCAAUGGAGAUUCCCUCGAAGAAUUCUAGUUUUGAAAAAGUUAACAGUAAUUGUCCCUUUUGAGAUUAUACUGCUAGACAAAUAAUUUCUUGAAGACAAGUCAGUAAACAAGCUGCACAAAAAAUGGUUAAUACAGGGAUCAAAAGCACCUGGGUAUUGAUUGAUGUGGAUGUAGAAGGCUUGAUCCGUACGCCGCAGUAGUCAGCACGAACAAAGAAGACGACACCAUGAAGUGGAUAAAACUUCUCCCUUCUCCUAGACUACUCCUGAGCCCUCUCACAUUUGGAUCCAAUGAAGAGUGGAAGAAGAUCCAUGGAGAUGUAGCGGAUGUGCGACGUUUGAAUCAUGCGCAGAGCUAUUUAUCAAAGAAUCUUUGAAUUAAAGAAGGAGAUUACAGGAAAGAAGAACAUGUACUUUCCUGGUCUCUCCAAAGUCUAGGAAACGGCCAGAGCGUUUUUUUUGAAACGCGGCCAGAGCGUUGAGGAAGGAAGGAGAGCUGAUUGGGGAAUGAUUUGCGCCGUAGCUAUUCAUUAAUGACUAGCCACGAAUCGAGCGGGGACGCCGUGUCCGGGAUUUGGCGAAGCAGAGGAGUCGCGGGUCUGGGGUCCAGUGCAAACAGAUUGAUUAUCGAUCAAUUCCUUCGUCAGGUUUGCCUAAUGGGCUUUUCCUUGCACGGUUCCUUGGACAUUGUUUUUUUUUUCGUGUAUUUUCUUUGGGCUCCAUGAAGGUAUACUAUCUGGGCCGGGCCCCCUGCCUCCUCGGAGCCCAGGGCGGGCGCCCCGUUUGCCCGGCCUAUGGGCCGGGCCUGUCUGCAUUAGAGUAAAUAAUUUUCUAUGCUGAGUUUCCAAAUCAUCUCCAUAAUUGAAAACCUGGAUGGCUUCAAUUUUAAAAGGAAUAGCCUACGACUAUGAGAUGCUAAGCAUGCUUUGCAUCUGACCGAACUUCUCUGAACCAUAUACUCAUACUAUAGCCAAAAAACCAUUUGCACACGUACGUGAUAAAUUAUGACAUUUGUUGGCGAGGAAACGACAUGAAAAGCUGCUGCUACAGACUGGGUUAAGUGAACAGAACAACAAUACCAAAUCGAAACAAAAAUAAAUUGUACUAUCAUUAAAAAGAAUCCAUUGUAAGAGCUGCUACAGAUCUUGAAGUACGGUAGCAGUAUUCAAACACCAACAUCGAGCACCUUCAGCGAGAGAUCCGGAUUAAAACACCAACAUCGAGCACACAUAUAUUUGAUAGCUCCACUCCAAAAGUAUGAAAUUCCUCAAGUUGAAUACCUAGAAACAAAAGGUGAAAUAAGGAUCUCUUUUGGACAUAUCAACAAAAAGAGGAAAGGUUAUGUUAGAGACCAAUCGAAAUCAUCGAAAGUUCAGCACAUCAGCCUUUCAGCAUAUGUACAUGCAAAGCAACUCUUUCUCGGAGUGAACUCCGAACUCUUCUGUCACACCGAGACGGUCUAUACAGGUGCCGCCGCCGCCGGCGACGCCCUACCACAGAAGAUCGUCUUCGAGUCUCGAGUUGCCGCACCCAACCCCAAGGACCUGCAGCACCACAACACCCAACAUACGUGACGGCAAGGUGUCGUGCUUCGAUGGCAGCGAGUCCCCGGCCGUGGCAGGGUGCCCCUUUGGUAGCAACGCAGCGCCGUCGGCAGUGGGCAUCCCGAUGCCAUGAAAAAGCAAAGAAGAAAUGUAAAGUGAAACUGAUGGAAAAAUCACAAGAACAAUAAGUAAGACAUACCAUGAAAAAGUUGAGGGCGUACUUCUUGUCCAUUCAAUGUAGUUUUCUUCCCAUUCACGCCAACCCAUCUCUCUCUCAAGAUUGGCUGAUCAAUAAUGCACAUAACCUAAAUAAAAGAAAAAUAGUCAAUGGCAAGUGUUAUAGAACAAAUAUCUAACAUACAUGACGCAAUUAGACAACAUGUCCAGAAGAGACUUCAGCAUAUAAAUGAUAUGCUGAAAUUAAACAAAAAAUAUUUUACAGGUUGCAUCAAAUAUGUCGCAGCAGUAGUUAGUUGUUGACAGUAUCAUUAAAAUGAAGCUAAAUGACUCGGUACAUGUAACAAUAUAUGGUAGGCUGCUAUCCAGUACAGUUUCCUUCAGGUAGUAGUGAAGAAAAAUGGACAAAAAGAAGGAGAGCUGAUAUGAGAAAGAGAAAAUUAGCAUACCGGCAUGAGCUAUAAUUCGAGUGCUAGUUCAACAUACAUAGACCCAAUAGAGCAAAUCGUUGUGCAUGUUUCACGCAUCUAAAAAAAAUAUAGUUCAAUUGAGAGAGUCACCAGAGUACUUUAUAUGGUCUUUCUGCACUUUUUCUUGUCGAAGUAAUAUAACUUGGUGGAGGAACUCAAGAUUAGCCGAUCCAGUUUACUUCAAUAUGCAGGGCACUCACACAAAUAACUUUAUGAAAGAAACUGUAGCUGUCCUUAUGGGAUGCACAUCUAUACCUGUACCGCUGGUCCGCUGCACGAGCUCACCCUUGGCGGCGACCUGUAUGACACGAAGCACAUGUUCACGACGGAGUAGAUGUAUUGGUCACCAAGUGCAGGGGAGCACAUGCACGAAAUGUCUUCGAGUCGCGAGUUGCCACACCCAACCCCAAGGACCUACAGCACAACAACACGCAACAUAAGUGGCGGCGAGGUGCUGUGCUUCCACAGAGCUGACGCCCGAGCUCUCCAAACAAAAGUAUUCUUAUUUGAAUAAGGAUGAGCAUGAGCAUGAGCAUGAUCAAGAAUAUAAUUGAAUCAGAUGGUGUUUCCAAUAUAACUGAAUAUAACAAGAAUGAGCAUGAUCAAUAGCAGAUUGAAAUGGCUAAACAGACAACCACCAUCUUCCCGAAUCAACGAAGACUACACGGCAGGGAACGAAGUGCUCAUGGAACCAGCCAAAAUUCACACCAUCGGACAUGGAUGCCUCUACCGGCGGCGGAUAGGACGAGAGGCCGGGUAGAUUCGUCCCCGCGAAAUUCCGCACAACCGUGGCUGGAUCCUACGAGGUCGUCCUCAUUGCCGUCGGAUUCAUCCACGUACAUCACGGUAGGGGGAGGGCGCGAGAAGGUGAGCAUCUUCUCCUCGGUGUAUGUAGAAUAGCAUUUUUAGAUAAAGAGAAGGGGAUGAGCCUACACCAAUAUAUCACGAGCGGAACGUACCGACGAUGGCCGCUGCCGGAGUGGAUCGGAGAAGGGGAUGAGCCUAUGGGCUGGGUUCUCUGCCCGUCGCGCUGAUGGUCGACCACGGCAGAGAUCGGGAGCCCUCUUUCUCGGCGAAGAGGCGGCGGCUUGGCGUGGAGUCCGAAGCGAGGGGUCCAAAGGCGACCGACGAGGGAAGCAAGCGCGGAGCAGCAGGACGCUGGGCUGGUUGACGAGCUCCUGUGUGGCGGCGGCGCAGGAACCCUAACGCGUGCGAGGAUAUCGGCGGCAGAGGCUGUGAACUCCGGAUCACAAGACGGCGGGGCUGAGGCGAGAUCCGGCAGGGCAUAUCGGUGGCGGCUUUGAUGUGGGAGGGCGGCGGCGAAGGGAUCGAGCGGUGGGGGCGAAGGGAUGGAGCGGCGGCGACGAAGGGAUCGAGCGUGCGAGUGGUUCGAAGGAAGGAGGAAUCGCUCGUAUACCUGCGUGCGAUUCGUUUUUGUCGCUGGUUUAAUUUCGUAGGUCUUUUUUCGUAGAUUUUUUUUCAUCCGGUUCUCUCUGUUUCGAUCGGAGGUUUGGCCCCUUGACUUCGUGGGGGCAUAGCUAAGCCAGCCCUUUUUUUUUGUUCGAUGGCCCGGGGGUUGGGUGGGAGGGAGCACGAAAAAAAAUCGGUGUUGGUGGGACAAAAAUUAACCGAUGAACAGAGACGACCAACUGAUACUUUAAGAGUAGAGAUUAUUAAUUCAAUUCUAUAUAUAUACUACUCCCUCUCUAAAGAAAUGAUAAUCCAAACACUCUUAUGUUUCUUUAUUUACGGAGGAAGUACUACUUGCCAAACCGGUUAGUGUAAAAAUAAUCAUCACUUUAUAUGUACAAGGUGAUGUUUUGUUUAUGGUAUUUGCAAAGCUUUAAUCAUGGACACUCACAGAUCCCUCCGUUUCUAAAUAUAUGUCUUUUAAGAAAUUGCACUAGUAGAAAACUAUAUACGGAGCAAAAUGAGUGAAUCCAUCCAUGUUCUAAAGUAUGCCUAUAUUCAUCCGUAUGUAGUCUUUUAGUGAAACCUCUUAAAAGACUUAUAUUUGGGAUUUCUUUUCUAAGAUACUAUAUUCUUUUGGCAUAUAUUCCCAAAAAGAGCGAAUACCUCCAUGUGACUGUAUUUCUCAAAAAAAAAACUGAAAGUAAUUGCAAGUUGUACCCGACUAGCACAGAAUGAGAAAACACUACCCAAGAUACAUAUCAUUUAAAAUCCAUUAAUAACACAUCCAAACAUAAAGGGUUGAUUCUAAACUGUUUGCCACGCCCCUAAGAAAUACUCAUCACAACAGCCUCGAGCUGGCUGAUAAGUCUACUCAUCAGAAUGAUUACGCUUACGAGUAUCACAGAAACGAACCGGGGUCUCCAACACAUCGGUGACCAGCUGGACCAGAAACAGGACACACUCCUUAAACAAGCGAGUGUUGUUAGCUUUGAGUACAUGAACAGCAGUAUCGUUUAGCAUCAUGCUCAGCCUUUUGACUUUGGCUGAGACCAGAUCCUCCUUGGCAAGCAAUACGCCCAAGGCUUCCUCAAAGCACUUCCUCAAAUGUAAGAGCUUACUUGCUGAGUUCUUAAUGAGUAGGAGGGCUUCCAGGGCACCCCGUUCCAGCUUACCCUCCUGAAGCUUGAGCUGGGGUAACACAUCAUGCUCGAGCUUUUGGAUUUCCAGCGACAAGCCUGCCACGUCCGAGAGGGAAUCCAGCUGCGGGCAUUCCCAGGACCUCGACUCCAUGAUCAGCGGGCGGAGGAGCGCAUACGACUCCCACGCUAUGCGCACCGACUCCAGAGAGACAAGACUCACAAGCAUGGACUUAUUGGAGUGGCCCAGCUCAUCGGAGCGGGCCUGCAGGUCUUGGAUUUGGGCAUGGGAGUGGAUUUUGUAGAGCAUCAUUUCCUUUUGGCGGCGAAGAAGACUGCAGCAGCAGAAACAGACAGCACAAACAGAGGAGGAUUUAAUGUCAGGAUUUAAUCCAGCUGCAAGUGUAGAACACCGUUGUUCUGGAAUCAAACGGGUGAAAGUUAAGUCUUUGGACCAGAUGUGCUCAGGAAUGCCGAGGAACAAGUCAGGUUGAUUAGAGAGAACUUGAGAGUGGCACAAACUCGUCAGAAGAGCUAUGCAGAUAAUCGAAGAAGAGAAUUAAUUUUCGAAGUAGGAGAUUAUGUCUAUCUGAAAGUAUCUCCUAUGAGAAGUCACUAAUAGAAAAGGGCCAUUUGUCCCGGAUAGGCCAUUUGUCCCGGUUCUGGAACCGGGACUAAAGGGUCGGGACUAAUACCCAAAACCUUUAGUCCCGGUUUGCUUACGAACCGGGACCAAAGGCCCUCCACGUGGCGCUGCCUGGGGCGGGGGAGGGAGGACCUUUAGUCCCGGUUGGUAACACCAACCAGGACCAAAAGGCGGCCACACGUCAGCAGCUCGCAGUCACUGGGGGUUUUGUUUUUUUUUGGAAGGGGGGGGGGGUUUGGGGUUUUGGAGGGUUAAUUUAGGGGUUUCAUAUUGUGUUAGCGAGCUAAUAGAGAAAAGUGACCUCUCUUUUUCCGUGCUUGGUCGACUCUAGCUACUACAAGAGAACUCGACGCUAGCUAGUAAGCAACUAAAGGAAACCAUUAAUUAACAAGAUCAUCAUGAACAUAUAUAGAGAAGUGACUUCUCUUUCUUCAUGCUUGGUCGAACAACAAGUUUUCGUAUAUCUAUCCGACGCUGCUACAUAUGUACAAUAUAUAACAUCCCUUACAACAAUUUCAAUUUCACAUGCUAUUCUCCUUGUUCAGGUAUGACGUGGUCAAGAAAGAAUCCCGCCAAUUCCUCUUGAAUUGCUCGUAUGCGAUCAUGUGGUAGGAGUUCAUCCCGCAUCUGCCAGAUAUAAUUUAAAGAAGCACUACUAGGAAAAUGCUUAUAGGUAGACAUUUAGCAGUAGCGUUGGUUAUAUAUCCCUCGGUACUGCUAUUUAGCAGUAGCGCCGGCCAGCACCAGCGCUACAAGCACAUGUUAGCAGUAGCGUUGGAUUUCACGGCCAGUGCUACUACUAAUGGGCCACUCUCUCGGCCCCCCGUUGCAGCUUUAGCUAUAGCGUUGGGCCUCCUCCCCCGCGCUGCCGCUAAGCCCACCUCUUCCUCCCGCACCGGCCCGCGCACCACCCCUCUCCCCUCACUCACACUCACACGCUCACACCACCAGAUCGAAUCCCCCAGCCGUCCCCUGAUCCAGCUGCCGCCCCCGCGUCCUACUCCGGCUGCCCUCCCUCGCGCCGGCCCUCCUCCCCUGCCNNNNNNNNNNNNNNNNNNNNNNNNNNNNNNNNNNNNNNNNNNNNNNNNNNNNNNNNNNNNNNNNNNNNNNNNNNNNNNNNNNNNNNNNNNNNNNNNNNNNNNNNNNNNNNNNNNNNNNNNNNNNNNNNNNNNNNNNNNNNNNNNNNNNNNNNNNNNNNNNNNNNNNNNNNNNNNNNNNNNNNNNNNNNNNNNNNNNNNNNNNNNNNNNNNNNNNNNNNNNNNNNNNNNNNNNNNNNNNNNNNNNNNNNNNNNNNNNNNNNNNNNNNNNNNNNNNNNNNNNNNNNNNNNNNNNNNNNNNNNNNNNNNNNNNNNNNNNNNNNNNNNNNNNNNNNNNNNNNNNNNNNNNNNNNNNNNNNNNNNNNNNNNNNNNNNNNNNNNNNNNNNNNNNNNNNNNNNNNNNNNNNNNNNNNNNNNNNNNNNNNNNNNNNNNNNNNNNNNNNNNNNNNNNNNNNNNNNNNNNNNNNNNNNNNNNNNNNNNNNNNNNNNNNNNNNNNNNNNNNNNNNNNNNNNNNNNCUCCCUCCCUCCCUAGUUAUAGUUAUUAGAGAGUAGUUAAUUAUUUUGAAUCCUAGUUGAAAAAAUGUAGGUUCUUAGAAUAAUGUAGGUGUUUUAGUUGAAUUUUUAGGUGUUGUAGUUAAAUUUGUAGGUGUUUUAGUUAAAAAUGUAGGUUCUUAGAAUAAUGUAGGUGUUCUUAGAAUAAUGUUGAAUUUGCUUUAAGUGUAUUUAAAAGAGUUUUAGGUGUUUUAGUUGUUUUAGGUGUAGUUAACAGAAUUUUAGGUGGUUUAGUUGUUUUAGGUGUGGUUAACAGAAUUUUAGGUGUUUUAGUUGUUUUAGGUGUAGUUAACAGAAUUCUAGGUAUUUUUUUAGUUAAAGCAAUUGUUGUUAUUUUUUUAGUUAAAGCAAUUUUUCCUGUUAUAUGCAAAUUUGUAGUGGACAUGUCAUAUUUUGAACAUGUCACAUUUUGGACAUGUCAUAUUAUUCCGAGUGGCCUAUGUUUUGCCAGAAAUGUCGAUUCGUUUACGUUCUGGCAAAUUUCAGGCGCUCGAUUGGUCCUGUUUUUAGCAAAGGUCAUGCCAAAUUUUCACGAGGGUAUGCUUCUCACCUUCGAUCUUGGUGAUCCUGACAUCGAUGAAAAUGAUAUGACCAUGUGGGUCCUUGUUGACACGCUUCCAGUUCUACCGUUGUGUGAGUUUCUUAAACAUAUUUACUAAGUAAAUUAUAUUGGUUAUUUCAAAAUAUUUGACAGCUUAUUUCCAUUGAAAGCUUAUUUUCAUUCUUCAAAAAAUGUACGGAAGAUGGUAGACAGAACCUACUACUACAAUGAUGAAGCACGAUUAACUUAUAAGGAGAAAGAUGGUCUGAUCACAUUUUUUACUGAUCUUGAGAAUUACAAUAGCUAUUAUCGAAUUCCUCAAAAUUAUGGUCCAUAUGUGCCACUAGUGCACGCGGUGUGCUACGGUAACAUCAAUGGAGAUAUCAUGGUAAGAUUUUGUACUAUUACGACGUUCGUGCAUCUUUUGCAUAAAUUUUUCUAAAACUAAACUACAUUGCUAACGACAAAGUUAUUACUAUGUUUUUGAACAGAAAAUCCCGAUGGAUUGUGUGCCUCAUCUGAUGUUGCCAAGAGGUCGCGUUGAUGUUAUGAGCUUACGGCCACCACGGCCAGGUCAGCCACAGUAUCCACAUCACUCCUGUCCAUACCGGAUUUCUAAAAGCGAGGAAGCCAUGAUAGUAAAAGAUUGGAAAAAAUGUUUCAACCAUCGUAGAGAGCUACUUGGAAGCAACAUUGUGCGUAGGCCAAGACUUGGAGAUAGGAUGAUCUCCGUUCUUCAUUAUGGAGAGUCCAGUUUCCUUAAUGAAGAGUCAAUGCCUAUCUUGUUUUAUGAUAUUUUACCUAAGAGAGGGUAGAGUAGGUCCUAUGAGAGGAGUAGGUCCUAGGUAGAAUAUGUUAUUAUGUGCUAUAAUGUGUAAGAGUUGAUGAGGAGGAUGAGGAGUUGUGAUUAUGACUAGUGACCAACUUGUUAUAUAUAUGAUGUCUCAUUGACGAACAUUGUUUAGUGGUGAUGACUAGUGGUACUGAAUAUGCUAUUUAAACAGACUAGUUCAUGAUGAGUUGUUAUUGUAUAAAAGAUAUAUCUGUUUAAACAUGCAUGUACAGCGCCAAAAUAUUAAAAAAAAGACAUGAAUGUUAGCAGUAGCGCUGUCCUAAAAACACGCUACUAGUACUUGAACUUACCAGUAGCGCUAGUACAGAAAUGUGCUACUGCUACAAAAUAGCUGUAGCGCCGUAGCAGUAGCGCUGGUCCCCGCUACUGGUAGCAAAAAAACCAGCGCUACUGCUAAGCUUUUCUCUAGUAGUGAAGGGGUCAAUACAUAUAUAUGAAUGAAACUCAACACAAUUGAUGGUAAUAUAUAAAAUAAAAUUGUGAAUAUUGUUUACGUACUUCAAAUUGUUUCUCAUAGGAGGCCCGUUCAGAGGUAUAGUAGCGAAUGAACUCGCAUACGUAGUAUCCACAUAAAUGAGUGUUGGGUGCCGGCAACAAGCACUUUACGAGAAUAGAGUUCAAUCAAACUGAUAAGCAAGCAUGAUAAUGAUAUUGGUUAAACUAGAAUCAAUGAGAGAUGCGCGAAACUAGCUUGUACUACUUACUUUGGGGCGUGUAAAUCGCAGCUCCUUCUUCAGACCCGGAACCUUAGCGGUGAACGUUUUCCAUACCCUGGCAAGCAAAGAAAAUGAUUACUUGAUAUCAGGAAAUGAAUAAAAGUUGCCGAUAUGGUCCCGGUAUUGAUUGAACUUACUUCUGGAGCAUUGCAGUCAUGUCCGCAUAAUAUUUGGGAUCUUUACAGAGCGAGUCUAAGACAAUUACUAAUGCCCCGUCAAGGUUAAUGGAUAGCAGAAUAUAGUGGAAGCUGCGCACGCAUAACUCAUCAAUUACAUUACUUAACCACGAGUAAGCAGAACCGAAUAUGCAGAAGACAGUAACACUCACUUGAAAUUGUAAGGAAAGAGUAUUUCCCUUUUGUUUUGAUGUGUAAGGAACGUUUGUAGUAAGUUGUUCUCGGUAUCUUCAGCCGCCUUUCGUACCGACCAUUCAUUUACGGUAUUUGGGCUAAUGAACCCAACGUCGAAGAUUCCUAUUUUUUUGCGUUCGACCAUCUUCAAUCUGGAUAAUAUAGUGAGGAUAAUUAUAUAUACAUACAAUGAACCAGUUGAGCUAGAGACUUAAUUAUAGAAGUAAUACUUACAGAUAGUAGCAAGUCAUAAGUUGUUUGUCGAGCGCCUUUUAAUUGUAUAAUUGAAAUAACUCCACAAAUUCAACAGGCAGCAGGUCGAUUCCAGGGAAGUCGUGCUCUUUUUUAAUUCCGACUAACAAAUGUCUUUCCCAGACUUCCUGUAGGUUUCCAUGUACCAGUGAUGCAAUUUUUGCAUCAUCGUUCUUAGAUGAGGAUGAUUAGGUUUGACGAGAGGCUUCCGAUGCUCGUAUCUAAAGACGUCUACUACCUCAGCCAUUUCAAACUGUACAUCAUUGGGCAGGUAAUCUUCAAGAGUGGUAUCGGGCAGUAGCAUCAGAUGAUUAGCGAUAUCGCUAGACACCUUGAGCGGGGGGCACGAUUGCUUCUCCUGUUCGCCGAGCUGAGGAAUUGUUUUCCCACUUCUUCGUUUUUCACUCUUGCAGCACUGGAAGUACUUCCCGACUGCUGCGCUUUAGCAUGUGUCUUAGUAAUUAUGCGGCCAUAGUUGGAAUCCGGCGGUGGCGGUGGUGGUCGCUUCAGGGCAUUGAUAGUGCGCUUCUUUCACCGGAUCUACCUUCUCCUUCAGAGGUGGAGUUUUCUUUGCAAAAUGGUCCCUUAGUUGGGACGACAUAUGUCCUCAUUUUCCUGCUCGGUCCUCCCAUAUGGUAACUUUCCAGAGGCUUGAGAGAUGGACCGUAUCUGAAUUGGCUCCCACCUCUGCUUGUACUGCUAGCCGCCGGAGCGGCAGCGUCUCUCUUCCGUCGUUGCUGACGAGGCAGAGAAAUUUGAUGCACCGAAGGAGCCGGAGCGACGGCGUUUGUCUUCCGCCAUUGCCGACGAGGCUGAGGAGGAGGCGGACUGUUCCGACGCCCGGAGUAUGCGAAGGAGGAGGCGGAGUGCCCUCACGUGUCGGAGGAGCCGGAGAAGGAGGUAGAGUGCCCUGAUCACUCGCCGGAGGAGGAGGAGGCGGAGUGCCCUGAUUCACCGGAGGAGGAGCAGGAAGCAGAGGCGUCCAGUUGGAAGCUUGAUGUACUCCUUCUACCAUAGACAUGUACUCCUCAGAGCAUGAACGAGACAAUUCUCCCCUUCACCUGUAGACGCCUUGAAAGUGAUGUUCUGGCAUUUCGUCAUAAGCUCGCAAUGUUGAGCCUCCGUGAUAGUAUACACGGGGUAGCUAGGAGACGUGAAGUCAGGAUGAACGGGCUCUGUGGAAGCCAUGCUGCUUCUCCACUGAGAUGGCGGGGUAGCUUCUGGGGUAGCUUCGUGCCGCUGAGAUGGUUGGUCGGCAGCUCGCUUGCUCUCAGUUUCCUUUAGCUUUUGUAGUCUUGCAUUGAGCUUCUACAUGUCGCUCAGCUCCUCUUUCCUCUUUCUCUCCCGGCUUUUGUAACCGCCUCCGUCGGGAAACCCAAACUUCCACAGAACGGAGCCUGGAGUGCCUCAUGUUCGUCCAGGGUGCUCAGCAUUCCCUAGGGCCUCAGUCAGCUCGUCCUUUUCUCUAUCGGGAAUGAACGUCCCUUCCUGCGCUGAGGUGAUAUACUUCUGAAGCUUCGUGACGGGUAUUGCAAGUUGCCGAGGCGAGGUUUAAAGAUGCUCACCGCCGUGCGUGAGUAAUUCCAUUGUAGGCUUGCUGGAUGGUAAUGGGUUGGAUGAGAUUUAUCAUGUAAUCGAGUUAGUUUUGUUAGGGUUUGAUCCCUAGUAUCCAUUAUGUUCCGAGAUUGAUGUUGCUAUGACUUUGCUAUGCUUAAUUCUUGUCACUAGGGCCUGAGUGCCAUGAUUUCAGAUCUGAACCUAUUAUGUUUUCAUGAAUAUAUGUGAGUUCUUGAUCCUAUCUUGGAAGUCUAUAGUCACCUAUUAUGUGUUAUGAUCCGUUAACCCCGAAGUGACAAUAAUCGGGAUACUUACCGGUGAUGACCGUAGUUUGAGGAGUUCAUGUAUUCCCGGUACUCUAUUAAAAGGAGGCUUUAAUAUCCCUUAGUUUCCAAUAGGACCCCGUUGCCACGGGAGGGUAGGACAAAAGAUGUCAUGCAAUUUCUUUUCCAUAAGCACGUAUGACUAUAUCUGAAUACAUGCCAACAUUAUAUUGAUGAACUGGAGCUAGUUCUGUGUCACCCUAUGUUAUAACUAUUGCAUGAGGAAUCGCAUCCGACAUAAUUAUCCAUCACUAAUCCAUUGCCUAUGAGCUUUUCAUAUAUUGAUCUUUGCUUAGUUACUUUUCCGUUGCCACUAUUACAAUCACUACAAAACUGCUACCGUCACUUUUGCCACCGUUACCGCUACUAUCAUAUUAGUUUGCUACUAAAUACUUUGCUGCAGAUAUUAAGUUUCCAGGUGUGGUUGAAUUGACAACUCAGCUGCUAAUACUUGAGAAUAUUAUUUGGCUCCCCUUGUGUUGAAUCAAUAAAUUUGGGUUGAAUACUCUACCCUCGAGAACUGUUGUGAUCCCCUAUACUUGUGGGUUAUCAAGACUAUUUUAUGGCGCUGUUGCCGGGGAGCAUAGCUCUAUUCUUUGAGUCACUUGGGAUUUAUAUAUGCUGAUCACUAUGAAGAACUUGAAAGAUAAAAGAACCAAGAUUUUCCCUCAACUACGAGUGGAGGUAAGGAACUGCCAUCUAGCUCAGCACUUGAUUCACCUUCUUUUUUGAGUAAACUUGCGACACCUACUCCUGCUAUUCAUUUCUGAUAUGUCGCAUGUUAUUGAUGAUGCCACUUCUGCUUUGCAUGAUACUUAUGAUGAAACUAGUUCUAUGCUUGAUAAUACUGUGUCAUUAGGUGAAUUUCUUGAUGAAUAACUUGCUAGGGUUAGAGAGAAUGAAAUUACUGAAACUGAUAAUAUUGAUGAAAGUGAUGAUGAAGAUUCUCCCCCUAGAUAUGAAUUGCCUAUUAUGCCUGAGGGUUAUGUUAUGGAUGAAGAAACUGCUAGAGACUUCUUAGAUUGCAAUGAUAGAUCUGAUCUUAAGAAAUUAUUAGCUAAGCUUAAAGAAAAGUCUUUGAAUGCUAGAAUGAAAUAUGACCCUGCUUUUGCUACUUCACCUAUCUUUAUUUCCGAUAAGGAUUAUGAUUUCUCUGUCGAUCCUGAGUUAAUUACUUUGGUUGAUUCUGAUCCUUUUUAUGGCUAUGAAUCUGAAACUGUUGUGACACAUCUUACUAAAUUAAAUGAUAUAGCCACCCUAUUCACUAAUGAUGAGAAAACUCGCUAUUACUUUAUCCUUAAGUUAUUCCCGUUCUCAUUAAAGGGUGGUGCUAAAACAUGGUUUAAUUCUCUUGAUCCUGGUUGUGUGCGUAGUCCCCGGGAUAUGAUUUAUUAUUUCUCUGCUAAAUAUUUCCCCGCUUGUCGUGGGAUUGUCACGACAGAUGUCCUAGUGUGAGGACUUAGUCGUGGAGCCAUUGCAACAUAGUGAACUUAAAGGGGUUAAAGCUGACAAAGGACGCAAGGAAUUAUACUGGUUCGUCCCCUUACGGUGAAGGUAAAGCCUACUCCAGUUAUGAUGGGAUUGCUAUGGUUUCGAUGACCAGGGAGCGAAUACGCUUUGCCUAGCUCUCGAGUUGUUGUUUCUUGACCUUGAACUGCUGCCGGGUCAUCCCUUUAUAUACACAGCUUGACACCCGGCGGUUUACAGAACCCCGACCGGCUCAUAAACGUGUGCGGCUCGGUUUCUACUCUUUCCUAUCUUACAACACAAGUUACACACCUUAUGGCGGUUUAUGUCUAUGGGCCCUAAUCCGCCUUUGGGCCCUGGGCUUUUAGAUCUCUUAUAUUAAAGCGUCAUACACCUUGUCUUCAUGGGCUUCAAUAUGAAUAACUCAUUACAGGUAUAACCCGGCCCCUCCUGGGCGGUUUAUACUCAGUAGUUAUAUCCCUAACAUUAGGCCCCAGAUUGAUUUGAACCUGUUCAUGUCAAUCUUCAACACUUCAGAAAAACUUCUUCUUUAGUACCUUCGAGUAAACCUUGUAUUCCGCCAUGACGUCAUCUUCCAGGAUUAUAAUAAACCGCCAUGACGUCAUCUUCUAGGAUUAUAAUAAAUCGCCAUGACAUCACCUGUUCAUUAAAAAACUGUAUAUACCUUACUUUUAUUAAUGAGCCUCCGAAAAUCGACGAGACAGCUCUGGGACAUAUCCAUUUUUUUUGGGCUCCUCGAUUCCUGCGCCUGUCGCUUAUCUCUUCGUCUUAUAAAUAGGUCCGAGGGUCCCUUUCCUUUUCUCCCCUUGCCUCUUCGUCUUUCUUCCACCUCACGUCGCCUCAGCACUCGAGCACUGCCGCCGCCAUCGACCUUCACCUCUGCCCUGAUGUCUACUACGCAAACUUCUCUUGUAGACGUUGUUGGGCCUCCAAGUGCAGAGGUUUGUAGGACAGUAGCAAUUUUCCCUCAAGUGGGUGACUUAAGGUUUAUCAAUCCGUGGGAGGUGUAGGAUGAAGAUGGUCUCUCUCAAGCAACCCUGCAACCAAAUAACAAAGAGUCUCUUGUGUACCCAACACACCCAAUACAAUGGUAAGUUGUAUAGGUGCACUAGUUCGGUGAAGAUAUGGUGAUACAAGUGCAAUAUGGAUAGUAGAUAUAGGUUGUUGUAAUCUGAAAUAAUAAAAACAGCAAGGUAAAUAACAAUAAAAGUGAGCACGAACGGCAUUGCAAUGUGUCGAAACAAGGCCUAGGGUUCAUACUUUCACUAGUGGAAGUUCUCUCAACAAUGAUAACAUAAUUGGAUCAUAUAACUAGCCCUCAACGUGCAACAAAGAGUCACUCCAAAGCCACUAAUAGCAGAGAACAAACGGAGAGAUUAUUGUCGGGUACAAAACCACCACAAAGUUAUUCUUUCUGAUCGAUCUAUUUAAGAGUCCGUUGUAAACUAACACGAAGCUAUUCUUUCCGUUCAAUCUAUCAUAGAGUUCGUACUAGAAUAACACCCUAAGACACAUAUCAACCAAGACCAUAAUGUCACCUAGAUACUCCAUUGUCACCUCAAGUAUCCGUGGCCAUGAUUAUACGAUAUGCAUCACAUUGUCACCUCAAGUAUCCGUGGGCAUGAUUAUACGAUAUGCAUCACACAAUCUCAGAAUCAUCUAUUCAACCAACACAUAGAACUUCAAAGAAUGUCCCAAAGUUUCUACCGGAGAGUCAAACGUGCGCCAACCCCUAUGCAUAGGUUCCCAAUGUCACGAAACCCGCAAGUUGAUCACCAAAACAUACAUCAAGUACUCACAUGAAUAUCCCAUUGUCACCACAGAUAGACACGUGCAAGACAUACAUCAAGUGUUCUUAAAGACUCAAUCCGAUAAGAUAACUUCAAAGGGAAAACUCAAUUCAUUACAAGAAGGGAGAGGGGGAAGAACAUCAUAAGAUCCAACUAUAGUAGCAAAGCCCGCGAUACAUCAAGAUCAUUACAUCUCAAGAACACGAGAGAGAGAGAGAGAUCAAACACAUAGCUACUGGUACAUACCCUCAGCCCCGAGGGAGAACUACUCCCUCCUCGUCAUGGAAAUCGCAGGGAUGAUGAAGAUGGACACCGAAGAUGGGUUCCCCCUCCGGUAGGGUGCCGGAAAGGGCUCCCGAUUGGUUUUUGGUGGCUACAGAAGCUUGCGGCGGUGGAACUCCCGAUCUAGGUUUUUUUCUGGAGGUUUCUGUAUUUAUAAGACUGGAUGGCAUCGAGAACAAGUUGGAGGGACCCAUGAGGGGGUCACAAGCCCACCAGGCGCGCCCAGGGGGUGGGCGCGCCUACCUGGCUUGUGAUCUCCUCGGGACUCUCCUCUGGUAUCUUUUCUUUCUGGUAUUUUUGAUAUUUUCCAUAAAAAAUCACAGCGAAGGUUUUAUUCCGUUUGGACUCCGUCUGAUAUUCCUAUCUGAAAAAGGUUAAAAACAUGGAAAAACAGGAACUGGCACUGGGCUCUAGGUUAAUAGGUUAGUCCCAAAAAUAAUAUAAAAUAGCAUAAUCAUGCAUAUAAAACAUCCAAAGUUGAUAAUAUAGUAGCAUGGAAUGAUAAAAAAUUAUAGAUACGUUGGAGACGUAUCAUGCCCCGACCUUGGCCGCUGCAUCACCCUGCCCGUACUAGAAAAUCGCGGCGCCUCUCCGCUGUUCAACAGUUUUUGGUGAGUUCUUCUUCCUUUCCUCCAUAGAUCUGUUUAGGGUUCGCACGGGCUCCUCGAAGCUUCAUGGUGUUCUUCCCCUGUUCUUCAUUAAGGCCUAUAGGAUAGACUCCAAACGUGAUAUACUCUUAUGCGGUAGUAAUGAUAAUCCUUCUUUUGCCAUCAGAUCAUCUCUUUUGUGUAUAAAAACCCGAUCUGGAACUUCAUGAACUGCUCAAGCACCAACCUUUAGGUCUAAAUAUUUUCAUUUUCCUGUCAUGCGGUAGAUCUAAAAUUCUAAUGUGAAACUGUGAAACUUGUUCUUCCUCACUUAGUCAUUUUUCGGCUUCAGAACUAUACUCCGAUUCUCCAUCAUUGCUAUGUUUUGAUGUGCUGGAGUGGUAUACAUGAUAGGAAAUUUUUUCUGUCACCUCAAGAGUUGUGUUCAAAUUACGUGAUGCAAUCUGUGUAAAUUGAACUUGCACCAUCGAGGCUGCAAGAAGUGCCUCCAGACAAGUUCAGUACACAGUUUUAGAGUGAUGGACUCUAGGUUGACACUAAAAUAUUUCAAUACUGCAAGUUCAGUAGAUAGUUGUAGGCAUUGAAAUAUUUCAGUACUGACUGGUUCACACUGAAAGAUUUGAGUAGUGCAAUUGCAGUACACACGGGUACACAUUGAAAUAUUUCGGUAGUGCAAUGCAAUUUCAGUACACACGGGUAGACACUGAAAAUUUUCAGUACUGCAGUUUCAGUACACACACACAACCCCUAAAAUAAUUCAAUACUGCAGUUUCUGUACACGCACGCAACCCCUGAAAUAUUUCAGUGUAGCAGUUUCAGGACACGCGCGUAGCCACUGAAAUAUUUCUGGGGUGCUGUUUCAGUACAAGCAAGUAGCCGUUGAAAUAUUUCGGUAGUGCACUUUCAGUACACGCACGUAUCCACUAAAAUGUUUCAGCGGUUCACUUUCAGUACACACACGUACCAACUAAAAUAUUUCAGUGGUGAUGUUUCAGUACAUGCAUGUAGCAAUUGAAAUAUUUCAGUGGUGUUGUUUCAGUACACACACACGUAGCCACUGAAAUAUUUCAGUAACGCACUUUCAGUAGAGAGAUGUAGACAUUGAAAUAUUUCUUUAGUGCCCUGUCGGUGAUCUUGCAUCAAAAUAUUUAGGGCUUCCUAAUGAUUCAAGAAAAAAACUAGACAUAAGCAGUGAAAUAAUUUUAGUAGGGAUGUUGACUUACUCAUGUUGCCGUGCUGUACAACCUUUUGCUUCACUUCCUGUAAGUGCUUCUUACAUGUGCUAUGGCCUACAUGCUGUUUACUCUCAUCACAGCAGUGAUUUUGCAUCUUGCAAAGGUCUUAUUAAUUCAACAUUGACUUCUAUGAACUUUGUAUUCAAAUUUGUAUCCUCCUACAGUUGUUGUGACAGAUUUCCUUGGCAUCUUCAAAUUACCGUACUAUCAUUUUUCCAAUACCAAUUGUAUUCAAUUUAAAUUUUCAGUUACUUGUAUGCUACAGGUGGAAUCAUGGAUAGGUUCUUGAAGAUGCUGCGCCUCACAAUUAAAAUCCCUUGCUCAAUCUCAACAUCAGAAGCUGUUUUGCAUUUCUAGUUGUCUCAGUAUUUCAUGUGAUAUAUUUGAAUACCAGAAGUUGUUAUGCAUUAGAAGUUCACUCAUAUAAUCGUAGUACCUGCAAUCUGUGAUUUGUGUUAUCUGUUUUGUAUGUGUGGGAUCAAAAUCUAAUAUGGUUCUGAUUCCUGUUUUCAUGGCCUUGAUGCUAAGUUAAGUACAUGCUAGUCAGAGUGAUCAGAGGGAAGGGUGGCGCUGGUGGGAAAUAUUUUAGGGUUUUAUCACCAUGAUAACCCUAGAAAAAUAAUAAAAACAUCGAAAAUCAAUGGAACUAGUCAUGGAUGCUUCUCAUGUUGGUACAAGGGUGUAGAAAGAAUAUAGAUCCAUUUGAAGCAUGUCGAGAAAAAACCGUCCUUCCACACGGACCCUUACCUCCUACCCGAACGGCCGCUGGUGAAGGAGGUGAAAUGACACCAAAUUUUUCCUUGUUGUGGGCAUGGCCACCCCAGUGGAUCGACAAUGUGCGCUUGUCGCAUCACCUCCGAGAAGUAUUUUAAGCACUUAAUCGUACUAGAAAAUCCAUACAAAUCCAUACAAGAAUGAUACAAAGAAGUAGAAUUUUUUUGGGUCCAUCUACAUCAUGUCCGGCAAGUUUGUUUGUACGUGUUCUCCGUGUGUGUGAAUGGCAUGUGGGAUCCACAUGUAAAAACCACAUAGGCAAAAAAGAGGGAACUAAACUGCACGACGGAGUUUCGAACCAAGGGCAUUAGUAUGUGAUCGUGAGGGUGUUACCGCUAAGCUGAUGAUGCAUUUUGAUACAAAUUACGUGCCCUCGGAUUUAAGAAAUUCAUUUACCAUAUCUAUCAUGUGUAACCACUGCUGGUGUCCACGUGUCAGCAGUUUGAAGGGCGGCGCGGGGCAAACCGCACGCGAGGUGCAUGGCGUGGGGCAAACCCCAUGCGUCCUCACUGUGGAAGGCCCUGGUAGGUGAGACAAAUCACCGCCCUCGACCCCUCGGUAACUCCAAGAGGCAGCCGCAUUCAUUUUCUUCCACAAAUCGGGUAGAAAACCCUCGUCCUCUCCCACUCCAGCCAUACCACCUCGUCCUCUCCCAAACCCUCCUCCCUUCCUCACCACUCCACUCCUCUCCUCUCUUCCAACACGUCCCUCGUCCUCUCGUCGAUCGCCGAUGAAGCGCGGCCGUGAAGAUGCGAUGGACGAGCCGGAGGCAACCAUCGGUGGAGAGCAGUCUGCUGUCGUGGCUGCCGCCGCAGUUGUAGCGCCUGAGUCCGCUGUAGCAGCGAUGGUGGCGGUGCAACAACUGCUGUGCCUCCUCCCGCUGUCAUCCCAGCCGGCGAGCUACCCAACGGCGAGCCUAUGCAGGAGAAGGUCGAUGAAGAUCUGGAUGAGCAGAAGGCGAGGCUGAAGCGCGAGCUCUAUGACAAAAUCGAGGAGGAGUUCUACGAGGGGAACGACGUGGAGGAAAUAGAGUUCGAGAUGGCUGUGGAUCCCAGGAAGGGCAGCGACUACGACGAGGACGUCAUCGACGAGCUAUCUGAGGUACUAAUAUGAUUUUAUUAGAUUUAUAUUUCCUGUAAGUACUCUGUUUUUUCAUGGCAUUCGGUUUUUUUUUGUUAAGUACAUGAGCAUCAAUUUCAUAUGGGCGUGCUAGUUGAAAGGAUCUAGCAUAGAUUUUCUUGCAUAAUGAAUGGUGGUUUUUGAAUCUGAAUCAUUUUCUUCACGUAUUGAUGAGGUAUUUCUACUCAUGUACUGGCCCAGCCAUAAUGUUUGCGUACAUGUAGGAUUGUAGCUAGGGAUCCAGCAUAUAUUUUCUUGUUGGAUGGUGGUUUUAGAAUCUGAUUCAUUUUCUGAUUCGAAUAGAUAGAAGAAAAAACCCACUAGUAUAGCUAAAACAGAGAUUCAUUAUCUGAUUCCAUCACGGCAUGCUUUAUUGAUUAAGCAAACUUACAUCGUUCACAAGGGAUACAUGAAUGAAAGAAGUGGGGUAAUCAACCCAAAUACAAGAUAGAUGAUUCUCAUAGCUAUUUCUAGCGAUCUCAUGUGCGACACCAUUGGCUUCUCGAGGACAGUGAGAAAAUGUGCAGUUCCUAUCUCCAGAACUAGAUCAAAACUAUCAGCAAUAAUACGUGAUCCUUCGUUCCACCAUGUGUUACCUCGAGUAAAAGCUUGAACAACUUGUAAGCAAUCCCAUUCUACAAUAAUUUGAUGAUAGCCUACAGGUGCUACCAAAGAUAGGCCUUCUUUCAUUGCCACCGAAUCCAUCAAGCACGCAGAUGAUACAUUUGGAAUAUAAUGGUAAUUUACUGAAUUGACACAAAGUUGCCAUACUGAUCUCUUAAAACACCACCCGUAGACUCAUCUCCUUCUUAACUAUCAUAUGAUGCAUCUACAUUCAGAUUUAAUUGGUAAGAAUCCUGUUCUGACCACUUGAUUAUUUCUUUGACAACCCCUGUUUUGCAUGACAACAUUUCCUUUUCUAGCAAUUGGUCUGCCUUGUUGCAUGAGGACAGAACCAAUACCUUCACCUGAUGCAUCUAUUUAAAAAGUAAAUGGUACACUAGUAGAAAAGGGGGCAUUUGUCCCAAUUCGUAAGGGCCUUUAGUCCCGGUUCAUGAACCGGGACUAAUGGGUCGUUACUAAUACCUCCUCCUUUAGUCCCGGUUCUAACACGAACCGGGACAGACGGGCCUCCACGUGGCCGGUGCGCCGAGCCUAGGCAGGGGGGCCUUUGGUCCCGGUUGGUGGCACCAACUGGGACCAAAAGGCAUCCACGCAUCAACAUUUCAGUGGCUGGGGUUUUUGUUUUUUUGAAAGGGGGGGGGGUUGGGGGUUUUGGGGGGUUAAUUUAGGUGUUUCAUAUAUUGUGUUAGCUAGCUAAUUAAUACAGAGAAGUGUCCUCUCUUAUGUCGGUGCUUGGUUGACGCUAUGUACUAUACAUAGAGAGGCCCUCGACACGCUAGCUAGUAAGAAAAUGAAGGGAACCAUUAAGUACAGAAGUUCAUCAUGCAUACCGAGAGAAGUGAUUGAUCGACCUCUCCUUCUCCGAGAGAUUGGUCGAACAACAAGUUUUCGUAUUCUAUCCAACGCUACUGGCUACAUACAUAUACAAUAUGUAAUAUCUCUUAAUUACAAUCCCCUAGCAAUUGAAAUCAACUUCCACAUGGUAUUCUCCGGCUUUAUUGAUGACGUGGUCAAGAAAGAAUCCCGCCAAUUCCUCUUGAAUUGCUUUCAUGCGAUCUUGUUCUAGGAGUUCAUUCCGCAUCUGCCACGUCUAAUUUGAAGAAGGGGGUUAAUUAAUACAUAUAUAUGAAUGAAACUCAAUAGAAAUGAUGGUGUAAUAAAAUGAAAUUGUGAAUAUUAUUGCUUACGCACUUCAUAUUGUCUUUUAGAUAUCCCCGCUUAUUUUUAAAAGUCACGUUGUAGAUGAACUCGCACACGUAGUAUCCACAGAAAUCAUUCCCUUGUUCCUGCCACAAGCACUUUACGAGAAAUAGAGGUCAAUCAAACUGAUAAUGUAGCAUUAUAAAUGGCAUUGAUGAAAGUAUAGCUAUAGAAUAAAUUGGAGAUGCGUGCAACUAGCUAGCCAGUAGUACUUACUUUCGGGUAUGUAUAUCGCAGCUCCUUCGGCAGUCCCGGAGCUUCUGUGGUGAACUGUUUCCAAACCCUGCAAGACAAAGAAAAUAAUUAUUAUUACUUGAGAUAUCAGGAAAUGAACAAAAAGUUGCCGAUAUGGUGCAAUAAUGAUCGAUUGAACUUACUUGUUGAGCAAUUCAGUCAUGUCCGCAUAGGUUUCGGGAUCUUUCCGUCUUGAGUCUAAGACAGUUACUAGUCCCCGCUCAAGCUUAAUCUCAAGAAGAACAUAGUGGUAGCUGCACACGCAUGCAUAACUCAUCAAUUACAUUACUAUAACCUCGCUCGAGUAAUAAGGGAAACCGAAUAUGCACACGACAGUAACACUCACUUUGAGUUGUAAGGAAUGAGUAUGGUGUCUUUGUUUUGAUUUUUGAUCAACGAUUGUAGCAAGUUGGCCCAACUCUUCGGCGUGCUUUUUAACCUGAAUACUCCCUCUGUCCAGAAAUACUUGUCGGAGGAAUGGAUGUAUCUAGACGUAUUUUAGUUAUAGAUACAUCCGUUUUUAUGCAUUUCUGCGACAAGUAUUUCCGGACGGAGGGAGUAUCAUCUAUGAUAUUUGUGUUAAUGAACCCAAUAUCAUACAUUUCUUGUUUUCUGCACUCGACGAUCUUCAAUCUGCAUAAUAUAUUGAGGAUAAUUAAUUAUAAAUACAUGCAAUGAAAGAGCCGAGCUAUAUAUAGAGACUUAAUGACAGAAAUAGUACUUACAUACAGUAGCAAAAGACCGUUAAUUUAUCGAGGGCCUUUUGAUUGAAGAACGCGAAGAACUCCUCAAAUGGAACAACCAACAGAUCAGUUCCAACGAGGUCCUGCUCCUCUUUAAUGUUCAGAUACAAACUAUUCGUCCCCCCAGACUCUCUGCAGGUUUUCAUGUACCAAUUAUGGAAUCUUCGCAUCAUCGUUGUUAGAGAUUUUUCAUCUUUGACGAGAGGCUUUCCGUACUCGUAUCUGUGUUUGUCCACCUCCAUGAAAUCAGGAAGUUGAUCGUCAGGCAGGUAAUCUGAUAGAUUGCCAUAACCGGCCACCAUCCCCGGAGCAUUAGCGACGAUGUCGCCGCUAGACACAUUGAGCGGGGGGCACGAUUGAUUUGCUUGUUCGCCGAGCUGGUCAAUUUUCUUUGCAGCUGCUCGUUCUCUUGAAUUUUGAUGUCUGACAGUACUUCCCGACUGCUCCGCUUGGAGAUAUGUCUGUUCAGUAAUGCGCUCAUAGUUGGUUCUCGGCGGAGACUUUGCUGGUUUCCUUAGGGCAUCGAGAGUGCGCUUUGCUUUCACCAGAUCUACCUUCUCCUCUGGAGGUGGAUGUCUCUUUGCUUUCACCCCUUCAAAGAAGUCCUUCACGUGGGUCCACACGAUCGUCGCGUUUUCCUCCUCGGUCCUCUCGUACGGUAAAUUCUCUAGAGGCUUGAGAGGUGGACCAUAUCUGUAUUGCCUCCCGCCUCUGGCUGUACUGCUAGACGCCGGAGCAGACGGAGCGGCUGCGGUGUCUGUCUUAUUUCGUGCUUGCUUACGAGGCGGAGGAGAAGGACUACGACGCGCCGGAGCAGCCGGGGUGGCGGCGGGUCUCUUCUGCCCUUGCUGGCGAGGCGGAGAAGGAGGAGGCUGCUGGCUUCUCGGGCGCGCCGGCGCAGGCGGAGAAGGAGGCGGAGUGCCGCCAUGCGCCGAAGAAAGAAGCCCAGUGCCCUGAUCGUCACUCGUCGGAGGAGGAGUAGGUGGAGGAGGCGGAGUUCCCUGACUCGCCAGAGGAGAAGGAGGAGGCGGAGGCGUCCAAUUCGGAAGGUUGAUGAGCUCCUUCCGCCAUAGGCAUGGAGUCUUCAGAGCAGAACCCAGCAUAGUCUCCCCUUCACCGGUAGGGUGGUCAAGCUGGAGGUCCUCAAAUCCCUCCGUUAUUUCAUCCACCAUCACCCUAGCAUAUCCUUCUGGAAUCGGUCGGCAGUGAAAAGUUGCGCCGGGUUCAGUAGGAUAAACAGAGCCAACAACCGCCUUGACCUUCAAAUUCAUCCAUCGCGUCAUAAUGUGGCAAUUUUGAGACUCCGUGAUAGCAUCCACGGGAUAGCUGGCAGGAGCCGUCAAGACAUGCUCUGGCUGAAGCAGCUCGGUGGAAGCCACGCUGCUUCUCCACUGAGAUGGCGGGGUAGCUUCAGGGGAAGCUUCGGCAGGUCGUUUGCUGCGAUCUGCUUCUCGUUCCUCUAGCCCCAUUACCCUUUCGUGCAGCGCCUGCAGUUGGCCCUGCUCCAGUUUCUUCCUCCUCUCCUGGGUUUUGUAACCCCCUGCGUCCGGAAAACCAACCUUCCAUAGAAUGGAGCCUGGCGUGCCUCGUGUCCGUCCAGGGUGCUCAGGAUUCCCGAGGGCCAUUGUGAGCUCGUCCUUCUCCCUGUCUGGAACGAACGUCCCUUUCUGCGCUGCAUCGAUAUAGUGCCGAAGCUUGGUGACUGGUAUUUUCAGUUGCUCGUCCGUCCAACGGCACUUCCCUGAUAUAGGGUCCAAGUUUCCGCCAGCCCCGAAGAACCAAGUCCAGCAAUGCUCUGGCCAGUUCAUUGUCUCUGGUUCGAUCCCUUUAUCAAGAAGAUCAUUCUCAGCCUUGGACCACUUAGGCCGGGCUUUGAGGUAGCCACCUGACCCCGUGCGAUGGUGAAACUGCUUCUUCGCAACAUUUUGCUUGUUUGUCGCCGACAUCUUCUUACUCUUUUACGAUGUCUUGUGGGCCACAAAUGCCGGCCAGUGAUCUUUGAUCUUCUCAUAUUUGCCGAUGAAUUCUGGUGUCUCUUCUUUGUCGACAAACUUGUUCAGUUCUUUCCUCCACCUCCUGAAUAGGGUUGCCAUCUUCUUAAGAGCACAAGACUUGAUUAAUUGCUCUUUAACUGGCUUCUCCGGAUCCUCCUCUGGCGGUAGGGUGAAAUUUGCCUUCAGCUGAGUCCAAAGAUCAUCUUUCUGCAUAUCAUUGACAUAAGACACCUCAGGGUCUUCCUCCUUAGGCUUAUACCAUUGCUGGAUGCUGAUCGGGAUCUUGUCCCUAACAAGAACCCCACACUGAGCAGAAAAUGCAUUCUUUGUCCGGAUGGGUUCAAUCGGUUCACCGUCGGGCGCGAUUGCUGUGAUCUCAAACCUUUCAUCCGAGCUCAACUUUUUCUUCGGGCCUCGUCUCCUUACCGAAGUUGUGCUCGAUCUGGAGGGCUAGAAAAAGGAAGAAAGACGAGAGUUAAUUAAUAUGUGUACAUAUACCAAAACAAUGAACGCAUCAAUUAACUAGUCAGCAUGGGCUUAACUAAUAUAUAUAUAUACCUGGCUGGACUCGGUUCGGUCACCGGAGCAGUCAGCACGGUGUCCUUCUUGUACCUCCAUUGGGUCACCGGGGCCAUCAUGAACAUAGCCCUCUUCUUGUAACGGCAUUAAUGGGCCGGAGCCAUCAUGAACAUAGCCUUCUUCUUCACCCAAUCCUUCCUGACCAUCGGUGUCGUUGAGAAAUGACGCAACGACAUCACUUCCUUGUGCGAUUAUGUCCCCCAACAUCGCUUCUGUUGCUUCGUCUCGAGAGUGCUCCAUAGUUUCUGCAAAUAUUUACAACAUGUCAAUUAUUAUUCAAACAUGGUACAAAUGGAUAUAUAUUAGUGGCAAACAUAGAACUAGCUAGCUAAUCACAAUAAGGAAUCAUGUUAGUGGCCUUUACGCUGCUUCUCUAGGGAUUGGGGUGGCCUAGACAACGCUUCAAGGGUUUGGGGUGGCCUCGACGACAACGCUCUUUUAACUUGGUAAAUUUAGGUGGCCUCGAGAGAGUUAAUUUGUCUGGUAGGGGCGCGGCGGGAGGGGGUAGGAGACCAACAUCAUUUUCUCUCUAGGGUUUGGGUGUCCUCGAGAGUUUUGGUUGAGCGAGAGGGCCGAGGGGGGUGCUGCCGUGGUAUAAGUUAUCACGGUCGAGAGGGGGUAUAUAUAUCGACCGCCCCUCAUGUCGAAGUUAUCUGGGAGGGGGUUAUAUCGACAGCGACGUGACAUACAUAUACAUGGGAAAAUAAUGUUAUCGGGGAGGGGGUAUCGGUACCCCCCCUCGUGUUGAAGUUUCUUCUUUCUCCUCUAUUCCUUUCUUCUUCUUCUCCUCUUCUUUUUCUUCUUCUCCCUCGAGAAAGGUAAAUAAGGAAAAGGAAGAAAAGAGGAAGAAGGAAGAAGGAAGAAGAAGAAGAAAAAAAAGAAGGAGAGGAAAAAGGAAAAUAAGAAGAGGAAGAAAGGAUAAGAAGAGGACAGGAAGAAGAGGAGAAAUAAAUAAGAAUUCAAUUUUAUUUUUUCUUCUUCUCCUCUAUUCCUUUCUUCUUCUCCUCUUCUUUUUCUUCUUUUUUCCUCUUCUUAUUUAUUUCUCCUCUUCUUCCUCUCCUCUUCUUCUCCUUUCUUCCUCUUCUUAUUUUCCUUUUUCCUCUCCUUCUUUUUCUUCUUCUUCUUCUUUCUUCCUUCUUCCUCUUUUUUCCUUUUCCUUAUUUUACUUUUUCCUCUACACUAACCUAAAAUGCACUAACCUAAAAUCGAUAUCUACUAACAGCCUAAAUAAAAAUUUAAUACAUAUAUGAAAAAACAUAUAUAUAAAAAAAUGCUAUGAUCAUUAUAUUCAUACAUACAUAGCCACAUCCAUUCAUCAUAUAGCUACCACAUACAUAUAUACAUUAUAUAUAUAUGAAAAAAUGCAAUGAACAAAAAAAAUACACUUAUGAAAAAAAUACUAUGAACAAGUACACAUAUAUACACAUACAAACACAUAUACACAAAAAAAUACAAAAAAAUGCUAUGAAAAAUGNNNNNNNNNNNNNNNNNNNNNNNNNNNNNNNNNNNNNNNNNNNNNNNNNNNNNNNNNNNNNNNNNNNNNNNNNNNNNNNNNNNNNNNNNNNNNNNNNNNNNNNNNNNNNNNNNNNNNNNNNNNNNNNNNNNNNNNNNNNNNNNNNNNNNNNNNNNNNNNNNNNNNNNNNNNNNNNNNNNNNNNNNNNNNNNNNNNNNNNNNNNNNNNNNNNNNNNNNNNNNNNNNNNNNNNNNNNNNNNNNNNNNNNNNNNNNNNNNNNNNNNNNNNNNNNNNNNNNNNNNNNNNNNNNNNNNNNNNNNNNNNNNNNNNNNNNNNNNNNNNNNNNNNNNNNNNNNNNNNNNNNNNNNNNNNNNNNNNNNNNNNNNNNNNNNNNNNNNNNNNNNNNNNNNNNNNNNNNNNNNNNNNNNNNNNNNNNNNNNNNNNNNNNNNNNNNNNNNNNNNNNNNNNNNNNNNNNNNNNNNNNNNNNNNNNNNNNNNNNNNNNNNNNNNNNNNNNNNNNNNNNNNNNNNNNNNNNNNNNNNNNNNNNNNNNNNNNNNNNNNNNNNNNNNNNNNNNNNNNNGACGGGAGGGGCGCGGGAGAAGGCUGUGCUCACAGGGGGCGGCGGCGACGGCGAAGGCGAGGAGCCUGACGGCGUCGGUGGCGGCUGCGACGGUGAAGGCGAGCAGCCUAGCGGCGUCGGUGGUGGCGGCGAUGGCAAGGUGGAGCAGGGGCGUCGGGCGGCGACAGCGACGAGGAGGAGCAGGGGCGCCGGGGGAGAAGUGGGGGAUUUGGUCGAAACUGCUAAGUGUUGUAUAUAUAGCAAGAACAUUGGUCCCGGUUCAUGGCACCAACUGGGACCAAUGCCCCCUUUAGUCCCGGUUGGUUCCACCAACCGGGACCAAAGGCCUCUUUUCAGUAGCCCAAAGGGCGGGAAGCGACGGCCUUUGGUCCCAGUUGGUGGCACCAACCGGUACUAAAGGGGGGGCAUUGGUCCCGGUUCGUGGCACCAACCGGGACUAAUGCACCCCUUUAGUCCUGGUUGGUGCCACCAACCGGGACCAAUGGCCUUGCACAACGGCGUGCUGGUGGGAGUUUAGUCCCACCUCGCUAGCUGAGAGAGGGUCGUACCUGUUUAUAAGGUGCAAUGCGCCAACCCUCUCGAGCUCCUCUCUAAAGCAGGCUUUCGGGCCUAAUCUGCCUCUAUGUGCCUGUGGACCUGUUGGGCCUUCUGCGGGCCUGAAUCCUGGCCCAUGGUAGGGUUUCUAGUCGUAUUCAGGCCGUGGGGCCUAGUAGGAGGCACUUUUUUUUCUUUACUUAUUGUUGCUAUUUUUAUUUUUUUCCAGUUUUUUUGUUUUGUUUUCUGCAUUAUUUAUUUUCUUUUGUUUUUUUCUUUGUUUUUUAAUUCUUUUUGCUUUUAGUUUUAGAAAAAUUAUAAACAUUUUGUUAGUGCCAUUAGUUUCAAAUUUGAAAACACUUUUGUUGUUGUUUUCUUUCUUGCUUUAUUUGUUUUAUUUNNNNNNNNNNNNNNNNNNNNNNNNNNNNNNNNNNNNNNNNNNNNNNNNNNNNNNNNNNNNNNNNNNNNNNNNNNNNNNNNNNNNNNNNNNNNNNNNNNNNNNNNNNNNNNNNNNNNNNNNNNNNNNNNNNNNNNNNNNNNNNNNNNNNNNNNNNNNNNNNNNNNNNNNNNNNNNNNNNNNNNNNNNNNNNNNNNNNNNNNNNNNNNNNNNNNNNNNNNNNNNNNNNNNNNNNNNNNNNNNNNNNNNNNNNNNNNNNNNNNNNNNNNNNNNNNNNNNNNNNNNNNNNNNNNNNNNNNNNNNNNNNNNNNNNNNNNNNNNNNNNNNNNNNNNNNNNNNNNNNNNNNNNNNNNNNNNNNNNNNNNNNNNNNNNNNNNNNNNNNNNAAAACACUUUUUUUGUUUUUUUGUUUUCUUUGUUGCUUUAUUUAUUUUUUUGUUUCUACUUACAACAAAAUACUUAUUGUUGCUAUUUCUAUUUUGUUUCUAGUUUUUUGUUUUGUUUUCUGCAUUAUUCAUUUUCUUUUGUUUUUGCUUUAUUUUUAAAUUCUUUUUGCUUUUAGGUCAGCAAAAUUAUAAACUUUCUGUUAGUGCCAUUAGUUUUAGAAAAAUUAUGAACUUUCUAUUAGUGCCAUUAGUUUUGAAAUUUGAAUAGUUAAAAUUUGGAUUCUUUGAAAGAUUGGUCAUGGGCCAGGGCUGAGGCGCAUUGGUCCCGGUUCGUGCAUGGAACCGGGACCAAACGGUCCAGACGAACCGGGACCAAUGGCCCACGUGGCUGCCCUCUUGAGAACAUAGUUGACAAGGAGCGAAACGGGAUUAAUGGUAUUACGAGGGCCGAAUCAUAAGACAUUAAAGCAUUUCAAAUGAACUCUGAAAAAGUUGAAAGUUGGCAUGGUAUCAUAAAUUCACCCACAUAGCAUGUGCAUGUACAAAACGGACAAUGGUAUGAUACCCGUCUGUUACAAAGUUGGCAUGGUAUCAUCAUAAUAGUUGCGGGAGAAAGUCUUUACUUUUUCUUUGCUUGUGUCAUUUGCUUAUUGCGCCGUAACCAUCGAUAAUCUUCAUCGUUUAUCAGGAUGCUGGGGUCAGCCUUGACUUUGAAGGGAGGAAUUUCAUGAAACUUUUCAUAAUCUUCAGACAUGUCUGUCUUGCCCUCCACUCCCAUGAUGUCCCUUUUUACUGAAAGAACUAUGUGGCGCUUUGGCUCAUCGUAUGAUGUAUUCACUUCCUUAUCUUUUCUUUUUCUCGGUCUGGUAGACAUGUCCUUCACAUAGAAAACCUGCGCCACAUCAUUGGCUAGGACGAACGGUUCGUCAGUGUACCCAAGAUUUUUCAGAUCCACUGUUGUCAUUCCGUACUGUGGGUUUACCUGUACCCCGCCUCCUGACAGAUUGACCCAUUUGCACUUAAACAAAGGGACCUUAAAAUCAUGUCCGUAGUCAAGUUCCCAUAUGUCCACUAUGUAACCAUAAUAUGUGUCCUUUCCCUCUCGGUUGUUGCAUCAAAGCGGACACCGCUGUUUUGGUUGGUGCUCUUUUAAUCUUGGUCAAUCGUGUAAAAUGUAUUCCCAUUUAUCUCGUAUCCUUUGUAAAUCAAUACAGUCAAAGAUGGUCCCCUGGACAACAAGUACAACUCAUCAUUUAACAGGUUGCUUGGGUCAGCAUUGACUUUGAAGGGAGGAAUUUCAUGAAACUUUUUAUAAUCUUCGGAAAUUUCUGUCUUGCCCUCCACUCCAGCAAUGUCUCUUUUUCCUAAAAGAAUUAUGUGGCGCUUUGGCUCAUCGUAUGAUGUGUUCGCUUCCUUAUCUUUUCUUUUUCUCGGUUUGGUAGACAUGUCCUUCACAUAGAAAACCUGCGCCACAUCAUUGGCUAGGACAAACGGUUCGUCUCUAUACCCAAUAUUGUUCAGAUCCACUGUUGUCAUUCCGUACUGUGGGUCUACCUGUACCCCGCCUCCUGACAGAUUGACCCAUUUGCACUUAAACAAAGGGACCUUAAAAUCAUGUCCGUAGUCAAGUUCCCAUAUGUCCACUAUGUAACCAUAAUAUGUGUCCUUUCCCCUCUUGGUUACUACAUCGGUUACUGCAUCAAAACGGACACCGAUGUUUUGGUUGGUGCUCUUUUGAUCUUGGGCGAUCGUGUAAAAUGUAUUCCCAUUUAUCUCGUAUCCUUUAUAAGUCAAUACAGUCGAAGAUGGUCCCCUGGACAACGAGUACAGCUCAUCACAAACAGUGUUGUCACCUCUGAGACGUGUUUCCAACCAACUGUUGAAAGUCCUGAUGUGUUCACAUGUAAUCCAGUCGUCGCACUGCUCCGGGUGUUUGGAGCGCAGACUGUUCUUGUGUUCAUCGACAUACGGGGUCACCAAGGUAGAGUUCUGUAGAACUAUGUAGUGUGCUUGAGGCCAAGAAUAUCCGUCCCUGCAUAUUAUUGAGUCCCUUCCAAGCGUGCCUUUUCUAGUCAGUCUCCCCUCAUACCGCGAUUUAGGGAGACCUGUCUUCUUAAGGCCAGGAAUGAAGUCAACACAAAACCCGAUGAUAUCCUCUGUUUGAUGGCCCAUGGAGAUGCUUCCUUCUGGCCUAGCGUGGUUACGGACAUAUUUCUUUAGGACUCCCAUGAACCUCUCAAAGGGGUACAUAUUGUGUAGAAAUAUGGGGCCUAGAAUAACAAUCUCGUCAACUAGAUGAACUAGGAUGUGCGUCAUGAUAUUGAAGAAGGAUGGUGGGAACACCAGCUCGAAACUGACAAGACAUUGCACCACAUCACUCCUUAGCCUUGGUAUGAUUUCUGGACCGAUCACCUUCUGAGAGAUUGCAUUGAGGAAUGCACAUAGCUUCACAAUGGCUAAUCGGACGUUUUCCGGUAGAAGCCCCCUCAAUGCAACCGGAAGCAGUUGCGUCAUAAUCACGUGGCAAUCAUGAGACUUUAGGUUCUAAAACUUUUUCUCUGCCAUAUUUAUUAUUCCCUUUAUAUUCGACGAGAAGCCAGUCGGGACCUUCAUACUAAGCAGGCAUUCAAAGAAGAUUUCCUUCUCUUCUUUGGUAAGAUCAUAGCUGGUAGGACCUUCAUACUGCUUUGGAGGCAUGCCAUCUUUUUCGUGGAAAUGUUGCAGGUCCUCCCGUGCCUCAGUUGUAUCUUUUGUCUUUCCAUACACGCCCAAGAAGCCUAGCAGGUUCACGCAAAGGUUCUUCGUCACGUGCAUCACGUCAAUUGAAGAGCGGACCUCUAGGUCUUUCCAGUAGGGUAGGUCCCAAAAUAUAGAUUUCUUCUUCCACAUGGGUGUGUGUCCCUCAGCGUCAUUCGGAACAGCUAGUGCGUCGGGACCCUUUCCAAAGAUUAUGUGUAAAUCAUUGACCAUAGCAAGUACGUGAUCACCGGUACGCAUGGCGGGCUUCUUCCGGUAAUCUGCCUUGCCUUUGAAAUGCUUGCCUUUCUUUCGACAUUGAUGGUUGGUCGGAAUAAAUCGACGAUGGCCCAGGUACACAUUCUUCUUGCAGCUUCCCAGGUAUAUACUAUCGGUGUCAAGUAAAUAGUGCGUGCAUGCGUGGUAUCCCUUGUUUCUUUGUCCUGAAAGGUUACUCAGAGCGGGCCAAUCGUUGAUGGUCACGAACAGCAACGCCUUUAGGUCAAAUUCCUCCUGUUUGUUCUCAUCCCACGUACGUACACCGUUUCCAUUCCACAGUUGUAAAAGUUCUUCAACUAAUGGCCUUAGGUACACAUCAAUGUCGUUGCCGGGUUGCUUAGGGCCUUUGAUGAGAACUGGCAUCAUAAUGAACUUCCGCUUCAUGCACAUCCAAGGAGGAAGGUCAUACAUACAUAGAGUCACAGGCCAGGUGCUGUGAUUGCUGCUCUGCUCCCUGAAAUGAUUAAUGCCAUCCGCGCUUAAAGCAAACCAUACGUUCCUUGGGUCACUUGCAAACUCAUCCCAGUACUUUCUCUCGAUUUUUCUCCACUGCGACCCGUCAGCGGGUGCUCUCAACUUCACGUCUUUCUUACGGUCCCCACUGUGCCAUCGCAUCAACUUGGCAUGCUCUCCGUUUUUGAACAUAUGUUUCAACCGUGGUAUUAUAGGAGCAUACCACAUCACCUUUGCAGGAACCCUCUUCCUGGGGGGCUCGCCGGCAACAUCACCAGGAUCAUCUCGUCUGAUCUUAUACCGUAAUGCACCGCAUACCAGGCAUGCGUUCAGAUCCUUGCACGCACCGCGGUAGAGGAUGCAGUCAUUAGGGCAUGCAUGUAUCUUCUGCACCUCCAAUCCUAGAGGGCAUACGACCUUCUUUGCUGCGUAUGUACUGUCGGGCAAUUCGUUAUCCUUUGGAAGCUUCUUCUUCAAUAUUUUCAGUAGCUUCUCAAAUCCUUUGUCAGGCACAACAUUCUCUGCCUUCCACUGCAGCAAUUCCAGUACGGUACCGAUCUUUGUGUUGCCAUCUUCGCAAUUGGGGUAUAACCCUUUUUUGUGAUCCUCUAACAUGUGAUCGAACUUCAGCUUCUCCUUUUGACUUUCGCAUUGCGUCCUUGCAUCGACAAUGACCCUGCGGAGAUCAUCAUCAUCGGGCACAUCGUCUGGUUCCUCUUGAUCUUCAGCAGCUUCGCCCGUUGCAACAUCAUCGUGCACAUCAUCUGGUUCCUCUUGAUCUUCAGUAGCAUCACCAUAUUCAGGAGGCACAUAGUUGUCAUCGUACUCUUCUUCUUCGCCGUCUUCCAUCAUAACCCCUAUUUCUCCGUGCCUCGUCCAAACAUUAUAGUGUGGCAUGAAACCCUUGUAAAGCAGGUGGGUGUGAAGGAUUUUCUGGUUAGAGUAAGACUUCGUAUUCCCACAUAUAGGGCAUGGACAACACAUAAAACCAUUCUGCUUGUUUGCCUCAGCCACUUCGAGAAAAUCAUGCACGCCCUUAAUGUACUCGGAGGUGUGUCUUGAACCGUACAUCCAUUGCCGGUUCAUCUGCGUGCAUUAUAUAUAAUUAAGUGUGUCAAAAAUCGAACAUCAUGAAUAGAUAAUUAAGUGACCAAAUUAAUAGAAGUUCAUCAUCACAUUAAAACCAAAGUACAUACAUAGUUCUCAUGUAACAACAUAAAGCUCUGCAGAGCAUCUAAAUUAACUAGUAGAGUGCCCGUGCGUUGCCACGAGCUCUUGACAUAUGACACGUAUAAACAGUAUAACACAAACAUAAUAAUUUAAGAAAUUCAGCCGUCUUUGCAAUGUAGAAUGAUAACAAGAAGUAAAAUAACGACAUGUCCAUGACAAAAUUGAGCGAUAUUUGAUCUUAAAAUGUAGUACCAAGAUAUCAAUAUCUAGAUGAUGCGCUUAAGAAUUUCUUUCACAAUGUCAGGAAAGUUGCCUUUAGCUUCAUUAUCCCGAUGUUUCAGCAAGUAUAAUAAAAAUUUCUUCCUCAUCUCGUACUCGUCCUGCACAAACAAUUAUGUCCUUAGUAUGAAACUUUCAUGCAUAAUGUUUUACGUCAUGCAAUAAACGAUAUGCACCGUGCAAACUGGCUUGACCAAUUCUUUACCGUUCCACCACAACAUAAAAUGAAAAACAAAAUAGCCAGACACAUUCCUGCAAUUUAUUAUAUUAAUAAUAUAAAUAAUAUAGUGAUUAGAAAAAUAAAUAUUUUUAUUAUGAAUUCAUUACCCGUCUAUACUCAUAGGAACACAAAGUGGAAAUAAAUGUUGCCAUUUAGAUAUAUCAUAAUUCCAACCAGGCAUCUUGAUUUCAAGUGCUUCUUUGAAAUCCCUUGCAAAACUUUUUAAUUUCAGUGAAUGCCUCAAAUUUUUAUCCUGUGUCGAUUGUGAUGUUUGAAUAGGGUCCAUAAUAUGUAGACGAUGUGCCUCUUUGUCGAUGACAUACAAUAUGUACCGGCCAAUGGAUGCAUAGGGAAGAUAAAUCUACAAGUGAAGGUAUUAGAUACAGCAAUAAACCAUGAUAAUAAAACGGAAAAAACUUUACUUACCAUGUUGCACGAUGAGAUGUUGUUGUCCAUCCUAGGCCAGCUAUCAAAUAAUGAUGACAACUACUUAAUAGUCUCCUUAUCACAAAACUUCUGACCUCGUGUUGACUCUAGCAUCAUGGACUACGUAAAAAAAUAUAAUUGCUUCAACAUGGUGAUACUAAUGGCACAUAGAAUGAAGAGUAACGAUUACUUACACAAAACCUUAGAUCCAUGUAGUGUAUAGGAGGGUCUGUGUACAAUACCCCCUCGUCACAUGCUAGUAUACACACGACAGUGUUGAAGCAAUCAUUGUCCAUAGGUUGAUCCAUGUUAAGUAUGCACUGAAGUUUCUUAAGGCUUAAGCCCAUUCGAUCAGGUGUCGAGAUAAGGACCCAUUCAUCCCUAAUAAUUGGAUGGUAAGAAGAAUGAUAAUAAACAUGAGCACAAUAUUAAUGGGAACACAUGAUACUUACUCCAACAACCCCGCAUCAUCGACCUUCAUUAUGUAGUUGCAGAGGCCAGCAAGUAACUCAUGUUGGUCCGUGGGCAUGAAAGUUACUGGGGCAGAACAUUUGUCUUUCACUACGUCAUGUGGAUUAUCCAGGAUCUCAACAUCAGAAUUAGCUAAACUUUCUUUAUCGUCAGGUUGAUGGUAUAUGGGACAUCCUUUUAGCUUAUUAAGCUCCGAAUCAUGCAAAAUGAUAAUUAAUUUUCAUCUAAAGUGUUUCAUAUCCUCCUAAAAAAUAACCGAAAUUAAAAUAAUAUUUCCGAGAUAAAAAAUCAGAUAAUGUAAAAAAAUGAAAUACCUGGGUGAACUCGUCAGAUAGUGCAUUUGAUGUCCAAUAUUCCAUAUAAUUUAGCAUAAAUAGUCCAUAUGACACGCUAUAAUAUAUUGAAAUAAUGAUUUAGAAGUUUACUCAGAUAAUUGUAAUAAAGAAACCAUUGUAACAAGUGUUUACCCAUCAGUUUGUAUUGCUUCUUUAAACUGCUCUACGACGGUCCAUUUUGUAACGUUGAGAUCAGGCCACCUAUGAUCUUUUUUAAACUCCAGACUGUGCUCUGCAAGUUUUAGACGCUUCUCGAGUCCUAUUAACUAAUUUUUUAUAUGUGAUAAGUAUUAGGUAUUAAGUCAAACAAAACAACGUUUAAGUUGAGCAAAAACAAAUAGUUACCGUAGUAGCAAGGUCAUUGCGUUUCAUCCGUGAACCAAGUGAGUCCAAUACUUGAAUCUCACGUUUUUUGGAAUUGGAGACUGCUAGAUACCAAUGGUAGCCCGGCAUAUUAAUCGGAAUAAAUAACUGAUGCAAAAAUCAUACUGGUCAGAGUGAGCAUUAGAUAUUAAUAUUAAAGGGAUGGCUAUAGAGACGACACUAACCAUAUCUUGAUCCAGAUAAGAAUUAACAUGAUGUACGAUGUGACGAUAUUUUGAUGGAUCUUUAUCUUUUUCACCAUCUUCUUUUAUUUGGCCAGAUAUAAACGUGCUAAUAAUGUGCACUUUUUCACCUGCCCUGUCUCGUAGAUGGUCAUGAUCAAGCAUGCAAUAUAUGUUAGCAUUUAUCACCUGCAAUCAACGUUUCAAUUAAAUUAACAUUUUACGCUAUUAAUUUUUGUUCAUACUAUAAAUUUCAAAGUUUAUAAAACUGGUCUUACACCAUCAUGUAAGAACAUAUCAUCUUUAGGGGUACAAACAUAGUCUGUAGACAUAAUACAUCUGUUGAUAACAAGGCAUCUCCAAUGUCCACGAAUUUGGUUUUCUUGGGGGCAGACAUGAUUGAUUCGAUGAUUGUAAUAUCUCUAGGGGUACAAACAUAGUCUGUAGACAUAAUACAAAUGUGAGUCUAGUUAGUUUCCAAAAUGAGCAAAUUUAGCUGACUACAAUAGGCAAUAUCACAAAGAAAAUAUUGAUGAUAAUUUUUUUAAAAAUACCUUGUGGGAUAAUAUUUAGAUUGACAUCCUUUUUUGGUUUGUUAUGAUAUAUUACCGCUUCAAUAUUAUUAUUUUGUAAAAAUGUAGGUGAAUUUUGAUCCCCUUUCAACGACGUCCCGAGUGAGCCAUCAAUGGAUUUUUUCUGUGCAUCUCCAAAGUCCAUAUACAUGUCUCCUAAUUUCUGAAAGAACAAAUAAAUUAAAAAACAGAACUUUCGUAAUAUCAUCUAUAAUAUAAAUGUAUGGGAAGGUUAGUCAUAUGCACCUCUUCUCGUGGUGAUUCAGUGCGGUCUGUCAUCAUUACAUCAGUGAGUAUGUUUGUACCCAUCACUUUAUAUAUAUACUGAAAUAUAAAUAACCAAAUGUGAUAACACAACUAAUUUAUCCGAAAUAAAAAAUACAUUUAAUUAUAUUACAAUAUCUAGAUGCUUAAAUCAUUUUACUAACACAACUAUUUUCAAUGAAAUAAAAUAAUCUUUUCAUUAUAUUAUUAAAAUGUUCUAAUAAAAUCAAUUUAGUAAGACAACUAUUUUCUCUAUAAUGUUCAUGGAAACGUAAGUAUUCAUCUGAAAUUGCUUAAAUGUUUUUAAAUUAUUUUUAUAGGCUAUGCAAAAUUGUCCAACAAAAUUUAAAAAUGCAAACAAACCAGAAAUAACAAAGUAUAUUUGUUUUUAAUCUGAUUUUUGGUUGAUACCCUCAGUUUAACAUUUUUAUCCAAAAAUGCAAACAAACCAGAAAUAACAAAGCACAAAAUUUUAUAUUUUUAUCAACCAUGUUUAAUGUGUAUAUCCCAUCCUUUUUUCUGGGAAAUGUGUAAACUAUAAAUAUAUAUGUAAACUCUUAAUAACAACUACAACAGGACAAAUGGGCCAGUCCGGAACGGCACGGCCAGGGCCGGCUUAAACACGCCAAACUAAUUACUUAUAUAGGACAUGAAAAAUUAGCCAAAAAAUUACNNNNNNNNNNUAAUAAAUUAGAACAAAUGUCAGGAUAGCAUUUCUAAUGUCGAGCACAAUUUGUACGUAAGCAUAAAAUUAGAUAUCCACCACGGCAAAAAAAACAGGCAAAUGGUAAAUAUGAUUACAAUAUAAAUGGUAAAAUGGGCCACCCUAAAAAAUUCCUAUAAAAUCAAUUACCUUUGUAUGACAUUAUUUGUGAGGGACAUUAUUUUUGUAUGACUGUUGUAUGACAUUAUUUUGUAUGACAUUAUUUUUGUAUGACAUUAUUUUUGUAUGACAUUAUAAAAUGGGCCGGCCAGACACAUAAUGGCCCGGCCAGGAUCACACGGGCCAGGCACACGUGCUGGCCUCACCGGCCCAGCCAGGCCCAAGCUGGAUCACAGCCCGACCCGACAACCCACAAGAUAGGCUACAAAACCCUAGCCAUCUGCCCUCCCCCGCCGCAUUGCAACCCUAGACACACUCAGUUAUCCCCUCCACCAACUCACUUCCACACCUACUUUCCUUUCCACUUCUCCCUCCCCCGCCGCAUCCCAAGCCUUGACUCCUCCCAUCCCCCGCAGCAACGCCGACUGCAUCCACCAGCCGCGCAGCUCCGAUUGCCAGCCGCCGCCGUCCCGCCGGAUCUAUCACAUGCACNNNNNNNNNNNNNNNNNNNNNNNNNNNNNNNNNNNNNNNNNNNNNNNNNNNNNNNNNNNNNNNNNNNNNNNNNNNNNNNNNNNNNNNNNNNNNNNNNNNNNNNNNNNNNNNNNNNNNNNNNNNNNNNNNNNNNNNNNNNNNNNNNNNNNNNNNNNNNNNNUAUCCACUUCUCCCCUCCCCCGCCGCAUCCCAACCAUCGACUUCUCCCCUCCCCCGCAAGAAUGCUGCCUACAUCGGCCAGCCGGCUGCCGCACAACUCCGACCGUCAGCGGAUCUGUCACACAAACACCUAACCACUCUCCUCCCCCUACCUCACUCCACUCCCGCCGCUCUUGACCCGAUGGCGGCGGCAUCCUCUCCACUCUCCUUCACCUCACCCACUGUACUAUCUGUGCUCUCGCCCCCACGGCAGCAAGACCGACGACCACGUCUCUCACCGAAUCGCUCGAAUCCAUGCAACGUCGGUCGCACCAUAGAUCUAGCGGGCGACGGGUGUUAUUCCUCCUCGAUGGACAACCUGAUGCGUCAGGAGAGUAGCACGGAUCCGGUGUUGAUGGAGUUGAGAAGCAACAACGUGACCAUCUCCUCGGUAAGCAGCUCCCCCCAUGGCCAUUUCGGUUUACACCAUUUUUUGUGUGUGUAAUGAUGAUGGACUGGAUUGCUGCUAUUUGUAGCGAGCAGAGCGAGCGCCAGUCACUUGUUCCAUCGUCAUCCGACGCCACAUACCUCUCAUCUCCUGUCCGCUCCGCCUUGCCGUUGCCAUGAACUGAACCAAGCACGUGCUCAAGUAAGUCAGGCGGGUGCCCGGCCCUUUCCAUUUGACGUCGCAAUCAUGUUUCAACGCUGCAGCCUCCGCCGUCUAUCGACCACGCGGCUUUGAUGAUUUCUUUGCAACCGCCCACCCCAAGUUGAUGGAGAUUUGUGAUGACAGGGAGACAGCCUACCCCAAGCUCUGUCUCGGCAAUGCACGGACGACAGCCACAAAUCCAGUUAUUACUUGCAUGCCUGGCUGCUCAUCAUGAGUAAGCUCCUCCUUAACCGCCCCAACCCCCCAUGCAUCAAAUAUCUCAUGCUCCAUACAUCAAAUAUCUCAUGCAGACAUAUCUGCUUAUUGUUUGAAUAUUAUAUGGUACGUCUGCAUCAUGUUCACCCUAUCAUAAUUCAGUAUUUGUAAAAGUAGUCAAAGCUACUUGUUAUUAUGUGAUAUAGUAUUUGUACAUGCAGUUGUCUACAAAAUACUUGGUCAGAUCUUCCACAAGAUUUUUCAGUUGGAUUAAACAUUAUAUUUUGAUCUGACUUGUAAUUAACAAAAAUAGCAAACUGCUUUCUUCAACGUUUGGGAACAGGGUUCAGUAGUUAGGUUCUCUGUCUAGUCUAAUUCUGUGAGGCAAGAAGAGGAUAUAAUUUAUAUUUGUGGUCAUGAUACAUGAUUAUUAUAUUUUUGUUUCAAGAUGUGUCAACCUCAUGCAACAAUAAUAUGAGCAAGAUACAGAAUUGUUUCUUUCUUAUUGUGUUACAUUUCUGUUAAUGUUGGCAGUUUGCAUAAGUCAGAUUUUGCGCCCGUUUGAAAAUAUAAUUUGCUUAUAUUACUUUGCUAUUCAAGUUAAAUUGUUUCCAAAAAAUACAUGCAUACUAUUCGGUUGUAUAAUGCUAUUUGGUUGUAUAAUCUGGUUGUAUAUGUAUAAUGGUAAAAUUUCAUAUCCAAAAAUUACAUUUCCAAAAAACACAAAAAGAAAAUAAGUGUUUUAAAUGAAUUAAUUAACUUUGUUAAUCAAGCUUAUUUGUUGUGCCCCAAUAGUACAUAUGCUAGCUUCCUCCGUAUCUACAGUAAACAUGUUGACCGUUUAAAAACUAUUAAUCUAUGUAUAACAAUGCUAGUUUAAAAUCUCUCAAUUUAGAUAUCUAUUGAUCAUCUGCAAAUCAAUAAAACUAAUCAAAAAAUUUCUGUGUGUGAGCCGAGAUAUGGGUCAUGCGGUGCUGAGAACGAGCACUGAGAGCAGAGAGAUGGAGCCGGGGGUACGACAAUUACAACUCCUACAGCACCAAUAUGUUAAAAGGCAUGGGAGCAGGUACGUGAGAACAAAAUAUCGACUUAAAUGACCAGUUCACAUUGAUUUCAUACAGUCGCGUGUCUGGUUAACUAUCAAUAACCAUUUCAUUAUUUGUCUAUGCUAUGUGAGGGUGUAACGAUGAUGGAGUACAUUUACUGCUAUGUGUGUUGAAGUCCAGUUAGGGUGCGUUUGGGAGUGAAGUAUUUUGGUUUUUUUGACUAAGCCGAAAUCCGUUAGCACACACUGAUUAAUCCUUCCAACAUGUUGCUUAGUCGAAGCUAAGUUAGCAGAUGCUAACUUAUUUGGCCAUGAAGUAGUUAUCUGAAAAAAACUGUAGGAAAACAAUACCAGCAAAACACUUCGGUGGACUUGACAGUACUCAGAAAAUGUAUGUUUUUAGCAUCCAGAGUAUUUGUUGCCCACAAAUCAAAAAAUAAUGGUCUCACAGUAGUUCAGUUCUUAGUAAAAUUAUACUGCCAAACUAUGCCUUGCUCACUCAAAAAAUUGACCAGUUUAAUUUUUUGUUGUUUUGUUUGGAAGAUCUGUGGUAGUCUGAACAAUACUGAACUUAACUAUGAAUCAUGAUGAAUUUUGCGCGAGGGUCUAAAACUUACAUGUGAUGGUAGUUCUUCUUUGUAAUUAAAAGAAUACUCUUAAAUAUUGCAUUGAGAGACAAUCACCCAGUUUUGGUCAGUUUUAGAAAAAUAUAAUCGGUGUUGCUAUUGUAUAUAACUCAAAGUAUACAUAUGCUAGCUUCCUCCGUAUCUACAGUAGACAUGUUGACCAUUUAAAUUCGAGAAAUCUAUGUAUAACAAUGCUAUUUUAAAAUCUCUCAAUUUAGAUAUCUAUUGAUCAUCUGCCUAUCAAUAAAACUAAUCAAAAAAUUUCUAUGUGUGAGCCAAGAUGUGGGUCAUGCGAUGUUGAGAACGAGCACUGAGAGCAGAGAGAUGGAGCCGGGGGACGACAACUACAACUCCUACAACACCAAUAUGUUAAAAGGCAUGGGAGCAGGUACAUGAGAACAAAAUAUCGACUUAAAUGACCGAUUCACAUUGAUUUCAUACAGUCACGUGUCUGGUUAACUAUCAAUAACCAUUUCAUUAAUUGUCUAUGCUAUGUGAGGGUGUAACGAUGAUGGAGUACAUUUACUGCUAUGUGUGUUGAAGUCCAGUUAGGGUGUGUUUGGGAGUGAAGUAUUUCGUUUUUUUUUGACUAAGCCGGAAUCCGUUAGCACACACUGAUUAAUGCUUCCAACAUGUUGCUUAGGCGAAGCUAAGUUAAUACAUGCUAAUUUAUUUGGCCAUGAAGUAGUUAUCUGAAAAAAACUGUAGGAAAACAAUACCAGCAAAACACUUCGGUGGACUUGACAGUACUCAGAAAAUGUAUGUUUUUUAGCAUCCAGAGUAUUUGUUGCCCACAAAUCAAAAAAUAGUGGUUUCACAGUAGUUCAGUGAUUACUAAAAUUAUACUGCCAAACUAUGCCUUGCUCACUCAAAAAAUUGACCAGUUGGAUUUUUUGUUGUUUUGUUUGGAAGAUCUGUGGUAGUCUGAACUAUACUGAACUUAACUAUGAAUCACGAUGAAUUUUGCGCGAGGGUCUAAAACUUACAUGUGAUGGUAGUUCUGCUUUGUAAUUAAAAGAACACUCUUAAAUAUUGCAUUGAAAGACAAUCACCCAGUUUUGGUCAGUUUAAAAAUAUAUAUAAUUGGUGUUGCUAUUGUACAUAACUCAAAGUCUAUUAUAUCAAUUGCAAGUUUUUCUUAAAGUACUGCAUUUUGACAUGCAUAAAUUAUCUCUCGAGAUAAGCUUCUUCAGUUUACUAAUUAUUUUUUUCCUACUAACUGUGAUUUUCAUGAAGGGACUAAACAGAGCAAAGGGAAGAAAGAGAAUGGACCAAUAUUGGAGAAGUUGAGUGCAUGAAAUAAUUUGUUGAUCUUCUAGUAAUUUAAAACCAUUUAACCUUUUACCAGCAAAAAAUAUUAAGUUUACAUUUGAUGAUUACCAUGGAUAAAUAAAAUAAAUAUACUUUCUAACUGGCAUUUUGGAUGGUUACAUAAACUUUGCUGAUUCCACAGUGUUGUAUCUCUUACUGAAAGUUUACAUUGCCUACUUUUUUCACAUGAUUGUGAAAAUUUAGUUUGCUAGCAAUUGAUAUGCCUAUUAAGUACGACCUGGUAAUACUAUCAUCAUCUAUAUUUGUUCUUCCCUAUGACCCAUGUGAAUCAGCAUGAAACAUCUCUUCGGAAUAUGACUCUGUUACAAAUAAAAUUCGUUUUUGAUUGUAAAAAUUCAAACAAUUGUAUCUCUUUGAACAUUUUUUAAAUAUUUCAUAUUUUCCAAUAGGAAAACUUAACAGCUGUUUUCAUCUAUUACUUGUAGCUAUUUACAUACAUGCAAGUGCCUAGUGAAGACAUGUACAUACCAUAACAGUUUUACAUUUCUCGUGACAGAUAUUCCCAAGGCCUACAUAUUAUGGCUGACAGCUACUUCAUGGAAUCAGUAAGAUGGAGUUAGAAGAAAGGCAUGGAUAAAACAAUGAGGUCAUAAAAUGGAAAGGAAUCUCUGGUAAAUUGUUAUGCUUACUUAGCUUGUUGUUAAACUUAGGACUAUUCACUAAAUUAUUGAACCGUAUUCCAACAUAUAAAGUAUUUAAGAUUAUGAAUUUUAAUUUGCAUUGCAAAAUUAGGCAGUGAGAACUGUUCAUCGGUACAAAAGCUAGGGGUGUGGCACAAUUGUAAUCUAAAUAAUAGACUCAUAGGCUAAAAUAUGUGUAUAAACAAUUUAUAAGUAGUUCCAGCCCACUACAAACAAUUUAAUUGGGUAUGAUAUUUAUAUAAGCUUGCAUAAUCUGCAAUGGUGUUCUUUAUCUGGGAUUUGAUGGUAUAACUGUCACACCCUAGCUAGUCAUGCAUUAGAGUGUUGCAUCAUGUUUAUUCUUUCACCAGAAACCUGAAAUGGGGAUGACAGAACCCCCAGUCCCCUCUGAAUCCAAUUAGGGUUUACUAAAAACUUUUUCAAUGAACCUGAAAUGCCCUUCUAAAAUGCCCAUCAUUUUUGUCUUGGUUCAGAACCUCUGCCAAAAGUGGUGCACAUUUUCCUAGGCCAUCCUUGGGUUUUUGAAUUAAAUCAUAAAUAUUUGAAUUUGGGCAUUUAAAAUUAUAUAAAAUAAUUAAAUGCUCAAAUAUCUCCAAACUAAAAUGUUUCAUGUUGGUAAUAAUCCAACUAUGGACCAGGAGUAGUUUGGUGAUUUUAGGAGUUGCCUAAGUAUUUUAUUUAAUUCAACAAAGUUGCAGAAGUAUUAAAAAAACAGAAAAUAGAAAGAAAUGGAAAAAGCUUACCUGGCGCCUGCUCCCGGCCCACCUGCCGGCCCAGCCCAGCGCCGCUCCAGCGAGCUGCUUGCCGGCCAGGCAGGCAAGCAGGUGCCCGACGGCGACCACAGCGCGCGCCACGCACCUGCUCGCCGCCUCGCCGCUCCCCGCGCCCGGUGACGUAGUGGACCGGCCUCCCUCGCUCCCCCGAACCCCCCAGACACCCCCUCUCCUCUCCAGCUCCUCCCCCUCGCGCUCCCCCGCCAUGGCCGACGCCACCAUCGCCGUGCCUCCGUCGUAGCCGUGCUCCCCGCCACCCGUGCGUCCUCUCACCGUGUCCAGGAGCUCCGCCGCUGUCCACUGCAUCGAGCAAGCCGAGCCCCGAGCGCUCGCAACGCCCGAGUCCACCGCAACGACCUCGCCCGAACCGCCAUCGCCGGAGAUCCCCUUCAACGUCAUCGUCGCUCCGGUCCAUCUCCAGCCACGCCAAGGGCUUCGUCGCACUCACUGUGAGCUUAGCCAUCUCCCCCUUCCUUCCGUUCUUGCUCCCGAGCCGUGUAGCAACCUCCCGGAGCUCAACCGCACCCACCGCCGUGGAGCUCGUCGCCGACGUGCUCCCGGUCAUCCUCCGGCCACUCCACGGUGUCCAUCAUGCUCACCGUGUCUCUUAGCACCUAGCUAGCCACUCCCCGAGCCUCACCGACCCCUCUAGCGUCAAGUUCGUCUUCGGCCGAACCCCGGUGGCCGCCAAAGUCGUCGCCGGCGCCAACUCCGGCCACCCCGACCCCAACGGACUCCACCAAGAGCUGCGGCUUGUCCUCAGCUCCACUCCGGUGGUCUCCGCGACCCAUUUGGUGGCCGAAACAGCCAAAACCACUUCCGCCGCCGUGUCGGGCUCGCCGGCGGCUAAACGCCGGUGCAGCCGACCCGGGUUUGACCACGGGUGGGCCCUGGUUGACUAGAGGCUUAAGUAAAUAGGUUUAGUUUUAAUUAAACUUUAAUUAAUUUAAUCACCCUGACAUGCGGGACCCACUGUCAGGUUUGACCCGGACGUGUUCCGUUGACCUGCUGACGUCACACUGACGUCAGGCUGACGCAAUAAUUGAUUUUCUGGAAUUAUUCUAAUAUAGGAAAUUCCAGAAUAUAGUUUAAACUUCAAAAAUUCAUAACUUUUAUUCUGUAACUCCAAAUUAGACAAAUUAUAUAUGAAAAAUGAUCAGAAAAAUCCAAUCUAUCCAUCUGUACUAUUUUCAUGCAUGAUUAAACAAGUUAACCUGAUGUUUAAUGCAGAACAAGGAAAAGCACUUUAAAAGGCCAUGUUUGAGUUUGAAAUUUGAAUCUUUGAUUCAAAUUGGUUCAAACCCUUCCGGUCUUAGUUGCAUUAGCCCAACACACUCAUAUUGCUAUGUUUCAUGCAUGCAUCAUAUUGUUGCACAUUGUUUGGUGAUGGUUGUGUAUCGGUGUUCUUGCGGCAGGUUCUGCCCCCGAGGAGUAUCGUGAUUACCCUAACGAAGAACCGUAUCAGUGCAUCGAACCAUCAGGCAAGCAACCAACCAUUUGAUCAUAUCGAUACAAUCCCAUGUUCUCGCUCCUGCUCUCUUUUACUGCAUUAAGACAACGCGUUUCAAACUGCUGUGUGCUACGGUAGUUGAACCCACUUCCUCUGCAUGACCUGUCAUUGCCACAGUAACUAGAUGAAACCCACUAGCAUGUGUAGGAGUUGAUUGAGCCAUAUGUAUGUGUUGUUCCUACCUUGCUAUGCCUGCUAUGCUUAGAGUCGUGUCAGGUCUGGUUCAUCUGGGUGAUGGGCUAGAGUGAAAUGAUUAUGUCGGUAAUGAGAGUGGUGUGGUGAACACGAUUUGGUAAAGGUAUCGAUGAGAGGCCAUGUAGGAGUACAUGGUGGGUUGUUUCAUUGAAGCCGACCUUAAGCACUGAGAUCUGUAUGUGUGAUUUAAGAUACAGCUACUACCAUGCAUUGGGCCCUGAAAUAUGACCCCGCUCGACUUCUUAUUCACCCUAGCUCUCUGUCCAGGAGUUGCAAGUAGUUUCUGGUGUUUGUAGCCUACUGGAUGCCGUGGACAGCGCUGACCGUAGGGGUGGGCUGUGAUGCGGUAGGUACGUGGCCGGGUGUACCGAAUACCCGUUAGGUAUCUCGGGAACCCUGUUCACAUCGUUCGGGGCCGUAUGGGAAACCUCGGCCGGACUCCCUGCGGAUGGAACCUGGAUAGGCGAUAAACCUGGACUAGAGGCUUAAGUGUUUAGGUAGGUCGUGGUCUACACCCACGUCGGCUUUCGCUUGAAGUCUGCCGAGCACUGUCGUGUGCAGACGCUAAGUGGUGGAAACAUGUAUGAAGAAGUACACCCCUGCAGGGUUAUCAUGAUCUAUUCGAAUAGCCGCGUCCGCGGUAAAGGACUACUUGGUUGCCUAUACAGUUCAUAGACAAGUAAAUGGAAACAACUAAAAGCCUCAAGAUAAGUGUGAGUGCCGAGGAUGGCUCUUCCGUAGGAAGACGGAGGUGGAUCCUCGGUAGUGUAUUGAAGUGGAGAGUAGCGGACUCGUGUGUGCAAAACCAUUUCAAGUUGGAGUCUCAUAGGUUAGCCUAGCCAAGAGUCAAAGCUGGCUUGCUGCAAUAACUCCACCACCCCUUCUUGAUAAUAUGCAUGUAUGUAGGAUCUGAUGUAAGUCUUGCUAAGUACCUUUGUACUCAUGUUGCUAUAAUUUACAUUUUUUACAGAAGACGCUGCAACCCCUUCUGAUGGGUUCUUCGUAGACGUUGACAUCAAUGAGUAGGCUAAGGCCCAGGUGGUGAUCCUGAGCUUGUGAAGGACCUUGUAGUAUAGCUAGGCUUUCCAAGCCUCUUUUAUUUUGCUAGUUGUCUGUACUCAGACAAGUUACUUCCGCUGCUAGUUUGUAUGACUGUAUGACUUGAAUGCUGGGUCGUGUGACCCGUACCUUUGUGUAUGUUAUGUAUGGCUCUCUGAGACUUAAAUAAAGUGCUUGUGUCGUAGAGUCAUGUUGUGAUGCAUUGUUGUAUUUGCACAUAUCGGGCAUAUUGUGUGUAUGAUUGAAAUGCUUGGUAUGUGUGGGAUCUGACUAUCUAGUUGUUUAUCUUUAGUAGCCUCUCUUACCGGGAAAUGUCUCCUAGUGUUACCGCUGAGCCAUGGUAGCUUGCUACUGCUCUGGAACACUUAGGCUGGCCGGCAUGUGUCCUUCUUCGUUCCGGUGUCUGUCCCUUCGGGGAAACGUCACGCAUUGAGUACCGGAGUCCUGUUAGCCCGCUACAGCCCGGUUUACCGGAGUCCUGCUAGCCCAGUGCUACAGCCCGGACCCACUUGCUGAUGACCGACACGUUCGAAGCUGGGUCAUGGAUGCCUGUCCCUGUAAGUCUGUGCCACUUUGGGUUUACGACUAGUCAUGUCGGGCUCCUUAUCAUAUGGAUGCUAGCGACACUAUCAUAUACGUGAGCCAAAAGGCGCAAACGGUCCCGGGCAAAGGUAAGGCGACACCCGUGGGAAUACCGUGCGUGAGGCCGCAAAGUGAUAUGAGGUGUUACCGGCUAGAUCGAUGUGACAUCGAGUCGGGGUCCUGACAAUAACUAUACAUAUAAAAACUAUUAAUCUAAUAAAGAACACGCUAUUAUAUAAGAGAAAGAUCCAGAAAUUGACAUACCGAGAGGAACUCCAAUUCUUGAUGGUUCUUGCUUACACAAUGUAGUCCUCGGAAAUCAUCCUCCCGGUCUGGUCGAAGGGACAGUAAGGAGGGAUAGGAGGGAUGGCAUAGUAUUUUAAUGUUAACAUAUAUAUAGUAUGCCAUGCGGAGGACAUUUGGGUAUCAGAUCAUGCCUUGAUCCAGUCAUGCCGUUAAUAUUUCUGUAUGGCAAGGAUCUGUUUCCUUUUCAUAUCAAAUACACACCUAUUAAUAAUUUAGAAAAGAUGUCAGAGAUAUUAACUUACCAAAAAAUCAAUAUACUUAUCAUUAAUUCAAUGCCAAUUUGCUUCUUUCUGACUAUAAAAUCUCUGCAUAAUAUUUUCAAGAUAUACACAGCUAAUAAACAUAUUGAUAUGUUUUUCCAUCAAUAAAGAGUUUACAAAGUACGUAAUAAUAAUCUUACUUGUGCCAAAAAAAUAGGAGGAACACAAAAUUCGAUGUAAAUCAGCUAACAAAUCUUGAGAUUACUCUUUUUUAUAUAACACCAAUUGCGAUGCAUAUUGCUUUUUUUUCAUCCUAUGAAUCAUUCGUUAGUGCCUCUUUUAAUUAAAUUUUACUUACCACAUAUGUCUAUUCUGUUUAGAUAAAGUUCAUACAUAGAACACAUCAUAUUUUGAAUUAUAUUAUAUUAGAAGAAGAUGUGACUCCCUUAGGGUAACUUAAUAAUAAUUUUCUUCCUCACCAACUAAAAUUGGAAAAUGUUGGUAACGAAUAAUAAUUGUCAGAACAUCCUGGGAUAGACAUGUACUUUAUGUAGUCAAUAAGAAAACACUUUGGCGGGGACUGAUUUUGGCUACUAUAUUCAGGAACACAUACAAGAUAAUCAUUGCUUUAUCAGAAAUAUCUUGAGCGUGACAGAGAAAUGUGGAUCCUGUGUGAACUUGAAGAUUGGUGACAAUUGAAGGUACGUGCCUUAUGACCAUUCGAUUGCUGGCUUGAAAGUAUACAUCGUAUCGUAUAACAGUGCGUGUAUGGAUGAAGUUAUACGAUACGAGAUUAGCUACAGCAAAAGAAAAUUAAGGACGUGCACAAUAAUGAUGAAAUAUUAAUGAAUUUAUUUGUUCACUUAAAUAAUUCACUGAAAAAAUGAUCAGGAAAGCGCUACACGCUAAUCAUGCAUUUGGCCAGCAAUUAUUUAGAUCUCUACGUCACAAGCAUUUGGCUUUAGUACUUUAGUGUGACGAAAUAGCCCAGAUGGUCUGCCAUGGCCCACUUAAACACAGGGACAUAUUGUGGUUCUCCUACUAAAGAUUAGUAUGUGCAUAGUCUACUCAUGCCACCUCUCCCCCUCGUCCUCUUUCCUUGAUGCAUCAUGGCGCCUCUCUCCCUUAUCCUCUCUCAAUUGCAACACUGAUCGGGAACCGGAAUGUGAAGCUCGAUUUCUAGCUUGAGAAGCUAGACCCCUUGCCGAAAUAAGUUGCUUUGUCGUCGAAGCGGUUGAAUCCUUGUAGGGUAGGAGAUAUGAUUGUGGGUGCGAUUGUUUUUUUGGCUGAUUCGCUCGACCCCUCACCGGUUAAGCUGAUUUAUCUCCGAAGGACAUGGCUGCCCGUCUUUUUGAGCGUCUACGGCGAAAGCUAGGCGCUAGGCCAAUGCCCAACGCUUAACCGUGCAAAGGCGAGCGCCUGACAUCGCCUUGCUGAAUAGUAAAACCGACAACGUGAUGCGACGGUGCCGCCUUACAGUGAGGGCUUCUGAGUCUAUGUGAAGGAUGUCCUUGCUGGGAGCCAGUCCUAUGAUGACUUUGAUGGCCCGUCGUGUAUGCCGCACGAGUUGCUAGGUGCUACAGUCGUGGCGGCGUUAAUUAACUGGACAGCAGGAUGGUGCCUAGCAUACGCCAUCUAUAUAGCCAACAAAAGUAGUCAAUAUUAAAUUGACAACAUAUGUAGUAGGUGCCAACUGCUUGUGAAUAAAUAAACUUAUAAACUAUAAGAACUAAUCUCUUAUAAUAAUCAAACGCCAUCAUACGUUUGUUCUUAUUACUCUAAAUUCUAUAUCACAAUGUGUUUCGGAAAAUUAGUAAUGCAACAAAUAUGAUAGCGAACCAAAUUUUAGGUAGUACAAAAACACCGAAAAAGUCUUACAAAUUCUUAACCAAAAAGAAAAAUUAUACUUUCCAUCCCUAACCAAACAUAAAUUUAUUAAGGAAGCAGUGCUCCUUAGCCGCUAAUAUAUCUCAAUGCUGCUCUAACUUGCAUAGAAGCAUAUUUAGUUGUUCAAAACCCUCAAGGCCGCCGUAAUCUCCUGAGGGAUGUUUCCAGCAGCUAGAUUGUCUUUCACCAUGAGCAUCUGGACUACCACUUGGCUCCUGAGCAUAAUUGGAUCCUAGAAACAGUGAAACAAAUUCACCUUUAAAUGCUAAAGUGGUUGGAUUAUAAAUGGCAAAUUAAAACUCAUCGUAAAGAUAAUUACUGUAGUGUUCAUCCAGGUCAUGCUACGCAAAGAACCUAGCUGGUGGGCCAUCUCUUGUAGAACUAAGAAACCCGAGUCUUUGCUAUGACAAACAGAAUAAAACUUGAGAUUUCUACAUACUGCAUCUUAUUCAUCUGAAAAAUUUAUUAAAUUACCACCGAAAAUUGAAUGACAUGUUGUCUUGUCGCCAAUCCAUGAGUUCAGUGUUCCAUCCAAGGACCCUAGCCUGCAACACUUAGUUGAGUUCUUGCUUCAAAAUAGUGAUCUCCUUCAUCAUCUCUUUGUUGUGAGUGCUAUUUCCCACUUGUCGUACGUCUAGUGAUGGAUUAAAUAUGAUAACCCUUCUCCUCAUCCGAUUUACCACAAGUAGACCAUACGAGGAAUCCGGGAUAGACAACGAAAGUAGAUACUACAGAAGGUCAACACAGGUUAAUUGCUAUCAGGAAAGAAAACAUAAUUUAGGAAUUAAAGACUCUUAUAAAUGUGGAGUUGAACACAUCAUAUCUAGGAAAGGGCUGCAGAACAGCAUUGUUGAUCAGCGUCGAGGUGCGGUGCCCUUGCGGCAUCCAGGAAUACCUUAGAGCUCGUGAUUGAGCAUGAAACUGCAAGUCAAAAUAAUGUUUUCCUCCAACCAUGUUGGUGCCUGCAUGCCUCUCUACUUCAGCGCUCGCAAGCUUACGAACAACGAGAUUGAAGCAUUCGGGAUGUAGGCUUGCUGAAGUAACAAAUAGUGUGUCCUUCAGCAUUCUGAGGCUGAUUUCGAUCCGGUACGGUGUAUCGCUUCUUAUCCAGAUUGAGCUGCACGUAAAAAUACAUAAAAAUGGUUAGCACUAUGAGUGGUACUUUAAAACAUAAAUUGUUCAUAUGGUAACAUUUUUUAGAUAAUCUAAUAGCUAUGAGCAGAACAUAAUAUUUUGAUAAACUAUAGAGCAUGAAAUUUUUUGCAGCACCUUCUAGCAAAAGCUAAAAUUAAAUAAUAAUUUCUCUGUAAGAACAAUAUUAAUUUGUUAGAAAUUAAGAGCAGGAAAAUUUAGGUAGCACCCAUUGUCGGUGUCAAAACCGGCGGAUCUCGGGUAGGGGGUCCCGAACUGUGCGUCUAGGCCGGAUGGUAACAGGAGACAAGGGACACGAAGUUUUACCCAGGUUCGGGCCCUCUUGAUGGAGGUAAAACCCUACGUCCUGCUUGAUUAAUAUUGAUGAUAUGGGUAGUACAAGAGUAGAUCUACCACGAGAUCAAGGAGGCUAAACCCUAGAAGCUAGCCUAUGGUAUGAUUGUUGUAUCAUGAAGUUGUCCUACGGACUAAAACCCUCCGGUUUAUAUAGACACCGGAGAGGGUUAGGGUUACACAAAGUCGGUUACAAUGGUAGGAGAUCUUGAAUAUCCGCAUCGCCAAGCUUGCCUUCCACGCCAAGGAAAGUCCCAUCCGGACACGGGACGAAGUCUUCAAUCUUGUAUCUUCAUAGUCCUGGAGUCCGGCUGAAGGUAUAGUCCGGCUACCCGGACACCCCCUAAUCCAGGACUCCCCCAGUAGCCCCUGAACCAGGCUUCAAUGACGAUGAGUCUGGCGCACAGAUUGUCUUCGGCAUUACAAGGCGGGUUCCUCCUCCAAAUUCCUCUUAAACACCAAGGAUAGUGUCCGGCUCUGCAAAAAAGCUUCCACAUAUUGCCAUAGAGAGAAUAAUAUUAAUACAAAUCUAAUCUGCUGACGUUUUCCGCAGUAUGACAUCACACUACGGCCAAGCCUUUUACUCGAAUCGUUUUUACUUUUCCACCUCAGCAUGUUUUGCGAGGCGGUUUCCUUGGCAUGUCUUGUCUAAGCAGAGAUCAUGUCCCCUUUAUUUACGGGAUUCUCAUCAAUACGGACGUGGGUAACCCAAUCAUGCCCGUUAGCAUGUUUCCUCGAUUAAAGGCGAGUCCCAAACGGUUACGGGGAGGGCUCUUGGUAUUGAACCACUUAUAAAGAGACUAAGGCCUUACUCCUUUUUCCAAUCUCAAACGAGUCCGCCCGUCGCGUUCCAACACCCUAGGCUCCAGAUUCCAGGCGCUUCGGACCUUCGACAAUGUCCGACUCCGACCUUCAAGGCCGAUGGAUGCCCUCCUCCGUCACGGAGGAGGACGUGCUAAAGUUGAGAGAGGCCAAGUUCUUGACCGGCGAAAUUUCGCAUAGGUUGCCUGCUCAAGGGCAGGCCAUUCCCAGUCCCCAGCCCGGUGAGAGCGUGGUGUUCAUGUCUCACUUCCUUCGGGGGUUAGGCUUCCCAAUGGAUCCCUUUGUGAGGGGGCUGCUGUUUUAUUAUGGGCUGGAAUUCCACGACUUAGCUCCGGAGUCCAUCCUCCAUAUUUCCCCAUUCAUCAUCGUGUGUGAAGCGUUCCUCCGUGUUACCCCUCACUUCGGAUUAUGGUUCAAGACUUUUAAAGUGGAGCCGAAGAUGAUCGAGGGACGGCACGCAGAGUGCGGAGGCACUGUUAUAAGUAAGAAUGCUGAUGCUUCAUGGCCCGAGGGCUCCUUUCAAGAGGAGCUCGUUUGUGGCAACGAGAGUGGUUCUAUAUCACCGCUCCCAGGGGCACCAAGUGGGUGGCACCUCCUGCCUUUCGCUCGGGUCCUCCACCACGGCUAGCGUCAUGGGUCAACAAAGGAUUAGAUUGGGGAUUAUCCAAAGACGUGCCCUUGUUGCAGGGCCGCAUUAGGGAUCUCUUAGAAAGAGACCUCAGCCUGGUCAAGGUGACACAGGUCAUGCUGAUUCGCCGAAUAUUGCCCGGCAAACAUUGCUCCCUUCGCCUGUGGGAGUUUAAUCCAGAGGGACCGCGAGCUCUCCAGCAUUUCAUGGGUGCAACGCCCACGGAGAUGUAUAAACUGUUCUUCGGAUCACAAGCAAUGUGUCCGGAUUUGACCGAGGACGCAGGUCUAAGCUGCAAUCGCCCGGAUACUCAAGUAAGUAACCUUGUGCCCGGACCUGCUAUCCGCAUAAUUGUCAUAAACUUGCCCCUAAAAGAGCUGCCCUUUUAAACAGGAGUGGAUAGCGAAGGCAAAACUGAUCAGGUGUCCGGCUCCCCUUCCCGAAACCAGGCCAGAUCCCGUGCUUGUCAGGAUGUUGAAGAUAAUGCCUUUGGAGGGAAGUGAGGGGAAGGACAAGGAAACUAUGGCCUCCUCGAAGGAGGCUGUUCCGAAGGGAGGAACCGACAAUUCCUCCCCUAAGGGGAAAAAGAGGACUGCUUCUGAAAACCAGGAGGCUAUAGCCUCCAAGCGGGGGAAAAAUCCUCGUCAGAGGGUCCUACGCCGGGGGAUUCCUCGGCUGAACUAUGCCCUCAAGAGGACCAGCCCUCCAGUGAGCCAUAAGUGGAGAAAUAUUUUCCUUUAGAGGGAUGAGAGAAAUCCUUGCUUUAUAUCUGAGAAGAUUAACCGAAUUUCCACCUUGUAGCUCGUACCUCAGCCCUUCUCAGUAGAGCUCGUCUUCGGGGGAUCUUCUUCCGGAGAUGAUGGAGAGCGGGACGCCUCCUCCUGCCAUACCGCCUAGCAAGGCGGGCGACCCUGAGGUGUCGUCGCGGAGGGUUUCUCCGAGUCCGGCAGGGGCGGAAGAUAGCUAUGUGCCCCCCCAAGGUUCUCCGCGUCCGGACUUUGAAAGAGGCCAUAGGACAAGUAUGACACCGUCUGGUGCUCGACUGGAGGAGCUAAAGAUUCUGCUGGGGCGAGCUUCUAUCUCAGAGGAGCACCGUGCAUUGAUGGGCAUGGUGAUUGAAAGGGUUUCAUCCGCAGAAAGCGGAUUGCAUGAGGCCGUCAGAAGUUUACUGACGGGUUUUGAGGUACGUUGGAUAAUGUACACUUUUGUCAGUUGCGCAUAAGUAAGAUGCGCCCUGUGUAGAUAGUAGCCCCUGAGACUCUGUGCGUUGUCAAAAUUGACGGUGUGCAGAGGAUCAUAAUCCCUGGUCUUAAAUGUCGCCUUUGUAUAUAGGUGGCAAAUUGUCCGGAAUCGAGCCGGAUUGAUGAUUUUACCGAACUAAAGCGGCAACUUGACGUGGCAGAUGCCGACAUCGCGCUUGUUAAAAGCGGCUUGAUGAGGCUCAAGGUAUGUAAUUCCUCGGGUGGCAUCUGGUAAGAGGAGCUUUAUGCCAGUAUCUUACAAUGUGUGUGCUUGACGCAGAUGGUGCGGCUGCCGUGGAGAGUCUUCGGGCGGAACUUGCCCGAGCUAAGGAACGAGCCAGGAAAAGUGAUGCGGCUGCCGAGAAAGCCCUUGAAGAGCUGAGAGCCGAACAGGCUGCUCACUGCCGAAGCAAGAAGGAGAUGGCCGUGAAGUUAAAGAGCGCUGCUGACCGUUGCAAGCUUCUUGAGAAAGAAGACCGGGCGAGACAGACAGACUUAGAGAUGGCCGUUGCUGAUGCCAAGGACGCUCGCUCUGCGAUGAGAGCUGCGAAGGGGGAGCUGCGUCAGGCCGGACAGAUUGCGGCUGGAAAGCCCUUUAUGCUGCGGAGGAAGUUUUGCGAUCCGAAGUUUGCUCUGCUGGACCGGAUGUGGAGUGUGGAGGACACCUAUCUGGAUUUGGCAGCAAGUGCUGCUAAUGCGACCGAACACUUUCGAGAUCAAAAAGAUCGCGAAGUGGAAAAGCUUUUCUGGUCGCAGUUCCACAAUCCAGAGCGUCCACUAGCAGUGGAUGAUCGUCUGGCUCAAUGGGCCAAACUGAAUAGGUUGUCCGGACUCGCCAUGAAGUACGUCAUGGGUCAUCUGUGGCCGGGGAGAUCGGAGUCGAAGAGUUAUUUCAGCUUGGUGCAACAAUUCCUUGACGCGGUGCCGCGUAUCAAUGCGAUGAAGAGGUCAGCAUGCAUAGAGGGCACACGGAUGGCUCUUGCCCGUGUCAAGACAUACUGGGCAGGGAUGGAGACCACUGUUGUUGCGUCCCGAGAUUCGCACAAAUGCCGAGUACCCUCCGAGCACUAUUUUCAGGAAGUCCUUGAAGGCGCUCGUGUAAUAGAGACGCAGUGCUCGAAGGAUGCUAUGUUAUGAUAGCAUAUGUAAUAAUAUUUUGAUAAAUUGUAGUAGCCUUUUAUACUUGUGCCUUCAAGUAUUGGGAACACCUCCUGUGCGGCCGUUUGAAGAUAUAUAUAUAUACAAAAUCUAAAAGAUGGCAGUCGUUGGCUUCAGCCCCCACGCACAUAGUGCGGGGGUGCUCACAGAAGACGCAUUUUCACACUUAAUCUAAUGUCUUGGUCCUACAAAGGAGGUGAUAGCGCAGCGGGCUAGGCAACUGGACUAUAAUGCUUUAACACUUUCACUUAGCCAUAGGAGCUUGACGAUGGGACUAUUUAGGUAGCCCCUGGUGGCGACUGCGCUCGCCCGAGUUCGGGGCGCGUAUGUGCCUAGCCGGGAAACGGCCCUUCGUUAAAGCGGAGGAAUACUAUAGAUUCCGGUAGGUCAUCGAGUGGCUGACCAGUCUCACGCUACAUCAUGACAGUCAGUUUUUGGCUUUCUCUACUGAGGUGAUCGCCCGGCCUAACCGGGCACAAUCGCAGUAGUUCUCCUGGUGCUACCUUAGCCGAUAGAGCGGAAUGUAGGGUAGCCGAACACAGGAGCCGGGCAACCCAACAUUUGACCAAAGACAUGAUUCGGAGCUGAUGCAUAUAAUGCCAAAACUCGCGACGCCGACCACUCCCUAAGGUGUUCGGUCUUUAUGAGUGCGGGCGAAACAACACCCUUUAUUAAAAAGCCCCUAGUGUCCAGGUACGCGCAAAAAUUCUGACGUGGCCACAUGCCAAGACACCAGCCUCCUCCUUGGUUAUAUCAGAGAAAACCAGGGGAUAUAUAGCAACAAGAGACAGUAAAAAAGGUCUACGCAGGGUCUUAAUCUAAAAAUAAUCCUUAGAACGGGUCCCUACUGCACGUCUGCGCCUGUGUCUCCGUUGUGCCGUAUCCUGGACGGGCGUAGCAUGAUGGUCAUCUGUAAAAAGAGAGUAACUAAGUUGAAAAAAAGGGUCGUGCCAAACAUAAUUUAUAUUGAAUGAACAAAGUGUAAGGUAAAAUAUGUGAAACCGAGCUUAAUUGUCUCUUAGGUUACAAGUGCGGAGCCCCUAGAACAGGGGUGUGUGGCCGUUAAGCCUGCAUCAAUGAUAAUUUUGUACCGAACUCGUCUAUCCGCGUCCGUGGUCUUUAAUGACCUGUUCAGAUGUUUUUGGUCGGUGAAGCCAUUUUAUUGUGGAGCUGUCAAAGCAGCCGCACAGUCUUCCACUUGGGGGAGGCGCACUUCAAUGCUUCCCCUUCAAAGAGAUGAUGCCUCGUGGAUCGGGCAUCUUAAGCGUUAGAGAUGCAUAAUGCGGUAUUGCGUUAAAGCAGGCGAAAGCUUCGCGUCCUAGUAGUGCUUGAUAGCGACUUGAGAAUGGGACGAUGUGGAAAGUUAGCUUUUCGCGGCGGAAGUUAUCGGGGUAGCCGAAUAUAACUUCAAGUCGGAGACAACCCAUGCACCGGGUGUCCGGACCUGGCGUUACCCCUUGAAAGGAGGUUUUGCUGUGACGAAUUCUUGUUCGGUCUAUCCCCAUGUGGCGGAUUGUGUCCUGAUAUAUCAGGUUUAGACCGCUGCCACCGUCCACUAGGAUAUUUGUAAAUUGGAGUCCGCCGAUUAUUGGAUCGAGUACCAGGGCGGUCCAGCCUGCGUUCCUGGUACUUCUGGAGUAAUCUAGAUGGUCGAAGAUGAUUGGUUUUGACAACCAGUGGCGAGACUCCUUUGGGAUAGGCCGUGUGGCGCGUACCUUUAUGGGCGCCGCGCGUUUUGUUAUGUGAAGUAAGUUUACUGUUUUUACUUCUUGUGGGAAGUUCUUUUGUUUCCUUGUGUUCUGCUUUUGGGGUUCGUCAUCGUCUUCGCUUGGUAUGUCGAGCCCCUUGUGUUCGGCAUUGAAUCUGCCGGAUUGUUUGAAGACCCAACAAUCUUUGUGGGUAUGGUUGGCAGGCUUCCCGGGAGUACUGUGUAUUUGACAUAUCCUGUCCAGGAUUUUGUUUAAGUUGGAUGGAUCAUCCCUGUUAUCCUGGAGGGGCGGCUUUGUCUGAUUCAGUCGUGAGCUUUUGAAUCCGGCGUUGACUGCCGUGCUCUUCGGACUUUUCUCCUUAGUCCGGCGACGGUCCUUAUUGCGUCGCGGUUUUCCGUUUCCAUCCCUAGUUUCGGAUGUACUUGGGUCGCUGGUGCUACAUCUUGCCAACCAGCUGUCCUCUCCUGCACAAAAGCGGGUCAUGAGGCUUGUUAGUGCGGCCAUUGUUCUUGGCUUUUCCUGGCCGAGGUGUCUGGCGAGCCAUUCGUCUCGGACAUUAUGCCUGAAAGCUGCUAAGGCUUCGGCGUCCGGACAGUCGACUAGCUGAUUCUUUUUAGUGAGAAAUCUAUUCCAGAAUUGCCGAGCUGAUUCUUCGGGCUAUUGAGUUAUGUGACUAAGAUCGUCUGCAUCCGGAGGGCGGACAUAGGUCCCUUGAAAAUUUGCUCGGAAAGCGUCCUCGAGCUCUUCCCAACUUCCGAUUGUGUUUUCAGGAAGGAUUUUAAGCCAAUGCCGGGCUGGCCCUUUAAGCUUGAGGGGUAAGUAUUUUAUGGCGUGGAGGUCAUCUCCUCUAACCAUAUGUAUGUGGAGGAUAUAAUCCUCGAUCCAGACCCCAGGGUCUGUUGUUCCAUCAUAUGCCUCUAUGUUUACGGGUUUGAAUCCCUCUGGAAAUUCAUAAUCCAGGACCUCAUCGGUGAAACAUAGGGGGUGUGCGGCGCCCCUGUAUUUGGGUGUGCCGGAUUCUGAUGAUGGCUUUAUUGCAUUGCUUACGAGAGCUUGCUUUCUUGGCCCGUAAAUGGACCGGGCUGGGCCAUGAUGCGAAUCCUUAAGUGGGUCGCAUGCCGGCUUAAGUGCGGCGCCGCUUGCCGUUUUAUGCUGGCCAUGGGGUCGUCUAUCCGGCCGUUUGGCUUUCUUAUUUUUUGAAUGCGAGGGCUCUAAGGCCUCUUCGUCGAAUUCAGGCAGUAGCUUUCUCUUCGGAUAGCUUUUAGUGUGGCGACUGUUGCCGUAUUUAUCUGCGGUAUUCAUUACUUUGCUCCAUCUGAUCCGGAGUGCAUCUUCCGCAGUUUUUAGCUUCCGCUUCUACCUUUUCAGGCUGCGUGCUAUUGCAAUGAGCCUCUUGUGGAGGUUCUUCCGCUCCGUGGGUUUAUCCGGCGUAAGGUCGUCCGGAGUGCCAUUUUCACCGGGGGAGGGAUGUUCGGUUUCUCUAUCCGAGUUGCCCUGUUCGGACGGUUGCUCUAAGGCCUGCUCGUCGUCUAUCGGCUCAUCCUGCUCUAUGGCUGGGUCUUUAUCGAGGUGGGGCUUGGGUCGGCGUUUACGCCGAUGCUUUGAUUGUUUUUCGAGGGACCGGUCCCUCUUUCCAUCCCCUUUUUCCUCGUUGUCGCUUCCUUUAGGGGUAUCCACCAUGUACACAUUGUGAGAUGAGGUGGCUGUCCAAUGCCCUAUGGGCGUUGGUUCAUCUGCGUCUCCUGCAUCGUCGUCCAUGCUGUCGAUGUCUACGGAGUCGAAGUUGAGCAUGUCAUUUAAAUUGUCGACAGUGGCUACCAAGUGGGUGGUGGGUGGGCUUUGAAUUUCUUCAUCGUCCGUAUCCCAUCCUUGCUGAUCGUAGUCCGGCCAGGGCUCUCCUGAUAAAGAGAGCGACUUUAGAGAAUUCAAGAUGUCACCGGAGGGCGAGUGCUGAAAGAUGUCCGCGGCGGUGAACUCCAUUAUCGGUGCCCAAUCGGAUUCGAUCGGCAGGGGCGCGGGGGGCUCGGAGUUCGGAGAGGAAUCCGGCUCCUCGGAGUCACGGGCCGUGCGGAGCGCGGGGCUGGUAUUUGGCUUGAUCUCCUUUGAGAUCGCAGCCCCCGAGGUGACGUCCAACCGCUCAUCCUCGAUUGGCGCAAUAGGCUCCGAAUUAAGGGUCGGAACCGGUGCGUGUGCGGCAUCCAAGGCACUUUUUGGCGGCAGAGCUAGAUCAUGCCCCACGAGACAGUGCGGCGCGCUCGGCUAUGGCUCGAAUCCAUCGAAGAUCAAAUCCCCGCGGAUGUCCCCCGUGAAGUUUAAGCUUCCAAACCUGACCUGAUGGCUAGGGGCGUAGCUUUCGAUCUGCUCCAGGUGGCCAAGCGAAUUGGCCCACAGUGCGAAACCACCGAAGACAAAGAUCUGUCCGGGGCGAAAAGUCUCGCCUGUACUUCACCGUUAUAGAUGAUCGAAGGAGCCAUCGGGCCCAAAAGUGACGACACAAAGGAACUCUCAAUGAAAGCACCAAUGUCGGUGUCAAAAUCGGCGGAUCUCGGGUAGGGGUCCCGAACUGUGCGUCUAGGCCGGAUGGUAACAGGAGACAAGAGACACGAAGUUUUACCCAGGUUCGGGCCCUCUUGAUGGAGGUAAAACCCUACGUCCCGCUUGAUUAAUAUUGAUGAUAUGGGUAGUACAAGAGUAGAUCUACCACGAGAUCAAGGAGGCUAAACCCUAGAAGCUAGCCUAUGGUAUGAUUGUUGUAUCAUGAAGUUGUCCUACGGAAUAAAACCCUCCGGUUUAUAUAGACACCGGAGAGGGUGAGGGUUACACAAAGUCGGUUACAAUGGUAGGAGAUCUUGAAUAUCCGCAUCGCCAAGCUUGCCUUCCACGCCAAGGAAAGUCCCAUUCGGACACUGGACGAAGUCUUCAAUCUUGUAUCUUCAUAGUCCUGGAGUCCUGCUGAAGGUAUAGUCCGCCUACUCGGACACCCCCUAAUCCAGGACUCCCUCACCCAUUAUACCAAGUUUGCUGGCUGUUCAAAAACAAUAUUAAAUUGUUGUACAAUAUAGUAAGGACAUUAAGUUUUUCAACAUUUGUACUGCAAAUAAUAUUAGCGUUCUUUUAUUCAUUACAUACGGUUGAUGUGCAACGGAAAUACUGCCAAAACAUUUAACAAAAAUAAUUUUGUACUGAUGGCCGCAAAAAGUAAGAUUUAAUCUAAAGAAAAACAAAUCAAGCAAUAUCAUACUCCUAUAUCAAACAGAGUCUGCUGUGUACGACCUAGUUCUAAUGAGAUUUCUUUACAGAAAAUAAACAUACAAUAGCAUAACUUACUCUAGUGUCUGCUCAUCAUGAACGCCCUUCAUAAAGCCGAAAAUAUAUUCGAGUGCAUCUUCCACGAAAUGCCUUGGUGGGGGCAGAAGAUGCAGGGGUGCGGGCAAAUCCUCCUGGGGGUCGGCCACAGCAUCGUGGAGCUGGAGGGCAGCCUCAUUGGGGUCGGGGGCAGCGGCAUCCACGGUCGCCGGCGCAUUGCUUCCAAUGAUAGGCUCCAUCGUUGAUCGAUACGCGUGAGUGAUCGUUCACUGAGGUGUCUUGGCAAUUAGGAUGUCGAUGCAGCAUAUAUAUAAACGGAUAUAUUUUUAAUGCUAUUUAUUGCCUGCCAAAUAUAUCAAGUCAUUUUUAAGACGUAGAUGAUUCUUUCUAAUUAUAAAAAAUCGUGACGCGGGCGUAUCAGAUCUUUCUCCUUUUUUAUAGUUGAAUAUUUUAUUCCUAAGGAUUGCCAUAUUUACAGUUCAAUCUCAACGAAUCGAAAAAAAUCAACCUUUGUAUAAAACCAGAUAUCCCGAAUUAAGUACGCGUACAAAAAAUACAUACUGCCAUAAUGGCUACACGUAGAGUUGACAAGCAAAAAGAAAACACACUUUAACAAAAAUGAUUGUUCUGUGUGAAUACAUUAUUAUUCCAAAUGUAGAUAAAAGGACCGAGGGAAACGGGCUAUUUAAUGAGCCGUGUUGAAAAGCAAACUCAUCUACUGUCCAUUUUUCCUGGCUACAACUGCAGCAUUGACGUAUGAUAGUGUUUCGUCAAGUGUCAUUAAGCAGGCUUCAUGGAUAUCUACAAAAAAAAACAAUUUGUUAGUACUGAUAACAUCGUAACACAGAAAUGAACAAAAAGCCAUAAAGAUCAAAAUAGUUUAUAGAACUUACCUUGAAGAUGAUGAACAUCAUCAUUACUGUCGGGGGAGAACAAGAAUGUGCUCUCCCUCAUAGUCUCCAGGCACUUAUCCCUCCGGUUUAGCUGUAUGUACGUAACUGCAAUUUUCUCGAACAAAUUUUCAGUGCACUGCAAGUGGUACAAGUGACGACCAGCAUGCUCUUGACUUAGGCGUAUAAAAAGUAUCUCCCGUCUGGAAUGAUAAAGAUAUGUUGAUGGUAGUGAACUAUCAAAUAUUAAUAAUCAUAUAAAACCUCAAGUACUAAUUGGAGUUUACCGAAAAUUCAUGAUGCCUAUCUCAACAAAUGGACCCGCCGUCUAUAUACUGAAUCCCACCUAUGUUAUAUCCUACCAGCAUAGACAAGAAUACCAAGAACAUCUGGAAAAAAUUAAGUCUGGGUGAGACAAAAUGUUAAAUCGAUAAAUAUGCAAAAGCAAACUAAAAGAUGUUGCACCGGUAAUGGUUUUGUCCCGUAGCAAGGAUAUGGCACCAAGUUGUGGGAAAAAAGGUGGACAGAUUGUCGAUGCAAUACUGUGCACCGAUGUACUAACCAUGGUUAUAGCAUUUAGUUCAAUGACAAACUCCAUGCAUAGAUACCAGAAGUGACCAUCUAGCAUUUCCGUGGGGUUUAUCCCGACGCUACUGAAGUCAUAUGUUAGCCCGGUCUGCAGAAUGGCGUUGAAUUGAUAAGCUUGGUUGCUGAAGGCAAUUGCUUCAAUCUUUGUUCCCUAGAAAUUUUUAAAAAUUCAGAUAACAAGACUUUAGAACACAUGUGUAUAUACAUUAAAAAAGGUUGAUAUAUUUAGUGAUCACUAAUCUCAUACUUCCUGGUCCACAAGUAUGCAACGAAAGCAUGGGUUUCCCAUUGCAUGCACCCUGAUAUGGGACUUCCACAUCACCUUAGCUCGAAUGAUCCAACAUCUGUGAUAGAUAUGUUCCAUCUGUACACUUUGAAAAUUCAGGUACCUACAUAAAAUAAUACAAAAUGAUGGGAUAAACAAACGGUGAUGUCAGAUAAGCGUGCAUGAAAAUCUGUACACUUGCCUGUUCAUCGGAGGGCUGAUGGGAUCCGGUGGAUUCGCCAUCACCCUCCUCGAGGGCCUCGAGCUAUACGAUAUCACCAUGGUCAGGGAGCUAAUGGAUGAAGUGUUAAAGAAAGAUAGAGGGGCGCACGGGCAUAUAUACUCCAAGGGGCCCAUAGGCGGGAAAAUCAACAUUCUUUCAAUAUUUGCAUGUGGCCGUCUAGCAAAAAAAAACCUCUACUAUCGAAACGAUUAUAAAUAGUAAGUUAUGAGAGUUCUUUGGCAACAAAAAAUUUAUUGCUAAAACUUUUUGAAUCAAUUAGUUAUUUAUAGAUAUUUGAGAUUCUUAAUCUGAUAAAAAUCAUGUCAAUUAUCUCACCAGUAUCAUUGUUUCCUUUUCGCCUGUGAAUACGCUAUAUUCAAUAUAACAAACCGCGGGAAUAUAAUGAUGACUUCAGAUUUUUAGUUAGAAACACAAUAAUUGGAUAUAUCAAAAUAAUUAAGGUGAUAGUGCGUUAAGGUAAGUGUAUUCACGCAAUUAAUAUAUUACCAUUAUUUACAAACAUGUAAUCAAUUAAAAAAUCGAUUAUUUACUCAGCUUUUAUUAUACUAUAGUCACGCAAUUAAUAUAUUACCAUGGAUUCACUAAUAUUUUGUCGAUUAAAUAUAUUACCAUUAAUUACAAACAUGUAAUCAAUUAAAAAAUCAAUUAUUUACUCGGCUUUUAUUAUACUAUAUGUUUAUUUAUAAUAUCCCAGGAUAUUUGAUUUUAGUACAUGUGAUGAGACAUCGUUGUGUUACUUUGCAACUACUAUUUUACGGGCAUUUUAAAAUAGUCACAAUUUCGUUGGUCGCGGUUGCAUGCACAAUUGAGUAUGCGCGUGAAAAGCUAACUUCGAUCUGUUUUUUAAUUAGCGUCUCUUUUUUAAUUUGAAUCGGUAUGCACUGUGUAGUAACAGCCGCACAUUCAAAACCAUCAUGCUUAAUUGAGCAGCCUGUGCAUUUUGUGACAUAAGUUAGUUAAUACAGCACAAACGCAGUCGAUGCCAUUUGUAAUAUAAAGAAAAUCUUGAUGGAAGUAUGGAUUACAACAUUUGUACCGUGUAUUCAUAUAAGAAAAAGAAAAAUAUAGCAUGUUAGGCGACAAAACUCAAAGGGAAGAUAAAAAACAGAGAGUAAGAAAGCAAGCAUGAAACAAUAUCUGUUCUUUAUUCAUACUUUCAUAGUUUGACUCCAAAUCGAUUACAAUGCAAAAUGCUCUUAAGGAGCAUUGAAACAUAAAACAUAAAAAGCUGUAAAGAAUAUUGUAUAACUCCUCAUGAUUGCUCCUUUCAAGGCAUUCCCGUCUUCUUGUCGCAUGCUUGCAUGUGCUUCACAACCAUAUAUUCCAACUGAUUGAUCUUCUUUAUGAGAGUUUGCAUCAGCUUGUUGCUCUCCUUGGUUGCCUGCAGAAUUUGAUCGUUUCUAGUAGCCCAACCGUCCCCCAAACCUUCUUUCCUAUUGUCUUUCCUAACGGGAUAUCUACUACUAAUAGGCAGGUUAUAGGCUCGACGUGAUUAUGCAUCCUAAGCCUUUUUGACUUUGGUGUGUUACCCUCAGCAGAGGGACGCAUCGGCGUAGUGCCGUCAUGAUCUUCCAGUACACCGAGAUCUUCACUUUCUUAUUCCUGCCAACGAAUAUCCUCAAUAGCAUCAUCGCUAAAGCGAAUUGAACUGUUGGAUGACGCCAUGUGAGAGGAGGAUGGAGUGUCAAGAAAUCCUUUAACUUGUUCAAGAGAGGUCUGGCAAGGUCGCUCGAACGGUUGAUCAAUAUAUAAGCGUUUCUAGGAAGCUCUGAUGACGAAAUCGGUAAACAAAUCGACUGAUUUGGUCACGAUCAAAUAUUAAUUAAUGGGAUCAAUUUUGUGAUUCGGUGAGUAGAACCUACUAUAUGAUUACAAGACAAAAAAGAUAACCUGUCUUAAGAUUUCAUGUGUGAUAAACCGAAUAGGAACUUUUUUAAAGGAAGCAAAUAAAAUAUUUAACAUGCACGUAUUGUUUUAGUGACAGGAUAUCAAAGAUUCGCGAAAUAUCUGCCUAUAAUUUCAUAAUUAAUUAGAAUUUUACACACCAGACGAUUCUGAUAUUAAAUAGCUGUUUGUAUAGAAAAAUGUUUGUUAGUUUUAUAAUAUCUUCUUUUACAUUUUUAGUACAACGUUGUUUUGUUUCAGUAUGUUAUUUUUAGUGUACACAACAAAAAAUACAAUCUGAAGGCGGAAAUAUUUCUACAGAAAAUUAAUUAACUUAGCACACACGGUGGAGUAUGCACUAGUAGAAAAAGGGUCAAAUAUGAGAAACAUUAGUACCGGUUUGCAUAUGAGCCGGCACUAAUGCGUCCAUUAGUGCCGGUUCAAAUGACUUGGCGGGAGGUGAACUUUAGUACCGGUUCAUUGCAUAUCUUUAGUACCGGUUCGUGGCACGAACCAGUACUAAAGGUGCUGGCCGGGAACCAGCAUCUUUAGUACCGGUUCGUGCCACGAACCGGUACUAAAUAGGUUGUGGCAGGCGCUAUUUUUAGUCCCACCUCGGUCCCCUAACAAGAAUUUGACCACCUUAAAUAUGUUACUUCUCAAACUAUCACAAGCAGUUGGUCUUCAUUGAACUCUAUGUGUAGGAUCUGUGACUGCAAUAGGAGUCUUCGCCGGUUCUUAAAUCGGUGGUAGAUUCCUAUUGAUGAUGUUGAUUCUAUACAAAAAGAUCAUUGAUGAUCAAUGUAUUUUUUAUAUGUACUAGAUUCCUAUUGACGAUGUAGAUUCUAUACAAAAAGAUCAUUGAUGAUCAAUGUAUUUUUCAUAUGUACUUCUCUGUAGCAGUAGCGCGUUUCGGCUGAAAGGCGGUACUGACCAAUGUAUUUUUUCUGCGUUCAGAUGCACAAUUUAAAUAUGUCAAUUUAAAUAUGUUAUUUUUCAAACUAUCACAAGCAUUUGGUCUUCAUUGAACUCUAUAUAAAGAAGAAGCAGAAGAAGAAGCAGAAGAAGAAGAAGAGGAAGAAGAAGCAGAAGAAGAAGAAGAAGAAGAAGAAGAANNNNNNNNNNNNNNNNNNNNNNNNNNNNNNNNNNNNNNNNNNNNNNNNNNNNNNNNNNNNNNNNNNNNNNNNNNNNNNNNNNNNNNNNNNNNNNNNNNNNNNNNNNNNNNNNNNNNNNNNNNNNNNNNNNNNNNNNNNNNNNNNNNNNNNNNNNNNNNNNNNNNNNNNNNNNNNNNNNNNNNNNNNNNNNNNNNNNNNNNNNNNNNNNNNNNNNNNNNNNNNNNNNNNNNNNNNNNNNNNNNNNNNNNNNNNNNNNNNNNNNNNNNNNNNNNNNNNNNNNNNNNNNNNNNNNNNNNNNNNNNNNNNNNNNNNNNNNNNNNNNNNNNNNNNNNNNNNNNNNNNNNNNNNNNNNNNNNNNNNNNNNNNNNNNNNNNNNNNNNNNNNNNNNNNNNNNNNNNNNNNNNNNNNNNNNNNNNNNNNNNNNNNNNNNNNNNNNNNNNNNNNNNNNNNNNNNNNNNNNNNNNNNNNNNNNNNNNNNNNNNNNNNNNNNNNNNNNNNNNNNNNNNNNNNNNNNNNNNNNNNNNNNNNNNNNNNNNNNNNNNNNNNNNNNNNNNNNNNNNNNNNNNNNNNNNNNNNNNNNNNNNNNNNNNNNNNNNNNNNNNNNNNNNNNNNNNNNNNNNNNNNNNNNNNNNNNNNNNNNNNNNNNNNNNNNNNNNNNNNNNNNNNNNNNNNNNNNNNNNNNNNNNNNNNNNNNNNNNNNNNNNNNNNNNNNNNNNNNNNNNNNNNNNNNNNNNNNNNNNNNNNNNNNNNNNNNNNNNNNNNNNNNNNNNNNNNNNNNNNNNNNNNNNNNNNNNNNNNNNNNNNNNNNNNNNNNNNNNNNNNNNNNNNNNNNNNNNNNNNNNNNNNNNNNNNNNNNNNNNNNNNNNNNNNNNNNNNNNNNNNNNNNNNNNNNNNNNNNNNNNNNNNNNNNNNNNNNNNNNNNNNNNNNNNNNNNNNNNNNNNNNNNNNNNNNNNNNNNNNNNNNNNNNNNNNNNNNNNNNNNNNNNNNNNNNNNNNNNNNNNNNNNNNNNNNNNNNNNNNNNNNNNNNNNNNNNNNNNNNNNNNNNNNNNNNNNNNNNNNNNNNNNNNNNNNNNNNNNNNNNNNNNNNNNNNNNNNNNNNNNNNNNNNNNNNNNNNNNNNNNNNNNNNNNNNNNNNNNNNNNNNNNNNNNNNNNNNNNNNNNNNNNNNNNNNNNNNNNNNNNNNNNNNNNNNNNNNNNNNNNNNNNNNNNNNNNNNNNNNNNNNNNNNNNNNNNNNNNNNNNNNNNNNNNNNNNNNNNNNNNNNNNNNNNNNNNNNNNNNNNNNNNNNNNNNNNNNNNNNNNNNNNNNNNNNNNNNNNNNNNNNNNNNNNNNNNNNNNNNNNNNNNNNNNNNNNNNNNNNNNNNNNNNNNNNNNNNNNNNNNNNNNNNNNNNNNNNNNNNNNNNNNNNNNNNNNNNNNNNNNNNNNNNNNNNNNNNNNNNNNNNNNNNNNNNNNNNNNNNNNNNNNNNNNNNNNNNNNNNNNNNNNNNNNNNNNNNNNNNNNNNNNNNNNNNNNNNNNNNNNNNNNNNNNNNNNNNNNNNNNNNNNNNNNNNNNNNNNNNNNNNNNNNNNNNNNNNNNNNNNNNNNNNNNNNNNNNNNNNNNNNNNNNNNNNNNNNNNNNNNNNNNNNNNNNNNNNNNNNNNNNNNNNNNNNNNNNNNNNNNNNNNNNNNNNNNNNNNNNNNNNNNNNNNNNNNNNNNNNNNNNNNNNNNNNNNNNNNNNCAGAAAAGAAAAAACUAUAUAAAAAAUUACUCAAAAAUAAAUAGAAGAAAAUAAAUAAUGCAGAAAAGUAAAAAAAUUAUAUAAAGCAAAAAAUAUAAAAAAAUGUUGGGGCGCUGCCCGGUGGGCCUGCCAGACCUACGGGUAUGCAAAUACAGGACCAGAAGAUCCAGCAGGCUCAUAGGGCAGCACACCGUAGUUAGGCCCGGAAGCCUGCUAUAUGGAGGAGUUCGAAAGGGCAACCGCGGCUGGGUUUAUAAACCAGUGCGGCUGCCCUUCGCUCGGUGAGGUGGGAGUAAAAGUGGCGCAUCGUGGGUGGUAGCGCACGGCCUUUACUACCGGUUGGUGGCUCCAACCGGUACUAAUGUGUUAACCUUUAGUACCGGUUGGUGCCACCAACUGGUACUAAAGGCCCUCUGAGGGAGUCCUCGACUAGGGGGUGUCCGAAUAGCCGAACUAUCAUCUUUGGCCGGACUCCUAGACUAUGAAGAUACAAGAUUGAAGACUUCGUCCCGUGUCCGGAUGGGACUUUCCUUGGCGUGGAAGGCAAGCUUGGCAAUACGGAUAUGUAGAUCUCCUACCAUUGUAACCGACUCUGUGUAACCCUAGCCCUCUCCGGUGUCUAUAUAAACCGGAGGGUUUUAGUCCGUAGGACAAACAACAAUCAUACCAUAGGCUAGCUUCUAGGGUUUAGCCUCUUUGAUCUCGUGGUAGAUCUACUCUUGUACUACCCAUAUCAUCAAUAUUAAUCAAGCAGGAGUAGGGUUUUACCUCCAUCGAGAGGGCCCGAACCUGGGUAAAAACAUCGUGUCCCUUGUCUCCUGUUACCAUCCGCCUAGACGCACAGUUCGGGACCCCCUACCCGAGAUCCGCCGGUUUUGACACCGACAUUGGUGCUUUCAUUAAGAGUUCCUCUGUGUCGUCACCGUUAGGCCCGAUGGCUCCUUCGAUCGUCAACAACAAUGCGGUCCCGGGUGAGACUUUUCUCCCCGGACAGAUCUUCAUAUUCGGCGGCUUUACACUGCGGGCCAAUUCACUUGGCCAUCUGGAGCAGAUUGAAAGCUACGCCCCUGGCCAUCAGGUCAGAUUUGGGAGUUUGAACUACACGGCCGACAUCCGUGGAGACUUGAUCUUCCACGGAUUCGAGCCACAGCCAAGCGUGCCGCACUAUCUCGAUGGGUAUGAUCUAGCUCUACCGCCGGACAGUACCCUGGAGGCCGCACCAGCGUCCGCUCCGACCCCUAGCUCGGAGCCGACUUCGCCGGUCGAGGAUGAGUGGCUGGACACCGCCUCGGGGGCUACGAUCUCUAUGGCGAUUGAGCCGAACACCAUCCCUGUCCUUCGCAAAGCCCGUGACUCCGAGGUGCCGGACUCCUCUCCGGACUCCGAACCUCCCGCGCCCCUGCCUAUCAAAUCCGAUUGGGCGCCGGUUAUGGAGUUCACUACCGCAGACAUCUUUCAGUACUCGCCCUUUGGCGACAUCCUGAAUUCACUAAAGUCUCUCUCUUUAUCAGGAGAGCCCUGGCCGGACUAUGGUCAGGAAGGUUGGGAUGCGGACGACGAAGAAAUUCAAUGCCCACCCACCACCCACUUUGUAGCCAUUGUCGAUGAUUUAACCGACAUGCUCGACUUUGACUCCGAAGACAUUGACGGUAUGGACGACGAUGCCGGAGACGACCAAGAACCAGCGCCUACAGGGCACUGGAAGGCCACCUCAACUCAUGAUGUAUAUAUGGUGGAUACACCUAAAAGAAGUGAUAACAAGGAACAACGGGAUGCUGCGAGGGAUAAUUCCCUCGAAAAGCAGUCAAAACGGUGACGUAAGCGCCGCUCAAAGUCCCGCCUCGACAAAGACAGCACCCAUACAGACCCAGCCAUAGAGCAGGGCGAACCGGUGGACGACGAACAUGUCCUCGAGCAACCAUCCGAAUAGGAUAACUUGGAUAAACAAUCCGUCCCCGGCGAAGAUAACAGUCCGAACGGUCUCACGCCGGACACAUCGUUGGAGCAGAAGAACCUCCACAAAAGGCUCGUCGCCACUGCACGUAGUCUGAAGAAGCAGAAGCGGAAGCUCAACACAGCGGAAGAUGCACUCAGAAUGAGAUGGAGCAAAGUACUCAACACCGCAGACAAAUAUGGCGAUAGUCGCCAAAACAAAUAGCUACCCGAAGCGCAAACUACUGCCCGAAUUUGACAAGGAGGCCAUAGAGCCCCCACAAUCAAAGAACAAAGAGGCCGCCCGGUCGGAUAGACGACCACAUGGCAAACAUAGAGCGGCAAGCGGCGCCGCAUACAAGCCGGCACGCGAUCCGCAUAAGGAUUUGCCCCAAAAGGAUGACCCAGUUAGGUCUAUCUAUGGGCCAAGAAAACAAGCUCUAGCGAGCAAUGCAGCACGUCAAGUAUCCGAACAUCACGGCACACCCAAAUAUAGGGGCGCCGUGCACCCCCUAUGUUUCACCGAUGAGGUGCUGGAUCAUGAAUUUCCUGCGGGAUUCAAGCCCGUAAACAUAGAGGCAUACGACGGAACAACAGACCCUGGAGUCUGGAUUGAGGAUUACAUCCUCCACAUACACAUGGCCAGAGAAGAUGACCUCCACGCCAUCAAAUAUUUACCCCUCAAGCUCAAAGGGCCAGCCCGGCAUUGGCUUAAAAGCCUCCCCGAAAACACUAUUGGAAGUUGGGAAGAGCUCGAGGAUGCUUUUCGGGCCAAUUUUCAAGGGACCUAUGUCCGACCUCCGGACGCAGACGAUUUAAGUCACAUAACCCAAUAGCCCGGCGAGUCAGCCCUAAAAUUUUGGAAUAGGUUUCUCACCAAAAAGAACCAAAUAGUCGACUAUCCGGACGCCGAAGCCUUAGCAGCUUUCAAACAUAACGUUCGAGACGAAUGGUUCGCCAGACACCUUGGCUAGGAAAAGCCAAGAACAAUGGCCGCACUAACAAGCCUCAUGACCUGCUUCUACGCGGGAGAGGAUAGCUGGCUGGCAAGAUGCAGCACCGGUGACCCAAGUACAUCCGAGGUCAGGGAUGGAAAUGGGAAACCACGACGCAACAAGGACUAGCGCCGAACCAAGGGAAACAGCCCGAAGAGCACGACAGUCAACGCCGGAUUCAAAAGCUCUCGACAGAACAAUAAAAAACUGCCCCUUAAGGACAACAGCGACGAGCUAUCCAACCUAAACAAAAUCUUGGACAAGAUAUGCCAAAUCCACAGUACCCCCAGGAAGCCUGCAAACCAUACCCACAGAGAUUGUUGGGUCUUCAAACAGUCCGGCCGACUUAACGCCGAACACAAGGGGCUCGACACACCAAGUGAGGACGAUGACGAACCCCACAAGCAGAGCACAGGAAAACAAAAGAAUUUCCCACAAGAGGUCAAAACAGUAAACUCACUUCAAGUGACAACAAGGAAAAAUAGAGCGGCGCCCAUUGAAAUACGCGCCGCACGGUCUAUCCCGAUGGAGUCCCGACACUGGUUGUCAAAACCAAUCACCUUUGAUCAUCAGGAUUAGUCCGAAAGUAUCCAGAAUGCGGGAUGGACUGCCCUGAUAUUAGAUCCUAUAAUCGACGGAUUCCAAUUCAGAGAAGUCCUAAUGGACGGCGGCAGUGAUCUAAACCUGCUAUAUAAAGACACAAUCUGCAAAAUGGGGAUGGACCCAACCAAAAUUCGCCAUAGCAACACUUCCUUUAAAGGAGUGAUGCCAGGCCCAUAUGCCCAUUGUACGGGCUCUCUACUACUAGAAGUUGUGUUCGGCUCAUCCGACAACUUCCGUCGCGAAAAGUUAGUCUUCAACAUCGCCCCAUUUAAAAGUAGCUAUGAAGCACUAUUGGGACGCGAAGCUUUCGCCCGCUUUAACGCAAUACCGCAUUACACAUCUCUUACACUUAAAAUGCCCGGUCGACGCGGCAUCAUCUCAUUAAAGGGAAACUUCGAGUGUUCCUCGAAUACGGAAGAACGUGAGACUGCCUUGACAGCCACACACUAAUCCGGCUUUGCUGAUCAAAGCACCUAAACAGGUCAUUUAGACCCUGGACACGGUUAGGCGAGUCCGGUAUAAAUAAACAAGGGGCUUACUAGCCGCGUACCCCCUUACAAGGGGCUCCACGCAUGUACAACAAGAGACAAUAAAGCUCAGUUCUAUUCAUUUUUUGAAUCAUACUCUAUUUAUCUUAAAAUACAUUUUUCGCACAAUCUUUUUUCCAACUAAGUUCCUCUCUUUUACAGAUGAACGCCGUGCUAUACCCGUCCAGGAUACGGCACAACGGAGACACAGGCGCAGAUGUGCAGCAGGGACCUGUUGCAAGGAUUCUUUUCAGAUUAAGACCCUGCGUAAACCUUUUUUACUGUCUCUUGUUGUUACACAUCCUCCGGUUUCUUGCUAUAACCGAGGAGGAGGCUGGCGUUUUGGCAUCGGCCGCGUCAGAAAUUUUUGCGCGUACCUGGACACAAGGGGCUUAGGGCAUUGUUCUGCCCAUUUUCAUAAAGACCGAAUACCUUAGGGAGUGUUCGGCGUCUCGAGUUAGGCCUUAUAUGCAUCAGCUCCGAAUCAUGUCUUUGGUUAAAUGUUGGGUUUGCCCGGCUCCUGUGUUUUGCUGCCUUACGUUACGCUCUAUCGGCUAACGCGGCACCAGGAGAACUACUGCGAUUGUGCCCCGGUUCGGCCUGGUGAGCACCUCAGUAGAGAAAGCCGAAAACUGACUGUCAUGAUAUAGCGUGAGACUGGUCAACCACUCGAUGACCCACCGAAAUGUUUAGAAUUCCUCCGCAUUAACGAAGGACCGUUUCCCGGUCAGGCACAUACGCGCCCCGAAUUCGGAGAGCGCGGUGCCCUUCACAGGACCAUCGAACUGCUAUGGCUAAGUGAAAGUGAUAAAGCAUUAUAGUCCGGUUUCCUAGUUUGCUACGCUAUCACCUCCUUCACAGGACCAAGACGUUGGAUUAAGUGUGAAAACGCACUUUUUUUGCAAACACCCCCGCACUAUGUGCGUGGGGGAUGAAGCCGAAGACUGUCAUCUUUCAGGUUAUAUACACAUAUACAUUAACGGCCGCACAGGAGGUAUUUCAAUACUUGAACGCGCAAGUAUAAAAAGCCCUUAUAUUAUAUUGAAACAUCGUUUCACAAAUCAUACAUGUCAUUAGAACAUAAUAUCCUUCGAGCACUGCGUCUCUAUUAAACGAGCACCCUGCAUGACUUCCUCAAAAUAGUGCUCGGCAGGUACUCGGCUUCUGUCCGAAUCCUGGGAUGCAACAUCGGUGGCCUUCAUCUCCGCCCAGCAUGUCUUGACACGGGCAAGAGCCAUCCGCGCACCCUCUAUGCAUGCCGACCGCUUCAUUGCAUCGAUAUGCGGCACCGAACUAAGGAACUGUUGCACCAAGCCAAAAUAACUCUUCGGCUCGGGCCUUUUCGGCCACAAAUGAGUCACGACAUCCUUCAUGGCAAGUUCGGACAACCUAUUCAGCUCAGCCCAUUCAGCUAACCGAUCGGUUAAUGGAAGUGGACUCUCUGGACUAUGGAACUGCGACCAAAAAAGCUCUUCCAUUCCGUGAUCCUUUUGGCCUCGGAAGUGUGCUACCGCGUCUGCGGCACUCGCCGCCAAAUCCAGAUAAGCAUCCUCCGCACCCCACAGCUGGCCCAACUGAGCAUACUUAGGAUCCGUAAAUUUCCUGCACAGCAGAAAAGGCUUUCCAGCCGUAAUAUCUUCGGCCUGACGCAGCUCCUCUUUCAUAGCUCUCAUCGCAGAGCGAGCAUCCUUGGCCUCAGUAGUGGCGUUUUUCAAGUCCUCUUGUUCUGCUCUCCCUUCUUUUUCAAGAAGCUCGCAACGGUCGGUAGCAUUCUUCAACUUUAUGCCCAUCUCGGCCAUUUCCUCCCUGCUUCGGCAGUGAGCAGCCUGUUCGGCUUUUAGCUCUUUGGCCGCCCUCAAGGCAGCCGCAUCACUUUUUCUGGCUUACUCCUUGACUCGGGCUAGCUCCGCCCAAAGGUUCUCCAUAGCAGCGGCACCAUCUGCAUAAAGCAUACAUGUUGUAAGGCAUGGGCGUCAAGCUCCCUUACCAGAUGUCCGCGGAGAAGUUGCAUACCUUGUGACUCGUCAAGCCGCUUAUUGACAAGCCCGAUGUCCGCAUCCGCCACGUCAAGUUGCCGCUUCAGUUCGGCAAAUUGAUCAGUCCGGCUGGCCACCGGACGCUCCGCCACCUAUAUAGGACAGGAGACAUCUUACAACUGAGGUUAUGAUCCUCGGCGCGCUGUCACUUUCGACAACGUACAGAGCCUCAGGGGCUUCUAUCUAUACAGGGCGCAUUCUAUAUGCAAAACUGUCAGAAGGUAUAUCAUUUUCGCGUACCUCAAACCCCGUCAGUAAACUUCUGACGGCUUCAUGCAAUCCGCUCUCAGCUCUGCUUAGAAGGGCUGAGAUCCGAACUACAAGGUAAAGCUUCGGUUAUCUUCAGAAAUAAAAACAGGGAUGUCCCUUAUUACAAAACUCCCCUUUCUACUUACGGCUCGCUGGAGGGCUGAUUCCCUUGGGGAAAUAGUGUGGCCAGGGCUUCUCCUGGCGCAGGACCCUCUGGUGAAUAUUUCUUCCCCCGCUCUGAGGCCUUGGCCUCCGGAUCUUUAGAAGCGGUCCUCUUCUCCCCCUGGAGGGAGGGAUUCUCGAUCCCCCCUUCCUUGAAAGCCUCCUUCACGGAGGCAGUAGCUUCCCUGUUCCCCCCUUUGCCCUCUUCCAAAGGCGCAGCCUCCAGCAUCUUGGUUAACACAGGAUCCGGCGUGGUCUCAGGGAGGGGGGCCGGACACCUUAUUAGUUUUGCUUUCGCUAUCCAGUCCUGUUCAAGGGACAACUCUUUAAAGGGCAAGUUUAUGAUAAAUGUACGAAUAGCGUGUCCGGGCACAGGACUACUUACUUGAGUAUCCGGGCAAUUGCAGCUCAGAGCUGCGUCCUCCGUCAAGUUCGGACACAUCUCUUGUGAUCCGAAGAACAGUUUAUACAUCUCCACGGGCGUCGCGCCCAUGAAGUGUUGGAGAGCUCGUGGUCCCUCUGGAUUAAAUUCCCACAGGCGGAGGGGGCGACGUUUGCAGGGCAGAAGGCGCCGAAUCAGCAUGACCUGCACCACUACGACCAGAUUGAUCUCUCUCUCUUGGAGGUCUCAAAUACGGCCCUGCAGCAGAGGAACGUCCUUGGACGGCCCCCAGUCGAGCCCUUUGUUGACCCAUGACGCCAGCCCCUGUGGAGGACCCGGGCGGAAGGCAGGUGGCCCCACCCAUUUGGUGCCCCUGGGAGCGGUGAUGUAGAACCACUCCUGUUGCCAUAAACCGAGCACCUCUUGAAAAGAGCCCUCAUGCCAUGGAGUGUCAGCAUUUUUUCUUAUAACAGCCCCUCCGCACUCUGUCUGCUGCCCCUUGAUCAUCUUUGGCUCCACUUUGAAGGUCUUGAGCCACAAUCCGAAGUGAGGGGUAAUGCGGAGGAAGGCUUCGCAUAUGACAAUGAACGAUGAGAUGUGGAGGAUGGACUCCGGAUCCAAGUCGUGGAAUUCCAGACCAUAAUAAAACAUGAGCCCCCUCACGAAGGGGUCCGUCGGGAAGCCUAAACCCCGAAGGAAGUGAGACACGAACACCACGCUCUCACCAGGCUCGGGAGUAGGAAUAACCUGCCCUUGCGCAGGCAGCCUAUGCGAAAUUUCGCCGGUUACACUACUAGGAAAAGGGCUAUAGAUGGAAUUGACACUAAUGGCGCACCGGACAUGUGGUGCGCCAUUACUAUAUACUAAUGGCGCACCACGUGUUGGUACGCCAUUAGUGUCCAAAUACUAAUGGCGCACCACAUCCACGGUGCGCCAUUAGUAAAAGUUUUUUAAAAAAUUUCAAACUACUAAUGCCGCACCGUGGGAGUGGUGCGCCAUUACUAGUUGAACUAGUAAUGGCGCACNNNNNNNNNNNNNNNNNNNNNNNNNNNNNNNNNNNNNNNNNNNNNNNNNNNNNNNNNNNNNNNNNNNNNNNNNNNNNNNNNNNNNNNNNNNNNNNNNNNNNNNNNNNNNNNNNNNNNNNNNNNNNNNNNNNNNNNNNNNNNNNNNNNNNNNNNNNNNNNNNNNNNNNNNNNNNNNNNNNNNNNNNNNNNNNNNNNNNNNNNNNNNNNNNNNNNNNNNNNNNNNNNNNNNNNNNNNNNNNNNNNNNNNNNNNNNNNNNNNNNNNNNNNNNNNNNNNNNNNNNNNNNNNNNNNNNNNNNNNNNNNNNNNNNNNNNNNAAAGAAAAUGAUAGAAAUGUCAAAAAAAAUGAAAGAAAAUAAGAUUUCCAUGCGAUAUGUGGUCUAGUUGUUAGCAAAAUUUACAAACAUGAAUUUUUGACUUUUUUGCAAAAUCUCUCGAGAAUUUGUAAAAAUGGGCAUAACUUUUGCAUACGAACUCGGAUGAAAAAGUUUUUAUAUGAAAAAUCAUCUACUCGAAAAGUUACAUCCGAAUUUAAUUGGGGGAACCCCGAUAAACAUUUUGAAAAUCCUCAAAAACCUAACAGAAAAAAGAUACGGGGCUUUUAAGAUCUGGAGAGGCAAAAAAAUUCAAAAAAAUUCAAACUUACUAAUGGCGCACCUACCCUUGGUGCGCCAUUACUAUCUUCCCACCUUCAAAAUUCAAAAUAAGUCAAAAAAAUAAAAAAAGUUACUAAUGGCCCACCUGCCCAUGGUGCGCCAUUAGUAUCUUCCCGCCUUCAAAAUUCAAAAUAAGUCAAAAAAAUAAGAAAAGUUACUAAUGGCGCACCUGCCCAUGGUGCGCCAUUAGUAUCUUCCCGCCUUCAAAAUUCAAAAUAUAUCAAAAAAAUAAAAAAAUGUUAGUAAUGGCGCACCUGCCCGCGGUGCGCCAUUACUCUACCGUAUAUAUGGCUGGGCGUGGUCCUCUCCUCCUUACCUCUUCAUUCUUCUCCUCCACUCCACCUCUCCUCCACUCCAUCUCCUCCUCUCCUCCACUCCAUCUUCCCUUCUCUCCUCCACCAUACUACCCUCCUCCUCUCCGGCGACCUCCUCCUCCUCCUCUCCGGCGACCUCCCCUUUUGCUCCGGCGACCUCCUCCUCCCUUCUCUCCUCCCCUCCCCUCCCCUCACGGUUUCUCCUCCCUCCUCUCCGGUGAGCUNNNNNNNNNNNNNNNNNNNNNNNNNNNNNNNNNNNNNNNNNNNNNNNNNNNNNNNNNNNNNNNNNNNNNNNNNNNNNNNNNNNNNNNNNNNNNNNNNNNNNNNNNNNNNNNNNNNNCCCCUCCGGUGAGCUCCUCCUCCCUCCUCUCCAGUGAGCUCCUCCUCCAUCCUCUCCUCCCACCCCCUCAUGGUUUCUCCUUCCUCCUCUCCGAUGCUUCGGUGAACUCCUCUCUGGCGACCUCCUCCUCCUCCUCUCCGGCGAACUCCUCCUCCUCCUCUCCGGCGAUGUAGGCGAGCGCCUCUCCGGUGACCUCCUCCUCCUCCUCUCCGGCGAACUCCUCUCCGGAAAAAGAACAUGACAAAAGAACAUACAAGAUCCAAAAACAGGAACAAAUUUUGAAAUAAUAUCGUGCAAAAAAACGAGCAAAAAAACGAGCAAAAAAUGGGCAAAAAAAUCACGAUCCAGAUCCAAAUUUAAAAUUCAAAAAUAGUAAUGGCGCACGGUGGGGGUUAGACGGUGCGCCACUACUAUUUUCCCGCCUUCAAAAUUCAAAAAUACUAAUGGCGCACCAGUGGCCUAUACUAAUGGCGCACCGUGGCCUAUACUAAUGGCGCACCAUUGGUGCGCCAUUAGUAUACCAGAUACUAAUGGCGCACCAGUGGUGCGCCAUUAGUAAAAAAUACUAGUGGCGUGAUACUAAUGGCGCACCAGUGAUGCGCCAUUAGUAGGCAAAACUGGUGCGCCAUUAGUAGCCCUUUUCCUAGUAGUGUUAGAUACCUGGCGUCUCUCAGCUUUAGCACGUCUUCUUCCAUGACGUAAGAAGGCAUCCACCGGCCUUGCAGGUCGGAGCUGGACAUCGUCGAAGGUCCGAAGAGCCUGAAUCUGGAGCUUUGGGUGUUGGAACUCGAGGCGAGGGGCGGAUUCAAUUGAGAUUGAAAGAAAGGAGCAGGCCUUGGUCUCGUUAUAAAGAGGUUGAAUACCAAGAGCCCUCCCUGUGGCCGUUUGGGACUCGCCUUCGAUAGAGGGGGCGUGCCAACGGGCACGGUUGGGUUACCCACGCCCGUAUUGAUGAGGAUCCCAGAAUAAGGGGGCACGAUCUCUGCUUUGACAAGACGUGUCGAGGAAACCGCUUCGCUAAACGCGCUGAGGUGGAACAGUAAAAACGAUUCGAAUAAAGGCUUGGUCGUGGUGUGAUGCCAUGCCACGGAAUACGUCAGCCGAUUGAACUUGUGUGAAUGUUAUUCUCUCUACGGUGGUAUGUGGAACUUAUUUUGCAGAGCCGGACACUAUCCUUGUGUUCAAAAUCUUCUACAAAGUAUUCGGAGGAGGAACCCGCCUUGCAAUGCCGAAGACAAUAUGCGCGUCGGACUCGUCAUCAUUGAAGCCUGGUUCAGGGGCUACUGAGGGAGUCCUGGACUAGGGGGUGUCCAGAUAGCCGAACUAUCAUCUUUGGCCGGACUCCUAGACUAUGAAGAUACAAGAUUGAAGACUUCGUCCCGUGUCCGGAUGGGACUUUCCUUGGCGUGGAAGGCAAGCUUGGAAAUACGGAUAUGUAGAUCUCCUACCACUGUAACCGACUCUGUGUAACCCUAGCCCUCUCCGGUGUGUAUAUAAACCAGAGGGUUUUAGUCCGUAGGACGAACAACAAUCAUACCAUAGGCUAGCUUCUAGGGUUUAGCCUCUUUGAUCUCGUGGUAGAUCUACUCUUGUACUACCCAUAUCAUCAAUAUUAAUCAAGUAGGAGUAGGGUUUUACCUCCAUCGAGAGGGCCCGAACCUGGGAAAAAACAUCGUGUCCCUUGUCUCCUAUUACCAUCCGCCUAGACGCAUAGUUCGGGACCCCCUACCCGAGAUCCGCCGGUUUUGACACCGACACCCUCGUUUCCCGCCGCUUGGGCUGGGCAAAAUUGGCCUUUAGUACCGGUUGGUGGCUCCAACCGGUACUAAAGGCCCGUCCUAUAUAUAUGGCACUUACAAAAAUUCAGUUAUCGGAGACCACUUUGUUCCACUUUUCUCUCGCGCGGCAUCGAUCUCCGACGCGCCGACGCNNNNNNNNNNNNNNNNNNNNNNNNNNNNNNNNNNNNNNNNNNNNNNNNNNNNNNNNNNNNNNNNNNNNNNNNNNNNNNNNNNNNNNNNNNNNNNNNNNNNNNNNNNNNNNNNNNNNNNNNNNNNNNNNNNNNNNNNNNNNNNNNNNNNNNNNNNNNNNNNNNNNNNNNNNNNNNNNNNNNNNNNNNNNNNNNNNNNNNNNNNNNNNNNNNNNNNNNNNNNNNNNNNNNNNNNNNNNNNNNNNNNNNNNNNNNNNNNNNNNNNNNNNNNNNNNNNNNNNNNNNNNNNNNNNNNNNNNNNNNNNNNNNNNNNNNNNNNNNNNNNNNNNNNNNNNNNNNNNNNNNNNNNNNNNNNNNNNNNNNNNNNNNNNNNNNNNNNNNNNNNNNNNNNNNNNNNNNNNNNNNNNNNNNNNNNNNNNNNNNNNNNNNNNNNNNNNNNNNNNNNNNNNNNNNNNNNNNNNNNNNNNNNNNNNNNNNNNNNNNNNNNNNNNNNNNNNNNNNNNNNNNNNNNNNNNNNNNNNNNNNNNNNNNNNNNNNNNNNNNNNNNNNNNNNNNNNNNNNNNNNNNNNNNNNNNNNNNNNNNNNNNNNNNNNNNNNNNNNNNNNNNNNNGUUAAUGCAUGUUAGAUGAAUUAGAACUAGUUCAUUUUUAGUAAAAAAGUUUAUGUAUAUGAGAUUAUUUGAACUAGUUGAAUUAAUAGAACUAGUUAUGUUAUUUGAAUUAGUUGAAUUAAUAAAACUAGAAUUAGUUAUAGUAUUUGAAUUAAUAGAAUAGUAAAUGCUUAGUUGAACUAAUUUAAUUAAUAGAAAUAGUUAUAUUAUUUGAACUAGUUGAAUUAAUAGAACUAGUUAUAUUAUUUGAACUAGUUGAAUUAAUAGAAAUAGUUUAUUUUUAGUAAAUGCAUAGUUGAACUAAUUGAAUUAAUAGAACUAGUUUAUUUUUAGUAAAUGCUUAGUUGAACUAAUUGAAUUAAUAAAACUAGUUUAGCAUUAGUAAAUGCUUAGUUGAAUUAAUAGAAGUAGUUGAGUUAAUUGAAUUAGUAAGUGUUUAAUGUUUCGCCUAAUAUGAACAUAGGAAAUGUCGUCUGACGACGGAAAAGAUUUCAUUAUGUGUGAAUACUGUGAAGACCAGCGCGGCCAGUGCGACGAAAUUUCCUUGUUGAUGAUAGGCGAUUCAGCAUCAAGCUGGAUGAGAACUUUGAAUUCGAUACAGUAAUUCACAACGGCAAGUCUGUUUUCGUAAUUAAGCAUGACUUAUAUAUGCUUCAUUUGCUUGACUUAUAAUUUUUAAUUUUCACUAUUCUACUAGCGCAUCCCCUGCCAUGCAAGAAUUUUUGUCUUGGAUAAGAUAGGUUUCAAUGAUAUGGAAACUAUGGAGGUAAAGAGAGUUUACCUGAAAACUGAGCAUGGUUAUACUUUCAAACUCAAAGUAUAUAAUGCACACACGUACACCUAUUUUGAAUGCAAAACUUGGCAAGCACUAUGCAAGGCUUAUGCAUUUGAGCCUGGUAUGGCUAUCACCUUUGAUAUUCGUCUGGAAGAUGAUAUUGAAGGUAAUAGAGACAUAUGGGUCGAUGUGCAGACGCCUCCAAUUCUACCAUUAUGUGAGUUCUUCUCAACUAUAUUUUUGUCUUUGAUAUUGCUUAUUCAUAAAUAAUUGACAACUAAUUUUUAUUGACAGCUUAGCUCCAUUCAAGCAAACAUGUCCGACGCUUGGUAGAUAGGACCUACUACUGUCCCGGAGCUGAACUAAACUGCGAGGAGAUAAGUCAUUAUGUUUCAUGGCUUGAGGAUCUUCAUACUAUCAAGACAAAUUUUCUUCCUGCACUUAGAAAUGUUAGUUCUCAAAACGUGCGACCAAUAGUGAUCGUAUUGAAUUACGGUCACAUCUAUUUACGAAAGAUGGUAAUAUUUUUACUAUUUGUCCUUAGUGAAUCUUUUGCAUACAUUAUUUUUUGCUAAACUUUCAUUGCUAAGUAUAUUAAUUACUAUACGAUGUUCUUCAACAGGGACUCCCGAUGACAGUUGUGCCUCAGUGGAUCGAGACUAAAGGUCACAUGUCAAUGGUUAGCUUACGGUCAAGAUAUCCUACAUUGCACAUGAGUGCAUUCAGGGUUUCUAAAAGCGAUGAAUGCUUAAUAGUGAAAGAUUGGAGCAAAAUUGUUAACGAUCGCAGAGAAGUACUAGGGGGCAGCAAUGAGAAGCGCACCCCAUGAUUAGGAGACAGGUUCAUCUGCAUGCUCCAGUAUGAUGAAUCAGGAGAGCUAUACAUGUUCUAUGCUAUUUUGCCAGAGAGAGAGUAGCUAGCAGGAGUGAUUUAGCUAGUUCAUGCUGCUCUUAGUACUUGUCCUUUCAUGUCCGUGUUCUUCGUUCUGAACUUAAUCUCGAAGAGUGAUUUGCGUUUGUGGUGUUAUAUAUGAACGCUUAUAAUAUCAUGACAAUCAUGUUGAACUCGAUGAUAUUUUUGCUUCUGGUACAAGUGAAUGUUUCUUCUUUAAGCUACUGUUGGUGGUGAUUAGAUAGCGGUAAUGACUAUGAUGAUGAUUAAAUAGUGAUAAUGACGACUACGAUGUUUUUUAGCUAGCUAGCCAGAGUAUGUUGAUGAUAUGUGAUGCAAGAGUUUUUAUAUUAAUGUAAAACAAUCACUAAAUUAAAUUGAAAGCACAAAACUAAAGCAAAAAUUUAAAAAAAUAACCCAAACAUUUAGUACCGGUUGGUGUUACCAACCGGUACUAAAGCCCUACGUGCACACGGGCCUGGCUCGUGCCACGUGGUGGCUCUUUAGCGCCGGUUCAUGACGAACCGGUACUAAAGCGGGGGACCUUUAGUCCCCACUCUUUAGUGCCGGUUGGUGAACCGACACUAAAGGCCUUCACGAACCGGCACUAAAGGCCGUUUCUGCACUGGUGAUGUUUCCAACAUUCGGGUUGUGGUUUUUCGAAAUACUAUAAUAAAACAAAGUAAGUCGUUAUUCAUAGUUGUGCUAAGUGAAUUUGUGUUACAAAACUAUAUUUUCAUGAACAUGAAUGUUAUAAGCGUAUUAAAUAUACAAAACAAACAUAUCUAAUUUAAUACAUGAACAUAUCUGAAAUUGAUUGACAUGAUCUCUACCAAUUACUGAGAGAGCCGAUAUUAAAGCUUAGGUUAUUUCAUAUUGUUGUGUUAUGACGUAUUGUCCAUUAAUAAUCACAACCUUGCUCCGCUUUAUUAUGUUUAUGCAAAACAACACAUCAAUCUAAGCACCAAUGUCUCUACCGAUGAUAUAGCUUUGUUACUACUAAAGAAAUAUAAGGAUUUAAGGAAUAGUUAAAAAAUUUACCAUUGGUUGAACAAAUUAUCCGUAAUUCCAUAACAAUCAGAUAUAAUACAAACAAAAAUCAGCCUGUAAGGACUUCCUUGUAAACGAUGUUCUUCAUGGAGCUAAGCACUGACAGGGUAGAUCUUUUGCGCUUUUUAGAAUUCUUAGACUGCUUCUGGCCCUUCUCCUUCGGCUUGUCCUUGUCAAUGAGGAUCUUUAUGUUGCUCUUUGCGGUCGCUUGAUACAAUGCGACGUAGAGUUGACCAUGUGAGAACACUGGAUCAGGUAGGUACACACCAACAAUCGGGAUGGUCUGACCUUGAGCCUUGUUAAUCGUCAUAGCGAAGCUAAGCCUUAUAGGAAACUGCUUCCUCUUAAACUUGAAUGGAAACAUGUUGUUGCCAGAUGGGCACAAAGGUAUUCUAGGAAGGAAAACCCUCCUACCUGCGUGUUGUCCAAUCACAAUUUCUGUGUCAAUGGUGUUCCUCUCAAAACCUCUGACAACAAGCCUGGUCCCGUUACACAAACCAUUAGCUGGAUCAAUGUUCCUAAGGAGUAUGACAGGGCAGUUCAUCUUGAGUUUGAGUGCAUGCGGAGGAAGACCGUUUGGAGUCAAUCCGUUCAGAAACUCAAGAGCAUAGUAUCCAUAUGGAUCGUCCUCCGCACUGUCAAAGCUAUGGUAAAUUACUUCAUCUCCGUGAAAACGCUCUAUCAUGCGUGUGUUUAUCUUGUUGACGUUGUCAUUGGUUGUGGAAAGGACUGCGCGAGAUGUCAUGUAAUUCGAAUCAGUCAUGUUGUCAUCUAGACUCGGAAACACGUGUUCAAUCAGCUUCUCGAGGUCGUCAGCAUCGCCUGUAGACGGUAGACAGAUGUCAUCGGGGAGUAGUAUAUUGCCCUGAUCCUCAGCUUCCUCAGUGCCAUUGCCAAUCCUAAGCAAGUAAUCUGCAAACCAUGUGUCAUUAUGAGCCCUCAUGUUGGUGAUGAGUCGAAGUUUCCACAUACACUUCCAUAGAUGAGAACUCCGGAGGGUUGCAUCAAUUAUCUGGCCACGCGACCCCCUUCUGACAACUGGAAGCACCUACCUAAAGUCACCGCCAAAGACAAUAGUCUUUCCUCCAAAGGGUAUGUCGCUUGUUCCCAUGAUGUCACGCAUGCUAUUGUCCAAUGCCUCAACUGCCUGUCGUUUAGUCAUGCUGGCCUCAUCCCAUAGUAUCAACGAUGCCAUCCUUAGUAGCUUUGCGGUCCCACUCUGCUUGGUGAAGCUGCACGAGGCUCUGUCGUCACAACCCAAUGGUAUCUUGAACCUAGAGUGUGCAGUCCUGCCACCAGGCAUGAUUGAAGCGGCGACACCUGAGGUCGCGGUGGCGAUAGCAAUCUUGCCCUCGCUCCUUAACUUGGCGAGCAACGCCCUAUAGAGGAAGGUCUUCCCUGUACCUCCAGGGCCAUCAACAAAGAAUACCCCCCCCCCCCCAAGACCGAGUUCAACAGCCGCUAGUAUCUCGUCGUAUGCCACCUCCUGCUCAAAGUUUAGUGAAGAUGCCAAUUUUGUGUCGUCUACGUCAAACUCGAUGGUUGAUUCCUCAAUGACCUCUCUCGCCUCUCCCUUAGUUGGGUCAAAGGCAUCAUCGAUGCUUGGAAGCGAAAAAUCACUUAUGUCUUUACCCAUGGACUGCAACAUACCCCUGAUGUAAAGCAACACCAUUUGCUACACCUCUUUCGGGGACGUCCGUGUUCGACGGUAGUCAUCAGACAUAGGCUUGACGUGUCUAUCCCAUAAACCUUGCACGUCGCCUGGCUCGCAGUGCACCAAGAUGGUUGCGAAGAGCCUCCUAAGAGAACAAGGCAACGCCCACUACUCUGCUUCAGUAAGACAGUCGUCGAGCGUGCUGUCUGCGUCGAUGAGUCCCAACCUUUCAGCAGCAUCUCUAAAGCUCUCACAAACUAGGCCAUCCACGGUGAGCAAGUCGUGAAAGGAUGUUUUUCUGGUAACAUGGUUGAGCAUAACACGCAGGUAAUAUCGCUCCCCCUCAGCAGGAUUGGCAGAGACAAUAUGACCUAUUUGAAAAUGCUCCACCCGCGGCCUCCAACAUUUUCUUUUCUUUUGCCACGUAAAGGUUCCCGGAAAAUCUUUGUAAAAUAGUUUCCGAUCCCAAGGGUGUUCCUGGUUAGCCUUGAAAUACUCUGCUAACAUCGAUUUCGAUGCAUUUUCGGACGCGACAACAUUCUUCAAGUCAGCCUGCGCAUUUAAAGCAACCCUGUGCAUAUUCGGGAGAUGAAGAGGCAACUGCAAGACGGGAGGGUAAUUGGCGCAAAGUGGAAAGCCAAAUAUCCUCGCCUCCGGAGGUGUGAUCCACCUUGCGUUAACAUAUCUCUUGAUCUCAUCAAUGUUACCAUCGGUGUCGGGCUGGUCGAUGCUGAAAGAAGCCUUAUCAUGGCCCUUGUAAAUGUACUUGUAAAGAUAUUUGACGGCCUUUAUGCUCGAGCAGACCUCAAUGUUGAUGUGGCAAUUGAACAUCCGCAGAAGGUAUGGGUUAUAAGGCACAACGCAUCUGUUGUCCAACAUCUUCCCUCGGACCUUAGCACUCCUUCCAUCAUCUCUACGUCGAUAAACUGGGUACGAGUCCUUCCCCUGUGCUGUGUUUUCAUUGAACGGCCGCGAGUAUCUGCACUUGCAUCCGUUUUCUUGCAUGCAAACAUUCUUCGGGUUGAGAGCACUGCAUGGUCCGUGCAUCAUAUGUUUUACCACCAUUGCAUACAAUUCCGGAUACUUAUGCUUGUCUUGGAGCUCUGCGGAAAUGAGAUGGUCAUACUGCUCUGGGACGAUAAGCUUAUAUGUUGAGUCCAUAAUCAACAAAAAAUGUGCAUGUGGGAGGCCCCUUUUUUGAAACUCGACAACAUACACAUAUGCGACAACAACACCCAGGAUGUGCUUCUUGAACAACAUGUCCUUCAUAGCCUCUAGUUUGUCGAAGAACACGCGAGCCACAAGAUCAGGUCGGUCUUGCGCCAUCUGACCAGGCAGCAACUCAUUCGUUAUCUCUUCCCAUUUAGGAUUGCAAGUCAUGGUCAAGAAGAUGUCAGGCUUCCCGUAUGUAUGGACAAUUGCCAUGGCAUCCAUAUGCCUCUUCUUCAUGUCGCGGUCGCCACCAGGGUAUGUUCCAGGGAGAACUAUUCUUACCCCAACAGCGCUUGCUCGUAUCUCCCCCAAUGUGAUCGCAUCAACAACUCCUUUAUACAAGUCGGCAGGAAUCUGCGUCUGGUUCUUCCUGUACCACCUCAAUCGACAACUUUCAAUCUUGACGUACAUGUCGACGGCCCAUUGCUGCAAGAGGCGUGCUCCACAGAGUAUGGGAUUAAAGAUCACAGGCCGUGUCUGCAGCAUGUAACAGUAGUAGUCUCUGACGGAGACGCACAACCUGCUGUUGCCCUCUGCACAUGAUUGAGUACCAUCAAAAUGAGGAUAUAAUCGACAAAUAAAAUAUUAUUUGUAGCAAAAUGGGACGCAGACGGCAUACCUGCAUCCUCAUCAUCAUCAUGGACCAGUUGAGGAUUUUGUACAACCUCCCAAGGAACAUCAUGUUUAGGUAGCUUCAGAUGCCAACCUAGUUCCCCCCUUGGAUAGAAUAGGGGAUAAGACAAAGGGUCAUAUGCUCUGGAGGUCACACGUAUACUAUGCCUUUCGUUGUUAUUACCACAAAGUGUUAUCCUGCGGUCAAACCUUUUUGCUAUGUCGCUGCCCUCAACCCAAAUUGCAGCGACUUCAGAUGACAACGGUAUGUUAUAUCUUCUUUGGUCAAGCCUUUUAUCGGUAUUUAGGUCUAUCCUGUAAUCAUCCAGGUUGUCCUUGUGUGCACCCAAACUCCUAAAUUGCUGGGAGUAUGGGUUUUCUUUGAGUAUGUCUACUAACUUAUUCACGACAUCCUGGUCUAAUUGCUUGGUGGCCGCCUUACGAUGAGUGAUGGUUGGGUCAUCAUCAUAGAAGUACAACUGCAGAUGCUCAGGACGAGAGCUGGGCCCGAACGAAUGCACAUUGUGGUAGAUGGUGCCGUGUGCCCGGAAUGUGUACACCCCAGACUUCAUGUUUGUGUAGUUCUCAUCAAGGCUGACACCAAGGGUUGUGAAGGCGAAAUGCCCGUUGAAGAAGCGUAUGUUCUCCCAAAAAUGUCUAGAGUCUGCAUCCAUGCUUGACCAUAGCCUCAUCAGCUCUGGGAUUGGCUCCGGUUUUCUAAGUUCGAUCUGGCCAUUGCGACAACAAAAACCGUCAGUCUCAGACACAAACUUUUUGGCCUUGCAGUGUUUGCAGUUUGCGUGGAGCUUCAGGAUGUGAGUGGUGUCUGGGAUGUUUGUGUAGACAAAGUCUAAUGGAUCAACCUUGCUAGGUAUAGCAGACGACAUGAUUGCUUCCUCGUCAUCCUCCAAGGUGUCAUUAUCAGAUCCUACAUGCAUUUGUUGAAACAUGAUGUUUGAAACAUUAUUAACUACUAACUAUAAUUAUGAUAAAGAUCCACGAACUCAUAGUUUAUAGCUGACAAUACCUUCCCCGUGAAACAUGUAGUACUCCUCAUCCAUAAAAUCGGAUGGUGUCGUCUAGUCGCCCAAGAUGUAGUCUCGGAACCCAUCAAUGUCGUCUGCAUUAUCUCCCCGACGACAAUAGACAACGUCAUGUCAGAUCAGGGUUGGUGAGAAUGAGCACAACAAUGUGACAAUAGAAUUAUCAUACCAUUGGUACUGCCAAUGAAAUUCGGCAUGCUCGUCGGAGAGUCACCAUCAGAUGAAUCAUCUUCAGCGGCCCGAGAGAGGGGUUUUGUUUGGGAUAAGUUUGCUAGGUCUGGACAUGGGAGUGCGAGGGAUUCUUUGCACGAGGUGUUUUUUGCAGCAUAAGUUGCCUUUCUUUUUGCACUUAACUCCCCCUUCUCUUUGCUGCAUGCCCUCCAUUCUCACAGCGUGCUAUUUUUUCUUCAAGAUCGAUAGUUCCGUGCUCUAGAUGUUUCCGAUAUGUUGCUCGCCUCCGCGCGUUUGAUUGGUCCAUUUGAUCAGGAGUUAAGUUAGUUCUGCGCUUCUUACCACGCUGCUUCCUAGGUAGUUGGUUAUCAUGAAUGACAUAUGUUGUGAUUGUAGUGGUAUGAGGCAAUACCGCCUCAUCUUGUGACAAUGACGUAUAGGUGGACCUAGUUGGGUCGGCUGGUUAUACAACAGUAUAAAAUGCUAAUUAGUACUGCAUUAAUUGGUCAUUAAUACAAAAGGUACCAGCAGAUUAUGUAGGUCAUAUCAGCUGACUCCUUCCAUACAUUUUCAUAAGGUCUUAAUGUCUAAUCAAAAGUCAUACGAGCGAUAGAUGAAACACUGAGUUUGUAAAGCUUGUUUUGCAUGCUUACUUAUUAAAAAUAUGUAUUCAAAAGGGAGCUGAAUAAAAAAGCAUUCUAACCUGAACUUGUAAGGGCAGGAAGGUUAUCAUCUUUGUGCUUCACGGUAGCUCGCCCUUGAGCCUUGAUCUGGCUAUUUUUGUCGACAAGGAGCAUAGAGUGAGCUUGUACCCCAUUAGUGAUAUCACCGAGACCGCUCCGUGGAACAUUUUGCAUACCUGCAAUAUGGUUGCAGGUGUCAUACUCACGUAUUCUCAAAUAAUAAUCAUACUAUUAUCAACAAAGGGAGUAUAUUCAAUCGACGUCUGGCCUAUAAUAUAGAAAUAGUCGUACCCGACAUGUCAACGGCAGGCAGAUUUUGAUGGAGAUGCUUGCCGGCGGCAUCAUCAUAUUUUUUUCAAUAACCAUCUACCAACGGAACUUUCAUCUGUUCCUUGUUAAUGUCAGCAUUUUCCUUGUUCUUAAGAUACGUUGCCUGCCUCCGCGCAUUUAUUAGCUCCCUCUUGUCAUCUAGUAAUAGAUGCAUGAAGGUGUGAGAGUAGUCAAUGCAGGAAUGUACAUUGUUUUGAUUUAAAAUCAAACAAUCAUACCAGAUAUCGAAAGGUCAGAUUGACUUUCAGCUUCCUCCUCUUUUUUCCUCCGAUAAGGAGAUCGCCUCUUGGCGUUUAUUUCCUCCCUUUUUCAGCAGACAAGAUAACUUUCUUAGAUGGUUUGGAGACAUUCACGACAGAUCCUGUAGUCAUGUGCUUGGAUGUUGAACCGGAUUGGGGUAAAACUUGAGGAGUUGCAUUAAUGUUUACGUGAUUUCCUCCAUAUAUAUGAGUCACAUCUAGAGCCUCUGGAACAAAACCAAAGCAAAAUGAUAAUGUUCUUAGUAUGUUAUUGAACAUCUGCAACACAACCUCUAUAAGAUUGAUACGGUUCACAACGAAAGACGAAUCUUGUAAUACUGUUUACACUUUGUGCUACGGCUGCGGCACAUUCGUCAGUGAGACAACUGAGAGAGACAAACGUUGAUGAGAUUGCCAAGUUGCCUGCUUGAUGUAAAAAUAACCGAUAGUGGUAAAAACGGGUCAGUUUAGUGCUAUCCUAAGAGUAGAGAGUACUCAUUAUGUUUUAUACUAACCUGAGUUCAGUUCGGAAGGCCACGGUACACAUGUGAUAUCACCAUCAGUGGGUUGAGGAACAACAACAACUGCGGUCUGUUCAGUGAUGGACUGAUCUGAAAUUGGUUCAUACAAGUAAUUGAGAUUUAAUUCAUCACACAAAGAGAAUAUAAUUAUGAGUACUCUCCCCGCACAUCCUCAUACCUAGACUAAUAGGGUGAUUAUACGGAACAACCAUUUGUGCAGUGGGUUCUAGUGUCAACCGUUCUGAGUAGCAUUCAUACAAGUUAGCGAGAUACAAUCGGAAAAUAAAUAGUACUAAAUCAUGGUAAAUCAACGAUCUAGUAAUAGAUGCAGCAAGGUGCGAGAGUAGUCAAAGCAGGAAUGCACAUUGUUUUGAUUAAAAAUCAAACAAUCAUACCAGAUAUUGAAAGGUAAGCUUGACUUUCAUGCUUCAGUUUCUCUGCUUCCUCCUCUUUUUUCCGCCGAUAAGUAGCUCGCCUCUGGGCUCUUAUCUGCUCCCUUUUUUCAUCAGAUAAGAUACCUUUUUUUGUUUGUUUGGAGACAUUCACGAAAGAUCUUGUAGUCAUGUGCUCGGAUGUUGAAACGGUUUGGGAUAAAACUUGAGCAGUUGCCAUAGUGUACAAGUGUAUUCCUCCAUCAAUAGGAGACACAUCUAGAACAUCUGGAACAAAACAAAAGCAAAAUGAUAUUGUUCUUAGACUGUUCUUGAACAUCUGCAACACAACCUCUAUAAGCAUGAUACGGUUCACGACGAAAGACGAAUCAUGUAAUACCGUUUACACUUUGUGCUAAGGCUGUGGCACACUCGUGUGUGCGACAACUGAAAGGCACAAAAACUCAAUAAUUGCCAGGUUUCCUGUUUGAUGUAUAAAUUGUUGGAAAUAUGCCCUAGAGGCAAUAAUAAAUUGAUUAUUAUUAUAUUUCCUUGUUCAUGAUAAUCGUUUAUUAUCCAUGCUAGAAUUGUAUUGAUAGGAAACUCAGAUACAUGUGUGGAUACAUAGACAACACCAUGUCCCUAGUAAGCCUCUAGUUGACUAGCUCGUUAAUCAAUAGAUGGUUACGGUUUCCUGACCAUGGACAUUGGAUGUCGUUGAUAACGGGAUCACAUCAUUAGGAGAAUGAUGUGAUGGACAAGACCCAAUCCUAAGCCUAGCACAAGAUCAUGUAGUUCGUAUGCUAAAGCUUUUCUAAUGUCAAGUAUCAUUUCCUUAGACCAUGAGAUUGUGCAACUCCCGGAUACCGUAGGAGUGCUUUGGGUGUGCCAAACGUCACAACGUAACUGGGUGGCUAUAAAAGUACACUACGGGUAUCUCUGAAAGUGUUUGUUGGGUUGGCACGAAUCGAGAUUGGGAUUUUGUCACUCCGUGUAAACGUAGAGGUAUCUCUGGGCCCACUCGGUAGGACAUCAUCAUAAUGUGCACAAUGUGACCAAGGGGUUGAUCACGGGAUGAUGUGUUAUGGAACGAGUAAAGAGACUUGCCAGUAACGAGAUUGAACAAGGUAUCGGUAUACCGACGAUCGAAUCUCGGGCAAGUACCAUACCGCUAGACAAAGGGAAUUGUAUACGGGAUCGAUUGAGUACUUGACAUCGUGGUUCAUCCGAUGAGAUCAUCGUGGAACAUGUGGGAGCCAACAUGGGUAUCCAGAUCCCGCUCUUGGUUAUUGACCGGAGAACAUCUCGGUCAUGUCUACAUGUCUCCCGAACCCGUAGGGUCUACACACUUAAGGUUCGAUGACGCUAGGGUUAUAAAGGAAGCUUGUAUGUGGUUACCGAAUGUUGUUCGGAGUCCCGGAUGAGAUCCCGGACGUCACGAGGAGUUCCGGAAUGGUCCGGAGGUAAAGAUUUAUAUAUAGGAAGUCCUGUUUCGGCCAUCGGGACAAGUUUCGGGGUCAUCGGUAUUGUACCGGGACCACCGGAAGGGUCCCGGGGGCCCACCGGGUGGGGCCACCUGCCCCGGGGGGCCACAUGGGCUGUAGGGGGUGCGCCUUGGCCUACAUGGGCCAAGGGCACCAGCCCCUAGAGGCCCAUGCGCCAAGAUAUAGGAAAAAGGGGAGAGUCCUAAAGGGGGAAGGCACCUCCGAGGUGCCUUGGGGAGGAUGGACUCCUCCCCCCCUCUUAGCCGCACCCCUUCCUUGGAGGAGGGGGCAAGGCUGCACCUCCCCCCUCUCCCCUGCCCCUAUAUAUAGUGGAGGGGAGGGAGGGCAUCCAUACCUGAGCCCUUGGCGCCUCCCUCCCUCCCGUGACACCUCCUCCUCUCCCGUAGGUGCUUGGUGAAGCCCUGCAGGAUUGCCACGCUCCUCCAUCACCACCACGCCGUUGUGCUGCUGCUGGAUGGAGUCUUCCUCAACCUCUCCCUCUCUCCUUGCUGGAUCAAGGCGUGGGAGACAUCGUCGAGCUGUACGUGUGUUGAACGCGGAGGUGCCGUCCGUUCGGCACUAGGAUCAUCGGUGAUCUGAAUCACGACGAGUACGACUCCAUCAACCCCGUUCACUUGAACGCUUCCGCUUAGCGAUCUACAAGGGUAUGUAGAUGCACUCUCCUUUCUACUCAUUGUUGGUCUCUCCAUAGAUAGAUCUUGGUGAUACGUAGGAAAAUUUUGAAUUUCUGCUACGUUCCCCAACAGUGGCAUCAUGAGCUAGGUCUAUUGCGUAGAUUCUUUGCACGAGUAGAACACAAAGUAGUUGUGGGCGUCGAUAUUGUUCAAUAUGCUUGCCGUUACUAGUCUUAUCUUGAUUCGGCAGCAUCGUGGGAUGAAGCGGCCCGGACCAACCUUACACGUACGCUUACGUGAGACCGGUUCCACCGACAAACAUGCACUAGUUGCAUAAGGUGGCUGGCGGGUGUCUGUCUCUCCCACUUUAGUCGGAUCGGAUUCGAUGAAAAGGGUCCUUAUGAAGGGUAAAUAGCAAUUGGCAUAUCACGUUGUGGUUCAUGCGUAGGUAAGAAACGUUCUUGCUAGAAACCCAUAGCAGCCACGUAAAACAUGCAAACAACAAUUAGAGGACGUCUAACUUGUUUUUGCAGGGUAUGCUAUGUGAUGUGAUAUGGCCAAAGGAUGUGAUGAAUGAUAUAUGUGAUGUAUGAGAUUGAUCAUGUUCUUGUAAUAGGAAUCACGACUUGCAUGUCGAUGAGUAUGACAACCGGCAGGAGCCAUAGGAGUUGUCUUUAUUUAUUUGUGACCUACGUGUCAACUUAAACGUCAUGUAAUUACUUUACUUUAUUGCUAACCGUUAGCCAUAGUAGUAGAAGUAAUAGUUGGCGAGGCAACUUCAUGAAGACACGAUGAUGGAGAUCAUGAUGAUGGAGAUCAUGGUGUCAUGCCGGUGACGAUGAUGAUCAUGGAGCCCCGAAGAUGGAGAUCAAAAGGAGCAAAGUGAUGAUGGCCAUAUCAUGUCACUAUUUGAUUGCAUGUGAUGUUUAUCAUGUUUAUACAUCUUAUUUGCUUAGAACGACGGUAGUAAAUAAGAUGAUCCCUUACAACAAUUUCAAGAAGUGUUCUCCCCUAACUGUGCACCGUUGCGACAGUUCGCUAUUUCAAAACAUCACGUGAUGAUCGGGUGUUUUAUUCAGACGUUCAAAUACAACGGGUGUUGACGAGCCUAGCAUGUACAGACAUGGCCUCAGAACACACGCGAAACACUUAGGGUUAACUUGACGAGCCUAGCAUGUACAGACAUGGCCUCGGAACACGGAGACCGAAAGGUCGAACAUGAGUCGUAUAGAAGAUACGAUCAACAUGAAGAUGUUCACCGAUGAUGACUAGUCCGUCUCACGUGAUGAUCGAACACGGCCUAGUUUGACUCGGAUCAUGUAAUCACUUAGAUGACUAGAGGGAUGUCUAUCUGAGUGGGAGUUCAUAAGAUGAACUUAAUUAUCCUGAACAUAGCCAAAAGGAUUUUGCAAAUUAUGUCGUAGCUCACGCUAUAGUUCUACUGUUUAGACAUGUUCCUAGAGAAAAAUUAGUUGAAAGUUGAUAGUAGCAAUUAUGCGGACUAGGUCCGUAAACUGAGGAUUGUCCUCAUUGCUUCAUAGAAGGCUUAUGUCCUUAAUGCACCGCUCAGUGUGCUGAACCUCGAACAUUGUCUGUGGUUGUUGCGAACAUCUGACAUACACGUUUUGAUACCUACGUGAUAGUUCAGUUAAACGGUUUAGAGUUGAGGCACCAAAGACGUUUUUGAAACAUCGCGAAACAUAUGAGAUGUUUUGAGGGCUGAAAUUGGGAUUUCAGGCUCGUGCCCAUGUCAAGAGGUAUAAGACCUCCGAUGACUUUCUUAACCUGCAAACUAAGGAGAAAAGCUCAAUUGUUGAGCUUGUUCUCAGAUUGUCUGAGUACAACAAUCAUUUGAAUUGAGUGGGAGUUGAUCUUCCAGAUAAGACAGUGAUGGUUCUCCAAAGUCAUUGCCACCAAGCUUUUAGAGCUUCGUGAUGAACUAUAACAUAUCAGGGAUAGAUAUGAUGAUCCUUGAAAUAUUCAUGAUGUUUGACACCGCAAAAGUAGAAAUCAAGAAGGAGCAUCAAUUGUUGAUGGUUGGUGAAACCACUAGUUUCAAGAAGGGCAAGGGAACAAAGGGAUACUUCAUGAAACGGCAAUUCAGCUGCUGCUCUAGUGAAGAAACCCAAGGUUGAACCCAAACCCGAGACUAAGUGCUUCUGUAAUAAGGGGAACAACCAUUGGAGCAGCAUUACCCUAGAUACUUGGUAGAUGAGAAGGCUGGCAAGGUCGAUAGAAGUAUAUUGGAUAUACAUUAUGUUAAUGUGUACUUUACUAGUACUCCUAGUAGCACCAGGGUAUUGGAUACCGGUUCGGUUGCUAAGUGUUAGUAACUCGAAAUAAAAGCUACGGAAUAAACGGAGACUAGCUAAAGGUGAGCUGACGAUAUAUGUUGGAAGUGUUUCCAAGGUUGAUAUGAUCAAGCAUCGCACACUCCCUCUACCACCGAGAUUGGUGUUUGCGUUGAGCAUAGACAUGAUUGGAUUAUGUCUAUCGCAAUACGAUUAUUCAUUUAAGGAGAAUAAUGGUUACUCUAUUUUUGAAUAAUACCUUCAAUGGUCUUGCACCUAAAGGAAUGGUUUAUUGAAUCUCGGUCGUAGUGAUACACAUUUUCAUGCCAAAAGAUAUAAGAUAGUAAUGAUAGUACCACUUACUUGUGGCACUGCCAUGUAAGUCAUAAUGGUAUAAAACGCAUGAAGAAGCUCCAUGUUGAUGGAUCUUUGGACUCACUCGUUUUUGAAAAGUUUGAGACAUGCGAACGAUGUCUAUUGGUGUAUAUGCAUGAAGAAACUCCAUGCAAAUGGAUCGUUCGGACUCACUUGAUUUUGAAUCACUUGAGAUAUGCAAAUCAUACCACAUGGGCAAGAUGACUGAAAAGCCUCAUUUUCAGUAAGAUGGAACAAGAUAGCAACUUGUUGGAAGUAACACAUUUUGAUGUGUGCAGUCGAAUGAGUGCUGAGGCAUGCAGUGAAUAUCAUUAUGUUCUUACUUCACAGAUGAUUCGAGUAAAUGUUGAGUAUAUUUACUUGAUGAAACACAAGUCUGAAUUAUUGAAUGGUUCAAGUAAUUUCAGAGUGAAGUAGCAGAUCAUUGUGACAAGAGGAUAAAAUGUCUAUGAUAUGAUCAUAGAGAUGAAUAUCUGAGUUAUGAGUUUUGGCACACAAUUAAGACAUUGUGGAAAUUGUUUCGCAAUUAAUACUGCCUGGAACACCAUAAUGUGAUGGUGUGUCCGAACAUCAUAGUUGCACCCUAUUGGAUAUGGUGCGUACCAUGAUGUCUCUUAUCGAAUUACCACUAUCGUUCAUGGGUUAGGCAUUAGAGACAACCACAUUCACUUUAAAUAGGGCACCAUGUAAUUCCGUUGAGAUGACACCGUAUGAAUUAUGGUUUAGAGAAACCUAAGCUGUCAUUUCUUAGAAGUUUGGGGCUGCGAUGCUUAUGUGGAAAGGUUUCAGACUGAUAAGCUCGAACCCAAAACGGAUAAAUGCAUCUUCAUAGGACACCCAAAACAGUUGGGUAUACCUCCUGUCUCAGAUUCGAAAGCAAUAAGGGAUUGUUUCUAGAAUCGGGUCCUUUUUCGAGGAAAGGUUUCUCUCGAAAAGUUGAGUGGGAGGAUGGUGGAGACUUGAUGAGGUUAUUGAACCGUCACUUCAACAAGUGUGUAGCAGGGCACAGGAAGUUGUUCCUGUGGCACGUACACCAACUGAAGUGGAAGCUUAUGAUAGUGAUCAUGAAACUUCAGAUCGAGUCACUACCAAACCUCGUGGGAUGACAAGGAUGCGUACUACUUCAGAGUGGUACGUAAUCCUGUCUUGGAAGUCAUGUUGCUAGACAACAAUGAACCUACGAGCUAUGGAGAAGCGAUGGUGGGCCCAAAUUCCGACAAAUGGUUAGAAGCCAUAAAAUCCGAGAUAGGAUCCAUGUAUGAAAACAAAGUGUAGACUUUGGAAGAACUACUUGAUGGUCGUAAGGCUGUUAGGUACAUAUGGAUUUUGAAAGGAAGACAGACAAUGAUGGUAAGUGUCACCAUUGAGAAAGCUCGACUUGUCGUUAAGAUGUUUUUCGACAAGUUCAAGGAGUUGACUACGAUGAGACUUUCUCACUCGUAGCGAUGCUAAGAGUCUGUUGGAAUUAUAUUAGCAAUUACUGCAUUAUUUAUGAAAUCUUGCAGAUAGGAUGUCAAAACAUUGUUUCCUCGACGAUUCUUGAGGAAAGGUUGUAUGUGAUACAACCGGAAGGUUUUGUCUAUCCUGAAAUAUGCUAAUAAGUAUGCAAAGCUCCAGCAAUCCUUCUGAGGACUGGAGUGAGCAUCUCGGAGUUGGAAUGUAUGCUUUGAUGAUGAUCAAAGAUUUUGGGUGUAUACAAAGUUUAUGAGAAACUUGUAUUUCCAAAGAAGUGAGUGGGAGCACUAUAGAAUUUCUGAUGAGUAUAUGUUGUUGACAUAUUAAUGAUCAGAAAUGACGUAGAAUUUCUGGAAAGCAUAUAGGGUUAUUUGGAAAGUGUUUUUCAAUGGAAAAGCCUGGAUUAAGCUACUUGAACAUUGAGCAUCAAGAUCUAUAAGGAUAGAUCAAAACGCUUAAUAGUACUUUCAAAUGAGCACAUGCCUUGACGUGAUCUUGAAGGUGUUCAAGAUGGAUCAGUCAUAGAAGGAGUUCUUGCCUGAGUUGUAAGGUAUGAAGUUAAGACUUAAAGCUCGACCAUGGCAGAAUAGAGAGAAAGGACGAAGGUCGUCCCCUAUGCUUAAGACAUAGGCUCUACAGUAUGCUAUGCUGUGUGCCGCACCUGAAGUGUGCCUUGCCAUGAGUCAGGCAAGGGGUACAAGAGUGAUCCAAGAAUGGAUCACAGGACAGCGGUCAAAGUUAUUCUUAGUAACUAGUGGACUAAGGAAUUUUCUCAAUUAUGGAGGUGGUAAAAGAGUUCGUCGUAAAGGGUUACGUCGAUGCAAGCUUAACACCUAUCCGGAUAGCUCUGAGUAGAGAUACCGGAUACGUAUAAUGGAGCAACAAUUUAGAAUAGCUCCAAGUAGAACAGUUAUUUGGAAUAGCUCCAAGUAGAACGUGGUAGCUGCAUCUAGGAGAUGACAUAGAGAUUUGUAAAGCACACACGGAUCUGAAAGGUUCAGACCCGUUGACUAUAACCUCUCUCACAAGCAUAACAUGAUCAAACCCAGAACUCAUCGAGUGUUAAUCACAUAGUGAUGUGAACUAGACUAUUGACUCUAGUAAACUCUUUGGGUGUUAGUCACAUGGGGAUGUGACCUUGAGUGUUAAUCACAUAUCGAUGUGAACUAGAUUAUUGACUCUAGUGCAAGUGGGAGACUGUUGGAAAUAUGCCCUAGAGGCAAUAAUAAAUUGAUUAUUAUUAUAUUUCCUUGUUCAUGAUAAUCGUUUAUUAUCCAUGCUAGAAUUGUAUUGAUAGGAAACUCAGAUACAUGUGUGGAUACAUAGACAACACCAUGUCCCUAGUAAGCCUCUAGUUGACUAGCUCGUUAAUCAAUAGAUGGUUACGGUUUCCUGACCAUGGACAUUGGAUGUCGUUGAUAACGGGAUCACAUCAUUAGGAGAAUGAUGUGAUGGACAAGACCCAAUCCUAAGCCUAGCACAAGAUCAUGUAGUUCGUAUGCUAAAGCUUUUCUAAUGUCAAGUAUCAUUUCCUUAGACCAUGAGAUUGUGCAACUCCCGGAUACCGUAGGAGUGCUUUGGGUGUGCCAAACGUCACAACGUAACUGGGUGGCUAUAAAGGUACACUACGGGUAUCUCUGAAAGUGUCUGUUGGGUUGGCACGAAUCGAGAUUGGGAUUUUGUCACUCCGUGUAAACGGAGAGGUAUCUCUGGGCCCACUCGGUAGGACAUCAUCAUAAUGUGCACAAUGUGACCAAGGGGUUGAUAACGGGAUGAUGUGUUACGGAACGAGUAAAGAGACUUGCCGGUAACGAGAUUGAACAAGGUAUCGGUAUACCGACGAUCGAAUCUCGGGCAAGUACCAUACCGCUAGACAAAGGGAAUUGUAUACGGGAUCGAUUGAGUCCUUGACAUCGUGGUUCAUCCGAUGAGAUCAUCGUGGAACAUGUGGGAGCCAACAUGGGUAUCCAGAUCCCGCUGUUGGUUAUUGACCGGAGAACAUCUGGGUCAUGUCUACAUGUCUCCCGAACCCGUAGGGUCUACACACUUAAGGUUCGAUGACGCUAGGGUUAUAAAGGAAGCUUGUAUGUGGUUACCGAAUGUUGUUCGGAGUCCCGGAUGAGAUCCCGGACGUCACGAGGAGUUCCGAAAUGGUCCGGAGGUAAAGAUUUAUAUAUAGGAAGUCCUGUUUCGGCCAUCGGGACAAGUUUCGGGGUCAUCGGUAUUGUACCGGGACCACCGGAAGGGUCCCGGGGGCCAACCGGGUGGGGCCACCUGCCCCGGGGGGCCACAUGGGCUGUAGGGGGUGCACCUUGGCCUACAUGGGCCAAGGUCACCAGCCCCUAGAGGCCCAUGCGCCAAGAUAUAGGAAAAAGGGGAGAGUCCUAAAGGGGGAAGGCACCUCCGAGGUGCCUUGGGGAGGAUGGACUCCUCCCCCCCUCUUAGCCGCACCCCUUCCUUGGAGGAGGGGGCAAGGCCGCGCCUCCCCCCUCUCCCCUGCCCCUAUAUAUAGUGGAGGGGAGGGAGGGCAUCCAUACCUGAGCCCUUGGCGCCUCCCUCCCUCCCGUGACACCUCCUCCUCUCCCGUAGGUGCUUGGUGAAGCCCUGCAGGAUUGCCACGCUCCUCCAUCACCACCACGCCAUUGUGCUUCUGCUGGAUGGAGUCUUCCUCAACCUCUCCCUCUCUCCUUGCUGGAUCAAGGCGUGGGAGACAUCGUCGAGCUGUACGUGUGUUGAACGCGGAGGUGCCGUCCGUUCGGCACUAGGAUCAUCGGUGAUCUGAAUCACGACGAGUACGACUCCAUCAACCCCGUUCACUUGAACGCUUCCGCUUAGCAAUCUACAAGGGUAUGUAGAUGCACUCUCCUUUCUACUCGUUGCUGGUCUCUCCAUAGAUAGAUCUUGGUGAUACGUAGGAAAAUUUUGAAUUUCUGCUACGUUCCCCAACAUAAAUAACCAAGAUUGUCGGGUUUCCUUUUCAAUAUGUUUUAUGCUCACCUGAGUUCAGAUCGGGAGGCCGCUGAACACAUGUGAUAUCACCAUCAGUGGGUUGGGGAACAACCGGGUCUGCGGUCUGUUCAAGUAUGGACUGGCCUGGAGCAUGGUUCAUACAAGUAACUAAGAUUGAAGUCACAAACUUAAGAGAAUAAAACGAUGAGUACUCUAUCCGCAUAGCCUCAUACCUGGACUAAUAGGGUGAUUAUCAACAACGUUUGUCCCAUCCAUAUGAUAUCCUACAACUUCAGUACUCACAAGUUCAUUAUCCGGAAGAACCGGUUGUCCAGACGGUUCAAGUGUCAGCCCAUCUGAGUGUCGUUCAUAUAAGUAAGCGAGAUCAAAUCGAUAAAUAAAUAGUAUUAAAUCAUGGUAAAUUGACAAUCCGCCUGUCAUAAAUGGGGUACUCAGGUUGUUCUCACCAUCAUUUGUCCCAUCAAAAUUAUCUGCAACAACGUCAUUACAGGAAAUCACAAUCGGGAUAUAGCUUGACAUGUGCGGCAAGUUUUUUAGUCAAACAUUUACCUCUAGGUAGACCUGACGAUGUUAUAUGUUCCGCAGAUUUGCUUUGUGGAUUCCCCAUACUUACCUACAAGCAAAGAUUUCAUACUAUUAACAAUGGCUUGUGAACUGAAGUUGUCUACCAUCUUCAUGAUCUUAUUUUGUUAUGUUUCCUACCGUUUAAGUAGGUAUACAUCAGUCCUGGCCUCCGUAUUGGGAGGUUUUCUGUAAACAGUCUUGUUCUAAGGGAAAAGUACUUCCAGCCCCUAAAUUGUUUGAUGUAUUAAGUGGUUUCAUGCACUUUCGUUCGUGAACUUGGAGACAACAUUAAUUAUUGUUUGAUAUAAUGGACUAUGCUUAUUGGCAGGCUGCUUCUUGGCAGUGCAAAGUUAGUAGAACAAGCCACACAACCAAGCAAUCAAAGUAAGUAAAAGCAACACACUCAGUUAUGCAAACAUGUACAGCAACUUGCAUAAACAACUCCUAAGCGAUUCUGUUGCAAAUUUCAGAAAUGGUGCCUAGCAUACCAUGCUCCAGGAAACGAGGUCGUGUGCUUGAUGUAUAUGUAAUAUAAGAUUGCCGACAUUGAGCAUUCCAACUAAGUACAAGCAACCAACUCAAAUAUGCAAUUUCAUAACUGGUGUUUGGCCUACCAUGCUCCAGCAAAGACAGUCAUAAUCAAGUAUAAACUUGAGAUUCUGUAUGUAUUUUCUGAACAUAGGUAAUGACCAAUUACUAAGUAUAAACUUGCAAUACGUACAACAGAAGUUGGAUGAUGGGCGCGUCCAGAAGGGGAUCACAGCGUCACGUAGACGGGAUCGCGGCCCCGUCUCCUGAAGCGAUCCCACAGCAGAUCGCGGCCCCGUCUCCUGAAGCGAUCCCACAGUAGAUCGCCGCCUCCUGAGAUGAUUUUUGUAUGGCCUUUAGUAUGAAUUAUUGUGUAUGAACUUGCAUUACAUAGAACUGAAAGGGGAGCAGCGCCGGUUGAGACCCUGUGGGUGGUCAGAAGGGGGCCGCCGUCGGAUCGGGGUCAUGAUCGCCGGCGAACAAAAGACGUGGGAUCGCGACCCCGUGUCCUUGCCCGAUCCAACAGCAGACCGCCGCCUCCUGCAAGUGCGACGGCGAAGGUUUCGAUCGGCCGCGGUAGAGGGAUGGAUCGGUGCGGCACAGGGAUGGAUCUGCCGUGACGCGGCACAGGGAUGGAUCCGCCGCGGACUGGGCGUAGGGGUGGAUCGGGCGCGUGAUCGGGCAGAGGCGGAGAUCGAUCUGCUGUGUCGGGCGGCGGCGGAGAUCGAUCAGCUGUGUGAAUGAGGGAUCGAUCCCAGAGUUUUUUUUGCACCGGUUUAUUUCGAUGGAGGGUAGUGCAGAGGUGGUAGGAUGACAAAAAAAAACGGUGGUGGGAGUAUGGCGAAAAUAAACCGCGCGGACUAUUCACCAAGUGCUCCAUUAGGAGUAGAGAUUAAACCAUACAUUGAAACUAUGUAAAACAUUUCAAUGCGAAAACAAAUGCGAUCAUAAUCGCAACCAAUGUAACAACUGAUCCAACGGCAUAAUGAUACCAAGCCUCGGUAUGAAUGGCAUAUUUUCUAAUCUUUCUAAUCUUCAAGCGCAUUGCAUCCAUCUUGCUCUUGUGAUCAUCGACGACAUCCGCAACAUGCAACUCCAAUAUCAUCUUCUCCUCCUCAAUUUUUCUUAUUUUUCCCUUCAAGAAAUUGUUUUCUUCUUCAACUAAAUUUAACCUCUCGACAAUAGGGUCGGUUGGAAUUUCCGGUUCAACAACCUCCUAGAUAAAUAAAAUCUAUGUCACGUUGGUCGGCAUAAUUGUCAUAAACAAUAAAUGAACCAAUAGUUAUGAAAGGAUAAUAUAUACCACAUCCGAAUCAUAGACAGGACGAGGGCCGACGGGGGUGGAUACCAAAACCAUCGCACUAUAUAAGAUGCAAUAAUAAAAGUAAGAAAAUUAUACAAGUAUCUAUAUAAACAUACAAGUAAGAAUUUUUUUUCCUUUCAGAAAGAAGAUAAGAACAAGAGGCUCACCACGGUGGUGCCGGCGACGAGAUCGGCGCGGGCGAUCAACAGCGGUGAAGACGGGGACGGGACGUGACGGACCACUAAACCUAGACAAAUAUUGAGGAAAAUGGAGCCUGGAGGUCGGGCUUGGAGAGGAGAAAGCUUAAGUAGUGUGGCUUGGGCAUUCCAUCGAACACCUCGUGUGCAUAGGAGGUGAGCUAGAGCACCACAAAGCUCUCUCCUCGCCGGCCAGGAAAAACAGAGCAGUGGGAGUGCUCUGCUCGCGGGCGAGGGGUAUAUAUAGGCAAUUAAUUGGUACCAGUUUGUGGCAUGAACUGGGACUAAAGGGCAGCCUUUGGUCCCGGUUCAUGCCACCAACCGGGACCAAUGGUGGUGGGCCAGGAGCGAGGCCCAUUGGUCCCGGUUCGUCCCACCAACCGGGACCAAAAGGUCUAGACGAACCGGGACCAAUGGCCCACGUGGCCCGGCCGGCCCCGGGGCUCACGAACCGGGUCCAGUGCCCCCAUGGGUCCCGGUUCUGCACUGAAUCGGUACUAAUGGGCUGGCCCGGCCUGGACCAUUGCCCCCUUUUCUACUAGUGGUAGGGUCAAAUAAGGCAAAGCCAUAACAAGAGCAGUGACCAGACAAUUCUUCAAUGUUGUGAAGGCCUCAAUUUCAGCAUCUGACCACUGGAAUGAAUGUGUUUUAGACAACAUGCCCUAAAUACUCAACUUGUAUUUGUAAAACUAGAAUUCAAUUUAUGAAUCUUUUUUUAGACCACUGGAAUGAAAGUUUUUUAGCAUAUAUUUGUAAAACUAGAAUUCAAUUUCUGAUUCCAACAAAUAGACAAAAAACACUUUCUUUUGCAUGACAAAAUUUCCUUUUCCAAGUUAAGUUCCUCCAAAGUAUUUUCCACACCGGUAUCAUCAGAGUCACAAGUUAAGGGAUAAAGAUAGUAGCCCAUAGCUCCUUUAUGAAUUUCCUUCUAAAACUUAUCAGGGGCUAACAAUGUUGGAGAAUUAGUAUUUCUACUCUCAGAAAGAAUAAUGGUUUCUUGAUUCUAGUAGAUAGAAGAAUACCCCCUUGUGUGUAACAUGGAGGAGUAUAAUGAAGCCCUUUUUCUGAUUCCAAUCAGAAUUACACAUGUAACAAGUAUCAAGUAUCAUUAAACCAAGCCACAUCAUGAAUUCUUUCAUGUGUUAAUUAUGUACUUCUUGUGCACUAAUCUAUCAAUGCAACUAUUCCAUCGUCCAUAUUUAUGCAUGUCAAAUUAUUUGGGUCAAUUAUGUAUGUGCAUAUACGCCUUAUUUCCAGCAAAUAGAUAGUUGUCAUGUUACACGUCUGUACUUUUCAAACAUUCUAAUUAAGAGCAAUGUAGCAGAAUAGAUUAACUGACUUCUUCUUUGUGUACUAAUUCACAGGAGGAUGACGAUGAUGUGGGGUAUGACAUGGACAGCAGGGACAGCAAGAGCCGCUACAUCAUGAGGCAGCUGAUUGCUGGAAAAUUCAAGUACCGUUUCUAUGGCAAGCUUGGCUGCCCCUUCUAUGGCAAGGCGAUCAAGGGCGGCAUAGAUGGCUUGAUGCAGCAUGCCGUCACCACUGGCAACUCCUACAGUAGGAAGCAAAAGGCCAGUACUCUGGCCAAACAUGCGGCCUACGGGCGCUUCCUAAAGAUUGUCAAAGUCAAUGAGCCCUACUACAUCCCGCCGCGCCGCAGCUGAACAUGGGAGACAAGUGAUGUGCUGCUAGACUGCUGCUGCUACCCCAGGACCGCCGUGUCCUUUUAUGUUAUCGGUAUUCGCUGGUCGACUCUAAAACUUAUUGUCUAUGGUGUGUAAGAACUUAUGUCCUAUGGUCUAUGGUGGGUGUGAACUUAUGGUGUGCGGUGGUUAAUCUGCCGUUUAUCUAAGUGUUUGCUGCUAACCUGCUUAAGUUGUCUAAGUUGUUAUUAGUACUAUUUUGCUGAUGCAUGUUAGGCAUUAUACAAUGGUAGAUGCUAAGGGUGAUGCUUAGAAAAAUAAACCGGGUUUUUCUGAAGCACCAUUGCCUAUUUGUACAGGACAGACGCCUAGUUAUGCGUCUACCCUGUACAAAUAAGCACCGGUGCUUAAGAAAAGCCUGGUUUAUCUCUCUAAACACCUCGCCUAAUCACCUUGCAUUGUACAAGGCCAUAGCAACUCAAGUAUCGUAUGGUGGUCUAUGUUAGUUAGCUGUGUUAAUUCAACCAUUCUAGAAUCGUAUGGUGAUGCAUGCUAGGAACUCUACUACUAUAAAUAUGGUAGUUAUAGCUUGGCAUGAUUAUGUUCAGUUUAUAACUCAGGAUGUUCUAGCCAUAUCUAUGACCAGUUACAACUGAACUAUGCAUUAGUUUUUGCCAAAAGUAAAGCAUGCAAAUGAUUGCCAAUUCUACCUAUUGCCAAUUAAAGCUUUGUAGUGAGGAUGCAUUAGUUAUUGCAAUAAGUAGAGGAUGCUCAUGUUUCCCAAAAGUGCAUGUUUCCACUUUCUGGUAAGAACUGAACAUGUAUCAAAUUAUGCCAAAAGUAGAGCAUGAGCAUGAACAUGUAUCAAUUGCUGCUUCCUAUUUGUGUUUGAAUGGGCUCAACAUAUCUGGUGAUGGUUUAGGGUCUCCGCGUGACCGUGAUGAUAACUCUAGAUGUUCCAGCCAUAUCUAUGACCAGUUAUAACUCAACUAUGCAUUAGUUCUUGCCAAAAGUAAAGCAUGCAAAUCGUUGCCAAUACAACCAUAUUGCCAAUUCAAUUUUUGUACUGAGGAUGCAUUAGUUAUAGCAAUAAGUAGAGGCUGCUCAUGAUUGCCAAAGGUACAUAUAUCCACUUUAUGAUAAGAACUGAACAUGUAUCAAAUGAUCCUAAAAGUAGAGCAUGAGCAAGAUCAUGUAUCAAUUGAUGCUACCUAUUUGUGUUUGAAUGGGCUCAACAUAGCUACUCAUGGCUCUGUGUGACCGUGAUGAUAAAAAAACAUUUUUUUGCCUACGGUCUUGCUGUCAAAUUUUAGUUUGAGUUCUUCGAGGCUUUUCUCUGUUACAAAGACUUUUAUCUGAAACUAACAUUGAUGGCUUGUAUGCAAUGAUGAAAACCGGGUCAAUUAAUCUGAAGACAAUAAUCAAAAGAUUUAUAACAAAAUUAGCAGUCAACUAAUAUUAAAAAAAAUUAAGUGGGUCAUUUAACAUAUGAUCCACUUAUGACUUUAAGCACACAACCUAGUUGGUCGUGCAUAAAAUAAGCGCAGUUUAACAAGGUAUCCAAUUGCUUAACCACGUCAAGUUGUGCAAAACCUAUGAGGGUUCAACUACUAAAGGAGCGGCCGACAACGAUUAAAAAAAGCUACGAUCAGGAAAUACCUUCUCUCGGAGACGGCGGCGCCGAGUUGAUGGAAGCGGACAGUGCGUCGCAAACUAGAAGUGCCCCUAUAGCGCGGUAGACGGAGGCAAGGAUAAACGGAGGGAGCGGCGAGAAUAACACUGAAGUCCGACCACUCAUGGCGGUGGGCGGUGGCCGGCGACUCCUGUUAUCUGUGUGAGCCCGGCGUCUCCGAUCUGAUCUUGCAGCAGUCGUGGGAGCUGCGGAUGGCACGGCCGGGUGGUUAGAAUGAGGCGCUGUAAUUGCGGGAUUUAGGGAGGGGUGGGCCGCGUGAGUUAUAUGAGAUUUGAAUAAUAUCACAAUGAUAUCCCAAAAAAUCUACAAAAUAUUGUCCUUGUUUUUUAAGUAUUAAAAAUGGUUUUUUCAUGUCACAUAUGCCCGAAAAAUGCCAUACGUGACAAAACUUGCAAUAAAUGUUGAAAAUGGUCCACAUUGUACUAAUGACCGAAAAAAUCCCGCAUGUGACGAAACUUUCAAAAUUUGUUGAAGAUGGUUGAAACAUGGCAAGUAGCCCUAACAUGGCCAUGACUUGUCAUCCUGAAAUGUUGGGUUGGUUUCAUACAGGUGAGAAACUAAGCUAGUGCUCUCGGGGUGGUGACAGGCUAUCCCUGAAGAGUGCGUUUCAGAGACCCUACUUGCGUAUACAUGCACUAAUGAUCCCACUUUUGUUGCAUCGCAUCCCUUGACCACAUAGAGCAUGCACGCAUAAUAUGCUUUUCAUGUUGGGCAAAAUUUGGAAUGUUUACACAUAUACGGAACGAAAAUGACCAGUAAACGGCUCUCGGGAGGUCUACCUCCCCCCCCCCCACACACAAAAAUUAAACCGUGAUUUUUUUCGACCUCCUCUAAAUCACCUCUAAUUUUGCACACUUGAUAUGUUGCACAAACAUAGCUAGGUUUUCAAGCUUUUAUAAUUUUUUAUUUUUUUGAAUUUAUUCUGCCCUGUAGACUAACUAAUCGAAACAUCGGUCUACACCUUAAGCGGGCAUUGUAGGAUACAUUUUUUUUCAAAUUUCUUUCAUAGACAUGCUUGGCACAUCUAUUUGAGCAUCUAGAACAAAUUUGGGUUAAUUUGGAGGUGGUGGAAAAAUCACAUUUUCUACAAAAAAUGGCUUAAGUGAGAGAAAAUGGUCCCUCGUGUUUAAGCGUGAUUUUUUCGACCUUCUCUAAAUCACCUAUAAUUUUGCACACUUGAUAUGUUGCACAAACAUAGCUAGAUAUUCAAGGUUUUAGGAUUUUUAAUUUUUUUUUGAAUUUAUUCUGCCUUGUAGACUGACUGAUCAAAACAAUGGUCUACACCUUAAGCGGGCAUUGUAGGAUACAUUUUUUUCAAAAUUUCUCUCAUAGACAUGCUAGACACAUCUAUUUAAGCAUGUAGAACAAAUUUGUGGUGAUUUGGAUGUGGUGGAAAAACACAUUUUCUACAAAAACUGGCUUAAGUGACCAAAUGGUCCCUCGUAUUUUAGCGUGAUUUUUUCGACUUCCUCUAAACCACCUCUAAUUUUGCACACUUGAUAUGUUGCACAAACAUAGCUAGGUUUUCAAGAUUUUAUAAUUGUUUUUUGAAUUUAUUCUGCGCUAUAGACCGACUGAUCAAAACAUUGGUCUACACCUUAAGCGGGCAUUGUAGGAUACAUUUUUUUUCGAAAUUUCUUUCAUAGACAUGGUUGGAACAUCUAUUUGAGCAUCUAGAACAAAUUUGGGGUGAUUUGGAGGUGGUGGAAAAAAAAUCACAUUUUCUACAAAAAAUGGCUUAAGUGAGAACAAUUGGUCCCUUGUGUUUAAGUGUGAUUUUUUAGACCUUCUCUAAAUCACCUAUAAUUUUUCACACUUGAUAUGUUGCACAAACAUAGCUAGGUUUUCAAGGUUUUAGAAUUUUUUAUUUUUUUUGAAUUUAUUCUGCCAUGUAGACUGACUCAUCAAAACAACGGUCUACAUCUUAAGCGGGCAUUGUAGGAUACAUUUUUUCCAAAUUUCUCUCAUAGACAUGCUAGGCACAUCUAUUUAAGCAUGUAGAACAAAUUUGUGGUGAUUUGGAUGUGGUGGAAAAAAUCACAUUUUCCACAAAAACUGGCUUAAGUGAAGACCAAAUGGUCCCUCGUGUUUUAGCGUGAUUUUUUCGACCUCCUCUAAAUCACCUCUAAUUUUGCACACUUUAUAUGUUGCACAAACAUAGCUAGGUUUUCAAGGUUUGAAAAUUUUAUAAUUGUUUUUAAUUUAUUUUGCCCUGUAGACUCACUGAUCAAAACAUCUGUCUACACCUUAAGCAGGCAUUGUAGGAUACAUUUUUUCCAAAUUUCUUUCAUAGACAUGCUUGGCACAUCUAUUUGAGCAUCUAUAAGAAAUUUGGGGUGAUUUCGAGGUGGUGUAAAAAAAUCACAUUUUCUACAAAAACUGGCUUAAGUGAGACCAAAUGGUCCCUCGUGUUUAAGCAUGAUUUUUUCGACCUUCUCUAAAUCACCUAUAAUUUUGCACACUUGAUAUGUUGCGAAAACAUAGCUAGCUUUUCAAGGUUUUAUAAUUGUUUAAUUUAUUUUUGAAUUUAUUCUGUCCUGUAGACUGACUGAUCAAAACAACGGUCUACACCUUAAGCGGGCAUUGUAGAAUACAUUUUUUCCAAAUUUCUCUCAUAGACAUGCUAGGCACAUCUAUUUAAGAAUGUAGAACAAAUUUGUGAUGAUUUGGAGGUGGUGGAAAAAAAUCACAUUUUAUACAAAAACUGGCUUAAGUGAGACCAAAUGGCUCCUCGUGUUUUAGCGUGAUUUUUUUGACCUCCUCUAAAUCAUCUCUAAUUUUGCACACUUGAUAUGUUGCACAAACAUAGAUAAGUUUUCAGUGUUUUACAAUUUUUUAAUUUGUUUUGAAUUUAUUCUGCCUUGUAGACUGACUGAUCAAAACAACGGUCUACACCUUAAGCGGGCAUUGUAGGAUACGUUUUUUCAAAUUUCUUUCAUACACAUGUUUGGCUCAUCUAUUUGAGCAUGUAGAAUAAAUUUUAGGUGAUUUGGAGGUGGUGAAAAAAAUCACCUUUUUUCGACCACAUCUAAAUCACCUCAGUUUUUGCACACAUGAUCUGUAAAUAACAAUGUUUGUCACAUGUAUGUGACAAUGUAAAACAAAUUUGGUUUGAUUUAGAGAUGGUCUACAAAUUAACUGCAAUAUUUCAAAUUUAUUUUAGAAUUAAAAUUCAAUGAUGCAAGGUUUUACAUAUUUUUCAAUUGUUUUCAAACUUAAACUUUUUACACAUGUCCAAGAAAGCCAAUGUGGCAAGGUUUUAAAUGUUUUUAAUUGUUAUCAAACUUAAACUUCUCACAUAAGACACGUGUACCUAAAAAAAGGAAGUGUUAUUUUAGUAUAAGUCAACAUGUCACAUAGGCAAAAAAAGAUUUUAUAGAAAAAAAUCCUACCUACCUAACAUGAUAUUUCGCACACCACGACCCGCAUAGGACAACAAACCCAGUGAUAUGGGCCAGGAUGCAGGCCCGUGGUGGGACUAAACUCAAACGCACGUGCACCCAGCAGUGCACAAAGCGCGGUUGCCACGUCGGAUUGCAACUGCGCCCCACCACCACUACCCCCACGUCCUACACCCGAACCACCUCCCCCACGUCCCCAUCCCAUGCAUGAAAAAGCCCCAAAUCGACUACAUCACUGCCUCAUUCCGCGAACCUCCAUUGCCGCUUCCAUAUCUUCUACAAACAACCCACAAACAUCUCUCUUCGAAGCCCGCAGUCGCAGGAGGAGGGCAAUGGCGGAGGAAGCGUCUGCUAAGCGUCAUUGUGGCCAGACAUCCGACCAGAGCGGCAACCUCGACGUCGUUCAUGUUCCCGGUCAGAAGCGCAAGUACACCGUAACCCUCAAAGGGGUUGAGCUCCACGGCAAGGAGACGAUGGAGGUCGUCUGCACCAGCGAACCAGACAAGGCCGACAAGAUGAUCUUUUGGAUCAGGAGGAGCGCAUGCGGCUCGUAUCCCCACAUCAUCAGCGUUGAUGUGGAGUUUACCAAAGAUGAUGAACCUCCGUAGAUGGCAGCAGUUCUGCAGUUCUGCGUGGAGGGUCUCUGCCUCGUGUACCACAUUGCUGCGGCCACAAAAUGGUGAACAAUCCUACUCAUUCACCCUCUUCCAUUCAUCAAUACUGCUCCCUCGAAAUUUCAUUAGACUAGUUUCAUACUAGAUGUACUAGUGUAGUUUGUGAAAAUGGAUGCACUAGUGUAGUUCAUCAAAGUAGAUGGACUAGAAUAUAUUUUGAACCUGGUGCACUUGAAUAGUAUCUGAAAUUGUUGCACAAGAUUAAUUUGUGAGCUUCAUGUACCAGUGUAGUUUCUCAUCUUGAUUCAUUAGUCUAGUUUCUGAACUUGAUGUAGUGAAGUAGUUUCUGAACUUGGUCUGGUGUUAUUUUCACCACCAAAAACACUUAAGAACUUGGUGAAGCAGAGGUAUAUGUUAUUUUAUUCAACAAAAUAAAACUAAACUAGCACUAAGAAAGCAAAUAGAUCACUGACUCAACUAUAUAUUCCAAAAAUAAAAAUAACAUGGUGUACUUGAUUUUAAUUUUAGAACUUUGUGUACUAGUUUCUGAACUACAUUCAUCCAUGACUUAUACUGUAUAAGCAUCUACUCCAUGUAUUAUUCACUUGUAAACCGUAAAAAACAGAUGAUUAAAUCUUGAAAAUAAACACUAGUACUCCAUGUAUUCAUCACUUGUAUCUCCCCUAGCAGUUCAAAGCGCCUCAAAGAGUUUCUAUAGGAGGAGAAGUUGUUCACCUUUGCCAGUUUCAACAUUAAAAAUGACAGGGACAAGUUGAAGAUGUCUGGUUUGGAGAUAAACCCCAACAAGCACAUCGACAUUCAGCGCAACUGGAGACUUCCAUACAACGGAAAACCGUAUGACUCCUUGGCUGAUGUUGCAGCCAGCGUCAUCCACCCAUUCUACAGCAAGAUGAAGAACAAGAUCGACAAGCAGGGAGACCAUAAACUAUGGGGGGUCAGCCCACUGCCAGAUUACUUCAUCGAGUACGCAGCAAUAGAUGCGUACGCCACCUACAAGUCGUGGAAGAUAAUCAACAACAUCAAAAGAGGUCUGGAAAUUUCAAAAGAGCAGGAAGAGGACCCCUACUACCACUGCCAGUAUGCGGGAUGAGGAGACAUCAAAAUCUGGCUUCGUGUUGCUUGCACUUGUGCUUGUCCUUUAUCUUGUUGUUUGAAAUUUGUGGUUUCCUUUUCUUGGGUUAAACCAGCUUGUAUAUGUCAUGUGUGUCAUAGUUGAACCUGUUUGUUUAUGUCCAGUUUGUCAGGGUUGAAAAAGUUUGCUUAUGUAAUCAAGUACAUAGUUUGCUUAUCUCGUUAAAUAAGUUUGCUAGCUUCCUAUUUUGUUUAUUCAUCAAAACAAAAAUUCAAGUAAAUUGUGAAUGGAACUCUGUGGCUGCUCUUCAAUACUCCCUCCGUAAACUAAUGUAAGAGCAUUUAGAUCACUAUUUUAGUAAUCUAAACGCUCUUAUAUUAGUUUACAGAGGGAGUACUAGUUAUCAAAGGAACUAAUCAUAGAAGGUUGUGCCAUGUGUAGUUUGGGUUCAGAAUUGUAUGGAAAUGAAAACAAUAAGUACAAUAAGAGCUAAACUCCAUUACCCAAACCUACUAAAAAGGUCCCCCAACGCCCCCAGCUUUAUACUAUAAAGCAACGGCACCAAGCAUCCAAUAACAUUUGAAGACAGAUUCAAGUUCAAGGUAGUCACAAAUAACCGCUGGGGCAACAGCAAAGCAAGCCCCAAACAUAACAAGUUCAUUUCACAUCGAUACAUGGCCCAUUUACUGAACCUAUAUAUAUAUAUAUAUAUAUAUAUAUAUAGAGAGAGAGAGAGAGAGAGAUAUGUACGGUAAUACACGGCAAGUACUCUGAAACAAGAGCUAACAUACCAAGUUCAUAUCACAUCAAAACAUGGCCCAGCCAGUUCUAAAUGAGGUCGAUGGUGAUCAUCAUCCUCAAGUCACGGCGACGGAUAUUCGCAACAGUAAGUAGGAUGCCCUGACCUACCGGAAGAUUCUUACCAUUAAGGAACUUCUUCCACCCCGCCCGGUUGAAGAUAGUGCGACCGUCCGUGUCCACUGUGUAGGCACAAGUGGUGAUGGAGCCCGUUCUGGUAAGGCGUAGUCCAACAGCCAUGCCUUCUUCAUCCGGCUCGAUGCCACAACUAUCAGAUAACCUCUUAGGUAAUUUUUGAAAAUAGUUGAUAUGAUAUAUGAGCAUGUGACGUGCAAUUAUCAACAAACCAGACACUUCAAGACACAUAUGUCACAUCACAUCACUACACUACACGCUAAUCAUCAAAUUACUACAGUAAUUAAGCAUAUCAUUAGAUUAUAUACUACGCACACUAAGCAUAUCAUCGCAUAUUACUACACUAGAUAAGCAUAUAUUGCAUUACUACAACACAUGCAUACCAUAAAAUUCUGCACUAAAUGAAUUCUACACUAGGCAUAUCAUCACAGUACUACAACAUGCAUAUCAUAUCAACUACUACACUAAUUAAGCAUGCAUAUCAUGUAAUUACCACACUAAGUAACAUACCAUGAGAUGCUGUUUAACAUUUGUCUUUGUGACGCGGGUCACGAAUGGCAUCCCAACGUAGUGUUCACGUAGCGGAAGCAUGUCCCAGAGGUUGCUGGUUUCCUCGUCGCUCAGCCUCACUCCUUGGGCAUAGAGGGCUUCAUCAAGUGGGUUCUCAUCAUCAUCUAAAUCCUCACCAUCAUCCUCCUCAUGAACUGCAUCCUCACUAUCGGCAAUCAAAUUUAGAUAGAUAACAGAAAUCCUGGGCCUUUCUCCCCUUAAGGAGAAGAGGAUCCGUUCACCCCCACUAAGACGCAAGCGGGCGAUGAAACGAUCCCAUUCAUAUCCUCCAAUCUGGGUUAUCGUUUGCCCCUUAUCGACAUGCAUAGUGUACGCCCCCCCAAGAGCGUCGAAGGUCACGGUAUCUCCGAUGAGCUCAUUGAAUGUCAAUCUCACAUUGCAUGGGACGAUCUGUGCAAGAAAAAACCAAAUAACAAACACAAUGCAUUAGUGGAAAUAGAAAAAAAAUGAACUGUCAGAAGGUUCAUAUAAAUUGUUACCACUGAAAAACAAAAGUAGGCUGGAAGUAGAUGCCGAACAGCGUGGCAGUACAAAGGCUGGUCCAGUACCGUGACUUGCACCGUCCACAUGGUGCUUCCUCCAUUUUACACAGAACAUGUUGAACUCUAAGUUGAAUUGUAUGCUACCAUAUUACAAUACAAAGAUCAUACAUAUAAUAAAUCAUAGUGAUAACCUAAAAUGCAAUACCUAUUAAAUCUAUUUACUAUCAUCUACCUAAAAAAGCAAUGCCAAUGACAAUGGCAAUUCCAGUAUCAUCUACCUAAUAAAUCACAAUCCAAUCCAAUCCAAUGUUAGUACUACAUACUAUAGUGAAGAACAGAUGAAUUAUUUUGAUUUAUUUUUUCACACAUAGGGCCGCAUUUUGAUUUGCAUAGGGCCUCACUUUUCCCUGGUACAACUCAGACCCUACACUACGACAUCCAUCAAUCUAUGAAAGAGCCAUCAUAUCCAUCAACAAAUCAUCUACCGCAUGUACCAAUUAAAAUUUAUGGACCAGAUCCGCGUCCGGAGGGAGAUGCAUGCGGUUGGGGAAGGGAAGAAGAUUCGUGAGGGGGAUGAGGGGAGAUCUCACCUUCUUGCCAGAGUUGGCAGCGGCAACGCAGAUCCGGCGACGAAGAGAGGCGUCGUCUGGAGAUGGCGGCGGCAGCGCUUGUCGAGAAGGGGAAGAAGAAAGUUGAAAAUGAUGUGGAGUAGUAGGUGCACUUAGCCAAAUGUGGUACAUGUGGUGGUGCAUUUGUGUGGAUGACAAGGGAACCCACGUGUCAGUACCCAUAGAAAAAAAUUGGCAUUUCCAACUGCCUCGCGGGGAUUCGAACCAGGGCCAUGCGGGUGUGAGGUAAAGGGUCUAGCCAAUUCGGUUGAUGCAGUGUGUUUGGCAGAACCAAUUUGCCUCUCCUUAAGACAUGUAUCCAGACACAGACGCACGAAAAAAAACCAUGCACCGAGGCUGCGCUCCAUGUGUGGCAUAAGUGGUCCUAUGUAGCUGCAAUUAGGACCAAUGUUGAUAUAUGUUGUUAUUAGCUAGGGUACCAACAGUAUAUAAUGGCUUUUGUGAUCCUUGCUAGUAAAGAAACCAUGAUCCAUGUUGGCCCAAGUGGCACGUUUGAGUGCAACAUGUCAAUAUUGGUGCAUUUGGCCCUUAUGGCAUCCGUGUGGCCAAAGAGACCAUGAUUAGUGAAAACACAUGAAGAUUGCUACAUGACGGGCCGUUGGCGUGUCUUGGUAUGCACUGUGCGUGCAAUGUGACUACAAAAAGUUGUUGCAUGUCGAGACGUAGUUUAUCGGUGCAUGUGGAUCCUAUAGGCUUAUUUGUUCCUUGUAUGCGGGCAUGGUGCGUGUUGGCCCAAGUGACAUGUGUCAGUGCAUUGUGACCUCUUCUAUGGGCCCAGAAACAAUGAGAAUUAUUUCUGGAGUACCUAUUUGUAAAUUUUGCACAGCUCUAGUUGGGUGCUGAUGUGGAAUGUUUUAUUUCCCGCGGUGCACUUACUAACUGGACUCACUUGUUAGAAAUCAUGUCAACCCACCCAAAAUGGCGGAUUAGACCUUGCUGCAACAAAUUACCCCACCAAUAUGUGAUUUUUUGCAACAAACCUGUAAAGUAGGUGUUCUAUGCAAAAGUAACACCAAAAGUAGGUGGUUUGUGUAAUUUCCUCGCUAAACCACAGGUCAAAAAAUAUACAAAUUCAUGACAAAAAAAAUUUAAGUGGUUGGGGCGUGCACGAGCGCAUGACGCCACGCGUCUAGCCUCAGUAACUCCAAACGUCCACCCACACGCCAAAUAAAGGCCGCCUCCCCCACCCCCGUCUCCCCCACUCCCCCACCCCUGCUGCUUUUCUUCCCCAAAUCAGCAAAAACCCUCUCCUCUCACCUCGAACCCUACCUCCUACGAGCCAGCAACCAUCUCCCUUGCCCUUCGUUGUCGGAAGAUGAAGGCCGACCGUGAAGACACGGCGGUGGAGAAGGAUGCAGCGGUAGAAGCAGUGGAGAAGCCUGCUCUGGUCAUUGCCGCCGCGGUUGGCGUGGCCGACGGCGCCGUCGCGGCGACGGGAGGCGGUGCACCAUCUGUUGUGACUGCUCCGGCCGCCGUCACAGCGUCCGAGCCUGCGGUCGGGGAGCAGGUGGAGGAGGAGGUGGCGGUGGAUCUGGAAGAGCAGAGGGCCAAGCAGAAGCGCGAGCAGUACGAGCUCAUUGACAAGUACUACGAGGAGGCCGAGCUCGACACUAAGGAAGUGCAGGAUGAGGUAGUCGAGUUUGACGAGGAGGUCGACGACGAGCUCUCGGAGGUACUACUCUGUUUUGCUCUAUUCUCCUACUCUGUUUUUGGGGUUUUCUCCCAUGGGGUUUUCUCCUAAAUUGCAUGCAGCACGGAUUAGAUUUCGUCCAGAUAGGUCAUGUUUCUUGAUCUCUCCCUUAGGGUUAGGAUUAGUACUAGUUGUUUCAUACAUUUGGAAGGAAACCCCUUCAAUCUGAAACCUGGCAUGGAACAGUAGUCAUGUAGGCCUAAAAUCCCGCUGUGCGUGCAAUUAUUUUGUGAAGAUGAGUAAGAAUAUGAUUUAGAAACUGAUUAUGAACCAGUUCUGCUGUAGAAAAUGGUGUGUUUGUUAGGUAUCACCUCUUUGAUUCGUACGAUUUCCAAAUGCAGGAAUAGGGAAAAUGUGGGAUUAGAGUGGCAUGUCAUCUUGAAUCCUACAGGAUUAUAUGAGUGUUUGAUUGUGCAUACUAAAAACGUAGGAUUCUUUCAGACAGGUUUGAGUGGAUGGAAAAAUUUCCUACAAAUUUGUUUAUUUCAUGACAGUCAACAAGAGGAUCAAUGAUUAAUAUCUAGGACUUGAAAAGUUGACAUGCAACAGUAAAUAUUUAUCAACGGUGCUUGACCUUCUAUAAAUGGUAACUUUUAAAACAUGUACUUUGGAAACAACUUUGAAUAUUUGCUGUUGGAUGAAGCCAAUCCAACGGUGGACAAAUGGUAAAUCCCUGCAUUGUUGGCCAUUCGAUAUCUUAUUUACUAUAAAAGAAAAAUUCCAAGCAUGCGUACUAUGUAGAAUAUUCCAUUUGUAAGCUUAAGCACAAUGCUACCUAUGCACAAACAACCUCAUAGCACUAUGUUUCUCCAUUGUAAUAGAAUCUUGGAUACUUUAACAGCGCAAACUCUUUUCUUCUAAAUGAACUGCUAAUGCUUUGAACUUUGUGAAUCUGAAUGCAUAUUAUGCACAAACAUUAUCUCUUUAUUAAAGAAAACACACACACAAAUCCAUUGCUACAAUAACAUAGCAAUGUAAAGUGCAUCUAAAAUAAUUGACAUUAACUGUUGCUUUCACGCCCAAUGCACGUGUGCCUCGCUAGUAACCAACAAUACUAUCAAUGAUGAGAGUUUAAAUCAGAGAACCCCUGUUACAACUAUGCUCUGUUAUUCAAUUGUGCAACCCAUUAUCUGGUUUUGCUAUUCAUGAAACUAUGCUCCGUUCUUCAAUAGUGGCAACCCAUUAUCUAGUUUUGGUAUGCAUGAAACUAGGCCACAUCAUCGAGUUAUGCAUCUGGUCAGUACUGAUGCAUGUAGUAACAAUUUACGGCCACUGCCUGCCAUUAACAACAAACAUGGAUUAGUUCUUUUCUUGCACAAAUCAAUCCAUGAAACUAUGCCACAUCAGUAAUCAUGCAUGCCAAGUCCAUACAACAGUACAUUUCUAGCAACAAGAUUUUCUAUUGCAUUCUUAUUAUAUAGAAUUUUCAUUACUAAGCGUAAUCAUAAUGCUCCAUAUGCACAAAGCUGAUACCACAUUUUCUCCUUUCUUAUAGAAUCUUUCAUACCUUAACAGUGCAAACUUUUUCUAUCUGCUUCAUGAUUUCCAUAUAAUGAAGUGGACUAUGCAUCUUAAUUUCAAUCUGAUUGCCAAAUCUAUUGAGACCUAUUAAACAGUACAUUUAUUUAGUUGUUAGAAAAACUAGUUUAUUUGAUGAAAAUCAUGAAGCCUGACAGCUAUAUUGUGAAGACAUUUUCUGAUUGCAGUAAGUAAUUGUUGGGGAACGUAGUAAUUUCAAAAAAAAUUCCUACGCACACGCAAGAUCAUGGUGAUGCAUAGCAACGAGAGGGGGAGUGUAUCUUCAUACCCUUGAAGAUCGCUAAGUGGAAGCGUUUAUCAACGCGGUUGAUGUAGUCGUACGUCUUCACGAUCCGACCGAUCCAAGUACCGAACGCACGGUACCUCCGAGUUCUGCACACAUUCAGCUCGAUGAUGUCCUCGCCUUCUCGAUCCAGCAAGACGGGCGAAGUAGUAGAUGAGUUCCGGCAGCACGACGGCGUGGUGAUGGUGUUGGUGAAGAACAAUCUCCGCAGGGCUUCGCCUAAGCACUACGGAAACUAUGACGGAGGGUAAACUAGAGGGGACGGGGUUGUCGGCACACGGCUUGGUGUUUCUUGAUGUGUCUUUGGUGCUAGCCCCUCCCCUCUAUUUAUAUGUUGAGCCCUGGGGUCGAAACUUGGAGCAAAAGCCUCCUCAAAGUCGGUUUUGCCCUAAAGGCAAGAGUCCCACUCGGACUCCAGGACCAAACGCCACAAUCCUGGUGUCUGGCCCAGACGCCAUGGGCCUCGGCGUCUGGCCCAGGGCUAGACGCCAGGGUCUCUGGCGUUUGGCCUCCUGGCCUGCGCAAAACUCCUUUUGCACCGACUUAUAGCCCCGUGGGCCUGACCCCUUAGCCUAAGCAUAUCAUCCAAUAUAUGAAUCUUUACCUCCGGACCAUUCUGGAGCUCCUCGUCAUGUCCGUGAUCUCAUCCGGGACUCCGAACAACAUUCGGUCACCAACAUACAUAACUCAUAUAAAACUAUAUUGUCAACGAACGUUAAGCGUGCGGACCCUACGGGUUCGAGAACUAUGUAGACAUGACCGAGACAUGUUUCCGGUCAAUAACCAAUAGCGGGACCUGGAUGCCCAUAUUGGCUCCCACAUAUUCUACGAAGAUCUUUAUUGGUCAAACCGCAUAACAACAUACGUUGUUCCCUUUGUCAUCGGUAUGUUACUUGCCCGAGAUUCGAUCGUCGGUAUCUCAAUACCUAGUUCAAUCUCGUUACCGGCAAGUCUCUUUACUCGUUCCAUUAUACAUCAUCCCGCAACUAACUCAUUAGUUGCAAUGCUUGCAAGGCUUUAAGUGAUGUGCAUUACCGAGUGGGCCCAGAGAUACCUCUCUGACAAUCGGAGUGACAAAUCCUAAUCUCGAAAUACGCCAACCCAACAAGUACCUUUGGAGACACCUGUAGAGCACCUUUAUAGUCACCCAGUUACGUUGUGACGUUUGGUAGCACACAAAGUGUUCCUCCGGUAAACGGGAGUAGCAUAAUCUCAUAGUCAUAGGAACAUGUAUAAGUCAUGAAGAAAGCAAUAGCAACAUACUAAAUGACCGUGUGCUAAGCUAACGGAAUGGGUCAUGUCAAUCACAUCAUUCUCCUAAUGAAGUGAUCCUGUUAAUCAAAUGACUACUCAUGUCUAUGGCUAGGAAACAUAACCAUCUUUAAUCAACGAGCUAGUCAAGUAGAGGCAUACUAGUGACAAUCUGUUUGUCUAUGUAUUCACACAUGUAUUAUGUUUCCGGUUAAUACAAUUCUAGCAUGAAUAAUAAACAUUUAUCAUGAUAUAAGGAAAUAAAUAAUAACUUUAUUAUUGCCUCUAGUGCAUAUUUCCUUCAGUAAUUCAUUGCAGAGUUUCUUAUGUACGCACCCUAUGUAAUUAUUAGCAACAAGGAGAAAUUAAAGCCAUAAUUUCUUAUGUUCGCAACCGAUGUACCUCAGUCAAAAAUUUCUCUUUUUAUACAUAAUUCAUGACAUGAUUCAUAUGAUUUGUUGUCUUCAAAAUAUCAAGUGAGGGCAAUCUUUUCUUUGUUGAUGCGGUAGUUUUACUUUGUAGUAUGUACUCAUCUAGUUUGAAUAUAAUUAAAUUAGAUAUUGUCUGGUAUCUCUUUAUGAUAAAACCAGAUCAUACAAAAUAUUGUUGCAAGAAAUGGCAAGAAAUGAUCCUGUUUUUGGAAUUAUCUAUUUUUAGUAUGAAAUAAAAUAUGUGCUUGAAUGCAGUAAAAUGAUUUGUUCAUACCCUAAAACCCGAACCCUUUAGUUAAUUGUCAACUUAGAUUGUACAAAUAGGAGUACUUCUUUACAGGGGAUAACAGGUACGCUUUCCAAGCAAAGAAAAAAGAACAAGAAAGAUAACAAAUAAUACGUAAACAUAUAUAGCAAUACAUGAGGUACAUGUUGUGUGAAUCAUCUGAUUGAUCAUAUUUUUGUGUUCCUACUUUCAGAAUGUACUUGAUACUCUUAUGAAAUGCUACAUUUCUGUAUUCCUAAUCUGACAUAGCUGUCGAUCAACUAACACACAUGAAGAUGACGAAGGCGUGGAUGAUAUUAAGGAGAGGAGGGAAAGCAAGAGCCACUACGUCCUCAGGAGGCUGCGGAAUGGGGAAAUCCCAUACCGCAGCGGCUCCGACAAGCUCUACGGCAACAUAGCCUGCCCCUUCUGCUGCACGAGAAUCAAGAGCGACUACGACAACCUGAUCAUGCAUGGCACCGAUAUCAGCCGUGGUAAUGGGAGGAACCACAAGCCCCAUGGCCGGGCUGAACAUUCCGCUUUUGAUGCCUUCCUUGGGAAGUAUGCGAAGGGGCAUCUUCCAUUCUACCUCCCGAGGCCACCUCGUCCGGCCAAGAUGCCGAGGAUCUGAUGCGCUACUUGGUUGUUACUACUGGUCCACCCUAGUUAAGACUGUUUUUAUGUUAUGGUUGUCAUGUGAUACUUCUGCCCCACCGUACUGCUUGAACUUAUGUGCCAGUUUAUCUUUUGGGUUGCGAGUGUUUAACAUGCUAUGUUUAAGUGUUUGGUAGUACAUUGCUCAUUUCUGGUAAUGGACAACUUCCAAUGCUACGUGCUUAGGUACAUGCUAACUAUAUUAAACAUGGUUUUUGGAAGCAGCAGUGCCAAUUUGUACAUGAUAGGCGCCUAAUUAAGUGUCUACCCUGUACUAAUAAGUGUUGUUGCUUCAUUGAACUAUUGUUUAUCUUGUAAGCACCUACCCUGUACUAAUAAGUGCAUUGCGGUCAACCUUGCCUAAUACCUCCACUAUGGUGAUAUGUGGUACAUAUAUGUUAUGACUCUAACUAAAGAUGCUAAUGCUAUAUCUUGCACUGAAUUUGGUAUGUUCAGAAAUAAUGAUAUUCUAGUUAUUUCUAUGGACAGUUAAACCAUUCUAAAUGAUCCUGUAUUAAUAGCUGCCAAAAGUAGAGCACACAAAUGUUCGCCAGGAGUACAUACUGCCAUUUGAAGCAAAACAAAUGAGCAUGCAUUAGUAAUUGCCAGAAAUGUAGCAUGCACAUGAUUGCCAAAAGUACCCAUUGCCAUUUUUUGACAUGCACUUAGGUUGUAUAAUAUAUUGCCAAAAGUACAUCAUGCAAAUGAUUGGCAGAAUGACCUAUUCGCAGUUCAACCAAAAGAACUGAGCAUGUAUCCCUAAUUGCCGAAAUUAUAUAAUGUUCGUGAUUGCCAAAAGUAUGUACUGCGACAACAUAGAUUGCUAUAUUGAGGUAUGUUAUCAUACCCUACUUUUUACGGUCUUAGCUGUUGUUAGCAAGCCAUCUUUCAUCGCUCGUCGAUGCACGUUUGAUAAAGUUCAAUCACCAAAUCGUAAAUGACAAAUGUAUCAUAAGUAGUGCUAACUACAGUGCUACCCAGUACGUACGUAAACUACCAUUUGGUUAACUUGAAUGGGCUCGAUAUAGCAUGUGAUGGCUUGCGUGAUCAUAUUGAUAUCGAAGAAGACACUUGUUUAGUAAUGGUCUUGCUAUCAAAUUUCACUCUGAGCUCUUCCAUAGUUUUUGUUUUUUUAGCUUGCACUUCAUCAACAAGCUUCCUCGGGCGUCCACGUGCUCUUCGCUUUUUGGGGGAGCUCGGGGUGUCGGGAUCCUUUGGGGAGCUCGACGUGUCUGAUAUCUUGCACUCAACAGUACCGAUAAUUUCUUGGACAUCAUCUUGUGAAUUGAUAGGUUCCGAUGCAACAUGGGCUCCAUACGUCUCCGCUUGUACAGCAGACAUCAGUGCAUUCGGUAGUGUCAUGACACAUGUGAAUACAAUAAAAUAUCCGUGCUUUUUCGCUAACUGUUAUGGGGUACUUGUAUGUUUCCAUGCGAAGACUAUUGCAAUCUGAUCACAGCAAGCUUGAAACUAUUUUCCAGCUAAAUAUAUCUAUCUGUGACUACAUUUGAUAAGCGACACAUAUGUCAGCACAUCAUUCAGUCAUAAGAUAUUCUACAAGAAAAUAUAGUGUUUUGCUCACCUGCUCCACUUUGUCGGUAAAUACUUCACUGUUCCAUGUCAACAUGUACUUCAGUGUAAAAAACGCACAUGAAUGCCUGCAGUGUUUAGCUUAGGUUUUAGUAAACUUGAACGUGUCGGCAAGGAAUAAUUUAGGAGGUCGUACGUACCCGUCAUUCUGUUGCGGUAUGUCAUCAUAGUGUACUACUUCCCAGUUGGUAAAUUAAUGGGCUUAUCUGGUGUUACCAAGCCAUCCUUCACCGCUCCGUCCAUGCAGGCCUGAAUCGCCUCCACCUAGCAUAAUACGAGUAUUACGAAGGGUUACGGUGAUUUGGAGUUCAUGUGCCAUGCGACAGUAAAGAGGCAGCAAGAUAAAGCUUACAAGAGCAGUUUCCUUCGACUCGUCAAAUUGAUUUUUCAAGGAGUUUAGGAUUUGAAUCUCUUCUUUGUCGAAAUUAAACACCAUUUCCAUCCAGUGGUUAUCAUUCACAUUAAAAGGGAUGUGGACCUGCCAUAAAGUCAAAGAGGACUCAUUCCACAGAAUAAUGUAUAUAAGGUAACAAUUAUGGUUCGGGGAACCCCUGAAAUAUUUCACCUACACUAUCUAUUACGAUAUAUGAAAGUGAGGAAAACAGGUACCUUCCGGCGUCCUACAAAUUUAUUUGCAAUACGCUGAAGCAACGAGCUUCCACGCCCUUUGGAAUAACCCCUUUUGUUUGUAAAAGCUUUCUGGUUUCAUAGGGGGAUAUGACUGAGGUAGUAUCAGUCUCAACUCCGCCGAUGUGAGCAUAUGCCAUAAUAACCUGCCAAAUUUGUAAUCAUAUAAUGAUGUGCGAACAGUUCAAAUAGUUCAUGUACAAUGGAGUACAAGGGGCUUACAUCACCAUAGAUGUAUUUUUUAUCAUAAAUUGGCUUCAGUUGUUCCGCUCUUAGGGGAAUGUCUCCGAUUUGAACGACUUCAACAGGGCCAUGUGUUCCCCGGAUGAAAAUGGCUGCCUCUUUGUCCUCGGCGGUGAGCACGUAAUCAUUAUCAAAUAGAGGCUUCAAUGGUGUGAUUCGAGGAUCGUCCUUGUUUGGCAGGACGUGUCUGGCACUUGGUGUUGGAGUCGAAGUACGUGGCGUGGAUGCGUCGAACUUAGGAGUCGCCAUGAAGGGAUCACUUCACACAUUGACUUGUUCCUACAACAACAAAAAUGGUCAAUUAUAAUUAGUUUGGUAAUACUACUUAUGUGGUGGGCCAUAAUUAUUACCUCGACGCCUGCUUUCUGUGACUCGGAUUGUCGGCUGACUUUAGUUUGGUUUUUUUAAUUCUUAUAAAAAUUAUAACAAUAAUGAAUAUGGAGGAACAUAUUCAUAACAAUAAAAAAAUGCACAACAUGACAUACCUUCAGUUCCCUCCUUAAGUUCUUAAUUUCGUCCUUGAGCAGCGAGAGCCUAGGAUUACUGCCAGAUUUACUCUUAAUGUCGAUUAACUCUUCGCUCAGGGUGAGGAAUUUCGCAUUAAAUCUACGCUGAAAUUCCAUUAACUGUCUGUCUAUAUUCUUUUCUUGCUCAGCACAACGUCCAUUCAGGGCUGCAACUAUCAUUUGCACCUGUGCAAACAAAAUAACACCCCGUUUAGAACAAAGCAAAAUGAAUGAGUUUCGAUGCAACCUUUUACUGAUCUUGGAAAAUGAAAAUUGUCUUUGUUGGGCUUACUUGGUGGCUACUCACAUUUUAACCUUGUGAUUGUGCUCGAGAUGAAUCACCUUCAUCCUCACGUACAAUUUUUUGCUUCCUGGAUCCUCUCUAUUGUUGGCGUCUGGUUGUCGAGCACAAAUUUCCAUCACAACAUUUGAAUCAGGUACAAUGAAUCAGUAGUAGCAAAUAAAUAACCGGAUAUAUACAUGGGUCAAAUCUAGAAACACGCCAGUCCUUUAUGAAGACCUCCUGAGGUGUAAGCUUCUGCUCUUAUUACACACGUGCAUUCGUCCCAUCGUGCGACCAAUGGUGGGGGUAUAGGAGUAUACAUCAAUUUGCCGGAACGCAGGUGCUCCCAGUACCAAAUCUUCACAAUAAAUUACUUCGUCAAUAUAGAGAGAUAUAGAAAUGAAAAAUAAUUGUACAGUGUUAACUAGUGAUGUUGCACUAACUUGAAGCAGAGGUAGAUUUUCCUGUAGAGAUACUUGAUCAAGAGAGCUAAAUUUUUGUUUGUACCUGAACAAGUGUUUCAUUGUGAAACAUCCCCAGUUCAAUUUUCGAAGGCUUUUAAUAUCCGCAACAAGUUUAAGGUAUUUCGCGUCGACAUAACAUUGUGCUGUUGGUGCUAAUACUGUGCCAAUAGCGAAUUGAAUGAACCGCGCCAGGAAAUCAUUGUCCGGACUUUUGGAACUUAAGAUCGCUGUCUCAAGGUCAGCCAGAUCAAUGCUCCCAUUGUUUUGAAAUGUGUUAAAACAAAUUUGGAUCCGGCGUGCUUUGCAGCUUUUCAUCAAUAUCCUCCCCUUCUAUCGCAAGGCCAAAUAUAUGGUGCACGUCUUUUUCGGUGAUAGGAAUGGGUGUUUUACCUAUGGUAAUGGACAAUGUCUCACUAUUGAAGCUCUUUGUUAGUCUUACCAACAUAAUGCGCCGGAGUUUAAAUUCAUGAAUCAUGUUUAGACACCCAAGACCGGUAUCGCUUAUGAUUUUCUCUAUGUGUUCUGGUGACAACAAUUUCAUGACUUUGGCGAGCCUUGACGGUGAUCACACUAACUUCGUAUGGCCGUGUUUCCACAAGAUUUCCUGCAAAAGUGGCAAUAGAUUUUAUCGAGUAUGAAAGAAGUGUCUGCAAGUACAGUUUUCAAACGAAAUGUCAACUAUGUACCUCAUCGGUCAUUUCGGAGAUGUAUUUUUCUCCAUUAGUAGCACUUUUAACAGUAGUUUCCAUUUUACUGCACCUAUGGAACAGAAGCAAAACCGGUUCAAUUUAUUUGACCUUCACAUUGAGAAAUGUGUAACAAAAAUAGAAUCUUAUACGCGGGCACGGAUGAGUUUAUUAAAUAAUAUGAACUACAUGUAACUUUAAGCACACUACAGAUUUUGCUCAUGCAUAACAUUGGGACAGUUCAACUAGGGUUUUGGGAUUGCAUAAACAUACGACAUGUUAUUUCAUGAAAGAGAUACCCUUGUUGUGGUAUUACCUCUUCGGACAUUCGUGUAGUGUGCCAAGAUUGAUCAUGUUGAUAGUUAUUAAUGAGAGCUAUCAUCAGGUAAUCUUGACGACAGGAAUAACUUGUGGGAAACCUAUUAGGGCUUUACUAGUAGACGUGCGUGUCCGAGAAAGAUUAAAAAAAGAGCUAUGAUCACGUAACCUUCUGUCAUCGACGGUGGCGGCCCAAUGCUCCACGCGGAUAGUGUGUCCCACACUAGAUGUGGAUGUGUGGCGCUCGACGGCAGCAACAUGAGCAGCGCGCGUUGACGCACGUAGGAGACGGCGACAACACCACUGUCGUCCAACCCCUCAGGCGAUGUUCCUGGUGGGCGGUGGCUACAAUCUGAUCUUGCAGCAGUUGCGGGAGGUGGUACAGGACCUGGAUGCCGCGGGUGGUUACGAGGGAGGAGCUGUAAUCGUGGGAUUUCGGGAGAUCUGGGUGGCGUGAAUUAUGGGAGGUUGAAACAUUAGCAUGUGUAAUUGGGCAAAACAAAUGUAAUGUUCCGAAGAAAAAACAAAUGUGUCGUCGAGAAAGGAAUGCAUUUUUUAAGUGGUAUAAAAUAUGUUGUUUGUUCUGAAAAUGCCCGAAAAUUGUCCGUACGUGACAAAACUUGCAACUUUGCUGAAAAUGGUUGAAAUUUGUACGUACCCCAAUAAUUACCAUGGCUUGCAACCCUGCAAAGUUGGGUUGAUUUCAGGUAGGUCAACAAACCAACAUGUCAUUUCGGAGGGUGCAUGUCAAGGCCGCAAGGACGUGUUUGGGGGCACCCCCAUGGUUAGUAGAUCAUCUACAAUACAAAAUGAUGUCUACUAUUUCCCAUGGAAUCCCAUGAGCAAAACAAGCUACAAUGUGAAAUGCUUCUCAGUUUAGACUAAGAUUUACACAUGAAAAAACUUGCAAACUUAGAUGAAAAUGUUUCAAACUUGGCAUAUGUAUCCCUAACAUGGCUAUGGAUUGUAACCCCACAAACUUGACGGUCAUUUAAUAUAGGUCAAUAAACCAACACGUGCUUUCAGAGGGUACAAGGAUAGUCCAGAAGGGCCCAUCUCAGGCCAUCUCCUUCAAUACACCAUGUACAUAGGAUUCCAAGUUAUUUUGAUGCCAUCCCAUGAACCAAAUCAAGCAUGCAUCCACAGUGCAUUCAAGGUUACACAUGAUUUUCAUGAUUUUUUUCAUUUCCUCCCAGACGGUCUACCCCCCUAGACAACCAUCGAAAGUGGUAGCACAUGAUGCCUUCAAGCUUCUUUACCUAAGGGUGGACCUAAUUGACACCAUACCAAGUGCGAACAUUGGUUCAGACUGGAUUCCAUCCAUGGAGUCGAUGCGGUACACGCGCUGCCUCCGUCGAGAACCUUCGUGAUGCUCCCGAUCAGAAGCGCGACUACACUGUCGAAUGUACAAACCAAGUAGAUCAUGCUUCAUGUGGAUUGAACCCAACUUAUGACAUGCAAAGGAAAAUGUUACAUUACAGGCUUCUAGGACAACAUUAAAACGAGUUUCAGCAAAAUUUGCAAGUUUUGGCAGUUGCGGCCACUUUUCGGGCAUUUAUGAUCGAAAAAUGGAAGAAAAUGGAAAAUCUAGUAGAAGCUUACAACCAUUGUGCAUGCAUGCUUCUUUUGGUCAUGGGAGGCCAUGAAAUAUAUUUGACCAAAUAUGAAGAUGGUGUGAUCAUGGAGGUUCCCCAACACAAGCCCUUCCGGCCGAGCCUGGCGCGCUUUGAGAGCAGAUGGUAUAGUACUAUCCUGACCUGUAUGAAAUCGACCCAACUUUUUGGGGAGAGUAUUGAAGGCCAUGUUAGGCCUCCAUGCCAUGUUUGAACCAUUUUUUUGUAAAGUUUGCAAUAUGAUUCACAUGUGGCCAGUUUUCUAGUAUUUCCGGCCAAAAAAAUUACCGUACAUGCAAAAUUUUGUGUAAACUGAAUAGCAUUUUUGCAUGCUUACUUGAUUUUUUCAUGAGAUGCAAUUUAAAAGCUUGGGGAAAUUUCACAAAUUUCAUGUUGUACUUGCUUCACAAAGUGGACAGUGCAGUUCGAAGGUUCUAGACGGGUGCAGUUGAUGUGCCCGAGGUUUCACACGACAUGGAACCCGGUGUAGGCCAAUGAUCCAACUAGGCUUGGUGUGUCAACUAGGUCCACCAUAAGACAAACAAAGUGUAAUGCAUCAUGUGCCCCAUGCUUUCGAUGUGUGGCUAGGGGGUAGACCAUGCAGGCGAUGUUUAUUUUUCACUUCGAAAUUGCAGAAGGAUUAUAAAUGUUGGCCAAAUUAAAAAUCUUUGUGAAUGCAUUAUUGAUUUUUUUCAUGGGAGAUCAUGAAAUAAAAGUUGACAUCAUUCGUGUAUAUUGUAAAGACGGAGGUGAUCCAAUACGCGCCCUUCCCUUGGGAUAAGAUGGCAUCCUCUGAGAAGACACAUGCUGGUUUGUUGACCUUUCUUAAAUCAACACAAAAAAUUUGGGGUAACAACUCAUGGUCAUGUUAGUCCUCCAUGCCAAGUUUGAAGUAUUCUUAGUAAAGUUUGCAACUAAUGUCACGUGGGGCCAGUUUUCGGGCAUUUUCGAUAUAAAAAAAUCCCAAUACGUGGAGAAGUUGUCGAAACUGAGAACCAUAUUUGCAUGUUUGCUUGAUUUGCUCAUGGGAGGGCAUGAAAAAAAGUUGGAAUCAUUUGUAUAUGGUGUUAACAUGGAGGUGCUCCCGGACUCGCCCUUCCGGGCUAGCCUGGCACCCUCCGAAAAUGCUCGAUGAUUUGUUCAAUUAUCUUAAGUCAACAAAACUUUUUUGCGGUGACAAUUCAUGGCCAUUGUACGCCUCCAUGCCUAGUUUGAACCAUUUUUGGCAAUGAUUGCAAGUGUUGUCACGCACGGCCACAUUCGGGCAUUUUCGUCCGAAAAUGAAAAACUUCGCUAAACUAAAAACCAUUUUGCAUGCUUGCUUGCAUUGGUCAUGGCAUGUAUAGUUGUGAAACUUAUUUGGAAAAUGGACAAGUCCAAUUUUGGAAUUAUAUAUCAUUCAUACUUGUUUCGAACCAAAAACCUAGUUCACCCUUAUGAAAUGUAUUUUUUAGAACAACAUAAUGUUUUUUUAAUCUUGAUGAUAUAUGUUAAAAGAUCCCAUAACUCACGCACGCCACCUCUCCCGAAAUCCCGUGAUUGCACCGCCUUCCUCCUAACCACCCGUGGCAUCGGGGCCUCCUACCACCUCCAUGACCGCUCCAAUAUAAGAUCGGAGACGCCGGGCGUACGCGCUUUUUGAAAUCUCCGGACGCCGCCGCCGCCAUCAUCAGCUUAGGGGUCGGAAGUGACUGCUCUUUUCGCCCCCUCCUCCUCACGUCCCUCUCUCGAGCGAAAAUGGUUAAGGAGAUCAGCGCGGUACGUAUUUGCACUAUAGAAGAUCUAAAUUCAACUGCUAGCACUAAUCUUUAAGACUGUGCGUACUAGUAAUGAGAUUGAUCUCGAUUUGGAGUGUGGCAUUUGUUUGGACACCAAGGGUUUGUGUCCCGGUGAGCAUUGUAUGAGGGAGUUUUGUACCGUCACCGUGCGCGCGGGAUUUGCAAACAAGACAGUAAGAUCCAGUCUGACAUGACCCGUAGCAAAUAUCAUGAGAAAUUUAGUACUCCGUCCGAUCCAAAAUUAAUGUGUUAGAUCCAUGUAGAUACGCAUGUAUCUCGUCAUGUUUUCUGCAUAGAUACAUCCGUAUGUACAAAAAUUUGUCCACAAAUUUUUGGACGGAGACAGUAAUCUUGAACGAAUAUUGUACUCGGACCCUUUGUACUCAGUCAGUUGUUCGUAAUGUUUACUGCAAAAAGAGUUAUAUUGCAUCUUGAUUUCUUAGAUGAUAAAAUGGUUUUGUGUACGUGCAUGUUAAUUUAAAUCUUCUAUGGGGUUAUAUGAUAAUACUGCUAAGAAGUAGUGAACUAUACUAUGCUAGUCAUCUAUGAUUGGACAAAUUCUUUAGAUUAACAGGCAGUUCAUAUAUAUUAACAAUCGUAGGUAUGCUACUCAGGUAAUCCCUGCUACGACAGAUACAGUUUCACACAGAAAUUUGGAGUGUCCUUGGGAAAAUAUGGGAACUUUGAAGCAAGUUUCAGUACCAAUGAGGGGUUUGAAUUCCCAUGUGUGAUUACCAAUGACAAUGAGUUGACAUACAUUUCAGGGAAGUCUUGGAAGGAAUUUGUUAGAGUUUACACGCUACAUGUGGGUCAGGAGAUUACGUUCAGUACUGACAAUUCAGAAGUACCAAGUAGCGUAUUGACAAUUGGGAAUUUGCCUAUCAUACAUCUGAGUAAGAUACUUUUUUGCUCCUGCAAGUUUUAUUACUCUAACUUUAUCAUAUACCAUAUAUAAUAAAUUAAAUUGUCUGUGCUAUAAUACUGUAGCAUACUACCAAUUGUCCAAUGAGAAAAGAGAUAUUAUUGAAAAUGUCGCUGUAACUGAGGGGACAAGCUUAAACUGGAGAAUAAUGGAGUAUGUCAUACGCCAAGUGAUGGACCUUGAAAAGUUAGUGGAGCGUCAUGAUGCUGGAAACUAUGAUCAGGGAGAGCAUAUGCAUUCCUCCAUACAUUGACAUGGUCAAAUUGCAACAAGAACUUCUCGGUAACCAUCUUUCAGUACUUCAUUCACUUUGUGUCAUUUCAGUAUGUUUUUAGCUUUGUUCCAAAUUAAUUGUUCUUCCUUUAAUGCAUAACAUUAAGUUGCCACGUGUUGAUGUAACAAAUAUUGUUUUCAAACAGAAACUACCUAAUCGUGUUGUCCCCGAAGAAAUGGAGGAAUAUGGUGCCAUAACCAUUGUUUAUCAUCCACACAGUACUGUGUCAAGUACAUACACCAUUUCUGAUAUUGAUGGUCAUGUAUGCGUCAACAAAUUGAACGAGUUCAUGAAGAAGGAAAAACUCUUGUUGUUAGGACAGAAGGUGCUGAUGUUGCUGUACCUGGGAGAUCAUGGGAUUUAUCUAUUUGUUUCCCAUGUUCCUGAUGUGCCUCUAGAGUAGUUUUGGCAAAACGUAGUGUGUGAAAAUAAAUUAAGGGAUUUUUAAGUCAUUGCUGUAACGACGUACUUUAUUUUUAUUUCAUGGUACUCUUGUGUUCAUGCACAACAUAGUGGGCAAGAAUUUAAAUGGUCGUUUACGUUUUUCCAUUCGAUUGCCUUCAUUGCAACUCGGUUUAUUCAUUAUUUUUUAGCAAUUUUAACAUGCUCCGUAUUACCUCUUAUUUUCUCAUAAUAGUCAAGAAGGUAAGAAAUAAUCAAAACAACUAUUUCAUGGAAUCAUUGUGUAAGAUUUAUUUCUUACUCUUACCUGUCAUGUUAAAAUAGGGUUGGGGACGUAUAAGAGUUAUCAUGUUAGAACACAUCUUCUUAUUAAGCUGUUAUUACAUGUAACCAUGAUAAUCACCUUGAUACGAUCACAAAUAUAUUAUUUCUUAACAAUCAACAUCACACACAACACCAUUACACUAGUCAUCAAUAGAGCUUCAACGUGAAAACAAUUUGUCUCCCUAGUCCUAACAUCGUAUAAGCUUGGUGCUUCGUAAUGGUUGCCACAUUGCUCUGACUGUAAUUUGUCCUGCCUCCAAUGUUGCCACUCUUGGUACAUGCAUUCUUUUCCCACUGUUUUUUUGCGCGCUGUAGUUGUUCCCUUCUAUCCUAUGCCGCAGCCAUUGCAUCAAGGGCAUAAGCACCAACAAGGACACUUGUACCAACAAGAUGAUCCACGUACUCUAGUUCCCAGCGCCAGAAAUCACAUGGAUCCUAUGAAUCAAGUGAACACAAAUCAAACCAGCACUAACGAAACAGUAGAAAAAAUUACUCACGCAGUAAAUGUCAACCCAAAGUGUAAAGGGAUUGUACAUCGUGGUGUUUGCACUUGUAGAACACCCAACCAUCGUGCUCUUCAGUACUAGAGAGAUAGAAUCUAACUGUUUCGCCACAGUCAGGGCAAAGGAUCAGGGGCACAUCAACUGAUCGGCCCCUCAGCGCGCACCUAAUCGAGCUCGACGAUGACAUGGUUGAUUUGGUGCCAGACGACUGCGGCAAUGACAGACGGUGGUCGUAAUCCUUUGGGUAAGAGAAGAACUAGGGACUCCUCCGCUGGGCUAGCAAACCCUAACAACAGCACCAGAGCAUCGUGCUACCUUUGAAUAGGCUAACUAACAAAUCUUCCAACCUACUAACCCACCCUAAAAUCACGGACGGACCAUCCAUGUGCAUUACUUGUAAAUAUAUCGUCAGAUAUCACGGGAGAUGUCGGGGAUAUACCCCCGACAUAACCCGGCCGGAAGUAUAACCCGGCCGGACUUGGCGAUUCACCGGCGACCCGCACUGACCAGACGGUUUACAAGCAACCUGACUGAACAUUAUGAUUCACUGGUAACCCGGCGGGCGGGACAGACGGAUGACAAGGCCCAAGGCCCAGAAGGCUGGCUCAUGUUAUGGUGGGCCGAUUUAAGAGGAAAGGGGUGAGAAAUAUUUGUCUUACAAGGAGUUAAGACCUGGACUUGUAUCCGGUUUGUAUUAGAAGGUAGACUAGUCCUAAUCCUAAUAGGACUCCACAUGUAACCCGCCCCUCUAACUUAUAUAAGGAUGGACAAGGCUCCCCAAAGAGGGACAAGCAAGAAGAAACAAUCUCUAGGGCUAGACAUAACUAGAAGAGCCGGUUUACGGCGACUCCCUCGUGAGCAUAAUGAGAGCUAGCCACAAAUAGCAUGUAGGGCUAUUACCGGAUGAUGUUUCCCGGGGCCCGAAGCUGUCUAAAUCCUUGUCUUGUGUGUUGAUCCGCCUCGCGUCUCUCGAUUCCGACCAACCCCUUCAAGCUACCACGUAGAUGUGUUGGCCUCACACUAGGACAUCUGCCGUGACAAUUCCACGACAGUUGGCGCCCACCGGGCCACAGAGGAGUCACCGGAGUCGAAGGAAUAAGGUCAAGGUCGGAUGAGGAGAGGACGGCGGCGACCACACUUUUUCUAGUACAACGCGACCACGCCCUUGGGGAUCCGCGGCGGUGGCGGCGGCAUCCCUGGGGAUCCGCGGAGGCGGCGUGCGGCGUCUCUGGUGAUUCGCAACGGCGGUGGCGUGCGGUGUCCCUGGGGAUUUGCGGCGGCGGCGACGGUGUGCGCCGACCUAGGAUUCGGCUGCGGCUGCCGCAGUGGUGGCGGGGUACCCUAGAACAGGGAGGUCGAGGGAGAGGGAGGAGUGGUGGUACGGGGGCAAAUUGGGUUUCAUUUCAUGGGACGGGCCUCUGGUUUUGGUUGGUUUUUUUAAACCGUGAGGUGGGAGGAUGACGAAAAAAAUCAGUGAGGGAGUCCUGGAUUAUGGGGUGUUGGGAUAGCCGAACUAUACCUUCAGCCGGACUCCUGGACUAUGAAGAUACAAGAUUAAAGACUUCGUCCCGUGUCCGGAUGGGACUUUCCUUGGCAUGGAAGGCAAGCUUGGCGAUGCGGAUAUUCAUAUCUCCUACCAUUGUAACCGAGUUUGUAUAACCCUAGCCCUCUCUGGUGUCUAUGUAAACUGGAGGGUUUUAGUCCAUAGGACAACUUCAUCAUACAACAAUCAUACAAUAGGCUAGCUUCUAGGGUUUAGCCUCCUUGAUCUCGUGGUAGAUCUACUCUUGUACUACCCAUAUCAUCAAUAUUAAUCAAGCAGGAGUAGGGUUUUACCUCCAUCGAGAGGGCCCGAACCUGGGUAAAAACACUGUGUCCCUUGUCUCUUGUUACCAUCCGCCUAGACACACAGUUCGGGACCCCCUACCCGAGAUCAGCCGGUUUUGACACCGACAUUGGUGCUUUCAUUGAGAGUUCCUCUAUGUCGUCGCUUUUAGGCCCGAUGGCUCCUUUGAUCAUCAACAACGAUGCAGUCCGGGGUGAGACUUUUCUCCCCGGACAGAUCUUCGUCUUCGACGGUUUCGCACUGCGGGCCAAUUCGUUUGGCCACCUUGAGCAGAUCGAAAGCUAUGCCCCUGGCCAUCAGGUCAGAUUUGGAAGUUUAAACUACACGGUCGACAUCCGCUGGGACUUGAUCUUCGACGGAUUUGAGCCACAGCCAAGCGUGCCGCACUGUCUCGAUGGGCAUGAUAUAGAUCUGCCGCUGAACAGUAUCCUGGAGGCCGCACGCGCACUGGUCCCGACCCUUAGUUCGGAGCCUACUGCGCCGAUCGACGAUGAGUGGUUGGACACCGCCUCGGGGGCUGCGAUCCCAAAGGCGAUCGAGCCGAACGCCAGCCCCGCACUCCGCUCAGCCCGUGACUCCGAGGAGCCGGAUUCCUCUCCGAACUCCGAGCCCUCCGUGCGCUUGCCGAUCGAAUCCAAUUGGGCACCGAUUAUGGAGUUCACUGCCGCGGACAUCUUUCAGCACUCGCCCUUUGGCGAUAUUCUGAAGUCUCUAAAGUCUCUCUCUUUAUCAGGAGAGCCCUGGCCGGACUAUGGUCAGCAAGGUUGGGAUACGGAUGAUGAAGAAAUUCAAAACCCACCCACCACCCACUUCAUAGCCACUGUCGACGACUUAACCGACAUGCCCGACUUCGACUCCGAAGACAUCGACGGUAUGGACGGCGAUGCAGGAGACGACCAAGAACCAGCACCCGUAGGUGUUGGGGAACGUAGCAGAAAUUCAAAAUUUUCCUACGUGUCACCAAGAUCUAUCUAUGGAGAAACCAGCAACGAGGGGAAGGAGAGUGCAUCUACAUACCCUUGUAGAUCGCUAAGCGGAAGCGUUCAAGAGAACGGGGUUGAAGGAGUCGUACUCGUCGUGAUCCAAAUCACCGGAGAUCCGAGUGCCGAACGGACGGAACCUCCGCGUUCAACACACGUACAGCCCGGUGACGUCUCCCAUGCCUUGAUCCAGCAAGGAGAGAGGGAGAGGUUGAGGAAGACUCCAUCCAGAAGCAGCACAACGGCAUGGUGAUGUUGGAGGAGCGUGGCAAUCCUGCAGGGCUUCGCCAAGCACUUGCGGGAGAGGAGGAGGUGUCACGGGAGGGAGGGAGGCGCCAGGGCUUCUGGUAUGGAUGCCCUCCCUCCCCUCCACUAUAUAUAGGGGCAAGGGAGAGGGGGGAGGCGCAGCCUUGCCCCUUCCUCCAAGGAAGGGGUGCGGCCAAGAGGGGGGGAGGAGUCCAUCCUCCCCAAGGCACCUCGGAGGUGCCUUCCCCCUUGAGGACUCUUCCCUCCCCAAGUUUCCUUGGCGCAUGGGCCUCUUGGGGCUGGUUCCCUUGGCCCAUAUAGGCCAAGGCGCACCCCCUACAGCCCAUGUGGCCCCCCGGGGAAGGUGGACCCCCACGGUGGACCCCCGGACCCCUUUCGGCACUCCCGGUACAAUACCGAUAAAGUGCGAAACUUUUCCGGCGACCAAAACAGGACUUCCCAUAUAUAAAUCUUUACCUCCGGACCAUUCCGGAACUCCUCGUGACGUCCGCGAUCUCAUUCGGGACUCCGAACAACAUUUGGUAACCACAUACAAACUUCCUUUAUAACCCUAGCGUCAUCGAACCUUAAGUGUGUAGACCCUACGGGUUCGGGAACCAUGCAGACAUGACCGAGACGUUCUCCGGUCAAUAACCAACAGCGGGAUCUGGAUACCCAUGUUGGCUCCCACAUGUUCCACUAUGAUCUCAUCGGAUGAACCACGAUGUCAAGGACUCAAUCAAUCCCGUAUACAAUUCCCUUCGUCUAACGGUAUUGUACUUGCCCGAGAUUCGAUCGUCGGUAUACCGAUACCUUGUUCAAUCUCGUUACUGGCAAGUCUCUUUACUCGUUCCGUAACACAUCAUCCCGUGAUCAACCCCUUGGUCACAUUGUGCACAUUAUGAUGAUGUCCUACCGAGUGGGCCCAGAGAUACCUCUCCGUUUACACGGAGUGACAAAUCCCAGUCUCGAUUCGUGCCAACCCAACAGACACUUUUGGAGAUACCUGUAAUGCACCUUUAUAGCCACCCAGUUACGUUGUGACGUUUGGUACACCCAAAGCAUUCCUACAGUAUCCGGGAGUUGCACAAUCUCAUGGUCUAAGGAAAAGAUACUUGACAUUAUAAAAGCUUUAGCAUACGAACUACAUGAUCUUUGUGCUAGGCUUAGGAUUGGGUCUUGUCCAUCACAUCAUUCUCCUAAUGAUGUGAUACCGUUAUCAAUGACAUCCAAUGUCCAUGGUUAGGAAACCGUAACCAUCUAUUGAUCAACGAGCUAGUCAACUAGAGGCUUACUAGGGACAUGGUGUUGUCUAUGUACCCACACAUGUAUCUGAGUUUCCUAUCAAUACAAUUAUAGCAUGGAUAAUAAACGAUUAUCAUGAACAAGGAAAUAUAAUAAUAACCAAUUUAUUAUUGCCUCUAGGGCAUAUUUCCAACAGUCUCCCACUUGCACUAGAGUCAAUAAUCUAGUUCACAUCGAUAUGUGAUUAACACUCAAGGUCACAUCCCCAUGUGACUAACACCCAAAGAAUUUACUAGAGUCAAUAAUCUAGUUCACAUUUACCAUGUGAUUAACACUCGAUGAGUUCUGGGUUUGAUCAUGUUAUGCUUGUGAGAGAGGUUAUAGUCAACGGGUCUGAACCUUUUCAGAUCCGUGUGUGCUUUACAAAUCUCUAUGUCAUCUCCUAGAUGCAGCUACCACGUUCUAUUUGGAGCUAUUCCAAAUAACUGUUCUACUUGGAGCUAUUCUAAAUUGUUGCUCCAUUAUACGUAUCCUGUAUCUCUACUCAGAGCUAUCCGGAUAGGUGUUAAGCUUGCAUCGACGUAACCCUUUACGACGAACUCUUUUACCACCUCCAUAAUCGAGAAAAUUCCUUAAUCCACUAGUUACUAAGGAUAACUUUGACCGCUGUCCUGUGAUCCAUUCUUGGAUCACUCUUGUACCCCUUGACUGACUCAUGGCAAGGCACACUUCAGGUGCGGUACACAGCAUAGCAUACUGUAGAGCCUAUGUCUUAAGCAUAGGGGACGACCUUCGUCCUUUCUCUCUAUUCUGCCAUGGUCGAGCUUUAAGUCUUAACUUCAUACCUUACAACUCAGGCAAGAACUCCUUCUUUGACUGAUACAUCUUGACCACCUUCAAGAUCAUGUCAAGGUAUGUGCUCAUUUGAAAGUACCAUUAAGCGUUUUGAUCUAUCCUUAUAGAUCUUGAUGCUCAAUGUUCAAGUAGCUUAAUCCAGGCUUUCCAUUGAAAAACACUUUCCAAAUAACCCUAUAUGCUUUCCAGAAAUUCUACGUCAUUUCUGAUCAACAAUAUGUCAACAACAUAUAUUCAUCAGAAAUUCUAUAGUGCUCCCACUCACUUCUUUGGAAAUACAAGUUUCUCAUAAACUUUGUAUAAACCCAAAAUAUUUGAUCAUCUCAUCAAAGCGUACAUUCCAACUCCGAGAUGCUUACUCCAGUCCUUAGAAGGAUUGCUGGAGCUUUGCAUACUUAUUAGCAUCUUUCCGGAUUGACAAAACCUUCCGGUUGUAUCACAUACAACCUUUCCUCAAGAAAAUCGUCGAGGAAACAAUGUUUUGACAUCCUAUUUGCAAGAUUUCAUAAAUAAUGCAGUAAUCGCUAAUAUAAUUCCAAUAGACUCUUAGCAUUGCUACGAGUGAGAAAGUCUCAUCGUAGUCAACUCCUUGAACUUGUCGGAAAACAUCUUAAUGACAAGUCGAGCCUUCUUAAUGGUGAUACUUACCAUCAUUGUCCGUCUUCCUUUUAAAAUCCAUAUGUACCUAACAGCCUUACGACCAUCAAGUAGUUCUUCCAAAGUCUACACUUUGGUUUCAUGCAUGGAUUCUAUCUCGGAUUUUAUGGCCUCGAGCCAUUUAUCGGAAUCCGGGCCCACCAUCGCUUCUCCAUAGCUCGUAGGUUCAUUGUUGUCUAGCAACAUGACUUCCAAGAUAGGAUCACGUACCACUCUGAAGUAGUACGCAUCCUUGUCAUCCCACGAGGUUUGGUAGUGACUUGAUCUGAAGUUUCAUGAUCAGUAUCAUAAGCUUCCACUUCAAUUGGUGUAGGUGCCAUAGGAACAACUCCCUGUGCCCUGUCACACAGUAGUUGAAGAGACGGUUCAGUAACCUCAUCAAGUCUCCACCAUCCUCCCACUCAAUUCUUUCGAGAGAACUUUUCCUCGAGAAAGGACCCGAUUCUAGAAACAAUCCCUUAUUGCUUUCGGAUCUGAGACAGGAGGUAUACCCAACUGUUUUGGGUGUCCUAUGAAGAUGCAUUUAUCCGCUUUGGGUUCGAGCUUAUCUGCCUGAAACUUUUUCACAUAAGCGUCGCAGCCCCAAACUUUUAAGAAAUGAGAGGUUAGGUUUCUCUAAACCAUAGUUCAUAUGGUGUCAUCUCAUCGGAAUUACGUGGUGCCCUAUUAAAGUGAAUGUGGUUGUCUCUAAUGCCUAACCCAUAAACUAUCUUGGUAAUUCGAUAAGAGACAUCAUGGUAUGCAUCAUAUCCAAUAGGGUGCAGUUAUGAUGUUCGGACACACCAUCACACUAUGGUGUUCCAGGCUGUAUUAGUUGUGAAAAAAUUUCCACAAUGUCUUAAUUCUGUGCCAAACUCGUAAUUCAGAUAUUCAUCUCUAUGAUCAUAUCAUAGAUCUUUUAUCCUCUUGUCACGACGAUCUUUCAACUUCACACUGAAAUUACUUGAACAUUUCAAUAAUUCAGACUCGUGAUUCAUCAAGUAAAUAUACUCAACAUCUACUCAAAUCAUCUGUGAAGUAAGAACAUAACGAUAUCCACUACAUGCCUCAGCACUCAUUGGACUGCACACAUCAAAAUGUAGUACUUCCAACAAAUUGCUUUCUAGUUCCAGUUUACUGAAACCGAGGCUUUCAGUCAUCUUGUCCAUAUGGUAUGAUUUGCAUGUCUCAAGUGAUUCAAAAUUAAGUGAGUUCAAACGGUCCAUCUGCAUGGAGUUUCUUCAUGCAUAUACACCAACAGACAUGGUUCGCAUGUCUCAAACCUUUCCAAAACGAGUGAGCCCAAAGAUCCAUCAACAUGGAGCUUCUUCAUGCAUUUUAUACCGAUAUGACUUACGUGGCAGUGCCACAAGUAGGUGGUACUAUCAUUACUAUCUUUUGGCAUGAACAUGUGUAUUACUACGAUCGAGAUUCAAUAAACCAUUCAUUUUAGGUGCAAGACCAUUGAAGGUAUUAUUCAAAUAAACAGAGUAACCAUUAUUCUCCUUAAAUGAAUAACCGUAUUGCGAUAGACAUAAUCCAAUCAUGUCUAUGCUCAACGCAAACACCAAUCUCGACGGUAGAGGGAGCGUGCGAUGCUUGAUCAUAUCAACAUUGGAAACACUUCCAACACAUAUCGUCAUCUCACCUUUAGCUAGUCUCCGUUUAUUCCGUAGCUUUUAUUUCGAGUUACUAACACUUAGCAACCGAACCGGUAUCUAAUACCCUGGUGCUACUAGGAGUACUAGUAAAGUACACAUCACCACAAUGUAUAUCCAAUAUACUUCUAUCGACCUUGCCAGCCUUCUCAUCUACCAAGUAUCUAGGGUAAUUCUGCUCCAGUGGCUGUUCCCCUUAUUACGGAAGCACUUAGUCUCGGGUUUGGGUUCAACCUUGGGUUUCUUCACUAGAGCAGCAGCUGAAUUGCCGUUUCAUGAAGUAUCCCUUUGUUCCCUUGCCCUUCUUGAAACUAGUGGUUUCACCAACCAUCAACAAUUGAUGCUCCUUCUUGAUUUCUACUUUCGCGGUGUCAAACAUCGCGAAUAUCUCAAGGAUCAUCAUAUAUGUCCCUGAUAUAUCAUAGUACAUCACGAAGCUCUAGCAGCUUGGUGGUAAUGACUUCGGAGAACCAUCACUAUUUCAUCUGGAAGAUCAACUCCCGCUCGAUUCAAGCGAUUGUUGUACUCAGACAAUCUGAGCACAAGCACAACAAUUGAGCUUUUCUCCUUAGUUUGUAGGAUAAGAAAAUCGUCGGAGGUCUUAUACCUCUUGACGUGGGCACGAGCCUGAAAUCCCAAUUUCAGCCCUCGAAACAUCUCAUAUGUUUCGCGAUGUUUCAAAAUGUCUUCGGUGCCUCAACUCUAAACCGUUUAACUGAACUAUCACGUAGUUAUCAAAAUGUGUAUGUCAGAUGUUUGCAACAUCCACAGACAACGUUCGAGGUUCAGCACACUGAGCGGUGCAUUAAGGACAUAAGCCUUCUAUGAAGCAAUGAGGACAAUCCUCAGUUUACGGACCUAGUCCGCAUAAUUGCUACUAUCAACUUUCAACUAAAUUUUCUCUAGGAACAUAACUAAACAGUAGAACUAAAGCGCGAGCUACGACAUAAUUUGCGAAGACCUUUUGACUAUGUUCAGGAUAAUUAAGUUCAUCUUAUGAACUCCCAGUCAGAUAGACAUCCCUCUAGUCAUCUAAGUGAUUACAUGAUCCGAGUCAACUAGGCCGUGUCCGAUCAUCACGUGAGACGGACUAGCCAACGUCGGUGAACAUCUUCAUGUUGAUCGUAUCUUCUAUACGACUCAUGCUUGACCUUUCGGUCUUCUGUGUUCCGAGGCCAUGUCUAUGCACAUGCUAGGCUCGUCAAGUUAACCCUAAGUGUUUUGCAUGUGUAAAACUGUCUUACACCCGUUGUAUGUGAACGUAAGGAUCUAUCACACCCGAUCAUCACGUGGUGCUUCGAAACGACGAACUGUAGCAACGGUGCACAGUUAGGGGAGAACACUUCUUGAAAUUUUAAUGAGGGAUCAUCUUAUUUACUACCGUCGCUCUAAGCAAAUAAGAUGUAUAAACAUGAUAAACAUCACAUGCAAUCAAAUAAUAGUGACAUGAUAUGGCCAAUAUCAUAUAGCUCCUUUGAUCUCCAUCUUGGGGCUCCAUGAUCAUCAUCGUCACCGGCAUGACACCAUGAUCUCCAUCAUCAUGAUCUCCAUCAUCGUGCCUUCUUGAAGUUGUCUCGUCAUCUAUUACUUCUACUACUAUGGCUAACGCUUUAGCAAUAAAGUAAAGUAAUUACAUGACGUUUAAGUUGACACGCAGGUCAUAAAUAAAUAAAGACAACUCCUAUGGCUCCUGCCGGUUGUCAUACUCAUCGACACGCAAGUCGUGAUACCUAUUACAAGAACAUGAUCAAUCUCAUACAUCACAUAUAUCAUUCAUCACAUCCUUUUGGCCAUAUCACAUCACAAAGCAUACCCUGCAAAAACAAGUUAGACGUCCUCUAAUUGUUGUUUGCAUGUUUUACGUGGCUGCUAUGGGUUUCUAGCAAGAACGUUUCUUAUCUAUGCAAAACCACAACGUGAUAUGCCAAUUGCUAUUUACCCUUCAUAAGGACCCUUUUCAUCGAAUCUGAUCCGACUAAAGUAGGAGAGACAGACACCCGCUAGCCACCUUAUGCAACUAGUGCAUGUCAGUCGGUGGAACCAGUCUCACGUAAGAGUACGUGUAAGGUCGGUCCGGGCCGCUUCAUCCCACGAUGCCACCGAAUCAAGAUAAGACUAGUAACGGCAAGCAUAUUGAACAAAAUCAACGCCCACAACUACUUUGUGAUCUACUCGUGCAUAGAAACUACGCAUAGACCUAGCUCAUGAUGCCACUGUUGGGGAACGUAGCAGAAAUUCAAAAUUUUCCUACGUGUCACCAAGAUCUAUCUAUGGAGAAACCAGCAACGAGGGGAAGGAGAGUGCAUCUACAUACCCUUGUAGAUCACUAAGCGGAAGCGUUCAAGAGAACGGGGUUGAAGGAGUCGUACUCGUCGUGAUCCAAAUCACCGGAGAUCCGAGUGCCGAAUGGACGGCACCUCCGCGUUCAACACACGUACAGCCCGGUGACGUCUCCCAUGCCUUGAUCCAGCAAGGAGAGAGGGAGAGGUUGAGGAAGACUCCGUCCAGAAGCAGCACAACGGCAUGGUGAUGUUGGAGGAGCGUGGCAAUCCUGCAGGGCUUCGCCAAGCACUUGCGGGAGAGGAGGAGGUGUCACGGGAGGGAGGGAGGCGCCAGGGCUUCUGGUAUGGAUGCCCUCCCUCCCCUCCACUAUAUAUAGGGGCAAGGGAGAGGGGGGAGGCGCAGCCUUGCCCCUUCCUCCAAGGAAGGGGUGCGGCCAAGAGGGGGGGAGGAGUCCAUCCUCCCCAAGGCACCUCGGAGGUGCCUUCCCCCUUGAGGACUCUUCCCUCCCCAAGUUUCCUUGGCGCAUGGGCCUCUUGGGGCUGGUUCCCUUGGCCCAUAUAGGCCAAGGCGCACCCCCUACAGCCCAUGUGGCCCCCCGGGGAAGGUGGACCCCCACGGUGGACCCCCGGACCCCUUUCGGCACUCCCGGUACAAUACCGAUAAAGUGCGAAACUUUUCCGGCGACCAAAACAGGACUUCCCAUAUAUAAAUCUUUACCUCCGGACCAUUCCGGAACUCCUCGUGACGUCCGGGAUCUCAUCCGGGACUCCGAACAACAUUCGGUAACCACAUACAAACUUCCUUUAUAACCCUAGCGUCAUCGAACCUUAAGUGUGUAGACCCUACGGGUUCGGGAACCAUGCAGACAUGACCGAGACGUUCUCCGAUCAAUAACCAACAAUGGGAUCUGGAUACCCAUGUUGGCUCCCACAUGUUCCACGAUGAUCUCAUCGGAUGAACCACGAUGUCAAGGACUCAAUCAAUCCCGUAUACAAUUCCCUUUGUCUAACGGUAUUGUACUUGCCCGAGAUUCGAUCGUCGGUAUACCGAUACCUUGUUCAAUCUCGUUACUGGCAAGUCUCUUUACUCGUUCCGUAACACAUCAUCCCGUGAUCAACCCCUUGGUCACAUUGUGCACAUUAUGAUGAUGUCCUACAGAGUGGGCCCAGAGAUACCUCUCCGUUUACACGGAGUGACAAAUCCCAGUCUCGAUUCGUGCCAACCCAACAGACACUUUCGGAGAUACCUGUAAUGCACCUUUAUAGCCACCCAGUUACGUUGUGACGUUUGGUACACCCAAAGCAUUCCUACGGUAUCCGGGAGUUGCACAAUCUCAUGGUCUAAGGAAAAGAUACUUGACAUUAGAAAAGCUUUAGCAUACGAACUACAUGAUCUUUGUGCUAGGCUUAGGAUUGGGUCUUGUCCAUCACAUCAUUCUCCUAAUGAUGUGAUCCCGUUAUGAAUGACAUCCAAUGUCCAUGGUCAGGAAACCGUAACCAUCUAUUGAUCAACGAGCUAGUCAACUAGAGGCUUACUAGGGACAUGGUGUUGUCUAUGUACCCACACAUGUAUCUGAGUUUCCUAUCAAUACAAUUAUAGCAUGGAUAAUAAACGAUUAUCAUGAACAAGGAAAUAUAAUAAUAAUCAAUUUAUUAUUGCCUCUAGGGCAUAUUUCCAACAGUAGGGCACUAGAAGGCAACCUCGUCCUACGACAUAUAUAUGGUGGACACUCCAAAAGAUGGAGAUCGCGAUGGAACAAUGAAGGAUGACACAUCCAAGUAACAGACAAAGCGUCGGCGUCAGCGGCGCCGAUCUAAAUCCCGCCAAAGCAAAAACUGUGAUUCCGGCACUGGAGAUAAUACUACUCCGGAUAGCACCGAAGAACACCCCCUCCAGCAAGAUUCGACACAGGAGGAUGGGGAAGCCAGCCCUCAUGAGAGAGCGGCAGACAGAGAGGUUGAGGACGAUAAUUAUAUGCCUCCCUCCGAAGACAAGGCAAGCCUUGACGACGAUGAAUUUGUCGUUCCUAAGGAUCUCGCCGAACAAGAGCGUUUCAAACGCAGGCUUAUGGCCAUGGCAAAUAUCCUCAAGAAAAAGCAGCAACAGCUUAUAGCUGAUCAAGAUUUGCUAGCUGACAGAUGGACUAAAGUCCUUGCGGCCGAAGAGUAUGAACUCGAACGCCCCUCCAAGAGUUACCCAAAGCGCAGGCUGCUACCCCGGUUAGAGGAGGAAGCACCUACAUCACCAGCGCAUGACAUGGCCGACCGGCCACCUCGUGGCCAUGACAGAGAGGCCUCUCGGCCCUCCACUCAGGCCGCACCCCGGCGCCGCUCCAAACAUACUAAAGCACGGGAAAACGCGCCAGACCUACGAGAAAUACUGGAGGACAAGGCAAGACAAACAAGAUCGAUCUACGGAUCACGCGGGUGCCCCACGACACGUGACGAUAAUCUUCACUCCGGAUACGAUAAAUUCGGCCGGGCCAAACACAGCAGACAAAGCUCCCUUGAGCUGCGUCGUGAUAUAGCCCAGUACAGAGGCGCCGCACACCCACUAUGCUUCACAGAUGAAGUAAUGGAUCAUAAAAUCCCUGAGGGUUUCAAACCCGUAAACAUCGAAUCAUACGAUGGCACUACAGAUCCUGCGGUAUGGAUCGAGGAUUAUCUCCUUCAUAUCCACAUGGCCCGCGGCGAUGAUCUACAUGCCAUCAAAUACCUCCCGCUCAAACUUAAGGGACCGGCCCGGCAUUGGCUUAACAGUUUGCCGGCAGAUUCAAUCGGUUCUUGGGAGGACCUGGAAGCCGCAUUCCUCAACAAUUUCCAGGGUACCUAUGUACGACCACCGGACGCCGAUGACCUAAGCCACAUAAUUCAGUAGCCAGAGGAAUCGGCCAGGCAAUUUUGGACGCGGUUCCUAAUAAAGAAAAAUCAAAUAGUCGACUGUCCGGAUGCAGAGGCCUUAGUGGCCUUCAAGCAUAAUAUCUGCGACGAAUGACUUGCCCGGCACCUUGGACAGGAAAAGCCGAAAUCUAUGGCAGCCCUCACGACACUCAUGACCCGCUUUUGCGCGGGAGAAGACAGCUGGCUAGCUCGUAGCAACAACUUAACCAAGAACCUUGGCAAUUCGGAUACCAACGAGAAAAGUGGCAGGUCGCGCUGGAAUAAGCAAAAACGUCGCGUUAACAGCGACAACAAUGAGGAUAUGGCAGUCAAUGCCGGAUUCCGAGGCUACAAAUCCUGUCAGCGGAAAAAGCCAUUCAAAAGAAAUACUCAGGGUCCGUCCAGUUUGGACCAAAUACUCGACCGCUUGUGCCAGAUACAUGGCACCCCCGAAAAGCCAGCCAAUCACACCAACAGGGAUUGUUGGGUGUUCAAGCAGGCAGGCAAGUUAAAUGCCGAAAACAGAGACAAGGGGCUGCGUAGCGACGAGGAGGAGGAGCCCAGGCCGCCGAACAAUAGUGGACAGAAGGGUUAUCCCCCACAAGUGCGGACGGUGAACAUGAUAUACGCAACCCACUCCCCAAAAGGGAGUGGAAGCGUGCAUUACGGGACGUAUACGCGUUGGAGCCAGUCGCCCCUAAGUUCAACCCAUGGUCCCCCUGCCCGAUCACUUUUGAUCGAAGGGACCAACCCACUAGCAUCCGUCACGGCGGGUUCGCCGCAUUGGUUCUAGACCCAAUUAUUGACGGAUUUCAUCUCACAAGAGUCCUUAUGGACGGCGGCAGCGGCCUGAACAUGCUUUACCAGGAUAAAGUGCGGAAAAUGGGCAUAGAUCCCUCGAGGAUUAAGCCCACCAAAACAACCUUUAAAGGCGUCAUACCAGGUGUAGAGGCCAGCUGUACAGGCUCAGUCACACUUGAAGUGGUCUUCGGAUCCCCGGAUAAUAUCCGAAGCGAGGAGUUAAUCUUAGACAUAGUCCCAUUCCGCAGCGGCUAUCACGCACUGCUCGGGCGAACCGCAUUUGCAAAGUUCAAUGCGGUACCGCACUACGCAUACCUCAAGCUCAAGAUGCCAGGUCCUCGAGGAGUAAUCACGGUCAAUGGAAACACCGAACGCUCCCUCCGAACGGAGGAGCACACGGCGGCCCUCGCAGCGAAAGUUCAAAGCAGCCUCUGUAGGCAGUUAUCCAGUCUGGCCGUUAAAAGGCCGAACACUGUCAAGCGCGCCCGGAGUAACCUACAACAAGACCGCCUGGCACGUUCUGAGCAGGCGUAGCAAUGCGGCCCCAACCCCAGCCCUCGCGAAACAGCGAGACCAGCGCCCCGCGUACAUAAUUACGCUCCCGAAAUACGAUGGGCACAGGGGGAGGGGCACCAUCACGGCACGCCCAAAACACGGCUUAAACCGUACUAGGGGAUGCCGAAUUCUUUUUUAAAUUUUCUUUUACUUUCAGGACUCCAUACUUCGGAUGACCUGUUCGGCAAUUCAACCGCCGCACACACGAUGCAAGAUCCAGGAAAGCAGACAAGCUAUGCCGCGCUAUGGAACUCCCAGGUGGUCUUUAUUACGAGCAGUAUACCUGUUUUGAAUACAGUUCCGCGGCCUGCCCCUGGCCAGGACAUGUUAAAUAGUCCAAUUCCUUUUGCUUAUCGCACUAUUUGUAUCGUUCUGCUUUUGCUCGCAGCCUUUCUAUAAACAAUGCAUAGCUUUUGCCUAUUUUUUGCAUUACUCUUUUUCUUAUAUAUAUAUAUAUAUAUAUGUUUAUUAAUGACAUGUUGCACCCGUACACUGUGGUACGGCGAAUACGCCAGGGGCUUCAGUACCCCUUCAUAUGGCGUGAGAAGUCCGAACACUUUCACAAGUGCGGCACCCCGAACUUAUAGCACUAUAUGCAUGGGCUCCGAAUCAUGAUUUGGGUCAAUAGUUGGGUUUGCCCGGCUCCUAUGUUUUGGUGCCUUACGUUCCGCUAUAUCGGCUAAGGUAGCACUAGGAGAACUACUGCGAUUGUGCCCCAGUUGAGCUGGGCUGAGCACCUCAUUAGAGAAAGCUAAAACUGACUGUCAUGAUGAAGCGAGAGACCGGUCGCUGUUCGAGAGGUUUUUCGAGUCCAUAAAGACUUAUGCCGCUUAGAGCGAGGAGCCGGCUUUUGUCCGGCCAAGGCGUGGAUAGCGCCCCGAACUAGGUCUUCCGAAUACUAGGGGCUUCGCCGAAAUUUAAAAUUAUAGAGUUCUAUGGCUAAGUGAGAGUGUUCAAGCAUUAUAGUCUGAUUGCCUUGUUCGUUGUGCUGAGCGCCUCCCUCGACGGACCCAAACAUGGGAAAAAGAGCGCUCAGGUUUAUCCCGAACACCCCAGCACUAGUGGCAUGGGGGCGGAAGCCGACAACUAGCCAUCUCUCAAUUUCUGAUAAACGGCCGCACAGAAAGUAAUAUUUUAAAUUCAAAAAGCAUUGCUUAGCGCAUAUGAAUAAGUUUUUAGCGCACAGGACAAUACGAGCGAGUUCAUUCAAAAAUUACAUCCUUGGUACAUUCGUCCGCCAUGAGGCGGGCACCCUUAAGAACAUCCUUAUAAUAGUUCUCGGGUUUGCGAUGCUCCUUCCCCGGCGGAGGCCCGUCCUUUACAAGCUUCUCGCCGUCCAGCUUGCCCCAGUGCACCUUAACACGGGCAAGGGCCCUCCGGGCACCUUCGAUGCAGACGGAGCGCUUGAUGACCUCGAGCCUUGGACAGGCCUCCACCAGCCGCCGCACCAGUCCGAAGUAACUCCCAGGCAGGGCCUCUCCAGGCCACAGCCGAACUACGAAGCCCUUCAUGGCCUGUUCGGCCGCCUUGUGGAGCUCGACCAGCUGCUUCAGCUGGUCGCUCAAGGGCACGGAGUGUUCGGCCUCAGCAUAUUGAGACCAGAACACCUUCUCCGUCGAGCUGCCCUCUUCGGCUCGGUAGAAUGCGGCGGCAUCAGACACGCUACGGGGAAGAUCUGCGAAUGCCCCUGGAGAGCUCCGGAUUCAGGUAAGUAACAAGUAGCUUACUUUCGUAUGUUUGCUUUGCAUAAAGAAUGCCUUACCCACCGCUAUCUUCUUCACCACAUCCAAUUCCUGGAGGGCCUUCUGGGAUUCGGCCUUGGCAGAUUUGGCAGCCUCGAUGGCCGCCGCAAGCUCGGACGCUCGCGUCUUCGAGUCAAGCUCCAAACUCUCAUGUUUUUUCAUGAGAGCCUGAAGCUCUUGCUGCGCCUCGCCGACCCGGGCCUCAACUUUCUCACGCUCUGUGCGCUCUUAGGUCGCUCUCUUCUCGGCCUCGGCCAGCGCCUGCUUGAGGGUUGCCACCUCAGUUGUGGCCCCUGCAAUAAGAAGCACAAUCCUGUCAUUUUUUGCAAUUGCAUAUUUUCAUAUAUUUUUUCUAUAAGGUAUUCUUUACCUUCUUUCUCCUCAAGCUGCCGCUUGGCAAGGCCGAUCUCUUGCUCGGACCGCUGGAGACCCUGCUUCAGGGUGUCUACCUCCGCAGUCAGUGCGGCGGUCGCAAGCAACGAAGCCUGCAUACGCAUAUUGACUCUUUUUUGUUAGACUCCUACGAAAUUUAUUAGAUCCUCUAUUCGGCUUUUCUUUCCGAACGCCAAACAGAGCAUCAGGGGCUACUGUCUAUGCGGUAAUAUUUUUACAUAUUUUUACUUACCUCGAAGCCUGUUAGAAGGCUAGCACAUGCUUCAGUCAGUCCGCUCUUGGCGGACUGAACCUUCUGGACCACCGUACUCAUGAUAGUACGGUGCUCCUCGUCGAUGGAGGCGCCCUUAAGCACCUCCAGCAGAUUGUCCGGCGCCUCCGGUUGGACGGAGGCCGCCGGCUCAGUAGGCUUGCUCCUCUUAGAAGGAGGUCGCCUUCCGCAGUCCGGAACCGUUGAGGAUUCCGGCGCGGUGUACGGCACAAAGCCGGACUUGGAGCCCUAGGGGUUUUUGUCCCCUUUACCCCCGGAGUCCGGGAGGUCGCCUCGCGGCUCCUCCAGGACCACCUCUUCUUGGCCCGGAGCUUGUUGCGACGCCACUUCAGCGUCGUCCGCGGCGUGGGGAGAGGCAGCGGACGAAACUGAAUUCACGUCCAAUGAAUCCAGGGAGCCGCGCGACGACUCGUCGAGCCCGUCCUUGGGCGGGCUGCAUGAUUACAUUCGACAUUAGGGAAAGCUGUGCGGCAAAGGAAUGUCAUGAGUUACUCUGGUAUCUGAACACUUACGAUCCCGCCGGGCGCCUGGCCCUUGGCGGCCGCUCCUCUUCACCCUCGUCGGUGUCGGUGGAGCAGUCCGGGGGAAAGGUCUUCCCCUUCUUGGACCCUUCGGCCUCCCCUGUUGGGGCGGCCUUCCUCUUCUUUCCUUCCCCCGCUGGAGGGGGAGAGGUUUCUUCUUCCUCCUCCUCGUCUUUGCGGGAGGAGUGCGUCUCGGAUUCGUCGGAUGAUGAAUCCAACACAACCAUACGCCGGGAACUUGUUCGAGUCCCCGUGGUCUUCUUGUUGACCGUCUUCUCCCACACCGCGUAAGGUGCCGGAGCCAGCAGCUUUGCCAAUCGAGCGAUAGCUGGGUCUUCGGGCAAAGGAGCCGGACAGUUGAUCUAUCCGGACUUCGCCUGCCAAGCCUGUCAAUGGUGAGGGAGUUCGAAUCCCGCAUAGAGUCAAACUAUGAAAAACUAGCAUCCUGUAGAAGGUGAAAAUGGCUUACCUCGCUAGCGUGAGGCUGCGAGCUGAAUCCGCGGUCCUCGGAAGCGGAUGCGGGAGCCUCGGCGCCUUUGGUUAGCACCUUCCAGGCAUCUUCGUACGUCGUGUCGAAGAGACUCCUCAGGGUCGGGUGCUGCGCCGGGUCGAAUUCCCACAAAUUGAAAUCCCGUUGCUGACACGGGAGGAUCCGGCGGACGAGCAUAACCUGGACUACAUUGACAAGCUUGAGCUGCUUGUCCACCAAGGAUUGGAUGCAUGUUCGCAGUCCGGUCACCUCUCCCUCGUUGCCCCAUGACAGGCCCGUCUCUUUCCAGGACGUGAGCCGCAUAGGGGGUCCGGACCGGAACUCGGGGGUUGCGACCCAUUUCGGAUCGUGCGGCUCGGUGAUGUAGAACCACCCUGACUGCCACCCCUUCAGGGUCUCCACAAAGGAGCCCUCAAGCCAUAGGACGUUGGCCAUCUUGCCCGCCAUGGCACCUCCGCACUCCGCCUGGUUGCCUCGCACAACCUUUGGCUUGAUAUUAAAGGUCUUGAGCCAAAGACCGAAAUGGGGGCGGAUGCAGAGGAAGGCCUCACACACGAAGAUAAACGCCGAUAUGUUGAGGACGAAGUUCGGGGCCAGAUCAUGGAAAUCCAGGCCAUAGUAAAACAUGAGCCCCCGGACAAAUGGGUGAAGAGGAAAACCCAGUCCGCGGAGGAAGUGGGGAAGAAAUACGACCCUCUCAUGGGGCCUUGGGGUAGGAAGGAGCUGCCCCUUUUCGGGAAGCCGGUGCGCGAUGUUGUUAGACAGGUAUCCGGCCUUCCUUAGAUUUUUGACAUGGCUCUCCGUGAUGGAGGAGACCAUCCACUUGCCUCCCGCUCCGGACAUUGCUGGAGAAUGUUGAGGUGGGAAGUGCGGGCUUGGGCGCUGGAGCUCGAGUGCGCAGAAGACGGAUAGGCAAAGGAGGAAGAAGGCGUGGGUAAAAAGGUAGAUCCUUAUCCCCUUAUAUGGGCGGAUGCGGCCAAGCGUCCCCACCAGCCUGGUAAAACUCGCUUAUCUCCCAAGCGCCGUGAUAAAUGGCGCGGUUGGGUUACCCACAUCCGUAUUGAUGAGAAUCUCGUAAAUAAAGGGGGACACGAUCUCUGCUUUGACAAUACGUGCCAAGGAAACCGCCUCGCAAAACACGCUGAGGUGGGAAGUAAAAACGAUUUGAAUAAAGACUUGGCCGUAGUGUGAUGUCACGCUACGGAAUACGUCAGCAGAUUAGAUUUGUGUUAAUAUUAUUCUCUCUAUGGCAAUAUGUGGAAACUUAUUUUGCAGAGCGGGACACUAUCCUUAGUGUUUAUAAUCUUUUAUGAAGGACUUGGAGGAGGAACCCGCCUUGCAAUGCCGAAGACAAUCUGCGUGCCGGACUCGUCGUCAUUGAAGCCUGGUUCAGGGGCUACUGAGGGAGUCCUAGAUUAGGGGGUGUUCGGAUAGCCGAACUAUACCUUCAGCCGGACUCCUGGACUAUGAAGAUACAAGAUUGAAGACUUCGUCCCGUGUCCGGAUGGGACUUUCCUUGGCGUGGAAGGCAAACUUGGCGAUGCGGAUAUUCAUAUCUCCUACCAUUGUAACCGACUUUGUGUAACCCUAGCCCUCUCCGGUGUCUAUAUAAACCGAAGGGUUUUAGUCCGUAGGACAACUUCAUCAUACAACAAUCAUACCAUAGGCUAGCUUUUAGGAUUUAGCCUCCUUGAUCUCGUGGUAGAUCUACUCUUGUACUACCCAUAUCAUCAAUAUUAAUCAAGCAGGAGUAGGGUUUUACCUCCAUCGAGAGGGCCCGAACCUGGGUAAAAACACUGUGUCCCUUGUCUCCUGUUACCAUCCGCCUAGACGCACAGUUCGGUACCCCCUACCCGAGAUCCGCCGGUUUUGACACCGACAACCAGCGAAAAUAAACCAUGGAGACUAUUCACCAAGUCGUCCAUUAGGAGUAGAGAUAUGAGGCAGGGAACGAAUGCCAAUUUGUGUGGUAUUUUUUUUGAAAAGAAAAAAACAAAAACCAUAUUUAAAAUUUUCAAAAAAAAUCGAAAAUAAUUCUGCGCAAACUUUUUUUUGCAUUACUCAACUCAUGGUGUCCAUACAUUGAGCAACAGCUAGCUCAACAGCAACAUCUAGACCAGAACCAACCCAAGUCAUGGUUUGUCCUUCUAAUUUAGCAAAUCUAGCUAAGCAGUCACUAACUUUAUUUUGAGAGCGAUUUACAUGGGUAAUACAAGAACCACGAAUCCCCAAAACAUACUUGAUCACCUUAAUAACUAUCCAAGCAUAAAUAGAUUUGUCCAAAUCCCUCGAUUGGAUCAGUUUGACUGCAAGAAUAGAGUCCAUCUCCACAAUGAUAGGUAAGUCACUCCUCUUAAGUGCAGAUGAUAGCCCUUCCAUGCACGCACGCAGUUCAGUUGAUGAAAGAAAGGGCGUUUUUCUUCUCUGCUUCUUCAUUCGCUCAAUUUCCUUUUUUUCACUUUUUUAUUAAAAAAACUAAAAAAAUUUAUUUAAAAAUAAUAAUUUCCUUAAAAUUUUGAAAUGUUCAAAGUGAAAUAAAAAACUAUAAACAUUGUGUAAAAAAUUGUCACCCGCUGCUUAGCUUGAUUUGCAGGUAUGAGGCAGGGAACGCCAUGCAUUUGGCCGGCCUUCGGUUUUUUUUCUCUGCUUCUUUAUUCGCUCCAUUUUAUUUACAUUUUUUAAAAAAUAUUCUAAAUACACUUGUUCCAAAAACACAAUAGAGUUUAAUAAAUAAAAAAUGUUGAAAGUGAAAUAUAAAAGUAUAAACAUCAUGUACAAAAUUGUACUCUCUAUGAUCCAUAUUAAUUGUCAUUGACUUAAUUUAAACUAAUAUAGACCAAAUGCAGCAUGAUAUAAAAAAUGUUUAUAGCAUUCAAAAAUAUGUUCAUGUGUUUCAAAAAAAUAUGGACAAAUGUUCAAGAUGUGUAAAGAAUGCUCACGUAAUUCAACAAAAUAAAUACUGCCUUUUAGAAAAAUGUACAUGACAAUUAAACAUGCUCACACACUCCAAAAAUAGGUUUAUGCCAAUUAAUAAAAAAUGUUCAAGAUGUGUAAAUUUUUACAGUGUGUAUUUAGAAAAAUGGACAUGUAUUGAGAAAGAAAUAAAAUCCAUACAGAAACACAUAAGGCAGAAAACCAAACAAAAAGAUGAAAAUUGGCCCAGGAAACACACAAGACGAAAAGGAAAAAAAACUCUGCAGGAACCCGGUCCCAGGAACCCAUAUUGGGAAAGCCCAUCUAGGGUACACCUACUUCAUACAGCAGGCGAGAAGGACAUAGUAAAGAUGACAUGCUUUUCUCAAAAAAAAGGUAAGAAUGACAUGCCAUUAAAAAUAAAAUUGUCAUGCUCUUUUUUUUGACAACUUUACUUCCUCUUUAUUCAUUCGUGAUCAGACUUACAUCUUUAAGUAGAAGGGGAAGAAGCUCAGAAGGAGCAUUAUCUAACCACUCAUUACAAAGCGAACUUCUAGCAAUCCUAGCUAGUUCAUGUGCAACCCCAUUCGACUCUCUGGGGCAAAAUUCGAAGACAAUAGAGCUAAAUUCGCAAGCCAGAUGAUAACAAUCAUCGACAAUGGCCGCCGCAUCUCCAGCAUAUUGGCCAUCCUUAUUCAUUAUUUCCAUGAGUUCCAGAUUAUCCGAGUUGCCAAUCAGUCUAUUGCACCCAGCUGUGAGCGCCAUAUUCAACCCAAACUUCAGAGCCAUUGCCUCAACAGUUAGUACAUCAUAACAGGAAUCAAUGAGCUUGUUUCCAGCUACAACCAUAUGUCCUCUAUCAUCUCGGAUGACUGCUCCCAUCGCCCCCUGAAGCAAAUCCCAAUCAAAGGCCGCAUCAACAUUUAACUUGACAUAUCCACUAGGGGGUUUGCACCAACCUCCCCUCUUUAACGAGGCCUUUGGGUCACAUGCACCACUACCUACACAUGAUAUGAGUGACUUUGUAGCAUGGAGUUUGAAUAAACAUGGAAUUUUUACAGUGAAAUCGGCCUACCAUGCUCUAUGGUACUUUCAGCAUGGCCAUAAAUUACAGACGACAGAUGGUUUGGGAGCCACUAGUGCUAACCCAACAUGGGAAAAGGUUUGGAAACUGAAUUGUCCGGCGAAAGUUAAAAAAUUUCUUUGGAGAACCUUACACGCAACACUGCCAUGCAAUGUGGUUCUUGCUAAUAGACACAUCCCAGUCCGGCCGACGUGUCCUGCAUGUAAACAAGGAGCAGAAGAUGUGUUUCAUGUACUAUUUCGAUGCCAUAAGGCUAGAGAGGUUUGGCGGCAGUUGGGGCUAGAGGAUGUUAUACGCCAUGCAUGUGGGGUAGACCGAGAAGGGGAGGAGAUUCUAUCAUACUUAAAUUGCCAUGCUCUUAAUAGUAAAGCUGCCAUGUUUUGAAUAAUAAGAUCUCCAUUUUAAUCAUAAUAAAAUUGCCAUGUGGAAAAGUAGGGAAAAGAAUCCCAAAUUCGCCAUGCAAAUUGAUUAAAAAUCCCAUCGUUUGCCACAAUAGCAUUACAAAAUGACUUAAAAUUGCCCUGUUUGAAAGACAAAAAGUUAUGAUUAUCCAUGGGGUCGUGAGAUUUUUCUUCUUCGGAAAAUUUUGCCAUGUGUACAAAAUACCUUGGCGUGUGAACAUAAAAAAAAUUGUGUUUUUUUUUAAAUUGGCAUGUACCUAAAAACAAAAAAAAGUUGCAUAUUUUUGCCACAUAGUAAAAAUGUGGAGUGUUUGGAUAGGAUUGUGUUGGCCUUUCUUUUGUUUAGCAAACAACCUUUCUUUCUGUUUUGCAAGGGUUUAGGAACUCAUACAUGAGUAGCCAACAUUGUAACGCCAUGUGCGUAUUUCUUUUCCAUGUGGGAAAGUAGUCUUUGGCCGUUGUUUGAGGAAUUGUAUUUUGGCUUUUGGAGCGUUUGUUGGGCGGAGCGUGUGUAACAAGGAACGUCGCCAACUUUUGGCUGAAGGAACCAGGCGUUUUGUUAUAUCCUUGUCGCCACACCAUCUUCAUCUCCAUCCUUACUUACACUAGUAUAAUGCCCGUGCAUUGCCAUGGGCUCUUGAAAUAUUUUGUAAGAGAUAUACAUUAGAAUAUCAAAAGCCAUGCUAUAGUGCCACCAGAUAUUUGUGGUCGAUCUUAGACAACAAAUGUUCCCACCAACAACGAGAACUGCAUGGCAAACAGCUAGAUAAGCAAAAAAAAUAUACAAGUACGAUAGAAUAUCUGCUUAAAACAACGUAACGGCCUUGACUAAUUCCUAGGAGUCCACUCCGCUGACGAAGACCACAACAUGGUGAAUCCUUGCACCCAUAAAGUACCAUAUUUCAGAAAUCAGCUCUCCUGACAAGGAUACUCCAUUUAAACACAUGCCACUUGGUACCGACAUAGCAGCCAUCUUUAGACUAGGCACAUCCUCACAAGUCUCACCAAUGAACCCAGUGCUCUAUUAAAAAUACAAAUUAAGACCCCCAUUGUAAAGUUGAUAGCAUAACUAUCACCAAACUUGAAGGUGUGUUUUAUCAUGUAGACAUUCCUCAAACACAUACCCAUAUCCUUCUUGAAAGAAACCUGGGUUGGAAUAAUUGUACAUACCUAGGCAGGAGAAAAGGGAAAGCAAACAAUGAUAUGAUUGAAACUACCUCGCAAGAGUAACACUAACUGUUACCUUGUUUUUUCUUAGCUCUCCAUUACUCCAUUCACAUAAUAACAAAACUCUGUAAUUGAACCGAUAAAGAAAUAGGUUGCCAUACAAGCAUUACAUCAAUGUUAGUAAUCUAGCUCAUGUGAUAUUUCCAAAAACAGUAGUUCGGUCACGACCGGUGGGGGACUUUGUGCCUUUUGUAUCUGUAGGUUUUUGCCUGGUUUCCACUAAAUAGAUAAGAUAUAUUUCUCAGAUAAGCAUGUAUCGAACCGGGCAACUUUCUUCUUCUUUAUAAAAUGCAGAACCCCUUGGCUCUCUCAAGGUAGUACUCGGAAAAAAGUAUACUGCUUUGUGUCCGGUUUAUUUUUAAAUGUAGAGGAUUGUGCAUGAUUUAUAUCAGCUAAUAAACCGCAGGACCAUUUUUCAGUUCUAAUUUCCAGAGCUCUAGGUAGUGUGUACUAACUUUAUUUUGGCAAAUGCGAGGAGAGCCAUGAGAAGCCAAGUGCCACUUGAUAUAGUAGAUCAAACAACCUACGAGGCUAAAAACUUUCUACUUCUUAAUCAAGGUCAAAAUAGUUCACGGAAACAAUCAAAAUCUCUACUCCUAAUGUCUCAGUUGGUAGGUCGCGUUCUGGGUUUUAUUUUCGUCCCACCAUUUUCGUCCUACCAUUUUCGUUCGGUUUUUUUUCGCUUGUUUUUUUCGUCCCCCACACCCCACCAGACGCAUACACAAAAAAAAACCGCACAAACACCUCUCGUAUCGAUCCCCUCGAGGAGAAGCCGUCGCCCCCAUCUCCCGUUCCGCCGCCGCCGCCCCCCACCUUGCCCUAUCUCCCUCUCAGCCACCUCCACCACCCCCACGCUUCUCCUCACCACAACAGAUCCCUUCGCCGUCGCCCUCGCACUCGCACCAAGCCGCCGCCGAUCCCUGCGUCCCAGUGGAUCCGUUCGCCGCUGCCGAUCCUUCGCUGCCGCCGAUCUCGUCGCUACAUCGACGGCAACCAGGGGUCGUCCUCCGCCCGGCCGCAGUGGAGAUCAAGCAGGAGUCCUCCAAGGACGACUCCCGCGGGAUCAUCCUGAUCCUGUUCGAGAAGUUCGGCUUCUCCCACCGCGGGUCCGUCUCCAUCGCGCUCACCGGCGCCAGGGCUGCCUCCAAGCUCGCCAAGCCGGACUCUUCGCAGCUCGGCUUCUUCCUUUGGUGAUAUAGAAGAUGAAAUUGUUUGUUCUUGUAUUCUGUUACAUGGUUUGGUUUUGUUAGCCAGAUUCAGUCUUUCUUUAUCUCAGCUGAGGUUGAUGUGGGUUUAUUGGCAGAUUAUUUACAAAAGAAAUUGUUUGAGGUCAAGAGUUGAUGCCAAAUGUCCUGGAUCAGGACAACUCCUGGGAAACAAGGCGAACGGUAUGUGCGUGCAAGAUUGAAAAUUGUACUAGAUAUGUGUAGUUUGCUCCAGGAUCCUAUAUCAGUGUAUUUGCUUCGUGCAGUUCCCUAUGUCAUCCAUUAUAUUUAUAUAGGGAUAAAUUUCCACGGGUUGCUGUAAGCAAAACUCCCUAUGUACCGGCACUUGUCUCUUUACAGACUGUCCGGGCUUUCUAGAUUAGAAUAUAAUUGUUUUAGAUAAUUUGAAAUAAGUUUUUACGCCAGCUUGCACCUUUAUUAUUUGCAGCCGGGAAGUCUAUUUCUUUUCUUUUUUUUGAUUCAAAACUAUUGGCAUGAAUUGGCCCUUGCAUUUGGUCUGAGCACUGACAAUAAUUCCAACCUGUCAAUUGGGGACAGAUAUGUCCAUCACACCUGUACCUUUUAUUCAGUUUGAGGAGGAAUAAGUAGUCAAUUGGCUGAUUAAUUAUGUUUCAUGUGAUUUGUAUAUGGACGCAGUUGCAACAGUUAGCUGCAUCAACUAUAAUUUUUCUUUCGCUGGCGGGGCAUGCAUCCCGACGAGUUAUACAAUUUAGCUGAUUUAAUUCGUGGCCUAACAAUACUUUUGGUAAUAGUUGUCAACUAAAAAAGGAUCUGCUUUUUCGUAAUGAUGGCCAAAUAAAAGAGGAUCCAAACCCUCACGAGUUUACAUUGUACAAAGCUAUUAUGUGCUGACAAUAUUUUUUCUAAGUUGCUCUCUACAUCUCGGUGUUAUUAGUCUAAAUAUUCUGAUUCCAAAGGAUGUUUUCAAACAUCAGAUCUUUUAAUAAAUUUGAAACAACAUAUCUUUCUAAUUUUGGUUCUGUCUAAAAUGAUGAAAUUCAAUUUUGUUCUACUGCAUAUUAGUUUAAUCAUCUUCACCAGCAGUAUAUAUUGCAGAUAAUUGUGUUGGUUUGGUUUUUAGCAUGUAGGUAUGAUAUGGUAAGCCUCCAGUGAAGGAGGGGCUUAGAAAAAGAGAAACUGUUCUAUUUGAUAUACAAUGUAAUUUGGAAAUUAAUGGCAGAAGGCUCCUAAACUAACAUAUGAUGUUUUGUUUGAAUUUCUCUUUACCGGAUUGUGUUACUUAUGCGCAAUCACCAUACUUGACAAGGGUCCCUGAUUUUAUCACUUCCGUUGACGAGUCUUGUGUCAGCAUCUUGAUGCGAGGUACAACUUCUAGGUGAUCUUCUUCAUGUUUUACGUUGUUGUACUUUUUGCUGCAAUGUGGAUGUACAUAUUCUAGCAGAUAUAUCUUCAUGCUUUACCUUGUUUACCACUGCCCUGAUGUGGAGGUACAGAUUCUAGCUGAUAUAUAUCGUCAUGUUUUACCUUUUACCAACAUCCAAGAUUUUUGUUUCCUCAUUUCUUUCAAUUAGAUAGAAGAUGGGACGUGCUUUGUUGUAGUUUCCUCUUACUUUGACUAAGUAGGACAUUUUUUUGAAAUACCAAAUUGUGGUGUCGCUACCCCUACGCACCACGGUUUUGCAGCACCCUCAGCUAAAGUAAACCAUUCCAAGCCUACCAUACUCGAAACAUGGAAGCAUGCAAACUUCAGAGCAUCUUGGUGUCGCUGGCCACCCGAUCUCUACAACCACCACAAAAUGCUACAGGACCAACCAGGCCGGUGUCCUGACCACUGAAUCAUGUCGCUGUGUGGGCGCCUAGAUCUCCCAUGUGUCUGUCUAAAGCCUGAGGGGCCAACCUCGCUCGAGCGUCGCCAGCCAGCACUCAUCUGCACAUGAACAAAUGGUUGGAUAUAUGUGCCUCCUCCGUCUCUUAUUCCCCGAAACAUAAUUUGAUGAGUAGAGUUUCUAAUCAUUUAUGGCACACUGGCAUAUGAUUAAACUGCACAAGUUAGAUUGACAUUUUGUGGAGAACGGUCGUCGGCUGGGAGCCUCGCCGUCUACCUCCACCAGCCGGCCCACACACCAUUGCUCCCCGCGUGUCGCGCCCCUCCCCGAACCAUCAUGCCUUCUAAUUAGUGUACGUGGUAGUCUGGUAAAAGUGGAGAAUAAUUCGGGUAAUGUCUAUGGAUGUACUACCAGUAUUGCGGCUAACCUGCCUGGCAGUGAGAUGCAUCUAGAUUAGAUCUGAUUACUGAUAUAGAAGAUGAAAUUAAUUAUCUAAAAUUUUCCUUGUACCAUUUUCCAUGAGAUUAAUGUAAUUGGGAAUACCAGUGCUUGUUUGAAUCAUUUAGUUAAAUAAUUUUAUAGAUAAAACUUGUAUUUGUAUGUUUUGGAAUUACUAUUAUCCUGGUAAAAUGACCACAAGUGAAAGGGUUGUAAAGAUUAAUUAUUCUUUGUGGAAGCAUUACUGGUCUAAUUAAUAGAUGUACAUGCAUCAAUAAUGUUGUUGAGCUUUAGUUGAUUCUAUAGUGUUGUACUAUUCGCAAAGUUCUAUUUUGAGAAAAGAAAUAGCAAAUUCAAUAUUGUGGCAGCUAAAUGGCGCACCCGCUGUAGCAAGUGAGUGCCCAUCAAAAUCACCCUGAGCAUAUUUUUGCUGAUUUUCAUGAUUGCUCUUCUGCCAGGAACAAUGUUCCUGGCACUUCGACCACACAACUGUAUGUUCAUGUUCCAGAGUCCUUAUUCAUAGUUAAUUUCAAUCACAAAGUGACAAAUGUCAGUCUAUUAGUUAACAUGUGUAUCUCCGUUUCUUCUAAGUUUCAAUCGACCUACUCUGAAGUUGUUCCUAAGAUAGUGCCUCAAGCAAAGGGAAUGAGCCUCAGUUAGUGCAUCUAGCAAGUUCGCGAUCCUUUGUUGGGAUAAACAUUUGUGCAAGAGCAAUAGUCUCGUCACUAUUGGUUGUUAGUACUGUUGCUUGUUAAUUCUACUUUUUACUUCAGUUCGUAAUGCAAUAUAGUUAUGCUUGACGCACUAUAAGAAGACUGCCAUUUUGCCUUUUGACCUUGGUUUCUUCCUCCAGUAAGUAAAUGCACAUAGUUCUUUUGUAAAUUAGAGCAUACGACUUGUUGAUCGAUCUCUGAGCUCAGUAAUAAUAUUAAGCCUCAAUCUGUUUAUUGUGCACACAAGAUGAGAAAGAAUUGCUACCCAAGAAUAUGUACUUUAUAAACAUUUCAACUGUAAUCUGGAAUAAAAUUAAAUAAAUAAGGAAACAGUAUAUUCAUAUAUCUUUUUUGUACUUUGAUGGUGUCACACCACAAGUUCCGAGAUGGUAAUUGUGCUGCAUAUGUCUGCUCUCUUACUUUGUUUUUCUGAACAGGUAGGUUCUGGAAGAUGUCAUGAAGAAUUUCUUUCAGAGAAUUUGCGUGAGGUGUGUCUAAAUGAUUUUUAUCUUCUGAACAUAUUCUUGUAUGACUAACUGAAUUCAUUUUUUCAAAACGUCGGUACUUUUCCUUUUUCAUUUAUGUUGCUCGAUUGAGUCCACAUGCCUGCCCUUACUGAGUUUGCUCAAGAGUAAGAUAAACUUGAUAUUUAUGUUUGUCGGCAGCAGCGUGACUAGCUGAUCUGUAGCGGCGCGGAAGGUGAGCUUGGCUGCAGGUAGCAGCUCCUUUGGCUGAUCUGCGGCGAUGCAGAAGUUGGGUUGGAAAGAAGCACGACCGGCUGCUCUGAAGUGGGACGUAGGGAGAGCUUCGUAAGAGAUAGGGAGGGAGCUCUAUUGGCCCGUGCAUGACAUCCAACCCAAUGGCAUCAUGCCCUGGUAAGCUUCUUAUCUGUUCCAAUUCUUGCACUUGGUCUUUUUCUUUCUAACCCUAAAAAUAGAGUGUGCCUUGAUUCCUAAUCAUGCUUUAAAAGCUGAUAUCCACCUCGUUUAUCUUGCUACUAGUGGUAAUGUGUGCAAGUAUGAUUUUGUGAUAAUGCCAGAUGUUGUGUGCCUUCUUUAUUCAUGGUACGAGUACUCUAACCUGGCUCGUAUGAUAAUGUAUCACUGCUAUAGAGCACAAACGACGUGUUUUUUAAUUAUAUUUUAGUUGACAUGGAUUUCAUUUAUCUUGUGAAUUGUAUAGUCAGAUCAUGAAUUUUUAUGAUUGAUUGAUUUUCAUGGUCACAGGUAGGCAUGGUUGUGUGGCCACGGGGAAAAUGGAGCAAGUAGCAUGUGAGGAGUUUAACAAAUGGGGACAAGGGACAGUUUAGUUAAUUAAGGCUCUAUGUUAGUUUCAAGUUUUAUCCUUGUUGCGGUAAGAAAUUAUGGUUGGAUUAACCACCAUGUGUUGGAAAUAUGCCCUAGAGGCAAUAAUAAAAGUAUUAUAAUUAUAUUUCCUUGUUCAUGAUAAUUGUUUUUUAUUCAUGCUAUAACUGUAUUAUCCAGAAAUCGUAAUACACGUGUGAAUACAUAGACCACAAUAUGUCCCUAGUGAGCCUCUAGUUGACUAGCUCGUUGUGAUCAACAGAUAGUCAUGGUUUCCUGGCUAUGGACAUUGGAUGUCGUUGAUAACGGGAUCACAUCAUUAGGAGAAUGAUGUGAUGGACAAGACCCAAUCCUAAGCAUAGCACAAAGAUCGUGUAGUUCGUUUGCUAGAGCUUUGCCAAUGUCAAGUAUCUCUUCCUUUGACCAUGAGAUCGUGUAACUCCUGGAUACCGUAGGAAUGCUUUGGGUGUAUCAAACGUCACAACGUAACUGGGUGACUACAAAGGUGCACUACAGGUAUCUCCGAAAGUAUCUAUUGUUUUAUGCGGAUCGAGACUGGGAUUUGUCACUCCGUGUAAACGGAGAGAUAUCUCUGGGCCCACUCGGUAGGACAUCAUCAUAUGCGCAAUGUGACCAAGGAGUUGAUCACGGGAUGAUGUGUUACGGAACGAGUAAAGUGACUUGCCGGUAACGAGAUUGAACAAGGUAUUGGAUACCGACGAUCGAAUCUCGGGAAAGUAAAAUACCGCUAGACAAAGGGAAUUGUAUACGGGAUCGAUUGAGUCCUUGACAUCGUGGUUCAUUCGAUGAGAUCAUCGUGGAACAUGUGGGAGCCAACAUGGGUAUCCAGAUCCCGCUGUUGGUUAUUGACCGGAGAACGUCUCGGUCAUGUCUGCAUGUCUCCCGAACCCGUAGGGUCUACACACUUAAGGUUCGAUGACGCUAGGGUUAUAAAGGAAGCUUGUAUGUGGUUACCGAAUGUUGUUCGGAGUCCCGGAUGAGAUACCGGACGUCACGAGGAGUUCCGGAAUGGUCCGGAGGUAAAGAUUUAUAUAUAGGAAGUCCUGUUUCGGCCAUCGGGACAAGUUUCAGGGUCAUCGGUAUUGUACCGGGACCACCGGAAGGGUCCCGGGGGCCCACCGGGUGGGGCCACCUGCCCCGGGGGGCCACAUGGGCUGUAGGGGGUGCGCCUUGGCCUACAUGGGCCAAGGGCACCAGCCCCAAGAGGCCCAUGCGCCUAGGGAACCCUAGAGGGAAGAGUCCUCAAGGGGGAAGGCACCUCCGAAGUGCCUUGGGGAGGAUGGACUCCUCCCCCCCCUCUUGGCCGCACCCCUUUCUUGGAGUAAGGGGCAAGGCUGCGCCUCCCCCCUCUCCCUUGCCCCUAUAUAUAGUGGAGGGGAGGGAGGGCAUCCACACCUGAGCCCUUGGCGCCUCCCUCCCUCCCGUGACACCUCCUCCUCUCCCGUAGGUGCUUGGCGAAGCCCUGCAGGAUUGCCACGCUCCUCCAUCACCACCACGCCGUUGUGCUGCUGCUGGAUGGAGUCUUCCUCAACCUCUCCCUCUCUCCUUGCUGGAUCAAGGCGUGGGAGACAUCGUCGAGCUGUACGUGUGUUGAACGCGGAGGUGCCGUCCGUUCGGCACUAGGAUCAUCGGUGAUCUGAAUCACGACGAGUACGACUCCAUCAACCCCGUUCACUUGAACGCUUCCGCUUAGCGAUCUACAAGGGUAUGUAGAUGCACUCCUCUCUUUCUACUCGUUGCUGGUCUCUCCAUAGAUAGAUCUUGGUGUUACGUAGGAAAAUUUUUGAAUUUCUGCUACGUUCGCCAACAGUGGCAUCAUGAGCUAGGUCUAUUGCGUAGAUUCUUUGCAUGAGUAGAACACAAAGUAGUUGUGGGCGUUGAUGUUGUUCAAAAUGCUUACCGUUACUAGUCCAAUCUUGUUUCGACGGUAUUGUGGGAUGAAGCGGCCCAGACCGACCUUACACGUACUCUUACGUGAGACAGGUUCCACCGAUUGACAUGCACUUGGUGCAUAAGGUGGCUAGCGGGUGCCAGUCUCUCCCACUUUAGUCGGAACGGAUUCGAUGAAAAGGGUCCUUAUGAAGGGUAAAUAGCAAUUGGCAUAUCACGUUGUGGUUUUGCGUAGGUAAGAAACGUUCUUGCUAGAAACCCAUAGCAGCCACGUAAAACAUGCAAACAACAAUUAGAGGACGUCUAACUUGUUUUUGCAGGGUAUGCUAUGUGAUGUGAUAUGGCCAAAAGGAUGUGAUGAAUGAUAUAUGUGAUGUAUGAGAUUGAUCAUGUUCUUGUAAUAGGAUUCACGACUUGCAUGUCGAUGAGUAUGACAACCGGCAGGAGCCAUAGGAGUUGUCUUUAUUUUUUGUAUGACCUGCGUGUCAUUGAAGAACGCCAUGUAACUUACUUUACUUUAUUGCUAAACGCGUUAGCCAUAGAAGUAGAAGUAGUCGUUGGCGUGACAACUUCAUGAAGACACGAUGAUGGAGAUCAUGAUGAUGGAGAUCAUGGUGUCAUGCUGGUGACAAGAUGAUCAUGGAGCCCCAAAGAUGAAGAUCAAUGGAGCUAUAUGAUAUUGGCCAUAUCAUGUCACAACUAUAUAAUUGCAUGUGAUGUUUAUUAUGAUUAUGCAUCUUGUUUACUUAGGACGACGGUAGUAAAUAAGAUGAUCCCUUACAAAAUUUCAAGAAGUGUUCUCCCCUAACUGUGCACCGUUGCUACAGUUCGUCACUUCUAAGCACCACGUGAUGAUCGGAUGUGAUGGAUUCUUACGUUCACAUACAACGGGUGUAAGACAGUUUUACACAGCGAAAACACUUAGGGUUAACUUGACGAGCCUAGCAUGUGCAGACAUGGCCUCGGAACACGGAGACCGAAAGGUCGAACAUGAGUCGUAUAGUAGAUACGAUCAACAUGAAGAUGUUCACCGAUGAUAACUAGUCCGUCUCACGUGAUGAUCGGACACGGGCUAGUUGACUCGGAUCAUGUAAUCACUUAGAUGACCAGAGGGAUGUCUAUCUGAGUGGGAGUUCAUAAGAUGAACUUAAUUAUCUUGAACAUAGUCAAAAGACCUUUUGCAAAUUAUGUUCACGCUAUAGUUCUAUUGUUUUAGUUAUGUUCCUAGAGAAAAUAUAGUUGAAAGUUGAUAGUAGCGAUUAUGCGAUCAGUAGAAAGCUUAUGUCCUUAAUGCACUGCUCAGUGUGCUGAACCCCAAACGUCGUUUGUGGAUGUUGCAAACAUCGGACAUACACGUUUUGAUAACUACGUGAUAGUUUAGUUAAACGGUUUAGAGUUGAGGCACUAAAGACGUUUUCGAAACGUCACGGAACAUAUGAGAUGUUUCGAGGGCUGAAAUUGGGAUUUCAGGCUCGUGCCCACGUCAAGAGGUAUGAGACCUCCGACGAUUUUCUUAGCCUGCAAACUAAGGGAGAAAAGCCCAAUCGUUGAGCUUGUGCUCAGAUUGUCUGAGUACAACAAUCACUUGAAUCGAGUGGGAGUUGAUCUUCCAAAUGAGAUAGUGAUGUUUCCCCAAAGUCAUUGCCACCAAGCUGCUAGAGCUUCGUGAUGAACUAUAACAUAUCAAGGAUAGAGAUGAUGAUCCUUGAGGUAUUCGCGAUGUUUGACACCACAAAAGUAGAAAUCAAGAAGGAGCAUCAAUCGUUGAUGGUCAGUGAGACCACUAGUUUCAAGAAGGGCAAGGGAACAAAGGGAUACUUCAUGAAACGGCAAUUCAGCUGCUGCUCUAGUGAAGAAACCCAAGGUUGAACCCAAACCCGAGACUAAGUGCUUCUGUAAUAAAGGGAACAACCACUGGAGCAGAAUUACCCUAGAUACUUGGUAGAUGAGAAGGCUGGCAAGGUCGAUAGAAGUAUAUUGGAUAUACAUUGUGUUAAUGUGUACUUUACUAGUACUCCUAGUAGCACCAGGGUAUUAGAUACCGGUUCGGUUGCUAAGUGUUAGUAACUCGAAAUAAAAGCUACGGAAUAAAACGGAGACUAGCUAAAGGUGAGCUGACGAUAUGUGUUGGAAGUGUUUCCAAGUUUGAUGUGAUCUAACAUCGCACGCUCCCUCUACCAUCAAGAUUAGUAUUAAACCUGAAUAAGUGCUCUUGCACCAAAAGGAAUGGUUUAUUGAAUUUUGGUCGUAGUGAUACACAUUUUCAUGCCAAAAGAUAUAAGAUAGUAAUGAUAGUACCACUUACUUGUGGCACUGCCAUGUAAGUCAUAAUGGUAUAAAACGCAUGAAGAAGCUCCAUGUUGAUGGAUCUUUGGACUCACUCGUUUUUGAAAAGUUUGAGACAUGCGAACCAUGUCUAUUGGUGUAUAUGCAUGAAGAAACUCCAUGCAAAUGGAUCGUUCGGACUCACUUGAUUUUGAAUCACUUGAGAUAUGCAAAUCAUACCACAUGGGCAAGAUGACUAAAAAGCCUCAUUUUCAGUAAGAUGGAACAAGAUAGCAACUUGUUGAAAGUAACACAUUUUGAUGUGUGCAGUCCAAUAAGUGCUGAGGCAUGCAGUGAAUAUCGUUAUGUUCUUACUUCACAGAUGAUUCGAGUAGAUGGUGAGAAUAUUUACUUGAUGAAACACAAGUCUGAAUUAUUGAAUGGUUCAAGUAAUUUCAGAGUGAAGUAAAAGAUCAUUGUGACAAGAGGAUAAAAUGUCUAUGAUAUGAUCAUAGAGAUGAAUAUCUGAGUUACGAGUUUUGGCACACAAUUAAGACAUUGUGGAAAUUGUUUCGCAAUUAUACCGCCUGGAACACCAUAAUGUGAUGGUGUGUCCGAACAUCAUAGUUGCACCCUAUUGGAUAUGGUGCGUACCAUGAUGUCUCUUAUCAAAUUACCACUAUCGUUCAUGGGUUAGGCAUUAGAGACAACCACAUUCACUUUAAAUAGGGCACCACGUAAUUCCGAUGAGAUGACACCGUAUGAAUUAUGGUUUAGAGAAACCUAAGUUGUCGUUUCUUAAAAGUUUAGGGCUGCGACGCUUAUAUGAAAAAGUUUCAGGUUGAUGAGCUCGAACCCAAAGCGGAUAAAAUGCAUCUUCAUAGGAAACCCAAAACAGUUGGGUAUACCUCCUAAUUCAGAUCCGAAAGCAAUAUGGAUUGUUUCUAGAAUCGGGUCCUUUCUCGAAAGAAUUGAGUGGGAGGAUGGUGGAGACUUGAUGAGGUUAUUGAACCGUCUCUUCAACUAGUGUGUGACAGGGCACAGGGAGUUGUUCCUGUGGCACCUACACCAAUUGAAGUGGAAGCUUAUGAUAUUGAUCAUGAAACUUCGGAUCAAGUCACUCCCAAACCUCGUAGGAUGACAAGGAUGCGUACUACUUCAGAGUGGUACGUAAUCCUGUCUUGAAAGUCAUGUUACUGGACAACAAUGAACCUACGAGCUAUGGAGAAGUGAUGGUGGGCCCGGAUUCUGAUAAAUGGCUUGAGGCCAUAAAAUCCGAGAGAGGAUCCAUGUAUGAAAACAAAGUGAAGACUUUGGCAGAACGGCUCGAUGGUCAUAAGGCAAAUGAGUACGGAUGGAUUUUAAAAGGAAGACAGACAAUGAUGGUAAGAAUUACCAUUAAGAAAGCUCGACUUGUCGUUAAGAUGUUUUCCGACAAGUUCAAGGAGUUGACUACGAUGAGAUUUUCUCACUCGUAGCGAUGCUUAAAGUCCGUCGGAAUCAUGUUAGCAUUAGCUGCAUUUAUGAAAUCUGGCAGAUGGAUGUCAAGACAAGUUUCCUUACCAGUUUUCGUAAGGAAAGGUUGUAUGCAAUACAAUCAGAAAAGUUUUGUCGAUCCUAAGGAUGCUAAAAGGUAUGCUAGCUCCAGCGAUCCUUCUAAGGACUGGAGUAAGCAUCUCGGAGUUGGAAUGUACGCUUUGAUGAGAUGAUCAAAGAUUUUGGAUUUAUACAAAGUUUAUGAGAAACUUGUAUUUCCAAAGAAGUGAGUGGGAGCACUAUAGAAUUUCUGAUGAGUAUAUGUUGUUGACAUAUUGAUGAUCAGAGAUGAUGUAGAAUUUCUAGAAAGCAUAUAGGGUUAUUUUGAAAGUGUUUUUCAAUGGAAAACCUGGAUUAAGCUACUUGAACAUUGAGCAUCAAGAUCUAUAAGGAUAGAUCAAAACGCUUAAUAGUACUUUCAAAUUAGCACAUACCUUGACAUGAUCUUGAAGGUGUUCAAGAUGGACCAGUCAAAGAAGGAGUUCUUGCCUGAGUUGUAAGGUACGAAGUUAAGACUUAAAGCUAGACCACGGCAGAAUAGAGAGAAAGGACGAAGGUCGUCCCCUAUGCUUAAAACGUAGGCUCUUCAGUAUGUUAUGUUGUGUACCGCACCUGAAGUGUGCCUUGCCAUGAGUCAGUCAAGGGGUACAAGAGUGAUCCAAGAAUGGCUCACAGGACAGCGGUCAAAGUUAUCCUUAGUAACUAGUGGACUAAGGAAUUUUCUCGAUUAUGGAGGUGGUAAAAGAGUUCGUUGUAAAGGUUACGACGAUGCAAGCUUGACACCUAUCCGGAUAGCUCUGAGUAGAGAGACCGGAUACAUAUAAUGGAGCAAUAAUUUAGAAUAGCUCCAAGUAGAACAGUUGUUUGGAAUAGCUCCAAAUAGAGCGUGGUAGCUGCAUCUAGGAGAUGACAUAGAGAUUUGUAAAGCACACACGGAUCUGAAAGGUUCAGACCCGUUGACUAAAACCUCUCUCACAAGCAGAACAUGACCAAACCCCAGAAUGAUGUGAACUAGUUUAGUGACACUAGUAAACUCUUUGGAUGUUGGUCACAUGGUGAUGUGACCUGUCAGUGUUAAUCACAUGGUGAUGUGAACUGGAUUAUUGACUCUAGUGCAAGUGGGAGACUGUUGGAAAUAUGCCCUAGAGGCAAUAAUAAAAGUAUUAUAAUUAUAUUUCCUUGUUCAUGAUAAUUCUCUUUUAUUCAUGCUAUAACUGUAUUAUCCGGAAAUCGUAAUACACGUGUGAAUACAUAGACCACAAUAUGUCCCUAGUGAGCCUCUAGUUGACUAGCUCGUUGUGAUCAACAGAUAGUCAUGGUUUCCUGGCUAUGGACAUUGGAUGUUGUUGAUAACGGGAUCACAUCAUUAGGAGAAUGAUGUGAUGGACAAGACCCAAUCCUAAGCAUAGCACAAAGAUCGUGUAGUUCGUUUGCUAGAGCUUUGCCAAUGUCAAGUAUCUCUUCCUUUGACCAUGAGAUCGUGUAACUCCUGGAUACCGUAGGAAUGCUUUGGGUGUAUCAAACGUCACAACGUAACUGGGUGACUAUAAAGGUGCACUACAGGUAUCUCCGAAAGUAUCUAUUGUUUUAUGCGGAUCGAGACUGGGAUUUGUCACUCCGUGUAAACAGAGAGGUAUCUCUGGGCCCACUCGGUAGGACAUCAUCAUAUGCGCAAUGUGACCAAGGAGUUGAUCACGGGAUGAUGUGUUACGGAACGAGUAAAGUGACUUGCCGGUAACGAGAUUGAACAAGGUAUUGGAUACCGACGAUCGAAUCUCGGGCAAGUAAAAUACCGCUAGACAAAGGGAAUUGUAUACGGGAUCGAUUGAGUCCUUGACAUCGUGGUUCAUCCGAUGAGAUCAUCGUGGAACAUGUGGGAGCCAACAUGGGUAUCCAGAUCCCGCUGUUGGUUAUUGACCGGAGAACGUCUCGGUCAUGUCUGCAUGUCUCCCGAACCCGUAGGGUCUACACACUUAAGGUUCGAUGACGCUAGGGUUAUAAAGGAAGCUUGUAUGUGGUUACCGAAUGUUGUUCGGAGUCCCGGAUGAGAUCCCGGACGUCACGAGGAGUUCCGAAAUGGUCCGAAGGUAAAGAUUUAUAUAUAGGAAGUCCUGUUUCGGCCAUCGGGACAAGUUUCGGGGUCAUCGGUAUUGUACCGGGACCACCGGAAGGGUCCCGGGGGCCCACCGGGUGGGGCCACCUGCCCCGGGGGGCCACAUGGGCUGUAGGGGGGUGCGCCUUGGCCUACAUGGGCCAAGGGCACCAGCCCCAAGAGGCCCAUGCGCCUAGGGAAGCCUAGAGGGAAGAGUCCUCAAGGGGGAAGGCACCUCCGAGGUGCCUUGGGGAGUAUGGACUCCUCCCCUCCCUCUUGGCCGCACCCCUUUCUUGGAGUAAGGGGCAAGGCUGCACCUCCCCCCUCUCCCUUGCCCCUAUAUAUAGUGGAGGGGAGGGAGGGCAUCCACACCUGAGCCCUUGGCGCCUCCCUCCCUCCCGUGACACCUCCUCCUCUCCCGUAGGUGCUUGGCGAAGCCCUGCAGGAUUGCCACGCUCCUCCAUCACCACCACGCCGUUGUGCUGCUGCUGGAUGGAGUCUUCCUCAACCUCUCCCUCUCUCCUUGCUGGAUCAAGGCGUGGGAGACAUCGUCGAGCUGUACGUGUGUUGAACGCGGAGGUGCCGUCCGUUCGGCACUAGGAUCAUCGGUGAUCUGAAUCACGACGAGUACGACUCCAUCAACCCCGUUCACUUGAACGCUUCCGCUUAGCGAUCUACAAGGGUAUGUAGAUGCACUCCUCUCUUUCUACUCGUUGAUGGUCUCUCCAUAGAUAGAUCUUGGUGUUACGUAGGAAAAUUUUUGAAUUUCUGCUACGUUCCCCAACACCAUGUACAUCUUUAAUUACUUUUAAAUAAGAGAUAUAAUCAAAAUAUUCUUUUGAAUUGAUAAAAUUUAUAUAAUUUGUACAAGUACAUGAAGGUGGAACAGGAGGAAGGGUGGGAGAAGAUUAGAUAUCGUUUCAUUUUCUUGCAAGGAAAGGAUGGUUACGAAGAAAUGACAAGAAAUGGAGGGACAAUCAGUUUUAUUACUGUAUGGAUGGAAACCACAUGCCAGCUUGUCCAACAUAUUUCUACAUUGAGUCAAUUAUUGAAUCGCUAUAUUUUUUUUAUUCCAUGGCAAUGCAUGGUCAUUCAACUAUUCAAAUUUACGGGUUAUUCAUCCACUUUUUUCAAGCUAUUUACAUAUUUGUCACUUGUCAGCAAGUUUGCAUAUGAUGCUAGGAAGUGAACAUAAGGACACAUAAACGUUGCAUUUUGAAUAUGAAAUAAACUCAACAUCCAAAUAACAGAUUCGAUGCUCUGUCCAUCAGAGAGCAGGAAAUGUAAGCAUCCUUCUAAAUAAGAUAUUACCUAUCUUGAAGCUGGAAAUGCAAGAAUUCUUCUAAAUAAGAUAUUAGUUAUCUUCAUGAUGGAAAUGCAAGCAUCCAAAAUUUACAACAAUAUUUCUAAAAACUGAAAACAAUCUUGCAAUCUUGAUAUAAGAAUGAAACAUAAGCAACAUCAUAGAGUUUGCUAUUUCUUUUUAAACAUAAUUACCAACAAGUGAUAUACAGGUGAACCUGCAGUUUAUUCAAAUUGGAAUGCGGCUCACUCUACUAAAAAGGACGAUGUCACUCACUCCGAGUAAAAACGGUCAUCUACUCACAUUUAACAUCUGACCAAUGAUUAUAUAUUGUAUAUGAGUUUUCUAUUUUUUUAUUUUAAUAUUGUUUAUAUGUUUACUUUUGUAGAUCAAAGAUCAAAACUGAUGGCUUUUUAUUGACAAAGCUUUAUGGUGAACCAGACUGAAAAAUCAUCGGGUUUUACACAAUCAGAAGAGAUGCAUACAAAUAAUUGUUCUUUAUAUAUUUGUUGUGCAUGAUAAUACAAAAGGUAUGUUUCUAUACAUAUUUAUUUUUGCAGAGUAUGAAAGAGAUGGAAAUGGAUUAUGUCAGCGUUCAAAAAGAAUCCAUCGACAAGGGUGUUGAGGCAAUGUCAUUGGAAGAGCCCAAAAAUUCAUUAAGAUUUUGUACAACAAAAGGCCCGUGGCAACGCACGGGCAUUGUACUAGUAAUAGUAGUUACCAUGUCCUGCAAGAAAUAUACAAUGGAUGUUCAUGUAUAUCUAUAAGACUAUAACUAAAUGCAGCACAUAUAUCAUUCCAGCUCCAAACUUGAAAGCAAUAUAUAAUUUACGAACAUUACUCCACUGCCAUAGAACCUGCAAUUUCGAAUAUAAUCUUUCAGAUCGAGAAUCAUAUUCUGACAUGGCACUCAUAUUUUACUGUAUGAAUAGUACAAUGAAAUUUGAAUAACACAACAGUAAAAGGUUCACAUGUGAUAUUCAUUAGGAAUUUGUGCCAGAUAACAAACAUUUAUGGUGCCCCUCAUUAUGACUAACUUCUUCAACAUGAGCAUACUCUCAUGGAUUAAGAGGCCACAAAAACUCCUGAACUGAAAGGUUAUCAAUGAGUGCCACGAAAGUCAAGCCAACUAACACUCCCUCAUACUAUAUGCCAUGACAUAAAACAUUAAGAAGAGAUGUUUGAAGUAGUACCUCUCUCAUAAUAAGGGGGGACACUAACUACUUUGAGCCAUAAAAGAAAACUGGCGUAGUCAAGUUAGCUCCGAGCAGUCAAUACAUUGCAGGAUAAUUUGAAGUUCAUAUCUGCAACCACAUCAACAUAUGAGAUAAAAUGGUCAGAUACAGAAUCGUGUACAACUCAAAGUACGUUUACACUAACCAUUCUGUAGAAAGAAGAUAAAUGUCUAUGCAUGUUCUAAUUUGUAUUUAGUGCAAUUAAACUUUGUCUAGUAGAAAAUGUUAGCAAUUAUGUCAAGACCACUACGACACUACUGGUCUCUCCAUGUAAUAAAUCAAUAAACUCUACUCUCUUAACAAUCUAGAACUGCACAAUGAACACUACUGAAGAAAAAUGUAAAACUGGGUCAAUGAAAAUAAAUACACGGGUUGAUGACCCUUAAACGAAUAGUAAACACGAGAGAACGAACACUUAUUUAAGGUAGAGAAACUUGUCCCAUAAUGCUUCGCAUGGUUUUGAUCACCCCUAUAUAGUCUGUCAAGCAUGUAUCUAACUGUUUCAAAUAUAUACAUAGCAGCGUUCAUCUUAACACCAGCUUUAGCUUCACAAAAAUUCUUAGCUCGGUUAAUCUGCAUAAACCAUGAAAUCUAUAGGAAGUUAAAUGUGUUAAGCUGAAAAUAACAAUACAUCAGCACACUAGAAAGAAUGGGAGGUUUGAUGUUAAUUAAUAAACUAAAAAAUGGAGUGCAUUCAAAUGGACAAAAAGAAACACAUAAGAGACUAUUACCUUCUUUGAUAGUAGAGAAGCACUAUCAAUAAUCUCAAUAAAACUACAUAAUAUUCAGUUCCAAAAGGCCGAAGCGAAGCUUGUAGCCUUUUUUUACUGGGACUAUGGUGGCUUACGCCAGCCUGAACCACUUCAUAAAACUGAGAACUAUACAAAGUCCAAUGAGUACACAGGGAUUAAGAGAAAUAAUAGAAGGAAAAAAUUAAAAUCUCCCAGAUAGGUGAUACAGUAGAGUACUCCAAUCCGUAAGGUGCCAUUUAUUAAUUCCAUGUGAAUACCUGUUGGACCAAGGUAUCAAUCAUCAGCAAUCUUGCUAGCAGUAAUGUGCAAUUCCUCAAAAACAUCCUGGGAGACCUUGGAGUUUUUGUGCUUCCAUAUAUUCCAGAGGACAAUGAUAACAACAUUAUAGAGUGAAUCUUGUCGAAAUAAUUUUUCCAAGAGAUCUUUGACUGAAUCAACAUUGAGUGGAUGAAAACUUUGAAGUUCAGAUCAAACCAAAGCUAGGGAGGAGCAACUGAUUAACAUAUGAGGAGUAGUCUCAGAUUCAUUCGAGGAAGGACAAUGCCCGGACUGGCUUAUGAGCACUAUACAAUCAAGCCAUCCCACUUUACCUAUCAAAUUGAGUACAAUCCUACUAUCAGCUGCAAUCGACACUGUAUAUCAGGAGCAAUCAGCAGUCUACAUAUAUCAUUAGCAGCACAUGAAGCAAUCAGCCACACACCCCAAUUAUCUCUCGUAUGUUCUCACCACAGCAUGGCCCAGCGCUGCCUCAGUAAUAUGAUAUACAAAUCAGAUCAUAGUAUACGCUUGUUCAGAAGAGCGGAUAAAAAUAAUUUAACAAAUUUCAAUGACCCUAAUUGAGAUCAUCUAGGUUCAGAACUAUCUGAUGUGAAAUAAAUGAAGAUAAAUUUCAGCAAGGAAUAAAGUAAGCUGGUUGCAGCACAACCAUUGUUAGUUGUACAUAUGUACAUCAACAAUGAUAAGCAUUAAGUUUCCUAUUUAAUAGUUCAUACUAUUCUGAUCGUAGAUUCAGAGUAGGUGGUGGUGCUGACCAUGGGAGGAGGAACAGACGCCCUGAAGAAAAAGGUCAGUAUUUUUUAAUUAUGAUUUCGAUUUUAGUGGUAUUCAGACAUUCACUUGAUCCAAAUACCUCUAAUUACUCGAGAACAUUCAUUCUACUGGACUAAGAUACUAUAUAUAAACACAGAGAAACAAUUAUAUUUAGGCACACUAAUAGGAGGGCCUACUAUCUAACAAAGUUCAAUGAGUAUAGAUCAAGCUUUGCAUAAUCAGAUAGAAAGAGUAUAAGUGGUAUAACUGUACUUGGUAGCCUACAAUAAAAUCUUGUGUGAAGUGGAGAAGAGAAACUAAAAGAUGAGCUAAAAGACAAAGCCGCAAUAUAAAUAGAUUAAUUAAGGUUAAGUAAAAUCUAAUCAGCACCAUGAUUCGACAACCAAGAAAUCAAAGUUUGGGAGUAUCACUCCUAAAAAUGUUUUCCUCGCCCACAUAAAAAAGACAAACAUCACAGCGAAUGAGGUCGGAACCUAGAUAAUAUAAAUGUGUUCAAAAAUUAGUGAAGGGUGCAUCUGAUGCACUACAGGAUUUCAUAAUCUAUUAACUCUAUGAUCCUUUAUGUUGUCAAGAUUUUAGACGAUGUUCUUCCUAAUGUAACAACUGACUUUGUAGAAAAAACCAAUAACUCUAGAAAUUCAAUAAAUAUUAGUCAUGUUAUUCCUAUACUUCUAUAGGUAACAAAUUUCCAAACCAGCAACUGUUAAAUCUGCCAAACCAAACAUUGCAUAAUUUUCCAGACUGAAUAAGAGGUAAGGGAGAUAUCCCUUUUGCACCUUGUCCACAUUGCUGAUGACGAAGGCAUCCAGGUGGUGCUGAUGAGCCUGUUCUUCUCGAGCGACCCUGCAGCCACCUCACCUCAAGUGCCCCGCUACCUGCACCUCCUUCUCCGCGUCAGCAUGGUGCCCACAGACCCCCACAUCCAUAUCCCCGGAUAAGAAAAUCACCACCAACAUCACACCUCUAGGAGAACUUUGCUGCAUUUACAGUCCAAUUGUCAGCUCUGGUUGCUGCUCUAUUAUCCUCCUCCUUGCAAUUCUUCAUAGACUAAAGAGCAAAAAAACAUUCAAAGCAAACUAUAUCCAGGCAAUGAACUAUAUNNNNNNNNNNNNNNNNNNNNNNNNNNNNNNNNNNNNNNNNNNNNNNNNNNNNNNNNNNNNNNNNNNNNNNNNNNNNNNNNNNNNNNNNNNNNNNNNNNNNNNNNNNNNNNNNNNNNNNNNNNNNNNNNNNNNNNNNUAUAUAUAUAUAUAUAUAUAUAUAUAUAUAUAUAUAUAUAUAUAUAUCACUGAUACUGCUUAUGAGCAGCUAAAGAUGGGCUAAUGCUUGCACUGGAGACCUUAAUAUAAAAGAAUAAAGGCCUUAAUAUGUGUAAUCUGCAUUCAGGGCCGUCCCAUAGAUAUACGGGGCCCGGGGCAAGACAAGAAUAAGGGGCCCUUCUUGAGAAAUAAAAGCUCAGUUUUUGUUUUCAAAAGCAAUGUAAUAUGGAUAUCCAGUAUAUAGCAUAGAUUAGUGAUCUUUCGACUCUAAGACUGGCAGUACCACUAUUUAUCGAUCAAGAGAAAUGCAUCGGGAUAGUAAUGAAAUAAUAUAGCUCGACAAAAUAUCGAUUUCCUAAUUGUCAAUAGAGACAUCAAUUUUUGGGCACAACAAAUGACCUUGUAAAAACUGGUUGCUACUUAAUCAUAUGUGUUACCAUGAGAUAUAAAAUUAAUGCAUCAACUUACAUUUGUUCUGGAUCCUCCCCCAAUCUUGUGACACCCCAAAAAUUUUGCCCUUGUUUUAUUAAAUUUUUUUUCCAGGAAUUAAAACUUUGGAUUUCUGAGUUCCUUUUUGAUUUUUUUAAAUCAUUUCCUUCCCUGUUAUGUUGAGUUUUUCCCCAAGAGAAAACUUUUCAAAUAUGUUAUUGGACUUGUUUAACCUCUCAAGAAAAACUUUCCUUUUAUCAGUAUAACUAAUUAACUAACUUAAUUGCUUGAUCUUUACUUUCUUGAAAAUAGUUUUUUCAAGGUUAAAUGGCCAUAUUUGAACUACAACCAUUUGAUAGAUUCACUUAAAAUUUCCACAAAAAUUUGGAGAUGUCAUGUGAUGUUUUUAAAUCACUUUUAUGCAAAAAUAUAUUUCAUUCACUAAAUAUUUUGAGCCCUACUCUCAAUUUUUCUUCUCUGGUCCAGAGUGCAUUUUGCACUACAACCUAUUUGAGUAUUCAUUUAAAACUUCUACCAAAAUUAAGGGAGGUCAGUAGGAGCCUGUUAUCCCUCUUUGUGCAAAAAACUAAUUAUGUUCUUUGAAAAAUUUGAGUGAAUCAACCUCAUUUCCAUUCAGGACCAACUUGAGGAUUUGUACAGCAACCACCAUUUUAGUUGCUCCUAUACCCUUAACUAUUUCUCCUACUUGUAGUCCCCCAUGUUAAACCCUUAAGUCCAGGAGCAUGCACCAUUUAGAUCAUUUUUGGUUCAUGGAAUAAUGUCAUUUAUUUCCUGUCCAGAAUUGAAGUUUUGUAAAACUUGCACUAACAAGUUUCUUCUUUUGUCCAACUAACAUCACCACUCUCUCUUUCAUCCACAGAGACACUGAUCUGGAGAUUUUGGCCACUCCAAGAAAUGCCUAAGUGCCCUUGGCAUUUUGUCAAACACCUGGUGUGCAUGGCCAGUUUUGACAUGAUUUUUGUCUUUGCAUUGUGACCUUGAACCUUGGAUCAUACCAGCUUGUCCAAUGGUUUUGCCUUAGACUAUAACCCCACCCUGCUAAAUCCCAGCUCCAACCAAGCGCUCUGGAGUGCCAUGGCAAUUCGUCGAGCACAUUCGGUGCGUGCACUGGACGCGCCCAGAGCGCGCGUAUUGCAGCCACGCGGCCGAGCCGACACGCUGGCCCCCACGGCUUUGGCCCGCUCUGCAGAACCUCGCCACGCGCCUCCCCGCCUCGCAGCAUCGCGCCAAACCACCCUGGCACGCUACAGCGCCGCCGCCAGGGCGUUCUUGGCGGCACUCCGGCGUCGGUAGUGCGCCUCUGCCACGGGCAGCGCCGCCCAAGCCUCGCCCGCUCGCCACCUGGCCCCUGGAGCAGUGCGAGCUCAUCCACAAGGGUGUCGCCUAGCUCUCGUCGCCGCCACGUUCCCCUGCAGCUACAGAAUGGCGGUUCGCCGGCCGCCCUUAUCCACCGCCGCGGAACCGACCUCGUCGCACUAUAAAUGGACACCCCGAGCCCCUCUGAGCACGCACACGACCUCAUGCUACCCCCAUGGCUCUCCCCUGCCUCGCAUUCGACCCGGCGAGGUCUCCUUCCUCGUCUUCGGCAACUCCUGCCGCCGCCACCGCCCCGGCCAAUCCGGCACCUCCAGUACCUCCCCCUCUCCGUUCUCUUCACCAGGACCCUUCUCAUCCUCCUGUGAACUUGUUCCCCUGCUUGAUUUUGAUCGGGAGCCAUCGCCUCCACAAAAUCACUUUGCUCCCGAAGCUCCCUCCGCCGCGAAGCUCACCGCCGACGACUUCUUCCACCCCUGUCGACCCAACGACCACCGAGAAGACCGCCUCAGUCUCGCGGAUCCAUCCAGACCCUCUGGAACCCGCGGGGAGCCACCGUUCGCCGGCGGCGAACGCCGUGGCCUCGCCUCCGUUCGGGCAGAGGAAGAGGAGGGAGGGAUAGACUGGUCAAACCUGACCAGUGGGCCCCUUGGACCCACUGUCAGUGACCCUGCGCCUAUCCACGUCGGUUAAGUGAAGGCGUAUUAACCCCAAUACGCUUUCCCCGCUCCGAAAACGUAUUCCCUUCCGAAACGUUUUCUUUUCUGUUUUAUUUUAAAAACAGAUUUUGACCAGAACUUUGACUGGCUAUAACUUUUUAAAUAUAAAUCCAAAUGAGUUGAUUCUUUUUCCUACCUUCUUCAAAUUUGAUCUAGUUUAUUUUAAGAUUUAUUUAAAAAAAUUUCAAACAACUUUUUGGUUCUGUUUUUGAAAUAUGUGUUAAUUCAAAUAUAUUUUUCAAAUAGGAUUUUGGGGAAAGAGAAGAAAACUUUCAAAAGUUUGGAGAGCACCCUGCCUUUCCACACGUUGAAGGCAAGCAUUCUGAAUCCCGGCAUAAUAUUUUUGGUGUGAUCGUUGAUGCAUUUAUAACACCACCGCAUUUCGAAGGACUUGUUAUUUCAUGUGAUAUGAUCAUAUGCAUGGGUGCACGUUUUUGUUUUCCAUGCUGUUGGAAAAGAACACACUUGUGAUGAUCAUCAUCCUCAUGUGCCUUGCAUGCAUACCGGUAGGAACCGGGAAAACCUCUGCCUUGGGUAGGCAUGAGUUUGUCGCCGGUCACCGUCGGGACGGUUAUGUCCGGUAUGGCAUGGUAAGAUAUAAUGAGCGUUGAUUGUAUUGGUUGAAAUAUAUUCGUUAUACUAAUCAUGCAGGGAAUACUUAAACCUCCUGAGUCGACGGUAGAUCGAGUCUUAUUCCAGUAACCCCCAUACUUGUUUCGUACUACCACUCGUCUCUACAGCAAGUAGAGUACGGUUCAGUAAGUUGUCAACCUCUUUUUAGCACACACCGUACAGAGAGGCCAUGGUGGAAGAUACUAGUUGUAACUGGUAGGCAGGCUACCUGGUCCGGGAGCAUGGGUGUUUCCGGUAGGGACCGAGAGGGGAGGCCACCCCUUAGAGCGCGCGAUAUAAAUUUGAUCCCAUGCUACGCGAGGUUGUAGCCUCCCCACUUAGAGUUUGCUUAACAGGUGUCGUGGGUGAUUCCAGACACGUGUGUGAUAAGCUGGUGUGUGCAAGUUAGGUGUGUUUUCAACAAAAAGACCGUAGAUGGAAUUAGUCCCGAUGGACUAAAGAAAUCCGUUACUCGUGGGUAAAGAGUACACCCUCUGCAGAGAAUAAACUUAUUCGAAUAGCCAUGUCCAUGGUUAAGGAUUACAGUCUGGGAUGGGUCAAGUAUCGGUCUUAGUGUCGGUCUUCGGAGGUGAAACUAUUAAUCCAGAAAUGGAAUUACUACUUGUGACUGGUGAUAACUAUGAUUAUUAUUAUUUGACUAACCCAUGAUAUUGUUGUUAUUAUCGUGUAUCUCUGGGAUGGUUCUACCUCCGGGAUAUUCACUUUGAUUGUUUCUUUUAAAGCCCUUUAUGUGGUGUCGCUCAGACGCCCGACUGUGGUAUUUCUUUUAAAGCCCUUUAUGUGGUGUCGCUCAGACGCCCGACUGUGGCAUUUCUUUUAAAGCCCUUUUUGUGGUGUCGCUCAGACGCCCGACUGUGGCAUUUCUUUUAAAGCCCUUUAUGUGGUGUCGCCCAGACGCCCGACUGUGGCAUUUCUUUUAAAGCCCUUUAUGUGGCGUCGCUCAGACGCCCGACUGUGGCAUUUCUUUUAAAGCCCUUUAUGUGGCGUCGCUCAGACGCCCGAUUGUGGCAUUUCUUUUAAAGCCCUUUAUGUGGCGUCUCUCAGACGCCCGACUGUGGCAUUAUUUGUUAUUUAUUUCAUAAAUUUCUUUUAUACUAUCCUGUUAUUGCAAUUUUAUAAAUAACUUGCUUGCACGCAUCCGAGAGUUACUUAUCUUUUGUGGCUGACGUCAUGAGCAUAAAAUAUUUUUCAGCACAUCAUUGUUAUAUUAUACCUGUGUUCAUGAUGUUUGCGAGUACAUUCAAAGUACUCACUGGCUUGUCCCUGGCUAUUGUCUUGGCCAGAUUUUCCUGCACGGAGAGGAGCGACGCGAUGCCAGCCCCGGAACCCACGCAAUGGAGACAGCAGCCUCGCGAAGAUAGGAAUUUAACCUGGUCAGCUGUUCCCGUGGGGAAUGGAGUCCCAUAGACACAGAUGUUUCACAACCCGCUUCCGCCAUCAAUCACUAGAAACCAUUGGUUGUACCCACAGGCCAGAAUGGUCUUGUACUACAUAUUCUGUAUUUGGCUUGGAAUUUCUGUAUCAAGUUGGAGCCUCAUCAGCUAACAGUAAUCCUGGGGCUGAUGAGAACGACAGUCUUUUCUGGAAAUUUAUUACCAAAAAACCCGGUCGUGACAGGCUUGGUAUCAGAGCCAGGCUGACCAUUGGCUAAUCCUAUCCUAGCCAGGUCAAUAAACUUAGGCAAACCAACCCACUAGACCCUAGCCAAACACCAGCCAAGCUUCUCGUGCAAGAUAGCCACACAGUGACCCAACACCUUUUGGCAGUCGGUGCCCAACCUAUCAACCUAACCUGUCACUCAUGCGCCAGUGACCGGCCCCUAAAUAGUCUUUUCUCGCAAGCGUGCGAAGGAAGAUUCCGUCCCCUUUUCCCUAUAAAAAGGGCGCGCUGGCCUCAACCCAGCACAGCACAACCGCUACCCCCCAAACCGAGCCACAAUGCCUGGACCUAUAGUGCACAACGAAACCACAGCAACCAACCUUGGAGGUUUUGUGACCAUCCUCGCAAACCUCACCCGUCGUGCCUACGCGUUAGAGGAGCCACCAGAAUAUGUUGUGUAUCAAGGACCCAUGAGCGGUGAAGACCGCCAAUUCUGGGCCACUGUGCACAUUUACGGUAGGGGUCUAGCACCCGAGCGCCCCUACCGGUUCACCGGAAGAACAACUUCCUUUGAGCCACAAGCCAUCCAGCUAGCCGCUCGAGAGGCUAUAGUUCAUCUCAGGCACUUGUCGCCCAGAGUUAACUGUCGCUCGUUCCACUACUACCCCAGACGAGAAGGGUAUGGUAGACCACCCCAAGUCGCCAAUGGAGACCACGAGACGGACCCCGCAUUGUUGCACCUAGUGCGCUAUGUAAGUGCACUAGAGGCACUGUUCGACCAGAUCACCAUUGAUCUAAUAGCAGCUCUUGGAGAGCUGGUUCGUCGAGCCUCGGCGAGAGAAGAAAACGAGCCCAACACCAACAACCCAGUCGUGCUGUUUGGACAACCGAUCGAGACCCCGAGAUCUGCCCCAGCCAUCGGCCAAGGUGCUGCGAUAACCCCAGAAGUGCUUCGUAGCAUAUUGGGAGCACACUCCAACGGGGUUGUGGCCAACAAUCCCCGCAAUGGUCAUUCUCACUACCCCGACCCUGCAGUUCCUCCGCCAUCUCCGACUAAUCCCGGCAGAGAGACACGUGGAGAAGCCUCGACAUCCGCCAGGCACGCCCGUUUAGACAUAAACGAGGUAGACUGAGCCGUAUGAGUAGUACCAAGUUUCAAUGUAUCCUCGCUUUGUAAUCAUGCGACCGCUUAUAUUAACGCAGCCUGUCUUUGUGCCUCUGUUUUAAUAAUAGCCUUGCCUGUUUGGUCAGCGCAUAGCUGCAUAUUCUUCCGGGCACAACUACCAAAACCAGCCCGACAACAACCACAGUAACACAUCUCUUUAUGAGAUAUGUGUAUCUCUGACACUGACCUGACCUUUGGAGCCAAACUGGCAAAUUUAUUACUUUUUGCCACGGUAAAACGAUCCGGCUCCUUUGCUAUAUAAAGGCCACCUUGUGACCUUACCCAGCAACCCUCACUUUGCGCACAACACUCACGCUUCUUCCUGUCAUGCCGAACCCCAGCAUUCAUCUGAGAACCCCAGAUGCAACCCCAGGUAGCUUUGUCAAAUUAUUGUGGGAUUUUACCCGCAGUACCAUGGGUUCUACCCAGCCACCCCAGUACGAGCUGUUCAAAUCAAGGAUCACCCCAUCCACCUCGGAAUAUUGGGCAGCAGUACACAUUCCUCCUGUAGACCCCAACCAAGAUCCAAUAGAAGUUUCCUUCAUGGGGAAAUCUAUGCCAACCCCACACUUGGCCAUAGAAGCUGCUGCGAAAGAAGCGAUUGCUCGUCUUCGAUCCGCAGUACCCUAUGCCCGCGAACGAGGAUAUUAUUACUUUCCAAGUCGUGCAGCACCCGGAGAAAUAACGUCUUUUCCCGGUGGGCGGAUUGAGAGAGACCCAGUUCUGGCCAACCUUAUCCAGUACAUCAUUGCUCAAGAGCAUUUAAACCAGCGAGUGAUGGAUUAUCUCCAGAGCCUCGCAGAUUUAAAUCCUCAGAUUGCCAUCGGCAGACCACUGAGACCCGACCCGGAGAGACGCAUUCAUCGACUGGUCAAUCCACUUCCUCCAAUAGAAGAGGAGUGUAUUCCUUUACCAGAGACAUUUUAUCAGGACCCCGUCCAGUUACCGUUUUCAUUUUAGACGUCACUAUUGUAUUUGUUCCUUGCAGCAUUUAUUUAUGUAUGUGACUUAUGCGUGAUACCCUGAGUUUGUACGGCAAGUUAAUUAUUUGGCUUCUGCUCAUGUGUGUAGUUUUGUUGUGGUUUACGCUCCUUUAAAGUAACUGUUUUCCCCUCGUGAAACCUGGAGUGAGAUUUUCUUUUCUCUGAGUUGCUACAUCUACACUUUCUCACGGCGUGGAUUAUUUAAUUUCACUCAGCACCACGAGCAGACUCACAGCCAUAAUCAUACGGACACAUACACUGUUUGCAAAACUUUGCAACGGUGUUACAUCCAGCUAAUCACCCCCUAACAACAGUAAGCACCCGGCAUACUUCAUCUACUCCUCAUGAUCACCAUCACGGAGAGCCAACACCCGAGCCGCAGCAUCGCGAUACUCGUCGAAGAUCAUCGCGCACAGGAGCACAGAGAGCCCCAGCAGUGUCGCCAGCCCUCCGCAUAUCAGGAUCACAAACCAGUCCGGCAUCGCCUCCGCUAUUAGAGCCUCGACCGAGCUUCUGUAAGCAGUAGCGGAGAAAUAAGGAGGAGGAGAAGUGAGGCCAGGUGUAAGGAGGAAGAGAGAGGCACCCCGGCCGUUUUUAUAGCUCGAGCUCGGUGUACGGUGGGCGAAGUCCACCUACGCCGCUCGUCGCCGAUCGCCGGUGUUCGAAGUCGAAUCCAUGAGCAGUGCCGAUAGCGCACUGGCCCGCGAGGUGAGUGCAUGCUGCACCAGCAGCUAGCACGCCGCGCACUACCACGGUACGGCCUAGAUGCCCUACACACUAGGCGUCGCCGGUGGAGAAAGCGCGCGGGAGAGAGGAGGAAGAUAGGUCCAGAGGGAGAAGAAGAGGAGACUGACAGUGGACCCCAGAUCCACCUGUCAGCCAGAGAGAGCACUAUGCUCUCGGGUGCGAUCAGCGUAUAUCUAAAUUUAGGAGUUAUCCUAAAUUUAUAUCCAGCGUAGAAAUCGCCCGUUUUUGUCUCGGACCGUAGACUUUUCCGCGCAGCACCAGUUUUCACACGGUGGUUUUUCACCACUUAUUGCCCUCUCACUGUAGCUACAUCUUUAUUGCGUAAAUAUUCUCUUAACACCGCUUUCAGCAAAUCUCGAGGACGAGAUUUUUCUUAAGGGGGAUAGUACUGUGACACCCCAAAAAUUUUGGCCUUGUUUUAUUAAAAAAAAUUUCCAGGAAUUAAAACUUUGGAUUUCUGAGCUCCUUUUUGAUUUUUUUAAAUCAUUUCCUUCCCUGUUAUGUUGAGUUUUUCCCCAAGAGAAAACUUUUCAAAUAUGUUAUUGGACUUGUUUAACCUCUCAAGAAAAACUUUCCUUUUAUCAGUAUAACUAAUUAACUAACUUAAUUGCUUGAUCUUUACUUUCUUGAAAAUAGUUUUUUCAAGAUUAAAUGGCCAUAUUUGAACUACAACCAUUUGAUAGAUUCACUUAAAAUUUCCACAAAAAUUUGGAGAUGUCAUGUGAUGUUUUUAAAUCACUUUUAUGCAAAAAUAUAUUUCAUUCACUAAAUAUUUUGAGCCCUACUCUCAAUUUUUCUUCUCUGGUCCAGAGUGCAUUUUGCACUACAACCUAUUUGAGUAUUCAUUUAAAACUUCUACCAAAAUUAAGGGAGGUCAGUAGGAGCCUGUUAUCCCUCUUUGUGCAAAAAACUAAUUAUGUUCUUUGAAAAAUUUGAGUGAAUCAACCUCAUUUCCAUUCAGGACCAACUUGAGGAUUUGUACAGCAACCACCAUUUUAGUUGCUCCUAUACCCUUAACUAUUUCUCCUACUUGUAGUCCCCCAUGUUAAACCCUUAAGUCCAGGAGCAUGCACCAUUUAGAUCAUUUUUGGUUCAUGGAAUAAUGUCAUUUAUUUCCUGUCCAGAAUUGAAGUUUUGUAAAACUUGCACUAACAAGUUUCUUCUUUUGUCAAACUAACAUCACCACUCUCUCUUUCAUCCACAGAGACACUGAUCUGGAGAUUUUGGCCACUCCAAGAAAUGCCUAAGUGCCCUUGGCAUUUUGUCAAACACCUGGUGUGCAUGGCCAGUUUUGACAUGAUUUUUGUCUUUGCAUUGUGACCUUGAACCUUGGAUCAUACCAGCUUGUCCAAUGGUUUUGCCUUAGACUAUAACCCCACCCUGCUAAAUCCCAGCUCCAACCAAGCGCUCUGGAGUGCCAUGGCAUUUCGUCGAGCACAUUCGGUGCGUGCACUGGACGCGCCCAGAGCGCGCGUAUUGCAGCCACGCGGCCGAGCCGACACGCUGGCCCCCACGGCUUUGGCCCGCUCUGCAGAACCUCGCCACGCGCCUCCCCGCCUCGCAGCAUCGCGCCAAACCACCCUGGCACGCUACAGCGCCGCCGCCAGGGCGUUCUUGGCGGCACUCCGGCGUCGGCAGUGCGCCUCUGCCACGGGCAGCGCCGCCCAAGCCUCGCCCGCUCGCCACCUGGCCCCUGGAGCAGUGCGAGCUCAUCCACAAGGGUGUCGCCUAGCUCUCGUCGCCGCCACGUUCCCCUGCAGCUACAGAACGGCGGUUCGCCGGCCGCCCUUAUCCACCGCCGCGGAACCGACCUCGUCGCACUAUAAAUGGACACCCCGAGCCCCUCUGAGCAGGCACGCGACCUCAUGCUACCCCCAUGGCGCUCCCCUGCCUCGCAUUCGACCCGGGGAGGUCUCCUUCCUCGUCUCCGGCAACUCCUGCCGCCGCCACCGCCCCGGCCAAUCCGGCACCUCCAGUACCUCCCCCUCUCCGUUCUCUUCACCAGGACCCUUCUCAUCCUCCUGUGAACUCGUUCCCCUGCUUGAUUUUGAUCGGGAGCCAUCGCCUCCACAAAAUCACUUUGCUCCCGAAGCUCCCUCCGCCGCGAAGCCUACCGCCGACGACUUCUUCCACCCCUGUCGACCCAACGACCACCGAGAAGACCGCCUCAGUCUCGCGGAUCCAUCCAGACCCUCUGGAACCCGCGGGGAGCCACCGUUCGCCGGCGGCGAACGCCGUGGCCUCGCCUCCGUUCGGGCAGAGGAAGAGGAGGGAGGGAUAGACUGGUCAAACCUGACCAGUGGGCCCCUUGGACCCACUGUCAGUGACCCUGCGCCUAUCCACGUCGGUUAAGUGAAGGCGUAUUAACCCCAGUACGCUUUCCCCGCUCCGAAAACGUAUUCCCUUCCGAAACGUUUUCUUUUCUGUUUUAUUUUAAAAACAAAUUUUGACCAGAACUUUGACUGGCUAUAACUUUUUAAAUAUAAAUCCAAAUGAGUUGAUUCUUUUUCCUACCUUCUUCAAAUUUGAUCUAGUUUAUUUUAAGAUUUAUUUAAAAAAAAUUCAAACAACUUUUUGGUUCUGUUUUUGAAAUAUGUGUUAAUUCAAAUAUAUUUUUCAAAUAGGAUUUUGGGGAAAGAGAAGAAAACUUUCAAAAGUUUGGAGAGCACCCUGCCUUUCCACACGUUGAAGGCAAGCAUUCUGAAUCCCGGCAUAAUAUUUUUGGUGUGAUCGUUGAUGCAUUUAUAACACCACCGCAUUUCGAAGGACUUGUUAUUUCAUGUGAUAUGAUCAUAUGCAUGGGUGCACGUUUUUGUUUUCCAUGCUGUUGGAAAAGAACACACUUGUGAUGAUCAUCAUCCUCAUGUGCCUUGCAUGCAUACCGGUAGGAACCGGGAAAACCUCUGCCUUGGGUAGGCAUGAGUUUGUCGCCGGUCACCAUCGGGACGGUUAUGUCCGGUAUGGCAUGGUAAGAUAUAAUGAGCAUUGGUUGUAUUGGUUGAAAUAUAUUCGUUAUACUAAUCAUGCAGGGAAUACUUAAACCUCCUGAGUCGACGGUAGAUCGAGUCUUAUUCCAGUAACCCCCAUACUUGUUUCGUACUACCACUCGUCUCUACAGCAAGUAGAGUACGGUUCAGUAAGUUGUCAACCUCUUUCUAGCACACACCGUACAGAGAGGCCAUGGUGGAAGAUACUGGUUGUAACUGGUAGGCAGGCCACCUGGUCCGGGAGCAUGGGUGUUUCCGGUUGGGACCGAGAGGGGAGGCCACCCCUUAGAGCGCGCGAUAUAAAUUUGAUCCCAUGCUACGCGAGGUUGUAGCCUCCCCACUUAGAGUUUGCUUAACAGGUGUCGUGGGUGAUUCCAGACACGUGUGUGAUAAGCUGGUGUGUGCAAGUUAGGUGUGUUUUCAACAAAAAGACCGUAGAUGGAAUUAGUCCCGAUGGACUAAAGAAAUCCGUUACUCGUGGGUAAAGAGUACACCCUCUGCAGAGAAUAAACUUAUUCGAAUAGCCGUGUCCAUGGUUAAGGAUUACAGUCUGGGAUGGGUCAAGUAUCGGUCUUAGUGUCGGUCUUCGGAGGUGAAACUAUUAAUCCAGAAAUGGAAUUACUACUUGUGACUGGUGAUAACUAUGAUUAUUAUUAUUUGACUAACCCAUGAUAUUGUUGUUAUUAUCGUGUAUCUCUGGGAUGGUUCUACCUCCGGGAUAUUCACUUUGAUUGUUUCUUUUAAAGCCCUUUAUGUGGUGUCGCUCAGACGCCCGACUGUGGUAUUUCUUUUAAAGCCCUUUAUGUGGUGUCGCUCAGACGCCCGACUGUGGCAUUUCUUUUAAAGCCCUUUAUGUGGUGUCGCUCAGACGCCCGACUGUGGCAUUUCUUUUAAAGCCCUUUAUGUGGUGUCGCUCAGACGCCCGACUGUGGCAUUUCUUUUAAAGCCCUUUAUGUGGCGUCGCUCAGACGCCCGACUGUGGCAUUAUUUGUUAUUUAUUUCAUAAAUUUCUUUUAUACUAUCCUGUUAUUGCAAUUUUAUAAAUAACUUGCUUGCACGCAUCCGAGAGUUACUUAUCUUUUGUGGCUGACGUCAUGAGCAUAAAAUAUUUUUCAGCAUCAUUGUUAUAUUAUACCUGUGUUCAUGAUGUUUGCGAGUACAUUCAAAGUACUCACUGGCUUGUCCCUGGCUAUUGUCUUGGCCAGAUUUUCCUGCACGGAGAGGAGCGACGCGAUGCCAGCCCCGGAACCCACGCAAUGGAGAUAGCAGCCUCGCGAAGAUAGGAAUUUAACCUGGUCAGCUGUUCCCGUGGGGAAUGGAGUCCCAUAGACACAGAUGUUUCACAACCCGCUUCCGCCAUCAAUCACUAGAAACCAUUGGUUGUACCCACAGGCCAGAAUGGUCUUGUACUACAUAUUCUGUAUUUGGCUUGGAAUUUCUGUAUCAAGUUGGAGCCUCAUCAGCUAACAGUAAUCCUGGGGCUGAUCAGAACGACAGUCUUUUCUGGAAAUUUAUUACCCAGAAAACCCGGUCGUGACAAAUCUGCCAUGUUCUUCACCCCAAAAUUCGUCACCCGAAUAAUAAUUCACCUCUUCCAAACUAUCAUAUAUAAGGCAUAGCAAAGCGAACUGUGUAUUUCAUGUCAAUACUAUGAUGACCAAUGGAGAUUCCCUGGAAGAAUUCUAGUUUUGAAAAAGUUAACAGUAAUUGUCCCUUUUGAGAUUAUACCGCUAGAUAAAUAAUUUCUUGAAGACAAGUCAGUAAACAAGCUGCACAAAAAAUGAUUAAUACAGGGAGCAAAAGCACCUGGGUAUUGAUUGAUGUGGAUGUAGAAGGCUUGAUCCGUACGCCGCAGUAGUCAGCACGAAACAAAGAAGACGACACCAUGAAGUGGAUAAAAUUUCUCCCUUCUCCUAGACUACUCCUGAGCCCUCUCACAUUUGGAUCCAAUGAAGAGUGGAAGAAGAUCCAUGGAGAUGUAGCGGAUGUGCGACGUUUGAAUCAUGCGCAGAGCUAUUUAUCAAAGAAUCUUUGAAUUAAAGAAGGAGAUUACAGGAAAGAAGAACAUGUACUUUCCUGGUCUCUCCAAAGUCUAGGAAACGGCCAGAGCGUUUUUUUUUUGAAACGCGGCCAGAGCGUUGAGAAAGGAAGGAGAGCUGAUUGGGGAAUGAUUUGCGCCGUAGCUAUUCAUUAAUGACUAGCCACGAAUCGGAGCGGGGACGCCGUGUUCGGGAUUUGGCGAAGCAGAGGAGUCGCGGGUCUGGGGUCCAGUGCAAACAGAUUGAUUAUCGAUCAAUUCCUUCGUCAGGUUUGCCUAAUGGGCUUUUCCUUGCACGGUUCCUUGGACAUUGUUUUUUUUUCGUGUAUUUUCUUUGGGCUCCAUGAAGGUAUACUAUCUGGGCCGGGGCCCCUGCCUCCACGGAGCCCAGGGCGGGCGCCCCGUUUGCCCGGCCUAUGGGCCGGGCCUGUCUGCAUUAGAGUAAAUAAUUUUCUAUGCUGAGUUUCCAAAUCAUCUCCAUAAUUGAAAACCUGGAUGGCUUCAAUUUUAAAAGGAAUAGCCUACGACUAUGAGAUGCUAAGCAUGCUUUGCAUCUGACCGAACUUCUCUGAACCAUAUACUCAUACUAUAGCCAAAAACCAUUUGCACACGUACGUGAUAAAUUAUGACAUUUGUUGGCGAGGAAACGACAUGAAAAGCUGCUGCUACAGACUGGGUUAAGUGAACAGAACAACAAUACCAAAUCGAAACAAAAAUAAAUUGUACUAUCAUUAAAAAGAAUCCAUUGUAAGAGCUGCUACAGACCUUGAAGUACGGUAGCAGUAUUCAAACACCAACAUCGAGCACCUUCAACGAGAGAUCCGGAUUAAAACACCAACAUCGAGCACACAUAUAUUUGAUAGCUCCACUCCAAAAAUAUGAAAUUCCUCAAGUUGAAUACCUAUAAACAAAAGGUGAAAUAAGGAUCUCUUUUGGACAUAUCAACAAAAAGAGGAAAGGUUAUGUUAGAGACCAAUCGAAAUCAUCGAAAGUUCAGCACAUCAGCCUUUCAGCAAAUGUACAUGCAAAGCAAUUCUUUCUCGGAGUGAACUCCGAACUCUUCUGUCACACCGAGACGGUCUAUACAGGUGCCGCCGCCGCCGGCGACGCCCUACCACAGAAGAUCGUCUUCGAGUCUCGAGUUGCCGCACCCAACCCCAAGGACCUGCAGCACCACAACACCCAACAUACGUGACGGCAAGGUGUCGUGCUUCGACGGCAGCGAGUCCCCGGCCGCGGCAGGGUGCCCCUUUGGUAGCAACGCAGCGCCGUCGGCAGUGGGCAUCCCGAUGCCAUGAAAAAGCAAAGAAGAAAUGUAAAGUGAAACUGAUGGAAAAAUCACAAGAACAAUAAGUAAGACAUACCAUGAAAAAGUUGAGGGCAUACUUCUUGUCCAUUCAAUGUAGUUUUCUUCCCAUUCACGCCAACCCAUCUCUCUCUCAAGAUUGGCUGAUCAAUAAUGCACAUAACCUAAAUAAAAGAAAAAUAGUCAAUGGCAAGUGUUAUAGAACAAAUAUCUAACAUACAUGACGCAAUUAGACAACAUGUCCAGAAGAGACUUCAGUAUAUAAAUGAUAUGCUGAAAUUAAACAAAAAAUAUUUUACAGGUUGCAUCAAAUAUGUCGCAGCAGUAGUUAGUUGUUGACAGUAUCAUUAAAAUGAAGCUAAAUCACUCGGUACAUGUAACAAUAUAUGAUAGGCUGCUAUCCAGUACAGUUUCCUUCAGGUAGUAGUGAAGAAAAAUGGACAAAAAGAAGGAGAGCUGAUAUGAGAAAGAGAAAAUUAGCAUACCGGCAUGAGCUAUAAUUCGAGUGCUAGUUCAACAUACAUAGACUCAAUAGAGCAAAUCGUUGUGCAUGUUUCACGCAUCUAAAAAAAUUCUAGUUCAAUUGAGAGAGUCACCAGAGUACUUUAUAUGGUCUUUCUGCACUUUUUCUUGUCGAAGUAAUAUAACUUGGUGGAGGAACUCAAGAUUAGCCGAUCCAGUUUACUUCAAUAUGCAGGGCACUCACACAAAUAACUUUAUGAAAGAAACUGUAGCUGUCCUUAUGGGAUGCACAUCUAUACCUGUACCGCUGGUCCGCUGCACGAGCUCACCCUUGGCGGCGACCUGUAUUACACGAAGCACAUGUUCACGACGGAGUAGAUGUAUUGGUCACCAAGUGCAGGGGAGCACAUGCACGAAAUGUCUUUGAGUCGCGAGUUGCCACACCCAACCCCAAGGACCUACAGCACAACAACACGCAACAUAAGUGGCGGCGAGGUGCCGUGCUUCGACGGCAGCGAGUAUGAGAAGCUCACCUUCCGACCAGUUACAAAUCAGCUGGUGCUUCCACACAGCUGACGCCCGAGCUCUCCAAACAAAAGUAUUCUUAUUUGAAUAAGGAUGAGCAUGAGCAUGAGCAUGAUCAAGAAUAUAACUGAAUCAGAUGGUGUUUCCAAUAUAACUGAAUAUAACAAGAAUGAGCAUGAUCAAUAGCAGAUUGAAAUGGCUAAACAGACAACCACCAUCUUCCCGAAUCAACGAAGACUACACGGCAGGGAACGAAGUGCUCAUGGAACCAGCCAAAAUUCACACCAUCGGACAUGGAUGCCUCUACCGGCGGCGGAUAGGACGAGAGGCCGGGUAGAUUCGUCCCCGUGAAAUUCCGCACAACCGUGGCUGGAUCCUACGAGGUCGUCCUCAUUGCCGUCGUAUUCAUCCACGUACAUCACGGUAGGGGGAGGGCGCCAGAAGGUGAGCAUCUUCUCCUCGGUGUAUGUAGAAUAGCCUUUUUAGAUAAAGAGAAGGGGAUGAGCCUACACCAAUAUAUCACGAGCGGAACAUACCGACGAUGGCCGCUGCCGGAGUGGAUCGGAGAAGGGGAUGAGCCUACGGGCUGGGUGCUCUGCCCGUCGCGCUGAUGGUCGACCACGGCGGAGAUCGGGAUCCCUCUUUCUCGGCGAAGAGGCGGCGGCUUGGCGUGGAGUCCGAAGCGAGGGGUCCAAAGGCGACCAACGAGGGAAGCAAGCGCGGAGCAGCAGGACGCUGGGCUGGUUGACGAGCUCCUUUGUGGCGGCGGCGCAGGAACCCUAACGCGUGCGAGGAUAUCGGCGGCAGAGGCUGUGAACUCCGGAUCACAAGACGGCGGGGCUGAGGCGAGAUCCGGCAGGGCAUAUCGGUGGCGGCUUUGAUGUGGGAGGGCGGCGGCGAAGGGAUCGAGCGGUGGGGGCGAAGGGAUGGAGCGGCGGCGACGAAGGGAUCGAGCGUGCGAGUGGUUCGAAGGAAGGAGGAAUCGCUCGUAUACCUGCGUGCGGUUCGUUUUUUUCGCUGGUUUAAUUUCGUAGGUCUUUUUUCGUAGAUUUUUUUUCAUCCGGUUCUCUCUGUUUCGAUCGGAGGUUUGGCCCCUUGACUUCGUGGGGGCAUAGCUAAGCCAGCCCUUUUUUUUGUUCGAUGGCCCGGGGGUUGGGUGGGAGGGAGCACGAAAAAAAUCGAUGUUGGUGGGACAAAAAUUAACCAAUGAACAGAGACGACCAACUGAUACUUUAGGAGUAGAGAUUAUUAAUUCAAUUCUAUAUAUAUACUACUCCCUCUCUAAAGAAAUGAUAAUCCAAACACUCUUAUGUUUCUUUAUUUACGGAGGAAGUACUACUUGCCAAACCGGUUAGUGUAAAAAUAAUCAUCACUUUAUAUGUACAAGGUGAUGUUUUGUUUAUGGUAUUUGCAAAGCUUUAAUCAUGGACACUCACAGAUCCCUCCGUUUCUAAAUAUAUGUCUUUUAAGAAAUUGCACUAGUAGAAAACUAUAUACGGAGCAAAAUGAGUGAAUCCAUCCACGUUCUAAAGUAUGCCUAUAUUCAUCCGUAUGUAGUCUUUUAGUGAAACCUCUUAAAAGACUUAUAUUUGGGAUUUCUUUUCUAAGAUACUAUAUUCUUUUGGCAUAUAUUCCCAAAAAGAGGGAAUACCUCCAUGUGACUGUAUUUCUCAAAAAAAAAAACUGAAAGUAAUUGCAAGUUGUACCCGACUAGCACAGAAUGAGAAAACACUACCCAAGAUACAUAUCAUUUAAAAUCCAUUAAUAACACAUCCAAACAUAAAGGGUUGAUUCUAAACUGUUUGCCACGCCCCUAAGAAAUACUCAUCACAACAGCCUCGAGCUAGCUGAUAAG